rnacentral:lncRNA from 1 species
UCAUAUUCAGUCAACUUCUUCAUAUACAUUGUAAAGCUAAUACACUUUAUUUUUACAUGUAAGGAAAAAAAAAACCUAGACUGCAGGCAUUUUCCUGUGCUUAUUCACUGCUAGGAAAAUAUAUAAAAUGUUUAAUUUGAUUUAAAAUUAAUUCUGCUAAUGCUUUUCGUUGAUGGUUGCACUUCGAUGUAGAAUCUUUGGAAUUGGUACUACUUCAAGGUGUGGUCGGAUUUGGACCUCCGGAAGGGGUAGUGCCCCUAAGUAUUUGCCUGAUCAAAGGGAAGAAGGGACGAUCCAUCUGAUGCAUAAACUUUUCUUCCCCAUGCAACACUCUGCAGGCCUCGGAAGAUUGCAUGUUCAUAAGAAAAACCAUUAAAAACACUGCCACCAAAAAUAUUUUUAGAAACUUCAUUUUGUUGGGCAAACAAAGACUAUUUUGCAUCUAAUUUUCUGCGGAAGAAGAAAUGAAGGAAUGAAUGAAGAUAAAGUUAAAGGUUUGUUGCGAAAACAAAGAUUUUGCUUCUUUUAUCUGUCUGUGAAAAACAGAAAGGAUUGAAGGAAUUAAGGAAUGAAUGAAUAGAUGGGGAACAUGGGGCUUUUUAUAUGCAUCAAUUAAGACCAACUUUCAUAUGACUUUGAUUUUUUAAUAUAAAUCUAUUUGUUUCGUUGUUUUGACUAUUAAAUGAUAUAUGCUAAGGACUUAGCAGAAUUGAAUGGGUAGUCAUAUCCGCAAGGGUUUUGGUUUUAGGGUUUCACUGUAUUGUGGACCUGUAAAAAAAUCAAAGCUAAUUAAUUAGGCUUAGAUGUCAAAAUGGUCCUUGUCUUAUAACUAUAUGGCCAAUUUAGUCCACAUGUUUUCGAUUUGGCUAAUUUAGUCCUUAUGUUUGUCUCCUUUAGUCAAUUAAGGACAUUUCAUUCAGUCUUGUUAAAAAAAUCAUAAGAAAAAUUAUAAGAUAUAUGAUUACCCUUUCUUUUUACAGAAAAAUGCAAAUCAAUGAGAAAUAACACAUAUAAGAGAUAAAACUUACAGUCUGAAAAAUGAUUAAGGUUGUGACGUCAUAGAAAAUAGAGCAGGUAACGUUAGGAAGGAGACUUCGGGGGAGUUGGGAGGACAUUAAUUUUUAUUUCAUUUUUAAAUAUUUUAAAUCAAAUAAAUAAUUUUAUAAUAAUUAUAAUUUUUUGUAAUAAUUUAAUAAUUAAGUUAUAAUAGUUUAUACAGAAAUUAGAUGGAAAUAUCCUUAAUUGGCUAAAGGAGAUCACUACUAGAAAAUUUGACUUUACCGACAAAAGUAGUUUGUUGGCAAAAGUCAAAAUUUGUAGGCAAAGUGUCUUUCCCGAGGAAAAAAUUUGUCGGCAAUUUUGUCACGAACAGCAUGUCGCCUAAGAGUUUUGCCGACGAAUUUUGGUAUUUCAUCGGCUAAGAUUCAACUUUUCCCGUCAAAAUCUUAUUUGUCGGCAUUUCCAUCUUUUCCGACAAAUAAUUCAUCGGUAUAGGCCUUUUUAGCCGACGAAUAAUACUUUUUAGCCUACAAAAUGUGUUUGUCGCCAUGAAUAUUUCGUCGGCACAACCUUCUCUUUGCCGACAAAUUGGUUUUGUCAAGAAGACAUUUAAUUUAUAAAAAAAAAUGCUUUGAUGCUCAGCUCUUACAUAUAUCAAAAUACAAUAGACAAUUGUUAAGAAACAAUAUUUUACUGAUUGAUAAAUGUUGAAUGUACAUCUAGAGUGUAAUACAAAAGUAUCGUUAGUGAAAUCAUAAAACAAUUGAAGGAAUGUUACACAUGAACCAAAUAAAAAAUAUCAAAAGUCAUGGACUGAACUGUUCAUACAAAAGCUCCCCUUGUCCUGGUCUCUCGUCCAUCUCUGCAGUAGGAUUGGCUAAUGGCUCCUCAGGCGACCCAAACUCUCAUGUAACUCAAACUUGAACUCCCUGCAUCAACUAGCCAUGAUUCUGUUGAGGUAGUCAUAGUUUUCGUAAACGGUUAGAUUGAAAUAAUGAUUAGAAGCUCUCAAAUGUGCUAAAUAUCAUUCCUCUAGAUUGAUAUAAUGAUAGAGAUCGUAAAAAAUAUACUGGAAGCUUCUCAGAGUCUAACUUCUAAAAUUAGAGUCUUUAUUUCCACAACACAAGAAAAUGAGCAUUCCUAGCUUUAGAUCAAAUUACCUUCAAAAGUUCAAUAACCCCACAUAUGCAAACUCAAACAUUUAAAAAGAUUAUAUUACGAGUGCAAUUAUAUAUUUCUCGUUUAAUGCUAAUAUAAAAAAUGUGAGCAUUUGUCAUCAUGCAAGAGGUGGCUUACUGAAGAGCAUCAAUUGCAACCUUAAACCUUGGACGAUAUAGCACCAUAGUAGAAAAUGGGGCAAAGCUGCAAUAACACCACAGUAGUACAAUAAAAAAUGAAAACUUAACAUCAUAUUAGUGUCAAGCAUAUAGUGAGUUUGAUUAAGCAUCGGACAUUUAUCAUACAUAGAUUCUUAGAGGCCAGGACAAUGGUUCAUCCAACCUUGUAAUGAACAUUUCAAACCACCUGCCAAUUAAGAGGUUUUCUUUAGUCCCUUAAUAAGAUGCAAAUCAAAAUGAAUGAAAGGAGGUGCAAUAAGUUACACAAUAAUAAUUAGUAGCAGUUCAAAUCUCGGAUUAAUUAGCAGCCCUCAAGUAAGGAGAGGUUCUCCUUUAGCCUCUUAUGUAAUAGCUGACUAAAGCAUUCAGUUAUUUUCAUCCAAUCGAGGUAUAUCAAACAUCUGAUUAAACCACAAACUACAGAGCUUUAUUAGAGUUUACACAAACAUGAAAAAUCUAACAAAGAGGAUUAGUUCAAUAAAACAUGUAGUGUCAAUGUAACAUAAUUAAGAUUAAGAGAUGACUGAUGCCAUACAACAACUGUUUUCAGCAUAAGAACUCCAUGUACAAGUCUCGCAUUUUCUGUGUUGACAUUGAAUCCAAGUCCAAUUGCACUUCAGGACAAGAUCCUAAAAUGCAACAUACAAUAAAUUUAAACCACUGCACUGUUCAUAACCAAAUGAUACUAGCAUAGUAAUAUUUACAUGGUCACCUGCUGAAUGUGAAGCAAGGCGCCAAAAAGGCUUGCUUCUUGGACAACUUGGGAAGGUUUCUUUGCUCUAACUCACUUCAGAAAACACACAUAUCACCAAAUGAAAAGUACCGUUAACAUCACAGUUAACAAACCCGAGCAAAUAAAAAAUAUGAAGCCAUUUUCUAACCUUGUUUGACAACCUAUUCAAUUCCCUUCAACAGGUACUUUUGAAAAAUUACAAGAACCAAGCAUUGACCCUGCACCAUAAAAAUCUUUCAAACAUACCCAAAUUAAACCAUUACAAGAACCAAACAUAAAACAAGAAAUCAUUCAAGUCACCUCCAAAAUGUAAAUGGAUUGGAAAUCAAUAUCAAACCAAUAUCACACAAAAUGGCAUCUAGUUAAUUAAAAAUUAUAUUAAAUAAAAAGAAAAUAACUAAACCGCUAUACCUUUGGCGCGUUGCGGGUUUGUGAUUGGGAAUUGAAUAGACGGGCCGAAGGAGAGAGAGCCGGAGCAGAUCGAGGCUAAAGGAGUGGGCUGCGAGAGAAACAAUUCGGUAUUUGUGGAGAUUUGGGGUUUUCGUGUUUAACCAGAUGAUCGGGAUAAGAAACCAAUCUAGAGCCUAGAGGGUGAUGACUGCAAGGUAAUUUCAGAGUUGGAGUAGGAGGUGGCAUCGAAGACUUUGUAGAAUAGGAGCGCAGAUUCGAGUCCACGAACGGAAGACGACAGAGCGAGAGAGACGAGGCAGCAACAGAUAUGUGAGAAACGAGGGAGAAGCCCGGCGCUAAUUUUUUAAUUAAUUAGGUUUAGGAAUUUGAAGAUUACCAAUUUUAAUUCUAACCGGCAAUUGUUCAAAAAAAAUUCUAAACGGCAAAAUAAUUUUUUUGUUGCCCACUUAAUUAAAGAAAACGCGCGACUUAAAAAAAAAUCAUUUUCAAGAAGGCGGGAAAACUCCCACCAAAUUCUUACCCAAUAAAAAUCAAGUUUGUCGGCUAACAAUAUCUUCGCCGACAAAAUAUUUGUUGGCCAUAACCUUAAGUCGUCGGGAGAAGUUCGUAUUUAGCCAACAAACCAAAAAAAUUGUCGGGUAAAAACUUUUUUGCCGACAAAAUAAGUUUUGUUGGCUCAAAAUUCAUCGGCAAAAUUAGAUUUUCCAGUAGUGGAUAAACACAAGGACCAAAUUGGUCAAAUUAAAAACACAUGGACUAAAUUGACUUAAUGACUAAAACACAUGGAUCUUUUUAACAUUUAAGCCUUAAUUAUAUAAUAACACAAUCCUUUCUUGAUGCCCAAAAAUAGCACAUUUUUUCUACUCUUAAGUUCCUGCAAGAAACAUUUUACGCAUAAUUUAAGUUGAGCUGCCACUCAGUACUAUGGUCUAGUGGUAUUCCUUUUCACUUGAAUAUGGCUGGGCAACCGUCCAAGGCCCCAAAAAAUUGGGGGCACCGAAAUUAUUAAAGUGUUAUGUUAUAUUGAUAUAUAUUUUUUUAUAAGAGUAUAGAUUUUAAUUUGGUUAAUUGACAAAGAAAUUUAACUAUAAUUGGUGGUUUUUUUUUGUUAAAAUUAAUGAGGAGGUCUUGGGUUCAAAGCACCGUGUGUAUUUAUUUUAUUUUCAAUUUUUACAAAUUUCUUUUCAUAUGAGUAUAAAUUUAUAAAAUUUGGUAAGUAGUUGUUUAUAUUAUUUAAAAUAAACAAGGAGGUCCCGACUUCAAAACAAUAUAUGUCUCUUUUACUUUUCAACUUUUACGAAUUUAUUUUCAUGGGUUUAAAGUUAUGAAAAUUGGCUAAAUGAUCUAGAGGUUAAUCAAAAGUAAUGGUUUUUGUUGCUAAAAUUAACGAGAGAUCUUGAGUUCGAAAUGUUGUGUGCAUGUUUGUUCUUUUCAAUUUUUACGAGUUUCUAUUUGGUUGUUAAUUUCUUUUUAAUUAUUAGCUAGUAGAUAUGUGUGGCAAUUUUAAAACAUUUGUGUCAAUUCAAGUCUAAAUUUCAACAAAGAAUAAUGCAUAGACCAAAUUUGCAAAUCAUAUGAUGUGUCACCAAUAAGUUUAAUUUAGUAUCAUUUAUUGCUUAUACAUAUCAAUUAAAGACUCGAAAGCAUCAUUAUUUUUAUAGACCCAUAUUGACAAGAUUAGUAAAUAAGAAAAAACACAUCACGAUUUAUAUAAAAACACUUUAAAAGUUCAGGUAGAAAAACAAGACUCAUCAUCCAUCUACUUGUAAGCCCGAAGUUUUUUCGUUCCGGUACAAAAGAAAUUAAUUAAUUUUUCCGUGCUUUUAAAUUAUUGAGCUUGAAGUGCUUUUGUAAGUAAUAACUUUAUUGAAGUUUUACGUGUGAAAACAAUAAUUUUCUUAUAUAAAGUUAGGGCACAUUUUUUUGGGUCGCCCAGGGCCUUAAAAAUCUCAAAACCGGCCCUGCUUUAAGUAGGUUAUUACUUAAUAAAGGUGCGGCUAAAAAAAUAUUAUUAUUGUUUACUUAGUUAUCCUCAAUAAAAAUUGUAUAGAUACAAAGAACUAUUGACAAAAAAAAAAAAAAAGAUAAGAAGAACUAUUAGUGGAGUACGUUGGUUUCCAAGAUGUAAAAUAUGCAAAAAAAAAAAAAAAAAUACACUCAACCUUUAAAAUCUAUUGCAUAUAUGUACGUAUGUAGUACUUUCUUUAAGUUAAUGCCUAUCUAUAAACAUGCUUGUGAAGCUAAAAAUAGUAUGGCUUCAACAAGAAAUUGUCCAUAUUGACGAGGUAUUACGUACUCGUAAGUUCAAAGGCGUGAUAUCAACUCUAAAAAAUAAAAUAUUGUCUCAAAUAAUUAUAGAGAAAUAUUUUAGUUCAUCUUAAAUGUUUACUUGUGACAUUGCAUAUUUUUGUACUUAUGGACAAUUAUUAUUAUAUGGAGGUGAUUUUCCUUAAUACGGGACAUAUGACAAUUAUAACUUAUUACAAUGUAGAGUUUAUUUAUAUACAUAACUAGCUCCAAGUUUGGACCAUAAAUUUUUAUGACUAUAAAGAAGGUUAUUCUUAAAUAGAGCAUUAUUAUAAAGAUGUUUUACUAUAUAUUUUUAGGCCUUUUUUUUUAUAUUAAGUUGUCCUGAUUCAAUUAUGUUUUCUUUUAGUUUUAUUAACAAUUACUAAUACUAUAGAGGUAAUUUGACCAACUCUUGUAGAGUUUUUGUUACUAUUUUCUUGCAUCGCAAUUUUGAACUGAGAUUGGAGUUUGGCAUGCAAGUAAAAGCGUGUAUAAGGCCUUUGAAGUUUGAACGUUGACUAUUUUAAUUGAAGUUUUAGUACGCUGAGGUAUAGUAUUGGUGUGUGCUAACCUUUUACACGACAUGAAUACUUUAACACACAUACACACACAAAAAUUGAAUCAUAUUGUGAUGACUCAAGUCUUAUUUGACUUGAAAUGUGCCCAAGCGUGUUUAUUAAAUUAACUAAGACAACUCAAAACUAAUUAAGACCUCUCUAAUCCACUAGCCAGACCUUAGUAUUGUUUUUUCUUAGUUUUAUAGGAUAAAUCGAAUAAGAAUAAGUCAUGAUGUCUAGAAAGGUUGUCUAAAAUGAUUCGCUGUGAAAUUUGAACUUAUAAUCUUCUUUGGAAAAAUGAAAAUCAGGUGCCGCUAAUCAGGGCCGGCCCUGAGGGGGUGCCAGUCGUGCGACCGCACAGGGCCCCCGAUUUUUAGGGGCCCCUGAAUUUUAAUAACCUUUGUAAUGUACUACAUAUAAAAACAAUGUGAACACAAUUCACAUUGUUUCCUUAGGGGAAUCGUCAAGCGCUGAUACUUGCGUUUGUGUUUGCACGGGUUCGACUCCCAGUAGAACCAUUUUGGGCUUUUUUUUAAACUACAUUAAUUUUUUUUCUUUUCUCUUUAAUAUUUGUAGUUUAAUUUCUAUCAUUAUAAAAGAGAACUUUUGAUGAUAAAUCUAUAAUUAGGAAUAUCAUAAUUAAUUAAAAUCCUUAAAAAGUUUGAAGAUAUAAUCUUUAAAACCCCCUUUUCAUAUAUGACAUCAUUUAAUCAAAUACAUAUCGUUCGUUUAUUCUUUUGGUCAGCUUUUAAGGAUCAUCUAAUUUUCAUCCUAUUUGAAAACCAUUUAGUCAUCCAUAUAUAAUAAAACUUUGCUCACAACACUAAAGUGGAGGUGAGUAGGUGAUGCUCAUCCCCCUAUUGAUUACCGUUAAAUUAAUUUGGUUUAAUUGAUUUAAGACACGAAUCUCAAAUUCUAACUAAUCCAACAACAAUCAACCGAGUGAGGGUUAGAAUCAUUCUCACUUUAGGGAGUGAGAAAAAAUGCAUUAAAAAAACUUACAGCUCAUUAUAAGAUGCUACAAAUAUCAUAACCAGUGAUUUGUUUAACUAGUUCAUAAUAAAGAACAUGAGUUGUUCUGAUUAUGAUAUAUGUACGGUGAUAUGAUAUGUACAUAUCCACCACACCAUGCUUUUGUAUUUAAAAAGUAAGUUCAAACCCAAAAACAUAAAGAAUGUAGAUACAUAGCCACCAAACCAUGCUUCUUUUUUAUUUAUUUUCUUUUGCGUUUAUAUCAAUUUAUACACAAGAAAUAUAUAUAUAUAUAUAUAUAUAUAAAAGAAAAUAUAGCAACCAAAAUUUAAAUCUUGUAAGGGCCUCUGUUUGAGUCUCGCACAAGGCCUCCAAAAUCUCAGGACCGGCCCUGCCGCUAAUCCAAAACGAUAAUAAGCGAACAAAGUGUAUUAAAAUAUUAUUGGAGGAAAAUGAAGAGAAUGUGUUGUACUUAAUUAAACGUGCAAGAAAAUUUUGGUAGAAAUUAGUUAAUUUGACCUCAAAAGAAAUGUUGAAAGAGGAAUUGAGGAAUAGUUUGGAUCAAAUGAUAUCACUGCUGACAACUUUGGAUCAUAUUCUCUAUUUUGUCUUUCUCUUCUAUAUAAAAUCAAUCUAAUAUAUGUUGACGUGGCUUAACCGUGACUGUUCAAAUAGGAAGGAAGGGAAGGAGAGGGAAAAAAAGAGGGGAGAUAUACACACACACACACUCUUAAAUUUAAACCUUAAGCUCACAAGACAUACACUCAAAUUGUCAUUCAAAGUGUUUGGGGUUAAAGUGUAUACGCUCAAAAGAUCAUUAUAUGAAUGCUCUACCAUAAGCAUGCAGAUUGAUCUCAUCUCCACACAUCAAAAAUUACCUUCUUUGGAUCAAGUAGGUCUUUGUGAAGGGUUGUAAAGGGGCUUCGGUGACUUGGUUAAUCAAAUAAAGAAUAUGGGAAACACAAAGUCUAAGAAACUAAUAGAGUAGUUGGAAAUGAAACCGAGAGAGACGUGCGACAAUUAACCAAGGCAAUAAAUUGAGCAGUUUGAUGAACGACACAUAACUGCACAAUGAAUAUCUGAUGAUGGUAGCUCACUUGUGACUCAUAAUGAUUUCUUUUCCUCUUUUCUUCUUUUGUUCUUCAUUAGUAGUUGGGCUUUCUUCAUAAAAUUUUCAUCUUCAACUUUUAAUAACCUUGAACUCUCUCUCCUUUUAAAAAAACGUAUUCUACUAGCUUCUUAGUAGGGUAGGGAAUUUUUAAUAUAAGAGGCUAGGUAAGGAAAAUGUAGGUUUAAGAACAAAAGGCUUACAUAUAGGCUCAUAAGAGCUGACUAGGGGAAAAGCAUGUAUAAGGCCCUGACAUAUAUGGCAAUGGUGGUAAAGUUCUACUACCUACUGUCGUCUCCAAAAUAAAGUAAUAUAUGAUACAAAGUUUUGAGAGAUCUUAAGUCAAAUUCUAGAGAUGCAAAACACAUUAGAUCACACACACGAAUUAAAAAGAGUAUAAAAAUGCAUACACUAUAUUUAGGCACAAAAGCUCACAUGGGUGCGGGUUUUACUCAAGCUAAACAUGUUCAACUCAUUAACAUUCAUAUAUUAUCAAUAAGAGGCUAUUGUCCACAACAGGUCAAACAUAUCAUGCUAGGGUCAUGCUAUCAAGUGAACAAAGCUAGAACUCAUAUGAAAUCAUACUUUUCCAUUUUACCUCAUAUAUAUAUAUAUAUAUUUUUUUUAUUUUUAUUUUUUUAACAAGAAGACAGAAAAAUGCAGUAUCAAUGCUAUAUGAACAUGCAAGCAUACAUAAAUGAAAGCAUUUGCAAAGAGAGAGCUCAGUCAAUAUAAACAAUUUGAAGGUGGAGAGGAAUUGACAAAUACACCACUUUGAUUCUCUUUUAUUCUCCAAACUUGUUGCACUUUUGGAACAACCGUACUCGGAACAUAUAUAAUUCUUGCAAUCCGAUUAAUCUCUUUCAAAUAAGUCACAAAUUGUUUCUUAAGAUUUGCUUUUUUAGAGUUCAUUGAAACUUUUUUCUUGAGAAGAAUUUUUCUUCCUAAGCUUAUUGCACUUAGGCCGGAUGUGACCAGGAAUCCCACAAAAAUGACAUAUAGGAAUGAACUUCCUAGAUUGUUUGGGUUUGUUAGGAUUAACUGAAGUCUUGGCAGGAUUUGACACAUUUGCAAAGAUUGUAGAAGUUUCAGAAGUAAGACCUAAAACUGGAUUGACACCUACUUUCAAGCUAGGAAAUAUCAAACGCUUUGACAAAUCUUGUGAUGGAAGAAGAACUAAUAGUCUUUUCAAACUCAAAUCCUAGACCUUUUUUAUCUCCAAAAUUCUUUCCAUAGCUAAGCAUCUUGUCAAAUUUUCCCGAACAUGCUUAAUUCCUGAACUUUGUUUUUUAUCUCAACUAGUUCAUCCUAAAGAACUUUCUUAUCAAACGUGAGAGUGCUUUUGUGGUUUGAAGAAUAUGUAUCUUCUCUAACAAUGACUCUCAUAGUUUCUCUCUAUUGUCUAACUAAGAUUGAUGCUCAGCUUUAGCUUCCUUCUUUUCACUUUCAGCUAAUGCAAGUUUCUUUUUCGAGUUAGAGUUAUCCUUCUUUUCUUUACUUGCACACUGAUGUCUUAAAGAUUAGAAUAUUUUCUCAGGAUUUCUUCCAAGUCAGGUUCCUCAACAAAUGAACCUUCUGUGUCAUAUCCAUCAAUAGUUCCUAUAAAGGUAGUUGUAUCCUUUUCAUUUUCAGAGGAAGAUGCAUCUCCUGAAUCAUUAUCUCUCCAAGUAACAUUCAUUGCCUUAUUCUUCUUCUCCUUCUUCUUGAUAGUAUUUGCACACUCAUAAGCAAUAUGUCCAUACCCUUGGCAUUCAUGACAUUGCGCUCUAUUGUUAGAACUCUUACACUCCCUAGUUCUAGAGGAUUUAGAUGCUUUGUCAUGUGAGACAUCUAGAGAACGAAAGUUUCUAGAGUUUGAACCUAAGUUGGUUCGUUGCUCACGACCCUUGGAAUUCUGAGAGUUGAGAAACCUUCUAAUUUGCAUGGUUAAUGCAACCAAUUCAUCUUCGAACAAGUCAUCAAUUGAGCCAUCGCUUUCUUCUUCUUUGACAUCUUUGAGAGCAAUGUUUUUCAUCUUAUUGGAAUUAGGAAGCUCUAACUCAUGUUUGCAGAGGGCCAAUCAGUUGUUCGAGCUUGUAGGUGUUUAGAUCUUUUGAUUCCUCAAUUGCAGUCCUUUUAAUAUGAAACCUCAUAGGAAGUGAUCUUAAGAUCUUUUUUCACAAUUCUAUAUUUUGGAAUGCUGUCACCAAGAUUGUGGCAGCCAUUGACAAUUACGCUAAGCUUAGCAUAUAAGUCAAAGAAACUCUCAUCAUCAAACAUUGUGAUAUUUUCAAAUUUUGUGAUGAGAUGUUGAAACUUGGAUUCUUUAACAGUUUAGUAACUUCAAGAAUAUCCCAAACUUCUUUCGCCAUUGUACACUUGCUUAUGUAAUCGAAUUGUUCUGGCGAAACGGCUAUGAAGAAAGUAUUCAAAGCCUUUUGGUUAAAAGUGCUAGAGCUACGCUCAUCAUUGCUCAAUUCUUUCCUAGGCUUGAGCUUAGAUAUAGAAUCAAAGGACUUUCCUUCACAUUUUGUUUCUUUGAUCAUCAGAGGUUCCCAACCUUCUUCAACAGCAAGCCACACCUUGUCGUCUUGCGCCCACAAAAACGAUUUCAUUUUUGCCUUCCACGCAGCAUAGUUGUCACCAUCAAAGUGUGGUGGAUGAGAAAUUGAACCCAUAGCAUGAUUCAUCCUAGGCAAUCAACAUCCUCACAACUGUUGGAAAUUAUAUAUUAUGAUAUGAAAUAUUGUAAUAUAUAAUUUUAACAAUUGAAUGAAAAAUAGUGUUAACCAAUUUCUUAGAAAGGUUAUGUUGUUUAGGUGAUACUUGAUAAGUGAUGUAUACUUAUAGAUGAAAAGUUACAUCUCUUUAAUAAGUAGAAGUUGGAUUCUAUAUAAACACAUGAAACCAUUGGUAUUAAAGAUAGAAAAUUAGAGUUAAUUUUUAGUCUUGAGAAAUAGGGUUUCCCCACUUUGUUUCUCAAAUGAUUCGUGUGUCAAAUUCCGAGUCGUGUCUUGAGAGUACAAAAUAUAUAAAGUUCGCUAGAGUCCAAAGAUUGAAGUGCUUUGACUUCGGAUUAUAGAUUGUUGAAUCCUGGGAGAUGGACGCCUACCGAACUACAAGCACAAGAGUAGGGGCAAAAUUCUAUCUUUAGGACAUUGCAUUUAUGCAAGCCUCAAUCUCCAAGUUUGUCAGUUAUUCUAACUUUCACUCUAGUUGUUUAUAUUAAUCUCAAAUAUAAUUGAUGUUGUGAAUUUCUUUAUGAUUAUUAUCAUUGGAAUUAUAUUGUUAUUUUUUCAUAUUUUCUAAUAUUGCUCCAACAACAACCUUAAUCUUGGAGAGCUUGUUCGGCGCUUUCCUGGUGGUCUGGUGAUGCAAAGAAUGCGAGAUCUACCUUGAGAUAAUGAGGUUAUAACCGAGGUGUGUCCAUUGUUUGUUGAAAAAUCUUUCCACACGCCCUUUUUAGGCCUUGGUUAAGCAUUGUGGCUUUGAGAAUUUAUGGAAGGGAGCUCUCUUCGGAGGAGACCCUACUAUAAGAAGAAAAGAGAAAUUCAUUGUGCAAAAAGGUAUUUAGACAACUUUUUUUAAUUAAUUAUUAAACCCACAUCAGCACAUAACAAAUUUUUUUACAGAAUUGUGGUGGAAUGAUCAUAUUCAUUUACAACACCUAUUUUCAUGGACUACAUUGAUUGAUUUUCAAUUUUAGGGACCAUAUUGAUGGUGUGGGUCAAUUUCAGGGGCCAUUUUGAUGAUGUAGGUCAAUUUUAGGGACCAUUUGUGAUAUAAACCUGUAAAUGUUGUGGGGCCUAUUUAGGUGCCACAUCAGUACUUAACGAAAUUUUUAAUAGAAUUGUGAUGGAAUGACUAAAUUGAUUUGCAAUACCUAUUUUCAAGGACUACAUUGAUUGAUUUCUAAUUUCAAGGACCAUCUUGAUGAUGAGAGUCAAUUUAAGGGACCAUUUGUGAUCAAAACCCAUAAAUUUAUUGGUUAUUUUAACUAAACUACCGUUGGAUGUUUUUAAAUCAAUCCACUGAAUUUGAAUUAAUUAUUGCAACUAAGAAGCUGGGCCCCAAAAAGGGCUAAGAGGGGGCUACAUUUGGUCAAUCUCAUGCCCUUUAGGCCAAAUAAUGGCCUAAUGGGCUCCAUAGAAUUAUAGCUCAGUAGUCAGUUGGAGAUGAAUUUUGAAUAAAUCAGGCCAAUUUUUUUGCUUUUAAACCUUUAGCCCUCUUCAUUGGAGAUGGCCUUAGUUGCAAAAUUCCUGCAUGCAUGUUACAGGCAUUUUAAAUAUCAUGAAUUAAUAGACCAUGUUAUUUACCAUAUAUGAUUGAGCAAAUACUCAAGGCUUGUGAGGAAUUUGUUAUUUUUUUCCGGUUACAUAUAUAGGCUUCAAAUUAUUCCCUUGAUCGUUAAGCUCUACCUCGCUUCAACUUUCAAGACCAUGUUUUGUGUCAUCUGUAGUUAAAUAAUGUUGCAUUAAGCAGGGUAAAAAUAAAAAAUAAAAAACCUGGAAUAUCAGAAAAAAUUGCUCGGGGAGUUCUUUGAGUUGUCUGCAUGCAGAAGAACACUUAACCGAAUUAGUCUGAACAGCCAUUAGAUGUCGAUAAGUAGGAGCCGCCGGUCAGUAGCAUGGCACACUACCACGACAACUAAUUGAAUUCCAAACAUAUAUAUGCAAAAAUAGUUUUAAUCAACUAUAGAGUUUCUCUUACAUAUAUAGAUUAUAUCAAACAGCCCAUCGCAUUAUUGGGAGUUCGAUACUUCUUCGGUGCUGACAGGCAUGGCAUAUUUUGUGGUUGCAUUAAUUUACUUCCUUUAGUUGGUGGGGUUGUUGAACCUAUUUCAGACAUCUUGAUCACUAAAAUCGACUAAAGUGUACACUAUUUCUCUACAAACAAAAACAAGGUCAAUUGAAGCUGGCUAAAGCUGAAAACUCGAGGAAAAUUAAAGGUGGGUGUGUUGAGAACUGGAGAAUGCUAAACCCUCUAUUUAUACUAGUUUGUUGUAGGCUUAUUUCCUUUCCCGAAAACAAAGUUCUAAAUAGGCUAGGAAAAAAUAUAAAAUCAAAAUCUUUCCAAACCAUAGUAGGAUAUAUGGCUAAAUCAUUACAGAGAAAGGCCCGACCAAAAUAUCCUACAGAGAAAGGGAGAAAAAAGAAAAAAAAAAAAAGCUUUUCCAACCAUAAUAUAGGUAUAGCUAUAAUCCCAGAUAGAAAGGGAGAACACAAAUAGUAAGAUAUGAGAACAAAUAUACAGUAUAUGAAUUCAAGGAGAAAAGGUAAGUUAGACGCCGUUUUAUGCUUUACUCUUUAGAUAUCGCAUUCCCUUUUUAUUCGCUUUUUCUUCCCUUCUCCGUUCUGGUUAAAGAGUGAACAUGAAGAAAUUAAUACUCAAAAGUUGAUCAAUUAUAUUCCAUAGACACGACUGAGAAAAUUGGAAUUGAACGUGUUGGGUUAAUCAGUGGAAGGUUUCUUAAUUGUCAAAAUGAUCAAUUUUUUGUUUACAUGGGAUGUAGAUUAAUAGUAUGUAAUGGGAAAAAGAUAUACACAUGUUUUCAAGAUUUCCGAAGUUUCCCUAUGGUAGCGUUUGGUACGAAGAUAGGAUGGAACAGGACCAACGGGAUGGAAUGGAACAAAAUAGAGGUUUCAUGCUACGUUUGGUACGCAUAUGAUGGAAUGGGACAAUCAUUCUAUUAUGUGUUUGGUACGCGUAGGAUGGAAUGGAACGAAGGACUAAAUGACAAACUCACCCAAGUUUCUUUGUUGACACCAUCGACUCAACCUCAUGGAUUACCUGCAAAACUUGGAUUUUCUACAACCAUAUAUAUGAAGGAUUUUCUGCACGACUUGGAUGAACUUCUCUCAAGAACAAUUUUUUUUACAACCCUAAAACUUGUUUGGUAUCUAACCUGGAAACUAUUUUAAAUCUUCAAAGAUUUAGGCUAUAUAACCCAAAAACUUGUUUGUACAAAACCAUUAGAUGGUAGUGGCUGAGGGAGGAUAUUAAGGUCAGGUCGGGAUCCGAGAAUCUUUACGACUUGAUUUGGAACUCUCAAUUUCACACUAAUACUAUGAAGUCGUGUUGUCUUCAGAUGGGUUUUGUUCACAUAUAUGGUGGUGGGUUGCUAAUUUCAAAUGUUGCCAUUGAAAUUGAGGAAGUUUGAAAUAAAGCUUUGGUAAUGGCGGAGAGGUGAUGUUAGGGCUUGUGGGUGAUUAGAGUGAGAGGACAGUGGGUCAGGGAUGGUGGAAGAAAAUAUCUCAUUUGCGAAAAGAUCCAUGUCACGGUCGUCAAAACAUCUCUCUCAGUCGCCGGAAACAUUAUUCUUGUCACCGCCACUUACUCUCAAUUGAUGUUUGGUGUCGUUGGCCUCGAUGCCAAGGUCCUGCAGAUAUUGUGAAGAAGAAAAAAAAAGGUGUAAUUAUUGAAAAAUAUAAGGGGCAUUGUUGUCUUAAAAUUUUAUAAUUUUGUGUUCCACGGGGUGGAACGAGUCAUUCCAGGAGGGGAGGUGAAACAUAAAUUUAACCAAAAUUCGUUUUGUAAGACAACGCGUCUCACUGUCUUUGGCUCACCAAACGUGGGACGAGCGCAUUCCGUCCCAUCUCACGUACCAAACGGUACCUAGGAUCAUAAUAGAAUUUUAAUUAAUUUAUAAAUAAUUCAUAUAUAAGAUUUGUUUGUCAAAGGUUGGUGACACGCCUCAACCUCGAUAUCCCCAAAUACUAGGAUAGGCAUGUAUUGGCCGACACCUGAGGGUGAUGAAGCCAUAUUAAACAUGCAUACAAAUAAAAUAGGUAAUUAGACAGAAAUAUGCCAAAGCAGAAACAUGUUUAGAGCAUACAACUAAUCAUGAAUAAUGUGAAAGAAUUACAAUAAAAGUGUAUGAAUAAAGGAAUGAGUUCUACUUUGAAAAGACUCGAAGAUACCUAAGCGGAAAUGCCCAGACGCUAGGAUUGUGUGCCUCAAUUCUAACUCCUGAAGGGGAUGCAAAACAAAAGAGUGAGUGGACCAAAAUUUAUAAUAAUAAUACUAGUAAUAAGAAAAUCAUUUUGUUUCUGAACAUACUAGCUCUUGUUUUGAGAAACAUUAUAUAAUACUACAGAAUAGGUUUUUUUUCCGAAAAAUCUAGCAUGCCAUGAAAAACAUUCAUAAAACACUUACAUAUAAGCCUGUACUCAGAUAUGGUAGUAUAGCUGCGCGAAGGUAAAUUCGUAAAACAUCUGUAAAUCACAUCAAUUAUGUACUCCACUAGGGGUAUCAUAGUCGCCCGAAGGCAUAACAUGUCCAUCACCCGAAGGUGAAGCUGUACGACACCCGAUUACGCCAGUGAAGGAACAUGGUAGGCCCUAUCACCCGAAGGUGAAGCUGUACGACUAUAGGUUACGCUAGAGAAGAAAAAUACCCAAAUAUACAUAACACAUCGACAGUAGCAGUGGCUAGUGAAGCUGUCCGGCACUGGUUUCGCCAGUGAAGUUGGGGGUAUGACAUAAAUAUCAACAAUUGUGUCCUAUGGCCAUAGACGUCUACAUACCCGUGUUGUGUGUAUAUAUUGUAUGAUAACCCACUACAUAAGUACCAAAACGUAUCUCAAAAACUCAUAACAAAUCUCCGGAGCUCAAGGGCUCAAAACAUCAAUUCAUAAACCAUGAUAAAUCAUAUUCAUAAAUUCAUAAUAUAAAUCAUAUUCGUAAUCUAGAGAAUUUCAAAUACAGAAAACCAAUAAUUCAUAACCUUUCGUAAAACAUAAAUUCGAUAAAUCAUAAAUAACGCAUAAAACGUAAGAUUAUGAAAUCAUGCUUUUCGUGAAUGCAUGCCUAAUAUUUUAUAAAACAUGCAAGUUAAGAAGGGGUCCACUCACAGAUAUUCAAUUCUAGGAAAGCCGGUCAAACUAGGGAUGAUAGAAUCACUUCCAAUUGAUGCACCUAAACACAAAUGGAGAUCGUUUAAUAAAACUCUACUAAAACGAUAGAAUUUGGGGAAACGAACAACGGAUUUGGAUUUGGCACGUCGAAAAACCUAAGAAGGGACAUCGGGUUCCCUAACGCGCCAUUGCACGCGCAUAGAUGGUCACUAGAAAGUUUGUCAAAAAAGUCAUUGAUGCCGCCAUGGACGACGGCGGAGCACAGUACCUUCGAUGGAGGCGCGUGUGCUUCAUGCGCCGGCCAUAGCAGCGUCCACGCAUGGCCUAUGAGCUGACCGUGGAAACUGUGUUUCAGGCUCAGGUCGAAUCUGGGCUUAGGUUACUCGGUUAGGCCGAGUUAUAGGGUUGGGCCUUAGUUAAUGGAUUGGAUUUUGGGUCGAGGAUUUGGACCAGAUUUCAUAUUGGAUUUGGGUCUGGUUUUGGGUUGUGGGUCGGGUUGACCCGAUUGGGCUCGGGGCUCACUGGACCCAACGAAGGAGAAUCAGAAUUCUAGGGAUUUUGGCCAAGAAACUUCCUCGGCUCUGAUUUGGGGUUAAAUCUUAACCAUUUCCCACGUUCUACUUACCCUAAGUCAGCAGUGGCCGGAGUUGGCCAGAAUUUGGCUUUCAAGCUAUCUGAUUUAUUGCCAAAAACUAGAGAUUCUAAGAACACAAGCAUGCAUGAAUAAUUAGUCCCAAACUCAACCCUAAUUCAUCAUGAGCAUCUCACGAACAUCGAAAAGAGAAAGGAUCGCAGGCAUCCCGAGUCUUACCUAGGUCGAAGUUGUUAAGAACCUUUAUUGUUCUUGCAUAGCGAUCACAAACUCGAGGGAGAGAAAUAGGGAGAGAAGAUGGUGGUGGUCUGGAGGGUUCAAGUGGUAUAAAGGCUUGCCAAAGAGGCGACGUGAUGUGGUGGUGGUGUUGUGUGUGUGUUGCUUGGAAAGAAUGAGAGAAUGAUAGAGAGAUGAGGGAGAGAUUUCAAGAGAGUUCGAGAGCAUCGGGGGAGAAAACAUGGGGAAGGAGGGAAAGUGGGGUGAACAUGGGGAAGGAGGGAAAGUGGGGUGUGGGCCCCACAGCUCACAAAAAGCAUACACAAGAAUAUCCCCAACAUAAAAUUACCAAAUUGCCCUUCACGUUCGUGAGUCCGUAAAAUCUCCAUCUUAGCACCAAUUUCAAUUUCCCUUAUGCCCAUGUAUUCGUAGUGACGAGUACUACAAGGACAUGCCAAGGAAAAGAACCUUACGUGAUACAACAAGGUAGUCAACAAAAGUCAACGUUUUGCCUUGAAGGGCAUUUUCGUAAUUUCACGCUUAUAAAACUGAAAUAUUUGGGGACAGGUCGUUACAGUGGGCACAGUCUGAUUUAAACAUGUUUCGCACCUAAACUAGUGACCCAACCAAUUAUUAAAUGAUGGAUCAUUUUUGUUCCAUUUUAAAUAAAUCUGGGUGAAAUUAAAUCAAACCAAACCAAAUAUUUGUGUCCAAGUCCAAUCCUUUUUUUCUUUUGCAAUUUUGUUGUUAGUACAUAGGCCAACAUGUACAUGUGAAGAAAAUACGAAUACAAUAAGAAAGGGAUGUUCGGUUGUGAUUUGUAUAGGAUCAAAAUCAUGGUUUUAUCGUUUGGUUCGAUUUUGAGACCGUUUGAAUUGUUGAUGAUCAAUACCGAACCAAAUUGCUCCUUACAAUUUGAACCGAUCAGUUUGAUCCUCACUCCUACAUACAUGUGCAAAAUAUAAAUAAACCAGAAACAGAAAUAAAAAAGAAGGAAUUUCGUCUUUAUUACUUUGUAUUAUGUAUAUUCUGUCAAAUAUAAUCAUUUAAAUUGGGAAAGCUAAUGAACCUUUUUUUUACAGCUUACACAACUUAUCCAAGGAAACAAUGCAGCAUCCUGUACUUAUUCACUGUCAAGAAGAUUAAAUAUAAAUUAAACGUUGUGGAAUAAAAAUCUAAUUAACUUUUGCAGGUUCUGUUGGAUUCGAACCGCCGGGUGGGGCAGGAGCCUUCAGCAGUACUUGCCUGAUAAUCAGAUCCUCAAUAGGGAAGUCCUGAUUAUGCAAAACAUCCUUCUUCACCGUCAUCAACUUGUCUUUCCCAUGAUACAACACUCUGCAGGCCUCAUUCGACUGCGUGUUCACAAGAAAAACCACUACCAUUGCCACCAAAAGUAUAUUUAAAAACUUCAUGUUGUUCCUUGUUUGUCAAACAAUGACUUUAUUAAUUUGCUCUUUUUUUCUUCUCUUUUCUUCUCAAGCUGUAUGCAAUGCAAAUAAAAGAUGGAAAUCGGAAGGAUUGAGUUGCAAUGAAUAAUAAGUGGGGGGAUAUUUUAUAGGGCUUGCUAGCUCUGCUAUUAUAUAUAUAUGAAAUAUUGUGGACUAACAGAACUGAUAUUAUACGACUUGAAAUUUUCAAUAACAUUUACCGAGCUAUAUUUAUAUGUUUUGACCAUUGACGGUCGUUUCAAAAUGUUAGAAAUUGAAUAGUAAACCGAGUGAGAAAUUUGGGAAUUGAUCAAAUUCAUUUGCUUCCUUGGCAAACUGAUGAGAACUGAGAACUAAAGGAUAUGGUGGGGAAGCGUUUACAAAGACCUUUGAAAGUUUGUAGUAUUGGGUGUGCUAACCUUUUACACGGCAUGAAUAUAAAAAAGUUGAAUUUUAUCGUGAUCGCUGAAGUCCCAUUUGACCUUAAAUUAAUGUCAUGCAUGAUAUAAAGAAUGACUAGAUUAGUUUCUAUUAUGAUUUGGUGUAAUAAACACUCUCACGAGGGAAUGCACAUACCAUACUUUUUUUCAAAUACCGUAUUUUCAUUAUACAAAUUUUAUAAUCUUAACGCUAAAAUUGUUGUGGUAGAUAAGAUGAUGUCUUGUACUUUUUAUUUAAUUGAUAACAUGCUUUGAUCGUGGUAGAACUUCAAACUUUUCAUCAUGUCCAGAAUAGUAACGGGCACAAUGUCCGUGGUAGAUUGCAAUCAACCACGGGCAUUCACCGUGAUAGAUGUGGGUUUUUCUUCUUGUAUAUAUAUGUGUAAUGCUAGAGAGAGCAAAUUACUAAGCCAAAUGGUGUGAAUGUGGAUGUGGAUGAUUAGAUUAUAACUUAAGCGUUGAUUAACGUGCUUAUUUCAUGUCGGUGACACAUCAUUUGUUUGCAACUAGAAGAAAAAAAGCUCAUCUAUAAUGGUUGAUGCCCAUGGUAGAUUGCAAUCCACCACGAACAAUGUGCCCGUUAGUAAUCUGGAUGUGAUAAAAAGUCAUAGUUUCAACUACAGGCUAUGCUCGUUGUCUAAUGUGAUGCAACCACGGAACCACGGAUUGUGCCCGUGGUAGAUUAAAAUCUAACACCACGUGCACUAUAGACGUUGUGGAUUCCAAAUUGACCAAAAACAAUGCCCGUUAUAAAACAAUUCCCAAAAAUUAAAAAAAAAAUUCAAUAAAAAUUAUAUAUAUAAAUAUUUAUAUACAAAUUGCAUAUUUACUACAAUAUAACGAUUACAUAAAAAAUCAUAGAUUAAAAUUUCAAUUAUUACAAGCUGUACACUAAAACUAAUAACAAACCAAUGAGUUAUACUAAGAAAUACCAAACCAUCCAAGAAGUAUCAAAUAGGCCAUAACAAGGACAUUGUCGCUUGAACACUUCAGAUUUCUUUGAAUACCUCCAAACAAAAGGGCCUUGAGAGUGAAAUACUGCCCCUAAUGCUUGACCCUUAACAAUUGUUGCCUCUCUCUAUCUACGUGGACAUAAGCAUAUGGAUCAAAAGAAAGAAAGUCAAAAGUUAACUAGCUUGUAGAGAUAUAUGAAUCUCCAAUAGUCCAAAUAAGAAGCCAAAAAUUAACCAGUAAAGAAUCGAACAGAUAUACAGACCUAACUCUAACAAGAGCAUGUAGUGCAAAAUUAGAAUUGCAUAUACAGUGAAUGAAGUAAAUACAGAGCUUAACUUACAAUCAUCAAUUCUCAGGUUUCUAGGUAUUCCUCUCAACUGCUCUGCCUCUAAAACUAGAAUUUCAUGUACAGUUUUUGCCUCUAAACCUUUCUAUUCAUGCAUCCCUCUAAAACUACAUAUAUUUAUGCAAACAUAUACUAUACAAGAUUAACCAAAUCAAUACCAUAAACAGAGACUUUUUUGUUUUUAAUAAACCAUAAACAUUAGUAACCAAACCAAUACUAUAAACUAAAUCAUUAAUUAGCCCAAAAAUUAAUAUGAAAUUCUUACCUUGUCUGCAAGUUCUUUGUACAAAUAGAAACUGGAAACUGCAAAGCAAAGAAACCACGGCUUAAGAAUGAAACAUCACUCAAAAUUUAUAUUAAAAAAAACUUAAAACAUAUAAAAAGUUAAAAACUACCUGUGGAGAAGAGGGCUAGCAUGUCUCAAAUCUAGAGUCUUGAAAUAUUAAUUUCAUUAGAUUACUAAUUCAAGACGGACUGACGAUAACGAUUGAUUUUUAUUUUCCAUAUUCAACACCAGAAUUUCAUAACUUUUUCUCCAAAGGCUGCCCACUAAUUAAAGUUUUCAAGUAAACAAUUGGUGAUAAAAUCAAACUCCACAAACUAAAAUUAUAAGCAUGAAUAAGCAUUGAGUUUGGUAUGAUUAAAGACCAAGAAGGGGAAAUUAGAAUCACAAUUUGGGAUGGAAUUCAAGAAACACAAUUCCAAAAAGAGUAUAAUCAGAAUCACACUUAAGGAGUUGGGAGUCAAAAUUGUCUAAAUAAUAUCAUUAAAUUCAGAUAACAACGAAAAAAAAAAAAAAACCAAGCACUCUGAUUGGAUUGCAGAAACAAGCAUGCAAUUAAAAAACUAGUGCAGCCCUCAGUCUCUCAGUUUUCAAACUCCUUAACCCCUUCAAUGCUCACCAUUCGAAACCCCAAAACACACAUUUUCAUAGAGAAAGCCAUAAAUCCAACUCCAUCUCUCUGGUUUUGAAACCCUAGCCCAAUCCCCGAUCCCUAAUCUUUCGAUUUUAAAACUUGAGAUCAAAAUCACCAAAAUGGAGAACUUGAAAUCAAAAUCGAAGAAGUAAUACCUUCAACGAAAUUUGGACAUAUGUAAAUCAAAAUCAAAUUUAAAUUCAAGUUCGAAAUCGAACUCAACUGGAAUCAGAUCGAAGCAAAAUCUAAUAAACAAUAGCAAUUUGAGAAAUCAAAAUUAAAGAAAUAUACCGAGCGCACACCUGAAGAAGUUAUAACAUAGAAAGAAAGAAUCACAAUUUCAUCAAUGGUGGAGAUUCGCCGCCCAGAAUUUAAUCGAUCUCAGAGAUCGAUUCCUAUUCCGCCACCGCCUCUGAAAUCCACCGAGAUAUACACCAGCGAGAUCUCGUGCUCUCUAGUUGGAGACGAAGACGAAGAUCCUAUAGAUUGGGAAUACCUGACAUGCCCAAAGAAAUAGAAAAAAAAAUUAGGGUUCGAAUAGUGUAUACGAACAAGGCAAAGAAAUGAGUAGUUUGGGGUCGGAGUAAUUGUCGACAUAAGAAUAGGGGGUGAGACCUAGUGGUUGGCAGUGUCUGAUAUGAAAACGGUAAAUAGGUUUCAUUGAGAUCUGAAAUUUGAGUGUGUAUUCUUAUACUGGUUGAUUAAAAAAAUGAAAAAUUAUAAUUAUAACGACAGUACUUACAGUUUGUGGUAGAUUUAAAAUGUCGCUGUUGUCAAAAUUUUUGUAACCACAGACAUGCCUCGUGAUAAUAUAUAGCCAAACCACAAUGGGCUUUAAACACAUGUUGCUUCAACACCUUCAGUCACUGAUCACUCUACGCCUGUUGUUAAACUAAUUUAUUUACCACGAACUUCAAACGUCUGUCAUUAAAUUGGACUUUUUAUAACGGACUUCUUAUGUCCAUGGACAAUCAGCCAUGGUAGAUAUGGUGCUGUGGCGUAUAAAUUUGGUCCCUAGCAUUAUCUAUAGUUAACUGCUAUUAACCAUCCCAACUAAUCACCUCAUAGGAUGGUGACACGUGGCAUACACAAAGUGAUCACAUUUGUCACUUAAUGUUAUAACCCAAAAAAAGACGUGCGUCACUUAAUACAUUCCAUAUAUAUAUAUUUGGGAGUUUUAACAAAAAGCCCACGGUACUGUUCAUUUUAAAGAAAAAUCACAUUUUUACACUAAAAAGUCAAACCUGAUACUAUUUACUUUACCCUUUAUUUUGUCCUUAUCGUUAAAACUCAAAGUUUUCAAGCAUUUUUCAUUAGUUUUCCUUUUGCAUGUAAAUUUUCUUGAUGAUUAUUAUUUUUUAAAUGAUGCAAAACGUUAAUAAGUUUAAAUCAAACUCAACGGGGAGGAGCGUAUGAAUUAACACCAAAACCAUGGAUCCAACUAACAGCUAGCGCGCGCCAACUGUUUGAUAUAUAUUUUGAAUUUGAUGCUCCACAGUCCACAGGCAUAUAGUUCAUGAUAUUGCAUGACAUUGUAAAACAAACAAAACGUUCAUAUGUUAUUGCAUGACUCACGUUAUUAAUGCAUACUAAUUUCAGAUAUCAUGUAAUGUUAGACACUGUCAUACACCAUGCACUUUUUGUGAACUGAAAUAUUUAGUUGAAAGGAUUGGUGUUGGCUUCAAAUUGUGAAUGGCACUGUUUAGUUGAAAGGGUUUUUUUCUCCGGCACGAGUUAUUUUAUCAGUGUAACAGUUACACCGUCACAUGGUAUUACCUAUCCAUUCAUGUUGUAAUGAGUGGAAUGCUAAAUAACACUAAGUGAUGGCGAAACCGUCUCACUUUAAAAUUAGACUAAAAAAGGUGCCUUAAUUUCAAACCAGAUAUGUAGAGCUUUCACUCUAACACAAACACACACAUUUGUGGUAUAAUACUUAUGUAUAUCUCUAUGCAAAACACUGUCAGAGGUGUUUGUAGACCAGGUAAUAUAUUUUCGCAAUUUUAUAGUUUAAUUUCUGGUCAACAAAAUGGUGUUUGAUUUUAAACUCACUGUUAAAUUAAAAGGUAACAAACCCAUGCUAGAGCUACAGAUGCACACAGGCACAAAAAGAAAUUAAUAAAUAUAUAUAAUUUUCUCUGUACUUCGUAUUAUUCAGUCAAUUUCAUACACAUUAGGAACCUAAUACACUUUUUUUUUUACAUUCUUACACAUCUUAUAUAAGAAAAAAAAAAAAAAAAACCCUAAACUGCAGGCAUUUUCCUGUACUUAUUCACUGCUAAGAAAAUAUAUCAAAUGUUUAAAAGGGGUUAAAAAUUAAUUCUGCUAGUGCUUUUCGUUGAUGGUUGCAGAGUCUUUGGAAUUGGUACUACUUCAAGGUUUAGUUGGAUUAGGACCUCCGGGAGGGACAGUGCCCCUAAGUAUUUGCCUGAUCAAAGGGAAGAAGGGACGAUCCAUCUGAUGCAAAACAUCAUUCUUCAUCUGAUGCAUAAACUUUUCUUCUCCAUGCAACACUCUGCAGGCUUCGGACGAUUGCAUGUUCAUAAGAAAAACCACAAAAAACACUGCCACCAAAAACAUUUUUAGAAACUUCAUUUUGUUGGGCAGACAAAGAUUAUUUUGCUUCUUUAUUCUGUGGAAGAAGAAGGAAUGAAUGAAUGAAGAUAAAGAUAAAGGUUUGUUGGAAACUAGAUUUUGCUUCUUUUGUCUGUCUGAAAAAUAGAAAGGAUUGAAGUAAUGAAUGAAUUGAAGGAAUGAAUAGAUGGGGAAUACGGGGGCCUCUUUUAUAGGCAUCAAUUAAGACCAACUUUCAUUUGACUUUGAUUUUUAUAAAUCUAUUUGUUUGUUUUGACUUGGAAUUGAAUGGGUCGUCAUACCCGCAAGGGCUUUGGUUUUAACUUUUGAAUUGAAUGGGUCGUCAUACCCGCAAGGGCUUUAGUUUUAACUUUGAAUUGAAUGGGUCGUCAUACCCGCAAGGGCUUUGGUUUUAUGGCUUCACCAUAUUGUGGGCCUAUAACAAAUCAAGGCUAAUUAAUAAAACACAAUCGUUCUUUUUACUCUUAAGUUGAGCUAUAGCCUGUUUGUUUUUUUUUUUUUUGGAAACGAGCUAUAGCUUUGUUUACUUAAUUAAUCUAGACAGUAAAACCUCUAUAUAGUCAUCAUGUUAGAACCAAGAGAAUUUUAUAACUUUAGGGACGUUAUUACUUAAUAGAGGUGUAGCUAAAAAAUAUUAUUAGUGGAGUACGUCAAUUUCUAAGAUGUAACAUUGAAAAAAGAAAGACACUCAAUCUUUAAAAUCUAGUGCAUGUUGUAUGUAGUACUCUCUUUAAGUUUAAUGCUUAUCGGAAACAUGCUUGAGAAGCUAGAAACAGUCCAUUUGACGAGAUAUUACGUACUUGCAAGCUCAAAAGCAUGAUAUAAACUUUAAAAAAAUAAUACAUUGUCUCAAACAAUUAUAGAGAAAUAUUUUAGUUCAUCUUAAACUUGUAUUUGUAGCGUUGCAUAUUUUUGUACUUAUUAAUAAUUAUUACUACAUGGGGGUGAGGUCUUAAUACGUGACCUAUAAAAAUCAUCUUAUUAUAAUGCGGAGUUUAUUCUUUACAUAUAUAACUGAGUGCAAGUUGGGACCAUAAAUUUUUAUCACAAUUAAGGAGGUUAUUCCUAUAUAGAGUAUUAUGAUAAAGAAGUUUUACUGUAUAUUUUGUAAUUAAGUUGUCCUGGUUCAAUUUUUUUUUAUUAACAUUACUAAUGGUAUAGAGGUAUUUUGACCAACUCUUGUCGAGUUUUUUCACUAUUUUCUUGAAUCGCAAUUUUGAACAGAAAUUGGAGUUUUUGCAUGCAAGUAAAAGCGUGUAUAAGGCCUUUGAAGUUUGAACGUUGACUAUUUUAAUUGAAGUUUUAGUUGUCAGCUACGGUGUUGGUGUGUGCUAACCACAUAUAUGUUAACGUAUACUGAAAUCCGAAUCUGUAGUGAAUACUCAAACAAGAAAAGGAGAAGAAAGAAGAGUUCUAGAGAGAGACUGAAUGUUUAGAGAGAGAAACUUAUGUAUUGAUCUGACUUGAAGAUUACAGUAAUUCCAUUACAUCUUAUAUAGUUUGCACUACUUACAUCAGUAACUAUAUCAGUUAGUUAUAACACCUUUAACCAACAUAACCACCAAUAGUCUAUUAGCUAAGCUGAUGUGGCAUUGCCAGCUGUUAUUACUGUCAACAUCCCCCCUCAAUCUAAGCUUGGGGUGACAAGCUUCAGAUUGUAACAAUGUCUGAUGAAUGCAGGACUGUGAAGACCCUUUGUUAGAACAUCGGUAGUUUGCUCGUCAGUAGGAACAUAGGCCACUGCAAGAUCUCCUUUUUAUACCUUCUCCCUUACAAAAUGAUAAUCGGUAUCCAAAUGUUUUAUUCUUGAGUGAAACACUGGAUUCGAACUUAAUGCAAUAGCUGACAUGGUAUCACAAUUAAUAACAGGUGGUUGAAGUAAAACACACUUCAAAUCUAUCAAAAUUUGUCUAACCCAAGCUAUAUCAGCAGCUGUAUGAGCAAGGGCUUUGUAUUCAGCUUUUGUAGAACUUCUAGAUAAUGAAGUUUGUUUAUUUAAUUGCCACGAAAUAGGAUUUUCUCCAAGAAAAACAAUAUAUCCAAUCACUGAUCUUAUGGUAUUAAGAUCCGCAGCCCAAUCAGAAUCAGAGAAAGCCGUGAGAUGCAUCUGUGAUUGUGAAGAAUAGACUAUACCAUGUUGCAUCGUACCAUGAAGGUAUCUAAGAAUCCUUUUUACAGCACCAAAAUGAACCUCAGUUAGUGAAUGCAUGUGUUGACAUACUGUAUUCACAGCAAACACAAUAUCCCGUCUAGUAAACGUAUGAUACUGCAAGGAACCAACAAUGCUUCUGUAUGAACAAGGAUCUGAAAGUAACACUCCUUCUGUCACCAUCAUUUGAUUAUGUGGUCUAUAUGGUGUAUUGGCAGGCUUGCAAGAAUCCAUACAUGCCUUAUGAAGUAAAUCCUUUAUGUAUUUCGACUGAUUUACAAAAAUGUCUCCAUUUGGUUUAUAUUGAAUCUAUAAAACAAGGAAAUAUGUCAGCUUCCCCAAAUCUUUCAAGUCAAACACAAAAGAGAGCUCUUGAACUAUGAGUUGUACUUUAGUCACACAUGAUCUAGUCAAUAUUAUAUCAUCAACAUAGAGCAAUAAUAUGAUGAUAUCAUUGUUAUCAGUUUUGAUAAACAAACUAGUAUCAGAUACUGAUGUAGUAAACCCCAUUAUCACCAAGUAGCUUGUAAAUUUUGAAUUCCAAGCCCUUGGGGCUUGUUUGAGUCCAUAUAGUGACUUGAGGAGUUUGCAUGCAUAAUUGGGAUGACUUGAAUCAACAAACCCUUGUGGCUGUUUCACAUAAACUUCUUCUUGUAGCUCACCAUGCAGAAAUGCAUUCUUGACAUCAAGUUGUUUCAAUUCCCAUUUAUUCAUUGCAGCCAAAGCAAGAAUGAGUCUUACAGUUGUAUGUCUCACAACUGGACCAAAAGUAUCUGAAUAAUCUACACCAUGCUCUUGAGAAAACCCUUGAGCAACUAGUCUUGCUUUAUACCUUGAUACAGUACCAUCAGGAUUUCUUUUCACCUUAUACACCCAUUUGCUUCCUAUUAUUAAUCUAUGAUCUGGUGCAGGUACUAAAUUCCAAGUACCUUGAAUUCGAAGUGAAUCAUACUCCUCUUGCAUUGCUUGUUACCAAUGUGAAAUAGAUGUUGCUUGUCUAAAACAUGUAGGUUCUAAUGAAUCUGCAAUCUCUGAAAUAAAAGAGAAACCUCCCACAAAAGGAUCAUCAUUUGUUAUCUACAAGGUGUUUAACUCUGGGAACGUUGCAAUUAAGGCUGUAUAAUUUUUCUUUUGGAUGGCACCAAACUUCAACCUUGUCACCAUUGAAUGUUCAUUACCAUUUUGUGCUUGAAUAUCAUGUGGUACAAUUGCUUGAGAAAUUGGUAAAAUUACCUCCAGUUGUGAAGAAUCGUGAACUGGUAACAUAGAUAACCUUGAAUCUGUAGGACUUGAGUAAUGAUGGUGAGGAGAUGAAACCUAAGUAUCAGAAUGCUGACUUACUGCAGACUCUGAAGGUUGAGACAUUGCCAUAUCAGAAUUUCCUGAAGCUACUGGAUCUGAGCCUUGAGAAUGUGAAAGGACUUCUAUAGCUUGUGCAGAUCCUCUAUCUUGGUGCACUGAAGAUGGAGUAAUCGUAUCCCUUGGUAAUUGAAUCGUAAUAGGCCUUGAAUGUUGGAAAGAUGAAGAACUAGACUGUUGUACCUUUGACACGUGUAUAUUCCAAUAAGGAAAUAUCUCUUCAUCAUGUACAACAUGUCUAGGAAGGAUUAAUUUCCCUGAACCAAUGUUAUAACAUAUUACUCCCUUAUAUCCCAUCAUAUAUCCCAAAAAUACACAUUGAGUUGUUCUUGGUUCAAGUUUAUUUGCAUUAUAAUGCCUCAUGAAUGGAUACACUGUAGGCCCAAAAAUCUUCAAAUUUUGAACAUCAGGUUCUUGUCCAAUUAACACCUGAUAUGGUGAUUUCAUAUGCAAUAUUCUACAUGGCAUUCUGUUUAUUAGAAAUGCAGCAUGUGAACAUUCAUGAAACCAAAACUGAGCUGGUAACUUUGCUUCUUUCAUGAGUGUUACUGCAGUCUCAACCACUUGUCUGUGUUUCCUCUUAGCAAGUCCAUUUUGCUGAGGGGUAUAAGGACAUGAAAUCAUGUGUUUUAUACCCUUUGUAUCCAAAAAAUCAACAAACAUUCUACUUGUAUACUCUCCCCCUCCAUCAGAUUGUAAACACUUAAGUGAAGCACUGAAUUGAGUUUGUAUAAAAGCACAAAACUUAACAAAUAUGGAAACACUUCAGACUUGUUAUUCAUUAGAAAAAUCCACAAAAAUCUUGAAUAUUCAUCUACAAAGCUCACAUAGUAUCUAUAACCCUAUACAGACACCUUUGGAGAUGGCCCUCAUACCUCAGUGUGAACUUUCUCAAACAAAACAUGUAGUAAUAUUUUGUCUUACUGGAAACGACUGUCUUCUCAUUUUACCACUCAUACAAGAAGAACAUAUGGACUCACAACUAUCUACUUUGACACUAUUAUUAAACUUCUUCAGCAUUGCAGCAAGCACCUCUUCUGACGGAUGACCUAACCGCUUAUGCCACCUCGACACUUGAAUCUUCUUUCCAAUAAAGCCAGCAUAACGCUCAACUUUGCAGCAAAAGACUUUGCAAAGACAUUGACUGAAAUUGAAAACAGCUCCCCAUCAUCACUUGUCCCUGUGUACAGUAUCUUCCUUGUUGCCUUGUCCUGUAUGAAGAAGACAAUAUCAUCACAUAUAAACCAACAUCCAUUAUCUCUGCAUAACUUCUUAACAGAAAGUAAAUUCACAGUGAUUUUAGGUACACAAAGCACAUUUUUUAACAUAAAAAACUGUUUAGAAAUAGGGAUGCUUGUGGAACCAAUAUGUGUUACUUCUAAUCCUGUACCAUUCCCAAUUGUAAUGGUUCCAUCACCAAUAUAAGGAAUAACAUGAUUAAGAUGAUUUAAAUUUGCAGUCAUGUGAUGAGUUGCACCUGAAUCCAAUAUCCAGUUUUCUUCAGCUGUAAAACCAACACUAGAUCCUUCAGUUUGAGUUACAUUGGCUUGAGCUAUCAUAGCUGCAAUCGAUGGUGGUGGUGGAGGAUUUCCCUGAUAUGCAAAGUUGUUUCUGUGAAAGCAUUCAAGAGCUAUAUGCCCCAUUUUUCCACAUAUCUGACAAAUUACAGAACUAGAAUAAUGUGAACCUCCACUCUCAGCUCUAUAGUAGCAGUGUGGUGCAGUGUGUCCCCUUCUCAAACAUAUUUGGCAUUCAGGUGAUACUGAGUACUUAAAGUUGGUAUUCCCAUUCCAAUUGGACUUAUAAUUGCCAUGGCCAGCAGAUGAAUUAGUUGAGGUGAAACCAUUACUUGCAGAUUCAUAUCAUGCAACACUCUUACCACUUCCAGAGUAACCAUUAUUCCCAUUUUUGUUAUUAGAUCCGGAUGAAAACCUGGAAUUGUGAUUCCCACCUCCAAAUUUUCUAUUAUUAAAAUUUCCUCUCUGUGGAGACUGAAAACCUCUACUACCAUUACCAUUUCCAAUUCCUGAAAAACCAUUUCCUCCUUGAAAAUUGCUACCAAACUGAUCAUUAAAACCAUUUCCUCUCUGAAAGUUGUUACCGAAUUGAUCAUUACUGAGACUAACCUGAGACCUCUGAGAAUUGGAACUCUCACCAUGUUCAUACCCUUGAAAGCCUUUUAAACCUAAUCCUUCACCUUGAACAACCAUGGCAGACAUAGAACUAGAUAAAGAAUGCAUUCUAGAUUCAAUACUGCCUUCUGCUACAAGCAAUUGUGCUCGAAAAUCUUUGAUAGACAUAGGAGAAUCUCUUGCCAAUAUGACUGUCUUAAUCAUCUCAAAGUUAGCAGGCAAACCAGAAAGAACAGCAAUGAUGAAAUCAUUAUCAGUAACCUUUUCUCCUGCAGAUACCAAUUGAUCCCUUAUCCUUUUUAGUCUCAUUAAGAAUUUAUCAACCGAAUCACCACCUUUCUGAGCAGUAUGCAAUUCAGUUUUAAGUUGAUUCACACGAACCAUUGAGACAAAGGCAAAUCUUUCUUGCAAACAUUUCCAAGCUUCAUAAGAUGUUUUACAUCCAAUCACAUGUUUCAUAGCAUCAUCCGAAAGAGUUGCAAUUAGCAAACUUAACAAAGCUAGAUCAUUUUUUUCACCCAAUCUUUGUAAGCAGCAUUAAUUUCAUUUGUGACCCCAGAUUUUGUAUCAAUCACAUACUUAGGUGGACAUGGUGCUUCUCCAGUGAAGAAAUCAAACAAAUCAUACCCCCUCAACACAGAUGAAAAUUGAUAACUCCAUUUCACAAAAUUAUCAUCUUGCAACUUUACUGUCAACAUCCCUAACAUAUUCACAAUUCUAACAUUAGAUUCAGCCAUCUUCACACACUAAAGAUUAUCAAAAGUACAACCCAAGAUUUCAAACAACAAGUUGUAUAACCACAGAAAUCAAGAAAUACACCUUUCUUAGGCAAUCAGCCUUUAAUGAAGAAAGAGAACAGAAUUGCACAAGAACUACACUCUGGUAAUCGGCCUUAAUGGAGUUGCACCCAAUAACAACAAACAACAAACUUCGCAAGAAAGUUACUCCGGCUAUCGGCCUUAUGGAGGAAACUAACAGUUUACACCGAGAUAAUGGCUUCGGCCUUAUAUCUCAAAUCAAGAUUGCAGAAAGAUGGCAUCAGCCUUGUUUACUUUCGCACAAAAUUCAACAAACCCAGAAGAAAUAACCUUGAGACAUUUUCACAAACAGAUAGAGUGCAGAAAACAUACUGUACUUUCAAGAAACACCAAGCCUCCGACUGAACGCACAACACUGAUUAAGCCUCACGAAUUCGAGACUGUCACCAAGAAAGAUCUCCGGCAACAACCACCAUGAGCAGAAGAUGAUAGCCACCAAGGAACGUACACGGCGAUGAUACCAUGUUAACGUAUACUGAAAUCCGAAUAUGUAGUGAAUACUCGAACAAGAAAAUGAGAAGAAAGAAGAGUUCUAGAGAGAGAAACUUAUGUAUUGAUCUGACUUGAAGAUUACAGUAAUUCCAUUACAUCUUAUAUAGUUUGCACUACUUACAUCAGUAAGUAUAUCAGUUAGUUAUAACAGCUCUAACCAACAUAACCACCAAUAGUCUAUUAGCUAAGCUGAUGUGGCAUUGCUAGCUGUUAUUAUUGUCAACAAUAUAUACAUUACACACACAGAAAUUGAAUCAUAUUGUGAGACUCAAGUCUUAUUUGACGUGAAAUGUUUCCGAGCUAUGUUUAUUUAAUUAAUUAAGACAUCUCUAAAACUAAUUAAGACUUCUCUAAUCAGUGACGGAUUCAGGAUUUUAAACUCGAGGGGUCUCAUUAAUAAAGGUCAAAAAAUUUAUAGACAAAAUUAACAUUGAAAAGUUAAAUAUAAUAUAUUUCAUUCAAAAAUCAUACGCAAAACAAUAUUACAAGCUAUAAAAUCCUAAUUCAAGCGUCCCCAACAGGGUUUUAUAGUCUAAAAUAUUCUAUGAUAGCUUCAUUACCAAUACAUGAAAAACAUCUUUCUCAAUGUAAACAACUAAGCUGUCACUCAACCAUCUUUCUCAAUGAACAAAUAGAUGGUGCUAUUGGUUUUGGCUUGAAAAAUCUCUUCAUAUUUUUUAUUUCUAAACUACACAUUUAACAAAAAAAAAAAAAAACACAAACCAUAUACCAAUUAACAAACAUAUCAAAUGAGUAUACAAACAUAUCAACAAACAUAUCAACAAUCAUAUCAACAAUCAUAUCAACAAUCAUAUCAAUAAUAGACUAAACGUCUCGAUCAAUAUCUAAUAUAAUUUAAUUAAGAUUAGAUCAUAAUACUAAACAAUUUACUUGACUUUUGAACCAAAUGGUGGUGGCCUGGAUAUUUGAAACAAGUGAAUGUAUGAUUUUGGAGUAAUAAAAUUAUAAUAUGGGAUUGGAUGGAAUUUAGAAUUUUAGGGUUUUGAAAUCUGGGGAGCUGGGGAUUGGAAUUUGGGUGAAUAUGUUAAAGUUGGGCAUUGGGGGAAGCAUAUGAGCGGGGAAUGGUGGGACUGUGGGGAUAGGUGUGGGUUGGGAUUUAAAACAAUAUGGACAAACGACAUACCUUGUUUUAGGCCAAUUGUUAAAAAGGGUCAUAUAUUCUUUCUUCUCCUCGAGCGAUUGUCUUCUCCGAAAAGAAGACGCCACUGCAACUUGCAACCUGCACAUCAUAGACCUCGUGUUCGAGUACGAAACGUCCCCGAAAAAUUUCUAGCAGCGAUUUAGGGUCGUCGAGGGGUCCUAGGACCUUCUAGGUCCCUCUGUAGAUCCGUUACUGUCUCUAAUUCACUAGCCAAAGCUUAGUAUUGUCUUUUCUCUUAGUUUUAUUAUAGAACAAAAUUGAAUAAGAAUAAGUCAUGAUGUCCAGAACGGCUAUCUCUAUUAUAAAAAAAUUAUCGUCAGUGAAAUUUGAACUCAUAAUACCACAUACUUAUUCUUCAGUUAUAGCACGAAAAAAAAUAAAAGAUCUCAGUCCUCGAAAUGAGGGAUUAGGGUUUUGGAAAGUCAAUGCAUCGUUUCGUCUUCUAGGGUUUGGGUUUGCACAGAAGACGAUUGCACGGGGUAGAAAGCAAGUGUGAGUAGGGUUUUGGGUUUGGCUUCUGCGUGCAUUGGCUGGCUUUAGGACUUCUAAUGUUUAACGGUGUCUCGGAAAAUAUGGGUGAACCAGACUUGAUUGGUAACAUGGAGGAACUAGGGAUUAAGUUAGGGUCCAAUCUAAAGCUGUCAGAGAAUGAGCGGAAGGGGAUUGGAAGGAAGGAUUUUGAAGAGGCUCUGAUUGGUUUUCAUUUUUGUGCUGUCGCUGAGGUUCUCACAAAAAAUGAGGUGCAUAAGGAUGCGUUUAUUGAUAGAUUUACCUCCCUAUGGAGAGAUAAGAGCGGGGUCUCAAUCAAGGAUGCCCAGUUUGAAACUGAACAAGACAUGGUUUGUGUGAUAGAUGCUGACCAACCAUGGACGUUCAAGAAAGACCUAGUAUUGGAAGUAGGGUUCAAUGUUGGAAGAAUAAUGCAAGAAGGGUCCGUAGGGUUCAAAGGGUCCGUAGGGUUCAAUGAUAAUGCAACCAUUUGUUUAAGUUCUUUGAUAGAUAACAGCUCAUCCUAGUGCUAUGUUAGCUGGUUGUUAUUCCACCAUCUUUGUAAAGCUAAUUAGUAGUUUAAGUUAGAGAGAGUGGAGGACACAAUGAUGCUUUGUUUAGCUGCCAGGAAGGUCACAAUGAUGCUGCCAUUGCUGCCAUUAUUCUCCUCCUUUCCAGCUCCACUCUCCUGCCCGUUUUCUUUUCAUAUAUAUGUUGUCCUUGUAGCUGGUUCUUUAUUAUGAAAUAUACAUUAAAAUCAAUACCUAGUCAUGGUGGCGGAUAUGACUCAGAUAGGUAAGAAUCGAUGAAAGCCUCUCACUCUUGGUUCUUUUUUGGUGUAACUUUAUAACAUUCAUCCUCUAAGUGUGACCAGGGUGCUCGCACAAGCCAUUGGAGGAUUGUUGGGUACGAUUCUGAGAGUGGACAAAAAUGUGAGUAAGGAGUGCAUUGGCAGAUUUCUAAGGGUCAAAGUCCAUUUUAACGUUAAGGAACCACUGAUGCGAUGAACGUUCGUACAAUUUCCCUAUGAGGGGAUGAUCUAGUUGGACUUUAAAUAUGAGUGUCUUCGAAACUACUGCCUAAUUUAUGGUCUCCUAGGGCACCUAUCUAGGGUUUGCAAAGAUCACAUGGAAGGGGCUGGCGUAGGGGUAGGCAACAGGAUGAAUGGGGAAGACAACUAUACUUUUAAGGAUCUUGAUACGGUGACCAACUUGCAAGGCAACCUGAUUCGUCUUGUUAAUCAUAAAGCUUUGAGGUCGGGGGAAAGUAGAGGUAAGAGGAGCGUAAUAAUGCAACAAAAAAGCGGGGAGACUGGAAGUAUUAAAAUUGGGAGCGAGGGGGAGAUUUCAAGUAUGACACUACUACAAUAUUAGCUUUAGGUGGCGGAUGAUGGUGGCGGAUAUUAAAAAAUCCUGUCGGAUAAAUUAUAUCCGACACAUCAUUUAAUUACUGGCGGAUAUUAGAAAAAUACUGUCGGUUCUAUCCGACAUAAAUUUCUGGCGGAUAUUUACUGGCGGAUAUUUACUGGCGGAAUUUUUGAAUCUUUUUUUUUUAAUAUUUUUUACAUAUCCUGGCGGUUUUUACCUUAAUAGUGGCGGUUAUAACCGACAGAAAUUGAUUAUUUUAUUAUUUUACUUUAUGGCGGUUAUUAUUUUAGUAUUCUGACGGUUAUAACCGACAUAGAUGAAAAUUUUAUUAUUUUAAAAUGUUAUAUUGAUUAAAAAUAAAUAAACACAUGUUUUAAAUAUUAUAUUUUUUGCGAUUUUUUACACAUGCUAUCUCAUAGUAUAUACGAACAUAUUUGACGAAUGCAUAUCCUAUCAAAUUGAUAGAUUUAACAAACAUUUAAGAGUUAAUGUUAUGCUUCCAUUAUUUAUAAAAUAAGAUUUAUCCACUAGUGUGAAUAUUUUAAAUUGAAGAUUGAAUUCAUUCAUUGCAUUCUUAAAGGAUCAAGGAGUGUAGCUGCAAAAAAUCAUCAAAAUCGGAGCUAAAAUAACCGUUAAAUUGUGAUAUUUCCUUUAUAACUGUUGAAAACUUUUGUUUUGUUACCUAAUCUCUGAACGUUUGCUUUUUGUGAUUUUUUACGUAUGUGAUCUUGGAGUGUUUACAAACAAGUUUGAUGGAUAGAUCAUUGAAAAAAGUUUCGUAGAAUGUGUAUUGCGUCAAAAUGGUAGAUUAAACAAACACUUAGAGUUAAUGUUAUACUUCCAUUAAGUAUAAAAUAAGAUUUAUCCACUAGUGUAAAUAUUUUAAAUUGAAGAUCGAAUUCGUUCAAUGCAUUCUUAUAGGGUCGAGGAGUGUGGCUGUAAAAAAUCAUCAAAAUCGGAGCUAAAGUAACCGUUAAAUUGUGAUUUUUCGUUUAUAACCGUUGAAAACUUUUGUUUUGUUACCUAAUCUCUUAAUGUUUGUUUUUUGUGAUUUUUUACGUAUGCGAUCUCGGAGUGUGUACAAACAAGUUUGAUGGUUGGAUCGUUGAAAAACGCUUCGUAGAAUGCGUAUCGCAUCAAAACGGUAGAUUAAACAAACACUUAGAGUUAAUGUUAUACUUCCAUUAAGUAUAAAAUAAGAUUUAUCCACUAGUGUAAAUAUUUUAAAUUGAAGAUCGAAUUUGUUCAAUGCAUUCUUAUAGGGUCGAGGAGUGUUGCUGUAAAAAAUCAUCAAAAUCGGAGCUAAAGUAACCGUUAAAUUGUGAUUUUUCGUUUAUAACUGUUGAAAACUUUUCUUUUGUUACCUAAUCUCUUAAUGUUUGUUUUUUGUGAUUUUUUUACAUAUACGAUCUCGGAGUGUGUACAAACAAGUUUGACGGUUGGAUCGUUGAAAAACGCUUCGUAGAAUGCGUAUCGCAUCAAAACGGUAGAUUAAACAAACAUUUAGAGUUAAUGUUAUACUUCCAUUAAGUAUAAAAUAAGAUUUAUCCACUAGUGUAAAUAUUUUAAAUUGAAGAUCGAAUUCGUUCAAUGCAUUCUUAUAGGGUCGAGGAGUGUAGCUGUAAAAAAUCAUCAAAAUCGGAGCUAAAGUAACCGUUAAAUUGUGAUUUUUCGUUUAUAACCGUUGAAAACUUUUGUUUUGUUACCUAAUCUCUUAAUGUUUUUGUGAACACGGAAAAUUCCUGAAACGAAAGAGACAAGAACAACGUGCACAAACAAAUAUUUGUAUUUGAUGAUUUUGGGUUACAAUCUCUCUCUAAUUUGAUCAUCUGAUUCGAUCUCCGUAAGGUGUUGAUUUGUGGGUGUUUCGUUGAUCCAAGGGCCGUCGAGGCUUGAUCUUGGAUGAACAGUUGGAAGUUUCUUCAAAGGGCCGUGGGCUUGAUCUUUGAAGGUGGAUUUGAGCGGAUCUUCAAGGAGCCGUUGGAGCUUGAUCUUGAGGAUGAAUGUUUCUUCAAGGGCCAUUUGAGGCUUGAUCUUGAAUAACGGUGAUGAGCGGAUCUUCAAGGGCUUUUGGGCUUGAUCUUGAAGAACGGUUGGAUGUGUGGAUUUGUCGACGUUUGUUGAUCCAAAGGACCGUUGGGGCUUGAUCUUGGAUGAACGGAUGAUGAAUGAUGGUGCUUUCUUCAAGGGCCGUCGGGGCUUGAUCUUGAAAGAGCGAUGAACGAAGAACGGAGAACGAAGAACACUUUCUUCAAGGGUCGUCGGGGCUUGAUCUUGAAUUGGUGGAUGAUUGUUGAUCCAAAGGGCCGUUGGGGCUUGAUCUUGGAAGAACGAUGAACGAAGAACGAAGAACACUUUCUUGAUUCUUCGGGAACCUGGAUGCUUGAGAGCUUCAGAGCUUCAAGGUAUAAUAUGAAUUGGUUGAUCAAAUGAAUGAAAUGGGCUUGUAUUUAUAGAAUUUUCCAAGGCCUAAUUUUGAAUAUAAUAUCCCAGAUGAAAUAAGUCGUUUCUGUCAGGUGUUGACACGUUUCCUAUUUGAUGACUUUUCCAACUCAUUUCAAUUUUCGUUGAGUCACACGCUACGUGUAAAAUUUAUGUAAUACAUGAGCGUUGACACUUUGAUUUAUUGGUCAACAUUUAUUUACCGAAAUUUCGAUGUCUACAAAUGCCCCCACUUCAAGUCGCGUCGUGUACAUGUGCUUGUCUCGUGUAGAAGAUGCGUUUUGAAGUCCCUUACUGUAGACGUCGAUCCAAGGGCCGUCGAGGCUUGAUCUUGAAUUAGGCUGGAGAUUUCUUCAAGGGCCGUUGAGGCUUGAUCUUGAAUUGGGCUUGAGAUUUCUUCUAGGGCCGUUGAGGCUUGUUUUUGAACUUUUGUUUGAAAUUUCUUCAAGGGCCGUUGAGGCUUGAUCUCGAAGGUUGAAAUUGGACCACAAGGAGCUUCAUGUGGUAGAUGAUCUUUGGCUUUGGUAGUGGGUGAAUCGGCACGUAUUUUGUUGCGCUUGUUGACUUUCCACAGCUUUGAUCUUGAACUGGGUUGGAGGAUUUUCCUCCAAUUGUUGAUUUUCCACAGCUUAUUCUUGAACUAGGUUUUGAUUCAAGGGUGGUAGACACUUAAUCUUGAAUCGGACUUGUGAUUUCCUCAAGGGCCGUCGAGGCUUGAUCUUGAAUUUGGCUGGAAACUUCUUCAAGGGCCGUUGAGGCUUGAUUCUUGAAGGUUGACUCGAACAUAUGGCAAGCAGGCACGAGGUGAAGGUGACGACCUAUUUCUUUGUUCAAUCUUUCUAAUUCACACAUAAGCAGUUUGGUCAACGGUAUGAUCUUCAAGAUUGAUGAACUCUUCUUCUAGUUGGUGACUUGAUCUUUAAGGAUUUGAUUCAAGGGUGGUGAAUCGGCACGUGCAGCCCACAACGCCUAGUAAGUCGACCCAAGAAUUUGAGGGUCAAAUCGAGUUCUUCAUCUCAGACUCUUUCUGCCGAGUUGACUGUGCAUGCUGCAUUCUUCUCUGCUUGUUUCUUCAGGCAGAUGUGGCAGCUUCUCGAGUUCUUCAGCUCGGACUCCUUCUGCUGAGUUGACUGUGCAGACUGCAUUCUUCUCUGUUUGUUUCUUCAGGCAGAUGUGGCAGCUUCUCGAGUUCUUCAGCUCGGACUCCUUCUGCUGAGUUGACUGUGCAGACCGCAUUCUUCUCUGCUUGUUCCUUCUGCACCUUGUCUCCACAUGCUGCAAGGUAUCAUUUUCACUUGCCUUAUUUGUUCUCCAGGCAGAUGUGGCAGCUUCUUUGAAAGUACAGCAGCAGUGGAAGACGAGUACUCGAGAGCAGUGCUAGGUAGGCAAUCAGGGAAGGGUUCCAAGCAGUCGGUUCCUUACCCGAGUUUGAGUGGAGGUUCCGGCAUAUUGCUUUCUUUAUCCUUGUCUUUGCAGGUAUGAAUAAGGACAAAGGAAAGGACAGGAAGAACGCAUGAUAUGAGAUACUCUUUCUUUCUACCCUAGUGAUAUGAGAUACUUUUUCUUUGGAGUCAUUGGCUUGCAGAGGUACCCCAAGGAAUAAGGAACACUGAAUAACUCGAGAGGUUUCGUUGGGAAAGCAUUUUUGGAGAUGAAGAAAGGCUCUGUAUGUCUGCCUUGCUAUGGAAGGUGAAGGUGGACAGUUAUAGGCGGUCCCUUAAUACCUGUAGAGGUACUAUUCUUUCACUUGUGUCGGCAACUAACGCGUGAUUGAACAGUAAACUUUCACGUGCUUUCUCCUUCACCGAAAAUCUUCGACAAAUUGCCCGUGAUUUGCGCAAAGUUGAGUGUGCAUAUGACAGGUGAUAACGCGGCUGAAAAAGACUGGCGCCUCUUCGAUAUCUGGGAUCGGCGCUUCGACAAAUUACCCGUGAUUUCCGCAAAGCUGAGUUUGCGUGUGACGGGUGCCGACGGGUCUGGAAAAGCAAGAUGCUUCUCCGAUUUCCGAGCUUGCCUCUUAGAUUUUUGAAUGGCCUCUUCGAAUUUUGAGCUUGUCAAGUGCUGAUUUUUUAUAGAGGCAUGCAGUUCGUUUCAAAGCACACUUGAAUUUUCGCUUGUGAAAACUCCCUUCUUGCACUUCUAAGAUCUUGAUUUGUCCGAUCUCUUCUUUCUUUAACACUUUGAAAAUGUCUGGACCCUCCGACCGUCGUUUUGACUUGAACCUUGGUGAAGAGGCAAUCCCGCCUUCUCCAGACAACAUAUGGCGCCCAUCCUUCAUAUCCCCUACUGGUCCUCUUACCGUUGGGGAUUCGGUGGUGAAGAAUGAUAUGACCGCUGCUGUGGUGGCCCGAAACCUUGUCACUCCCAGAGAUAACAGACUACUUUCCAAAUGGUCUGAUGAGUUGGCUGUUAAGGAUUCUCUGGCUCUCAGUGUGCAGUGUGCAGGUUCUGUGUCUAAUAUGGCCCAACGCCUAUUUGCUCGAACCCGUCAAGUUGAAUCAUUGGCGGCGGAAGUGACGAGUCUUAAACAGGAGAUUAGAGGGCUCAAGCAGGAGAAUAAACAGUUGCAUAAGCUCGCACAUAGCUAUGCGACAAACAUGAAGAGGAAGAUUGACCAGAUGCAGGAAUCUGAUGGUCAGAUUUUACUUGAUUAUCAGAGAUUUGUGGGUUUGUUCCAGCAGCAUUUGCCUUCGUCUUCUGGGGCUGUACCGCGUAAUGAAGCUCCAGAUGAUCAACCUCCGGCUCCUCUUCUUCCUGGAGUUUCGCCGAGUGAUAAGGCGCCACCUGAUCAUCCUUGAAGAUCCCCUCCUGUAAAUUUGAUUUGACUUUUUUUUUUUUUUUUACUGAUGUAAAAUGUACAUUUUUUGUAAAUUUUCAAAGAAAUCAAUAGAUGAGCCUUAUUUCAUUUUUUAUGUGUGUGUAUAUAUAUAUAAAUUGUUUUUUUCUUUAAUCAUGGUGCACCCAUUUUCUUCACAUGGUGCCAGACGCACCAAAGAUCAAAAACUUAUUAUUAUUAUUAUUUUUUUUUAAUUUUAUUUUAUUAUUAUUAUUUUUUUUUAUUAUAUAUAUAUAUAUAUAUAUAUAUAUAUAUUUUGCCUUUAAUUAUGGUGCCAGAUGCACCCUUCCCCCUUUUUUUCAUAUGGUGCCCGACGCACCAUGCAUUUUUAUUAUUUUAUUUUAUUUUAUUUUUUUCUUUUAUCAUGGUGCAGUGUUCCACCAUAUAUAUUUUUUUAUUAUUUUUUGUUUGUAUAAAUUUGGAUGACGGGAUGGGGAAUUUGCAGGGAGCGGAGCAAGGAGGCCGAGAAGAUGGUUGUUUGGCAGAAAAUGCGAGGCAAGAGACGGAGGAUGAGGGGCUGUACAUGCCGCUGAAGCUGAUGGGCAGAAAGAGAAAGUGAGCACAGCCACCGAGCACAGCUACGGAGCACAACCACCGAGCACAGCCAACGGACCCCACCUCGUUAAUUCCCAGGGCUCCCCUAAAGACAAACUUGCUCCACGCCGCCGUCCUCGUCUUUCCUCUCUGCCCAAAGAGAGCGCCAUCAACCUCCAAUCGUCGCAACCACCAUUCUCGAGCUUUUCGACUCCAGCUGGCCUCUCCACCUUCACCGCCGCAUCGGCGUCAGUGACAGCGGCAUCACCUUUCCCGUCUAUCUCAGACCUUCAUCUUCACCCAACCGACCAAGUUAGUGUCCCCAAAAUUUUUUCUUGUCUGUUGGGGUAGAAGACGUAGAUGAGGAAGUUGACUUUGAAGGCCUGUGUUUCGGACUCUUGGAACUAACUGGUGAUUUUAAGAGUACGCCUGCCUCUGCGUCCGAUGGGCAUGCAGAGUUAUACAAGUUGAUGGGAGAUUCGCUGCCCGCUAUUUGCUUUGUUCUCUGUGUUAUGUUCCUUAGAAAUGGGAUGAGCGAAAAAGGCCCAUCGAGUAUGUAAGUAGAUGCAACAAACACCCCCCCAGGUCGCAGGACUCGACUAAUUUCAGCAACAGCUGUUGAUGGUGAAGGCCAACAAUGUAUGGCAGCACCAGCAUGCACUGCAUCCACAGAACCAGUAGCAAACGGAAGCCGAGAAAUAUCAGCUCUGACCAGGAUCAUGUUCUCUUUGGGGAAGUUCUCCUCCUGCUGAAUGAAUCCAUAACACUCCUUCAACAUGUUCUCCGAGUAGUCCAAAGCAACAACAAGAGAAAACAAUCCACUCUUAGCGAAAAGUCUAGAAAACAUCCCACUCCCACAACUUGCAUCAAUGAUAUUUCCACCACCCAAGACUGGCUUUAAGAAAUCCUUAAUCAACUCAAACUCUUUCUCUGGGCCAGGAAAUCCACCCCAUACAGUAAAGCUUUGACGCCAGCCCCUCUCAUAGAGGUACGAUACCAAUGGAGUCCUAAAUAUUUCUGUGGUAACGGGCAUUGAUUCACCAUAGUCCUUGGUGCCGCUUGCUGUUGUCAGGUCAAUAUGUGUUUCGUUGCCAAAGUAUGUCUUCUUACAAGUGCCACAUUGAAAACUAGACCCAGAAGCAGACUCAACAGAUAAGCCCGGAUCACCGGAACUUGAAAAUGGAUCGUAGCAUAUCGGACAAGCUAAAAUGUUGUUGCUGCUGAUGCCACCAUUUUGCACCACAAUUGGUUCGGUUGGCUCGACUUCGACGACGGCACCCGAAGCAGCAGCUCGAACUUUGAUUGCCGCCGCGAAACAGCACUUGAAAACCCGUGAAGCAGCAGAAGUCCUGAGCUUGAGAAGACAAGGCCUUGAAUUACCGAGUUGACUCAGAAGAAACGGGGAGCAAAGGUUGCCGACCACCGUCUCCAUGAUCGCUCUAUUUUGGUGUGUGGUUCAGGCGGCUGUUGCCGGAGUUGGAUUUCAGGAGAAGGAGGAGGAGGAGCGUUUGCAGAUGGCGGAGGGAGGCCUUCAAACAGGUCGUCAGCCAUGUCCCUCUCCCUCUCGAUCGAACUGGCUCGGAGUUGAGAUUAACGCUCUGGAGGAAAUCGGGGAGCUGGAACAGCGGGCUCGGACGCAGGAGAUGUAGCGGGUGCUGCGGGAGAGGGUGAUUUUGCCGCCGCCGUUGGGGCCGACGAUAAAGCUUUGCAAGGACCAUCACACCGCGCGCCACGAAGCACGAUUGCUGCCCCGUCGAUUUGAUCUCCGAACCCUAACCCUGGGAUAGAGACAGUAGACUUGCGGUUAGUGCAUUUGAAAGCUGGGCCUAGGACUGGAUUUGGGUCUCUGCUUUUCUGGAACUUUGAGGAUUGAAGUGGUGGAAUGGAGGCCAUCGCCAAAGCCCAAUGUACAAGAGUUUAUGUCUCGGGCCUUGAGGUCCACCUGCUAGUCUUGAUUUUUUUUAUUUUUUUUAUUUUUAAACAAAAUAAAUUUGCAAUGAAAUUGACCCUCAUCAAUGAAACUUUAAUCAAACCUCUUUUUUUUUUUUUUUUUGAAGAAGAAGAACAUAUAUAUAUAUAUAUAUACACACACACACACCUUAUUUAUCUAUUAUUAUUAUUAUUUUUUGAAAUUACAAAGAACUAUUUAUUGUUACCUUUGUAAUAAAAUUGACUUUUUUUAAUAAAACAUUUAUUUAUAUUUUGAUGUGACUGAACUCGAAAUUUUGAAUAUUCAAGCUGCCUACGUACCCCUCCAAAGAAGAGAUCAAGUCGUAACGUAGUUCAAAUACAUAUUUUUUUUGGAUUUUCUUUUUUUUUGUGCCAUUUGCAGUUUCAGCUCAUGCAGGCAAGAAGCGAUUUCGUGUUGCCUUUUAUGCUCGUGCAGACCAGGAGCGUUGAUGUUGCCUUUUAUGCUCGUGCAGACCAGGAGCGUUGUGCCAUGCAGUUUAGGCUCGUGCAGGCGAGGAGCCUUGUGUCUUGCAGUUUAGGCUCUUACAGACAAGGAGCUUUGGUUCGUGCAGUUUAGGCUCGUGCGAACAAGGAGCAUGGUUCGUCAAGCGAUCUGAGAGAGUCGUUCCUCGCAAUCUUCGUAGCAAGGAGCCUUGACUGAGUAGUUGAAGAAGUCUUCUGGGAAGAUGUCACGCAUCGUGAUGGGGAUAGAUGAUCUUCGUGUCAAAGUUUCAUUAUCUCCAACACUUUCACAUUGUUCUAGAGGUGAACAUGAACUGUUUUUCCCCCUUUCCCAUUGGUGAGCUUGUGGAGAAGACAUAUGCUUCUUGUGCAAUUUCUUCAGAGUGACAUAAGUUCAUCCUUCAACUUCACUCGGCUUGACUGGCAUGUUUUUGGAGCAUGCCCCCAGUGAUUGAGGUGAAAAUUUUGAGUUGACAGAGCCGGAAGUGACGUCUUUUUCCAGGAUUUCGUCUUCUUUGUCUUCUUGGGCCUUCUCUUCAGUGUGGCCUUCUUGGGUUUGUUGCCGUGAAGAUUGGCCGGUGUAGAUGAUGGUGCGCCUCCUUACCUUCAGUGGUCCUUUUGUGUCGACUUCCAAAGUUGCUUGGCGCUUCAUCCUUGAAGGAAUCAAGCUUUGAACAUCGUCUUUUCCUGCUAGACUGUCGAGCUUCUCUCCCUUUGGCGUUGUCUUCCUGUUUCUAGAAGGCUUCUUAGUUUCUUCAAGUCUGUCCAAAGCCGACCGUUGCGGAGGAGAUCUAGCUGUGCCGCUUUGUUUCUUGGGUUUUGAUAACCUUUCAAAGACUGAUCUUUGCGGUGUUGGCGUCUCAAGCCUUUUGAAGACGGAAUUUUGGUCUCGACCACUGAUGCGAUCAAGUGCUGCAAUUCUAGGUUUUGAAUAAUUCAGCCUUUCGAAGACUAAAGUUCUAGGGGCGGGUUUAGGCUCCUCUUUUGGCCUUGUGGCUUGUGGUCUUGGCUUCCUCAUUUUUUUUGUAGGUCACCGAUGUCCACCCUUUCUUAUCACCAGUAGAUGCAUCUUGGUUGCUUGCCCCCGGUGAUGGUUGUGUAGGAGGUGCCAUGUGACUUGAACAUUGACGAGAAUGGUCAUGCAUGCUUCGGAGAUGCACAGGAUCGAGUGAUUCAAACACGAUAGUAGUAGUGUGUGCCGCAACCGUGUCUUUGAGGUCAAGCUCGAUCUCCCCUUGCUGUGCUAGCUUCAGGAUGAGAUCUUUCAGUACGAAGCACUUUUCUGUUGGAUGACUGAUGAAGCGGUGGAAUUUACAGUACCUUGGACUGUCAGUGCGAUUCAUCUCUUCUGGCCGUUUGCACUCAGGCAAACCGAUCACCUUCUUUUCCAGCAAGUCUUCUAACAUAGCAACCACAUCAAAGUCGGGGAAUGGAUAAGUCCUCUCCUCAAGCUCCUUCAAAGUGCGUCUACGCAUCUCUUGAUCACGAAAAGCUUCGGUUUGAAUCGCCUUGCCUCGUGUAGGGAUUUUGACGGGAGCUGUGUUGACCGUCAUUGCUUCCUUGGUGGGUUUCCAUGCAGUCUUCUCCAACUUUGGCCCAAGAACUUUGUCGUUCUUGUAGUUGGCGAUCGGUUCUUUCUUCCCAUGAUGGGCGAUGCUCAACUCCAUGUCAUGGGUGCGAGUGGCCAAUUCCUCGAAAGUCCGUGGUUUAAUGCCUUGAAGGAUGUAUUGCAAACCCCAUUGCAUACCUUGGAUGCACAUCUCGAUUGAAGAGGUUUCCGAGAGCCUGUAUUUACAGUCGAGGCUUAGAGUGCGCCAUCUGUUGAUGUAGUCAAUGAUUGGCUCGUCCUUCCACUGCUUUGUGCUCGUUAGCUCUAGCAUGCUCACAGUGCGGCGGGUGCUGUAGAAGCGGUUGAGGAAUUCCCGCUCUAAUUGCUCCCAGCUGUUGAUGGACUCAGGCUCUAGGUCUAUGUACCACUCAUAGGCGUUUCAUUUCAGCGAGCGCACAAACUGCUUGGCGAGGUAAUCCCUUUCGGUUCCUGCGUUGUUGCAAGUUUCAACGAAGUGGGCAACGUGCUGUUUCGGGUUUCCCUUUCCAUCAAAUUGCAUGAACUUUGGUGGUUGAUAACCCCUCGGCAUCCUUAAGGCGUCGAUCUUAUUUGAAUACGGCUUUGAGUACAACCCGGAGGUAUAUGAGCUCCCUUCGUACUGUGCCUUGAUGGUGUUGGUGAUCAUCUCUUGCAGCUGCUGGAUAGAAAGAGAUCCCAUGAGUGCCGCUGCUUGGUCUGGCUUCGGCUUCACAUCGUUUUUCUCCACCUGAGGCUCAUCUUUUUCGUCAUCUCUUCUCUUUAGUGGAUCAUUCUUUGGGUCGGGGUUCUCGUCGUCCUGUGGCUCCAGUCGGCUGAUGAGUGCAGCGAUUUGCAAGUCUUUUUCUUCAACAAUCCGUGUUAGCCUUGUGAUCGCUUCAUUCAUUUGAGCCAGUUGUUCUUCAACGGAGGUAACGCCGAUAGUCAUGACUUGUGCGACCAAUAGACGUGACUUUCCUUUAGACAUCCAGGAUGCUGAUGAAGAACGUCGUUGGCUGCUUUGGGAUGUCAUCUUGUGUGCCCCAACAUCAUGCUUCGGUGCCCCCAGCGAGGUCAGGUUGAUGACAUACUCACACCUUGGAUGCUCCCCUUGCUCUUUUAGCGGUACCAAUUUUGAAGUGGCAUGUUGAGGAGCGGUUGUGGCGCCAAUGGAUUGUCCGUUUGCGGCAGAAGUGCUUAGGAUCCUUCCCUCCGUGGUUGCAAGAACGGCUUGUCCCUUGCUUGAUGCCAUUGACUUUGAGGUGUGCUUGGAUUCCUUGAACGGAGAAAGAGAUAAGAGGUAGAGAUUGUCCCACUGGGCGUGCCAAUUUGUGAACACGGAAAAUUCCUGGAACGAAAGAGACAAGAACAACGUGCACAAACAAAUAUUUGUAUUUGAUGAUUUUGGGUUACAAUCUCUCUCUAACUUGAUCCUCUGAUUCGAUCUCCGUAAGGUGUUGAUUUGUGGGUGUUUCGUUGAUCCAAGGGCCGUCAAGGCUUGAUCUUGGAUGAACAGUUGGAAGUUUCUUCAAAUGGCCGUGGGCUUGAUCUUUGAAGGUGGAUUUGAGCGGAUCUUCAAGGAGCCGUUGGAGCUUGAUCUUGAGGAUGAAUGUUUCUUCAAGGGCCGUUUGAGGCUUGAUCUUGAAUAACGGUGAUGAGCGGAUCUUCAAGGGCUUUUGGGCUUGAUCUUGAAGAAUGGUUGGAUGUGUGGAUUUGUCGACGUUUGUUGAUCCAAAGGGCCGUUGGGGCUUGAUCUUUUGUUGAUCCAAAGGGCCGUUGGGGCUUGAUCUUGGAUGAACGGAUGAUGAAUGAUGGUGCUUUCUUCAAGGGCCGUCGGGGCUUGAUCUUGAAAGAGCGAUGAACGAAGAACGAAGAACGAAGAACGAAUAACACUUUCUUCAAGGGCCGUCGGGGCUUGAUCUUGAAUUGGUGGAUGAUUGUUGAUCCAAAGGGCCGUUGGGGCUUGAUCUUGGAAGAACGAUGAACGAAGAACGAAGAACACUUUCUUGAUUCUUCGGGUACCUAGAUGCUUAAGAGCUUCGGAGUUUCAGAGCUUCAAAGCUUCAAGGUGUAAUAUGAAUUGGUUGAUCAAAUGAAUGAAAUGGGCUUGUAUUUAUAGAAUUUUCCAAGGCCUAAUUUUGAAUAUAAUAUCUCAGAUGAAAUAAGUCGUUUCUGUCAGGUGUUGACACGUUUCCUAUUUGAUGACUUUUCCAACUCAUUUCAAUUUUCGUUGAGUCACACGCUACGUGUAAAAUUUAUGUAAUACAUGAGCGUUGACACUUUGAUUUAUCGGUCAACAUUUAUUUACCGAAAUUUCGAUGUCUACAGUUUUUUUUUGAUUUUUUACGUAUGCGAUCUCGAAGUGUGUACAAACAAGUUUGACGGUUAGAUCGUUGAAAAACGCUUUGUAGAAUGCGUAUUGCAUCAAAACGGUAGAUUAAACAAACACUUAGAGUUAAUGUUAUACUUCCAUUAAGUAUAAAAUAAGAUUUCCAGUAGUGUAAAUAUUUUAAAUUGAAGAUCGAAUUCGUUCAAUGCAUUCUUAUAGGGUCGAUGAGUGUUGCUGUAAAAAAUCAUCAAAAUCGGAGCUAAAGUAACCGUUAAUUUGUGAUUUUUCGUUUAUAACCGUUGAAAUCUUUUCUUUUGUUACCUAAUCUCUUAAUGUUUGUUUUUUGUGAUUUUUUACGUAUGCGAUCUCGAAGUGUGUACAAACAAGUUUGACGGUUGGAUCGUUGAAAAACGCUUCGUAGAAUGCGUAUCCCAUCAAAACGGUAGAUUAAAUAAACACUUAGAGUUAAUGUUAUACUUCCAUUAAGUAUAAGUGUAAAUAUUUUAAAUCGAAUAUCAAAUUUAUUCAUUAGACAAUAUUUAUUUAUGUUUUUCAAGUAUUGAUUAGACAAUAUUUAGUUUGUGUGAUGACAUUUUAUCGCAUAUUUUACAUGCAUUAUUCUCUAUUAAACCAAAAGUGUAAAAAUUAUCUAUUAAACCAAACAAUUAUUUAUUUAAUUUUUAAAAACAUAUUCUAUUUAAAUACAUAUUAUUUAUUUAUUUAUUAAACCAAACAAUUAUUAUUUUAUUUUUUUAAAUUGUAACAAAAUUUGGGGGGAAAUUAAAAUUUUGAGGGAAAAUUUUAAAAUUUUCGGAAGGAAGUUUGCCGCCAUUUUUUUGUCUGUCGGUUAUAACCGACAGUAAUGGAAUUUUUCUGUCAGUUUUUAUUUUUAAAAAAUGUUUCUGUCGGUUUUAACCGACAGUAAAUAAAAUAACCUAAAUUUUUAAAACCCAUCCAUCUUCCUUGCGCCGAUGCUUCCUGCUUCCCCCUUUCCCUUAUUCUCCUGUCCUCAUUUCCUUCUCCUUCUCCUCUCUUCUUUUCUAUUCUGUUCGAACACUUGCAACCUAUUCCAACCAACAAUUCCACACACACUGUAGAGGGCGUGGACAGAGGGUUGAUGGGAAGGGUUGGGCGUGGACGGAGGGUUAAUGGGAAGGGUAGGAGCUAGAGAGAGGGGGGGUGAGGGGUGGGUUCUGUCCACUGACGUUGGUUGCGGGGAGAGAGAGAGAGAGAGAGAGAGAGAGAGAGAGAUGGGGAAAAGUAUGGGGUUAGGGUUGAGGGGAACGGAACGGGUACAGAGAGAGAGUGAGGAAGGGACAUAGGAGUUAGAGGUAUGGGUUCUGCUGCAUCCUUCCUAUUCGAAAGGUACAUGAAUGGCUUCUCAUCUGAAAUUAUUAAACAUUGGAUUUGCUAUUUUGGUUGCGCAGCUAUGCAGGUGCUCUCUCCAAUCCAUCGAUCAGUUUAGUGCUAGCUGUUAUUGCUGCCUUGGAAAUCAACAAUAUUCCUUCAGCUCCUUGGUUCCUGUCAUUGUGUUUGCAUAUUUUAUAUCCUUUGGUUUCUCAGGUUAUGUACUUAGGUUUGGCGUUGCUUGCUUAUUGUUUUCGUGUUUAUAUUGUAUCAACGACUCUUAGCUUGUUUUGGCUUCUUGCAGGCUUACGGGAUUCUGGAAAUCUGUGUUAUUUUGUUCCUCUCCUCGAACUGAAGAGAUGUUGUUCAUGUUAGCAUGGAUGUUUGUCUAGUCUCCUCACAUAAUGAAAUGAUGUGCUUGACAUGAAUAAGGGUACUUGAUACAACCAUUUUUUCCGAUUUUGUUUGGCCAAGAAUGUAUCUGUAUAAAAUCCAAAUGCAACCGCAGUUGGGUGAUGGAUUACAUUAUCGCUCGUUUCUUUAACUUCUAAGAUUUCUACCUGCGAUAAUUUUGCGAUAUCUUGUCUGUCAUUGUGAUUUUCUUUCCCUGAUUGCAACCAUACGAAGACUUAGGUUGAGGAUUUAGAACGAAUAUUAGCAAGCUUCUCUUAUCUAUAUUGUUAAUUUGUUAUAGCCUAGAAAGGAUGAUCAUGACCCUCCCUGACAGUCACCGGUGAGAUCGAGCUCCGGCGAGGUUGGAUGGUGAAUGCGGGGAUAUGGAAAAUGCAGAAAGUGAUUUUAUUUUUUUUAUUAUUAAUAUAAGUCCUGUCGGUUUUAUCCGACAGUAAAUGAUUUUAUUUAUUAUUUUUAAUUAAUUUUUGUCGGUUUUAGCCGACAGUAAAUGGUUUUAUUUAUUCAUUUUUAAUUAAUUUCUGUCGGAUGGUUUAAUGAUUUUCUGUCGGUUUUAUCCGACAGAAAUAUUUCUGUCGGUUAUAUCCGACACAAUUUCUGUCGGUUUUAGAGUAGUUUCUGUCGGAAAAUUAAUUUCCUGACGCAAACAAUUCUGUCGCUUAUUAUAUCCGCCACUGCAUCCAUUUUCUGUCGGAUUUUGCUUAAAAUCCGACAAUAAUAUAUGUUUUUUGUCGGUUUUCAAAACGCCACUAAUAACUGGUUUUCUAGUAGUGUGAGUGGCGUCCAUUGCCAUGAAUAUCAUCGAGGGGUUAGUUGAAGUGGUGAUGGGAAGGUGGAGGUUGAUGGGGAUGGUGAAAUGGUAGAUACAACAAGCUUGCCAGUGAAAAAGAAAUUUGUUAAUGAGACAGAAAGUACAAGGUUAACACUAACGGAAAAGAUUCGGGCAAGAAAAAAGCGAGAGGGAUAGGAGAGAAUGGCAAGGGAGAAAGCCUUCGAUGAGAGGUUGAUUAGGCUGGGAGGAACGGUGGCGCUGGGGGUUGAAAUGUGGUGCUACUUAGUUUAGAGGAGGUGGAGAAAGGAAUUACAAAAGUGUUGGUGCCCGAGAAAUUUGGUGUGGUGAUUGACCUAAAUCUCAUGCCGAUGGAAGAUGAUCUAAUAACUGGUGAUAAGAGGGCUAUUCAUGUUCCUAUGGAAAAGUUGAAUAGAGUGAGGGAGGAGCUACCUGAGGCUCAGGAGUUGGUUUCGAUGUUUGGAACCCAAGAUUCUGAUCUUUUUAAUUUGGGACCAAUUAUUGAGGCCAUCUCUCAGGAGAGAAAGGCAAAUAAGCAGGUAUUAAUAGAGGUAGAAGGGUUCGAAGAUGUAAUGGCAACGAAGUCCAGGAGCAUUAGACGUCGAUCGUCCAAUGAUAUUACUGAGGCGGAGGAGACCAGCCUUGAGGGGUCUCCCAAGUCCCCAUGAAUCUAAUAGCAUGGAACUGUCAGGGUAUUGGGGGUGACCUGAUAGUUAACAAAUUGUUGGAGCAAAAUAGGCUCCAUAACCCCUACAUAGUGAUCUUGCUAGAAACAAAGAAUAAAAGUAGGCAUUAUGGGAGUUUAUGCAUGUCAUGCCCCAACCCAAGGAUUAACGUAAACCUUGGUUUAGAACGUGAAUCACACCUUAAUUAUAAGCUUAACUAAUAUAAUUAAGAAUGUGACAUGAAAUAAAAGCAUGUAUAACUCGCUUGGAAUAAAAUUAACUGAAUAACAGAUUCAUUAUUGAAAGUUUCAGCCAAAUUUACAACUUAUGAACUACUGAAAGUUCACACAAAGUAGUUCUUUAUUCAAACAAGAGAGCAAAAGCCAACAAGCUCAUCUUUUUAUUUCUCCUACAUAAUUACACAACAGACAGCAAGUAGACUUUUAGGUUUCUGGUUCUGUACCUGCAAAAUUUCAUUAGGGUGAGCUUAAAAAGCUCAGUAGGGGCAUAUACCUGAUGCGUAAAAUAAGUUAACACACAAAAUUAAACCCUCUUUUUAUCAAAUGUAGUAAAGUAUGUAAGUAGGGAUCGUUCUAGGCCGGGGAUUAGGAGGGAUUGCUAAACCCUUGAAAACUGACUUAAAAACAUAAAAACAAAAUUUAAAACACUAAACUAGACUCAAAGAAUGCAAAACUAUACUUUAAAAUACUUAAACAAACAUAAAACUCAAAACAGCAACCUAAUGACUCAAAACUGCCUAAAAACCACUUUCUGGGCAGUUUUGAGAACCUAACAAGAACUUGGACAAAGUUGGAUGAAAACUUGAAUCAAAACACUUAGAAACACAAAUCAAAACACUUUCUAACUAAUCUAAGACUUCAAAAUAAAGGGGGAUUUGUUUUGGACGAAAAUUGAAAACAAAACAGAAACUUUAAAACAAAACAGAUUGUAAAACGUUUUUGGAUGAAAAUGAUGGAUAAAAGGCUAGUUAGGAGGUUCUUCUCCACACAUGACACACUUGCAAACAAAAUGAUUUUCAGUUGUUCUUUCAAUAAAUUAUGAAACUCAACACCCCAAGUUAAUUAGAUACGCUUAAAUUAACCUUCAAGUUCUCCUUAAGUUAAUGAAUUGGAUGGAAAAGCGCAUACAACAAUUCAAAGCAUUCCUCAAAGGUUCCUUACGUGAUGAGCACAAUAAAGAUACAAUCAAGAAUCAUGAAGCACAAUGAGAACUAUAAGUGUUGACGAGGCAUUCGUUACUAUGAUGAGCAUGAAACUAGUGCCAAGAAUUCAUUCAACGCGAUCGUUUUCAAGCGACCUUCACUACUUGUGAUUAUAAGAUUGUAACUAUUAGGUGAAACUCCCUCAUAAUCUAGCAUCAUAUUCAUGCAUGAAAACUAAGCGUGCACUCUCAAUCAACAUACACAAAUAAGUUAUCAAUCAAGUAGAUGAACGAAUUGAAUCCGCAACUUAUGAAAUAACAACUGAAUGUAAUCAAAUCAUAUUGCAAGCAUGUACAUGGUUUCGAAUCACCCCCCAACUAAGGGGGUUUAGUUCCUCAUUCUUGCAAUACAAAGAUACAUAAAAUUAGACAUCAAAAUCAAAGGAAAGAAAAACACCUAAAAUGCUCCAACUUGGAAAGCAAGUGCAUCAAUGGAUCUCCCUUCCUCCUUGUUGCGGCAUGAAGCUUGUGGACAGAUUUUUGGGUGGAUUUAUGGUGUAGAAUGGAUGGGGAAUGAUAUGGAGGGGUUUAGGGUGAGUGUGGAAGAGUGUUUGAUGGUUGGAAGGUGGUGGAGAACUAGGCAAAGAGGGUGGAAGAAGGUGGAGUGGCUGUUAUGUUUUCUAGGCACUAGAAUGGUGUUUUUUGGGGUGUUUUUGCUUCCUAGGGUGUGUAUGGACGAAUUUCUGUGAUAAAAUGAUGAAUAUGGGGGAUUGUUCUUUGGCCAAGGGGUGUAAACAUGUAUUUAUAGGCCCCAAAAACCUUAGAAAAUCAGGUUAGGUUAAGGAUGAAAUGCAUGGCAAUUUGUGUGUGUGGUGUGCAAUGGUCCAAGGGUGAAAAUGAAGUGAUGAUGCAAAGUGUGAAGGGUAAAAUGGAGUGGUCUUGUAGCUAGGGGGCAUGAAUGAUUGUGUACAUUGCAUAGAGAUGGAAAGGGAGGUGAAAAUGUGUCAAUAAAUGGGUCAAAGGUGCAGCAACAUGUGGUACACAAGGCAUGGGAUUCCAAAUGUGAAUGAUGGAGCAUCAAUUGGUGCAUGUAAUGGAUGUAAAUGUUGUCUAAAAUCUAAUGAGUGAAGGGAACAAGAGGUAUCAAGCAAUUGAGUGUAAUAAUUAAAUGAAUUGAAGCAUGAAAUUAGAAAUUAUGUAGGGGACAAGAGUGAUCAAGCAUGGCAUGGAAUCCAAAGGGAAUUCUAUGUGGUUUGCAUGGCAAGGAAUGCAAGUUGGGGUGACAGAUUUUUGGGCUGUUUUCUUCAUCUUUUGGACCAUAAUUCUUCAUAUUCUUGGCCUCUUUAGUUCUCAAAUUCGUCCAUCCACUUGGCCCAUGCAUUUGCUAUCCAUUCCAAGCCCGAAACAUGCUCCAAAGGCCUCCAAAAUGCAUCUUCUUGCAUACUUUGUACUUAGAGUCUGAAAACACACGAAAAUUACUUUAAACAUUAAAAUAACUAAGGAAACACGACAUAAAUGCACAAGAACAAGCCAACUAAGUCGCAUAAAUAUGCUCCUAUCAAUACCUUCAUUUCUAAAAUAAUAAAGUAUAAUUAUGAUAGCAGAAUUAAAACCAAAAUCAGAAUGGUGCAUAAGUAUGCAAUGCAAAUGCCUUAAUUAUACCCGUUAAUCCACAUAACUAAACACCCAGACCUUGUACGUCCCAUUCCGUACUUAUACCAUUUGAUCCCGAGUGUUUAAAUAUAUGAACUAACCCCCAUCCCUAAACAUCCCCGAACUCCCCUUUUUGUUAGUCAUCUUGCCUAAACUCUUCGUCUCCAGUCCCGAAUUACCCUUAAAGAAUCUGUGCACUGUGGGCUCGCCUGAGACCUGGUACCUACUAAGAGUUUGGCUCAACUACACAAAACUAAUAGUCACCACCUUAGAUUCCCGAAGUUCUUUCCAACAAUCCCACUUUACUCCCACAUCAUGGACCCAAAUUUCAUUUCGAACAUUCAUUAUACUCAAAUAUCCAAUAGAAACAUGUAUAUCAAACUUGUAUAUAUACUUAAGUAAGAAAUAUUUAAAUUCAUAUAUAUAUAUAUAUAUAUAUAUAUAUAGAAGGUUUCCCAGAACCCCCUACCUUGAAUUCGAUUAAUUUUGCUUCUCUGAAGAACCCUUCAAAUCUCUGAAUCCUUCCUUCACAAUCACGUUCUCUAACUCUCAAUUUCUCUACCCCUUUUUGAUUUCUGAUGCUUUCCCACUUCUCUGCAACCCCUUUUAUAGUUUCUCUAAUCCUACUAACUCCUAUCAGAGUCCUGAUAAAAACCUAGCUUCCUAGGUCGUCCACCUCCUGCUUAUAGACCUCUGUGUCUCUUCUCCGUUCACCCUCCGCUGAACACACUCCUUGGUGAAAUAGGAGAUGAACAACUAUCUAUGACACACUCCUUUGAUCAAUCAAAGGUCGACCUAUCACAAGGUGUCCUAAUCUCUAUCUGAUUUUUGGAUAUGAAGAAAGAAGAUUUUUUUUUUCCUAAAGGUAUGGAAGGCCACCUCCUCCCUACUUCCUUGUUUCCAUCGUACAGAAAGGAAAGGUAUGAAAGGAUGGUCCUUUCCUUUCUUUUGUAGAAUAUUAUUUUAUUAUUAUUAUCAUUAUUAUUAUUUUUUUUUUAAACAAUAAUAGGAAAUCUAAUAAAUAAAAAGUAUAUUAUUAAAAGCUAUUAAACAAAAUAAACACUAAGUAGACUAAAAUUUUGUAUAAAAACAAUUAUAAUCACACUUCACUCUUAAUUUAAACGAGGGAUAUUACAAUGCAUGCAGUGGAACCUAGAGGGAUUGGUGGUGGUUUGUGCUUGUUUUGGAAAGAUGAUUCACAAGUGCUUUUGGUGAAAUACGCGGACUUUGUGAUUGACGUUAAAAUAUGUGAUUGACGUUAAAAUAUGAAAUGAUAGUAAACAAUGUUAUUGGUGUUUAUUUGCUAUUUAUGCUAGUACUAAUGAGAAAAAACGGCGGGACCAAUGGAUGAUGCUAAGUAAACAGACAGAGAAUGAAAGUGAUAGGUACCUCCUGAGAGAGGAUUUUAAUGACAUACUGAGCAACAAAGAAAAAUAAGGUGGGAACUACAUAACAGCGGCUAGUAUAAGGGACUUUAAAGAGUUUGUGGCACAGAACGAACUUAUAGACCUGGGCUACGAAGGUUAUCCGUUUACUUGGAGGAAUAAUAGAGAGUCUAAGCCAAUUGAACAAAGGCUCGAUCGUGGGUUGGCGAGCAUCGGGUGGCAUGAUCUUUAUCUGGGUACUAAAAUCCUGCAUGUGGUGUUAGAAGGAUCCGAUCACGCAAUGCUUGUUCUUUCCACGGAGAAGAUGAGGGCUUGGAGGGAAAGAAGAUUCACGUAUGAUGCAUGAUGGGGAAAGCUAGUUGAAUGUCGUGACUUGGUGGUUGGGGAAUGACGUGACAAUUAUGGUGGUUAACAUGCUUUUCGGUUUUGCGAAAAACUGAAAACUCUUAGGCGGAGUCUUAAGGUUUGGUAUAAAGGGAGAAGCAGGAACUAGAAAGCUAUUGACCAAUUGAAAGGAGAGAUUAGGAUGGCAUAUAAGUCAAAUGGAUUUGCCAUGAAUGAGGUGCACCUAAAGGAGAUGGAGCUUAGGAAAGCGCAUAAGGAAGAAGAGACUUUUUGGCGAGUGACGUCGAGGGUGUUAGCAUAAACACAACACCAUGAUCAUGCAAAGCAAGUUACCGUGAUUAAAACACAGAACCAUAAACCAUAAAGCAAUGCACAGAGAGAAAACAUACCUGCAGAAGAGUUCGAAGCUACUGCCAUGUCUGAUUUCUGCAGCAAAGUCGUGGUGCAUCUUCUCCUCUCUUCAGUGAACGAGACUCUCAACUAGUAAUAGGUCUUACUCUUAUAUUGAGUACACACUGCAAGAGCAGAGGCCACCAUAUAUAUACUAUACAAUCUUAGCCAAAUUCUAUAAGGAUUCCCCUAUUAAAAUCUAUAUAGAAUACUAAUUUAUCCUAAAUAGCAGUCCAGUUACAACAUGGAUUUACAAAUCCAUUCCCAACAAGACUUCCUACUCAAUCUCUAAUCCUACAACCAAGUUUACCAAUUCAUACUCAUGCUCAUAUUCUAACAGAGGAUCCAAAGGUACAAUGAGGGAGACAAUAAUACAAAGUUUUUUCAUGCGCAAACAAUGAAAUGGCAGAGGUUUAACCAGAUCUAGGGGUUGAAGGAUUCGCAUGGGGUGUGGCGUGAGAGUGAAACCAAAAUAUGUUCGAUUGAGGUGUCCUAUUUUUCAUACUUAUUUCAGUCUAGUUGGCCGAUUCAAAUUGAGGAGAUUAUGAGUUGUUUGGAUAAUCGGGUGACACACGAGGACAAUAUGUUUCUGACGGCUCCAGUGACGGAUAGAGAAAUACAGGAGGCGGCAUUUCAAAUUCCUCCUACGAUAGCUCCAAGACUAGAUGGGUUCUCCGGUAGCUUUUAUCAGGACCAUUGGGAGGUGGUGGGGAAGGAUAUGGUGAAUAUUGUCAAGGCUUUCUGGCAUUCCGACAUGGUUUUACAGAAACUAAAUCAUACAGAUUUGGUACUCAUUCCAAAGGUGACAUGUCCGAAGAACAUGACGCGGUAUCGGCCUAGUGCUUUAUGCAACACAAGCUAUAAGGUCCUCGCUAAGUUUCUUACAAAUAGAUUUAAAAGUUUGAUGCCGAAGGUGAUAAGUGACAAUCAAUCGGCUUUUGUGGUUGGGAAGCAUAUUCAGGAUAAUAUCCUAGUUGUGCAUGAGAUCUUGCAUUCCCUUAUGCAUCAAACAAAGGAGGACCAGACGGGUAUGGCAAUAAAAUUGGAUAUGACGAAGGCAUAUGAUCCUGUAGAAUGGGAGUUCCUAUUAGCUAUGAUGGCUAAAUUGGGUUUUGUGCUGAUGUUUUGUAGGUGGGUAAAGGAAUGCACUUCCACUGCUUCCUUUAGUAUUUUAGUGAAUGGAAACCUAAUGGGGUAUAUUUUGCCGAAGAGGGGGCUGAGGCAGGGGGAUCCAUUAUCUCCGUACUUAUUUCUUCUCUGUACCGAAGGGUUCUCUUCUUGACUUCAGAAUGGUAUGGAGAGAUGAGCUCUACAUGGAUUCAGGGUGACACCUAAUGGGGUGCCGAUAUAAUUUUUUUUUUUUGGCGGAUGACUCAAAGUUGUUUUGUAAUGCAACAGUUGAGGAAGCGCAAGGUGUGGUGGAUGUGUUGAAGGUUUAUGCAUCCGGGUCAGGUCAGGAAAUUAAUAUGUUAAAAAGCUCGAUUUUCUUUGGUUCCAAGGCUACGAAACGAAAUAAGAAAAAAAUUGAACGAACUUUGAAUAUUCAAAGAAAUGAAGGCUUUGGGAAGUACUUAGGACUACAAGCAGAUUUUGAUCAUUAAAAAAAAAAGUCUUUAAGGAGGUGCAUGAAAGGAUUGAGACAUGUGUGGCGGGGAUAGGCAGAGCAGCUCCUAUCUCAAGUGGGGAAGGAAAUCCUUAUAAAGGCAGUGGCCAUGGCUAUGCCAAAUCAUGCCAUGGGAUGUUUCAAGUUACCUAUUGGGGUAUGCAGAGACAUAGAGAAAGCUAAUAGGAAUUAUUGGUGUAGGGGAAACGAUUAUUGGAAGGGUGUUCACUGGGUUUCUUGGGAACAGUUAAUGAAGCAAAAGCGAUAUGGUGGUUUGGGUUUUAAAGAUAUUCAAUGCUUUAAUCUUGCCCUUCUGCCAAAGAUCAGGUGGUGACUGAUCCAUAACCUGGAGUUUCUCCUAGCUAGAGUGUUGAGAGACAAAUAUUUUCCAGGAAAGACAUUUAAGGAGGCGAGUGGUGGGAGGAUAACGUCUUGGGGUUGGAAGGGUAUCGUUGAAGCACGUAAGGUGCUAGAUUAUGGUAUUCGGUGGCGGGUUGGUAAUGGAACUUGUAUCAAUAUUAGAGAGGACCCGUGGUUUCCUAAACCCACUACUUUCAAAGUACGGCCUUGGGAGGGCCUGCUGAUAAGAGAUCCAACGGCUAGAAUGGCAUGAUAGAUCAAGUCAGUUUUUCAAUGGUUAGAUAGCUGCCAGCUCAAAUAGAAAGUCAGUUAGUUAGUUAGUGAGAUAGCUUCCUAGCUAAGAUGAGAUCCCGUGUAUAAAGUCUGAAAUACAACACAGUUUGUAAUAAUUCAUUCUCUCUCUAAAGAUCAAUACACAGAAUAUUUUUCAUUCUUUCUCUCUCUCUUUUCGCAUUCAUUCUUCAGUUUGUUGUUCUUCAUAGAACCAUUCCUUAGUUCUGUUAACAUGGUAUCAAUCGCUCAGGACGAUCUGUUUGGUGUUUUCCGCUGAAGCUGCAUACUCUGAGGGCGUUGUUACAACUAAGAUUUCGGGGUUCUUGCUGAUGAAUUCAUUUUCAUUUCUGGGUUGCUGGUAUUCUCGAUCUUUGAUUCAUAUUGGUGCUUGAAAUUUGUUGCAUAUGAUGUGUUUGAUAUAUUGCCUCAGUGAAAUGUACAAGUGAUAUGAAGGCCGAUGCCAAUUGUUUGAAUCUGAUAGUUGUUUGCUUAAGAAAGUUUGAUGUUCGAAGUCUGAUUGUUUGAUAAAGAUUGGAAGGUUGAUACAUUGAAAAGUUGAAAGAUUGUAAUUGUGUCACUUCAUAGAAAGGCCAAAGCCAUUAGUAUACUAUUUUGUUCUUUGAUAAUCAAGUUUCAGAAGUAGUUUUUUGUCUAUUACUCCGUGCGUUACAAUGGCUGCAAAUUUUGUCAAGAUUGAAGGGUUACUUGGACUGAUUACUGUAAAGUUGCAAGAAGAUAAUUUUGUCAAAUGGAGCUAUCAAUUCUCAUCUGUUUUAAAAGGGUUAUGAUUUGUUUGAUUUCUUCAAUGGAGAGUCACAGUGUCCGCCAAAAUAUUGUAUUACAUCUGAAGGUGGGGUUACAAAUGAGAUCUCAAUGGCCUACAAACAGUGGGUUCAAAAAGAUUUGGCUUUGCUCAGUUUACUUGUUGCUACAUUAAGUGAUGAGGUUAUGGAUCAUGUAAUCGGAUGCAAGACUGCUCAAGAAGCAUGGGAAAAUUUGCAGGAAAGAUUUGCUUCUGUUUCUGUUGUGCGAAUAAAUCAGUUGAAAACUGAAUUUCAUACUGCACAGAAAGGGAAUGAUUCUGUUGACAAGUUUCUGUUAAGGCUGAAGGUGAUCAAAGAUCAACUAAUUUCUGCAGGGGAGAGAAUUACUGAGAAUGAUUUAAUGAUUGCUGUUUUGUCAGGUCUACCAUCAGAGUUUGAAGUUAUCAAGACUGUAAUUCUUGCAAGAGAUACUUUCAUUUUCUCUAAAAGAUUUUCGAGCUCAGUUGAUGGGUGUUGAAGCUGCACUUGAAACAAAGAUGAAUACUCUUGCUGGAACAAUGUCAGCAAUGUAUAUGAAUGGUGAAUCGUCAAAUGCAAGAGGACCUCAAGGUAGUUUUCAGAAUUUCGAGCAAGGAGAAAGUUCUAAUUCACAAAGAUAUCAAGGAGGUUUUAAUGGUGGUUCUGGUUUUGCUGGGAAUGGAGGUAGAUCUUUUCAACAGAGAUCUGGUUUUAAUAAUAACAGAAGGUUUAAUGGAAAUAACAACAGCAGCAAUUCAAGAUCUUAUUCCAACUUUGGUAACAAAUCUUAUGGCUCUAAUGGUUUGACUGAUAACAACAAGGGAUCUCAGAAUUACUAUAGUGGUUCAAACAACUUUUCUGGUGAAAAUGGUUUCAAGCAAGGAAGUGGAUGGACUGGUAACACAAACUACAAGUCUGCUGUGUCUCCAGAGUGUCAAAUAUGUUCUAGAAGAGGGCAUACUGCACCAAAUUGUUACUACAGGACUGAUAAUGGUCAAGCUAAUCCUAGAGGGCCAAUCUUUUGUCAAAUCUGUGGCAAGAAAGGUCACACUGCACUCCAAUGCUAUCACAGGAACAACUACUCGUAUCAAGGACCUCCUCCACCUCAAACCUUGAAUCAAUCACCUAUGGGAAUGUCUGCUCAGACUUCAACUACAAUGCAAGAGGCUCAAAGUGUCCAUGGGUUUUCAAAUGCAGAUACAUGGGUGGUGGACACAGGUGCAACUCAUCACAUGACAGCCAAUCUUGAUCACAUCAAUCAUGUCACUCCUUAUAAUGGUGAAGCUAAAAUCACUAUAGGCAAUGGAGCAGGUUUGAGUGUCAAGAAUAUUGGUGCAUCUAAACUCAUUACUGAUACACAUACAUUUUUGUUGAAUAAUGUGUUGCAUGUCCCACUAAUUACAAUGAAUCUGUUAUCAGUUAAGAAGCUAUGUAGAGAUAAUGGAUGCUGGUUUAUUUGUGAUGAUUUGGUAUUUUUUAUACAGGACAAGGCAACUCGGGUGAUUCUGUACCAAGGAAAGAGUGAUGAUGGAGAAUUAUUCAAGAUACCAGUCUCAGUUUUCAGAAGUUCCUUUGCUGCAAAAUUAGAGAAUUGUGCUGCAUUUCUUGGGAAGAAAGUAAGGAUUUCAGUGUGGCAUAGAAGGCUGGGACAUCCAUCUGAGGAAGUGUUGUCUACAAUGUUGAAGCAUGCAGGAAUAUUAAUGAAUAAUGAUUCUUCUCAAUCUCUUUGUUCAGCUUGUAUUUCUGGAAAAAUGUGUCAGUUACCAUUUUCUGUAAAACAAGUUAGAACUACUUCUAUGUUUGAAAAGAUACACUCUGAUGUUUGGGGUCCAUCUCCUCAUAAGUCCAUAGAAGGGUAUAGAUAUUAUGUGAGUUUUAUAGAUGAUUACUCAAGGUUUGUAUGGAUUUUUCCUAUGAUGAAUAAAUCAGAUGUGUUCCAAAUCUUUGUCAAAUUUCAUGCCUUUGUUCAUACUCAGUUUCAUAGUUCAAUCAAAUGCUUACAAACAGAUGGUGGUGGAGAAUAUGUGAAUAGAAUGAUGAAGAGUUUCUUAGAUCAAAAAGGUGUUAUACAUCAGGUGUCAUGUCCUUAUACACCUCAACAGAAUGGCAUUGCUGAGAGGAAACAUAGGCACUUGGUUGAAACAGCCUUAAGCUUAAUGACAGAUGCUUCCAUUCCGGCUAGUUUUUUUGGUAUCAUGCUUGUUCAUAUGCUGCAUUCUUAAUCAACAGAAUGUCAUGUAAAAGUCUUGACAAUAGAUCACCUUAUCAACUGCUUUUUGGUGAAAAUCCUACAAUUCACAAUCUUAAAAUAUUUGGAACUGCAGUAUAUCCAUAUCUAAGACCUUACAAUGCAAAUAAGCUGCAGAAUAGAUCAAGUCAGUUUGUUUUUCUUGGUUUUGCAGUAGGAUAUAAAGGAGUGAUUUGCUAUGAUAUACAUACUGGGAAAUUUAUAAUAUCAAGGCAUGUUAUACAUGAUGAAGAUACAUAUCCUUUCAAACGACAGUCUGUCAACAAGGAUAUUGAUCAUAGUCGUUCUCAACAGUCCACUCAAGGUCAUGUAGUUAUUCAGGUUCCUAUUCCCAGUUCUAGACAUCUUGAUGUACAUGAUGGUGAAUAUAGAAUACAAGAAGAAAACACAGUGUUAUCAGAUUCUCAAAGUACUGAAAGUCAGUCUACAAUUCCAAGUUUGUCUACAUCACACAGAUAUAGUGAUAGUACAGAUCAGUCAAGGGAAUCACAUGACAAUUCACAGCAAAACACAGUACCCAGUUCAACAGUUCCAAAUUCUCCUCAUCAUCACUCUGGUACAUCAUCAAUGUUGCCUGUCCAAUCAGCUUCUCAACUUCAGGUAACUUUACCAAUAUCAUCACAAAUUGAAACAAAUGUUCAUACUGACAAUUCUACUGGUGUGAAUAAUUCUUGUUCGAUGCAUCAAAUGGUUACAAGAUUGAAGAGUGGCACCAUUCAAAGACGGAAUUAUAAUGCUUUUAUAGCAUCAUUUCCUGAGUUACAAACUCUGCAAAUAACUACAGAAGAUCAGUUCGUGGGAGGCUAUAGUUUUUUGUCUACAAUAGCUGAUGUAUCAGAACCAACUACAUUUCGGAAAGCUGCUUCAAUGCCUCAAUGGCAACAAGCGAUGCAAGAUGAGUAUGACUCUCUUAGGAGUCAAGGCACAUGGAUUUUGGUACCUCCUCCCAAUGACAGAUCCAUUGUUGGUAGCAAGUGGGUGUAUAAAGUGAAGAAAAAUUCAAAUGGAAGUGUUUCAAGAUACAAGGCCAGACUGGUGGCUCAAGGAUAUUCUCAAGAGCAAGGUGUGGAUUACUUAGAGACUUUUAGUCCCGUAGUGAGACACACUACUGUGAGGAUAGUAUUAGCCUUAGCUGCAACCAAUAAUUGGAAGCUUAGGCAACUUGACAUCAAAAAUGCUUUUCUGCAUGGUGACUUACAAGAAGACAUUUAUAUGAAGCAACCACAGGGAUUUGUUGAUGCAUCUCAUCCUACAUAUGUGUGUAAACUAAUCAAGUCCCUGUACGGAUUAAAGCAGGCCCCAAGAGCAUGGAAUUCGAAGUUCACUUCCUAUCUGGCAGCAAUGAAUUUUCAGCCUUCUGCUUCUGAUACAAGCCUAUUCACUAAGAAAGAUGGCAAUGAUAUUGUCAUUCUUCUCCUAUAUGUCGAUGAUAUAAUCCUUACAGGCUCAAAUUCUCUUAACGUACAGAAAGUGAUUGAUGAAUUGUCUGAAGUAUUUGAGCUCAAGGACAUGGGACAAUUGACAUAUUUUCUGGGAUUGCAGAUUGCUUACAAGUCAAAUGGGGACAUUUUUGUGAAUCAAGCCAAAUAUAUAAAGGAUUUGAUUCAUAAGGCAGGUAUGGACUCAUGUAAGCCUGCUAAUACUCCCUGUAAACCACAUGAUCAAAUGCUUAUUUCAGAUGGUCUUCUCAUGACCGAUCCCUCUCUUUAUAGAAGUCUUGUUGGUUCAUUACAAUACCUGACCUUCACUAGGCCAGAUAUUGCAUAUGCUGUUAACACAGUAUGUCAAUUCAUGAAUUCCCCUACAGAAAUGCACUAUGGAGCAGUGAAACGCAUACUAAGAUACCUACAAGGGACUUUGACUUAUGGAAUACUAUAUUCUGCUGACACAGUGACAACAUUAACUGCAUUUUCAGAUGCAGAUUGGGCAGCAGAUCUUAACACUCGCCGUUCAAUCACAGGUUAUGUGGUAUAUUUGGGCAAUAAUCCUGUGUCUUGGCAAUCCAAGAAGCAAAGUUCAGUGUCAAGAAGCUCCACGGAAGCAGAAUAUAAGGCCCUUGCUCACACUGCCGCUGAUGUUGCUUGGGUGAGGGGAAUAUUGAAGGAUUUGGAAGUAUUUUUGCCAUUGCCACCUACGAUUUAUUGUGAUAAUUUGUCCACCAUUGCACUCAGUGCAAAUCCAGUGUUUCAUUCUCGAAUUAAACAUCUUGACACGGAUUUUCACUUUAUAAGGGAGAGAGUUCAACAAGGGGAUUUGGAGGUUGUUUACAUCCCAACAGAAGAUCAAACAGCCGAUGUACUUACAAAAGGCCUGCAUAGUCCAACAUUUCUCAAACAUUGUUACAAUCUUAGGCUUGGUGCCCAAGCCACGAUUGAGGGGGAAUGAUAAGAGAUCCAACGGCUAGAAUGGCAUGAUAGAUCAAGUCAGUUUUUCAAUGGUUAGAUAGCUGCCAGCUCAAAUAGAAAGUCAGUUAGUUAGUUAGUGAGAUAGCUUCCUAGCUAAGAUGAGAUCCCGUGUAUAAAGUCUGAAAUACAACACAGUUUGUAAUAAUUCAUUCUCUCUCUAAAGAUCAAUACACAGAAUAUUUUUCAUUCUUUCUCUCUCUCUUUUCGCAUUCAUUCUUCAGUUUGUUGUUCUUCAUAGAACCAUUCCUUAGUUCUGUUAACACCUGCAAGCAACAAUGGCGAGUGAACUGAUUGAUUCGAACUCAAAGACUUGGAAUGCAGACGUGAUCUUGGCGGGCUUUAAUCAGGACGAUGUGGCACCGAUUUUAAGCAUUCCGUUUAAGCAGGAAAUGUUGUAGUGACAGGUUGGUGUGGCACCACACUACGAAUGGGGUGUACACGGUUAAAUCCGGCUAGGGGGUGGCGUUGGGUCUUAUGGAAAAUGGAGCACUGUGGAGGAAAGGGCCGGGAUCGGCGAGAAAACAAAUCACAAUCAGGUGUGGAAUAGGAUAUGGAGUUUGGAGGUCCCUAAUAAAAUGAAAUUUUUUGUAUGGAGGUGUUGCAAAAAUGCUUUGGCGGUUAGACAAAAUCUGCAGAGACGACAUAUGAAGACUGAUAAUGUAUGCGGGGUGUGUAGCCUAUGUGAUGAAACGGAAAACCAUUUGGUUUUCCACUGCGAACUCAGCCACCUAUUUUGGUUAUGUUCGCCGCUUCAACUUAAUUCCUUUGAUUUGGAAUGCGCUGACUUCUUAGAAAGCUAGGAGAAAUUCUGUAACCGUGUUAAGGGAAUGGAAAAUGCAGCUGAGAUCAUGCAAGAAUUUGUCUUCGGGUUAUGGAGACUAUGGAAAAACAGAAAUGAGGUGGUUUUAAAUGGAGUGCACUGAUGGCCUUUAGAGGUUUUGGAGGUAUGGAAGAGGAACAUCUCUGAAUUCAGAGAUGCGAAGGCACAUGGGGUAGCGGGAGUGAGUCCAAAUACGGGGACGACGACCUUGGCAUUGAAACGACAGAACGAACAAUGGCAGAAAUUGGGGUUUGGGACAAUUAAGAUUAAUACCGAUGCGGCUUGGUGCAAGUAUACGUUGCGUGCGAGAGUGGGCUGGGUUGUUCGAGAUUUUGCAGGUUUGCUGCAAGCAGCGGGAGGCUUGGGAGUUAUGCAUUGUCAUAAUGCAGCAGAGGCUGAAGCUACAACAAUCUGUGAAGCUUUGGAGUUUUGCAUUGAGCUGGAGUUGACAACUUGAUUAUUGAAUCCGAUGAAAAGGUGAUUAUUCAAAUGACUGACUCAUGAUUAUAGCCUUGAAUGUAUCCUUGGUGACAUUGAGACUCUAGCGCAAAGUUUGAGGUCGGUAACGUUUGACUUUGUGUCUAGAGAGAGUAACCGUGCUGCUCACUCGGUGGUUAAGUUUGUGUUUAAGGAGGGUCAUUCCUUUGUAUGAGAUUGUAUUGGUCAUGAGUUCUUGUUUAAUAUUAAUUAGUGCAAGAUAUUAACUUUUCUAUUCGAUUAUAAUAAAUUCUAUAUUUUGGAAAGAAAAAAAAAUUGAACUCAUAAUCUUCUCCAAAAAAAAAAGGGAAAUCUAGAGCCGCUAACCCAGAGCUCUUAAAAGAAACCAAACUAGGGAAGAUUGUUUAGAGAAUUGGCUAGAGUUGUUGCUUUUUUAUUUAUGAGUCGAGCGACAAUGUUAGUAAAUUAAAUGUUAGAUUAGCUACCAACGAGGUUUGAAUUUAUGUCAUCAUGUAAGGGCACAACACUUUCCACUACUGUGGUAAAGGGCUAAAAUUUUAAUAAUAGAUAAUUAGGUGAAUGAUUUUCUGAUUACUCUAUGUCAACAAUAACAUAUACACACACACACACACAUACAAAUUCAACAUCCAAUUACGCCUAUUUCUAAGGCUAGGAAUCCGUGAUCCACCUUUGAUCUAGACUAAAACAGGAAAUUAAGGUAAAUCUUGCAAAUAUAUUACAAAGAUAAUUCUCAACACAAAACGAUAAUGAGCAAAGAAAGUGUAAUAAAUAUUGUUGUAGAAAAAUUAAGAGAAGGUGCUGUAUUUAGUAACCCAUACACGAAAAUUUUGGUAGAAAUAAUUCGACCCCAAAAGAAACUUUGAAAUAGGAAUUGAGGAGUAGUGCUACAAAUAGCACAAGAAAGUUUGAAUGUUUGUAGUAUUUGGGUAUGCAAACCUUUACACGACCUUAUCUAUACUCAAAAAGUUGAAUUAUGUAUUAUGUAUUAUAUGGAGAGUAACUUAGUGUCUUGAAGAAUAUAAAUUAUGGUUUAAAAAGUCCUCGUUGUAAAUUUUGAAAAUUUGUUGGAUAUGAUCACAUGUAGUUACAAUUCAAGUGUUGUCUUCUUUUUUUAUUUUUAUUUUUUUGUCAAAGCUUGAGGUAUCUCACAUCCCAAAAGGUAGACUAAUUUUUAGUGGAGCUUGGAAAGGCUAACAGUCCAGCCUAUCCCUGGCCACAAUUAAAUACCACAUUUCCUCCCAAGAUUUUUAAUCAGAUAAUCACUUGUAUUUUUGCCAACUUUGUGCCUACCACAGAGCAUACUGAACUUGAAAUUCUAACGUGUUUCUACUGCACCACUUGCAGUGGUUAUUGUUUAUACUAUCAAGAGGACAGACUUUGUCAUAAUUUUUGUGAAAAUACCAUUUAUGUCCACACAUCUUUUUAUCCUUAGUUGCGAUAAAUAACCUUUAUAUAAUAAGAUUAAAAUAGGAAUUUUGUGGAUUUAAAUUAUUAAAUUAAAUUAGAGUUCUUCCACGUUUUUCUCCAUCUUUUUUCAAUAUGUUUCUCCCACGUGCAUAGAACGAUUGAAUGUUUGUAAUAUGCGAACCUUUUACACGACGUGACUUAUACUCGGACAAAAAAAUUGAAUUUUAUCGUUGGCCGCUAAAGUCCCAUUUGACCUUGACAUAAUUUAUCAUGCAUUAUUUGGAGAGAGAAUAAAGUGUCUUUAACGAAUAUAAAUUAUGAUUAAUAAAUCCUCGUUGUAAAAUUUCAAAAAUCAUAAGGUAUUACUAAUAUAAGUGUUGUAUAUACUAUUAUUUUAUUUUUUUUGUCAAAUCUGGAGGUAUCUCACAUCCCGAAGAAUAAGAUUAAUUCUCAGUGAGGCCUGUCAAGGCUAAGGCAUUACACCUAGGCCUGACAAUUCCUGACACGACUCGAUAAUCCAACACGACACGACACGAAAUUAACAAGUGUUCGGGUCGACACGAUAACGAAACGGGUCGUUAUCGGGUAACCCGAUAAGCACCUGUUAAGAUAACGCGUUGGUUCGGGUAUACACGUGGGUAACACGAUACACGAUAAGCAGAAUAUUAAUUUAAUAAUUUUAUAACCCUAAAAAACUAUUAUAAUAAUUAUAUAUAUUAAUUUAACAAUUUUAUACCCCUAAAAACUAUAAUAAUUAUAUAUAUAUAUAUAUAUAUUAAAUUAACUAUAAUAAUUAUACCCCAAAAAUAUUAACUAUAAUAGUUAUAUAUAUAUAUAUAUAUAUUAAAUUUUAUACCCCCUAAAAACUAUAAUAAUUAUACAUACAAAAUAAAUAGAUUUAAAUCUACUUAAUAAAUAAAUAAAUAUAUAUAUACAUACACACACCAUUGAAGUUCAUGGGAUACGAAUUAUACGAAACUAAUUUCAACGAUCUAACCGUCAAACUUGUUUGUAUAUGCUUCGAGAUUGCAUCAGCAAAAAAUUACAAAAAAAAAACAUUCACAGAUCAAGUAACGAGACAAAACUUUCCGACAGUUAUAAACGAAAAAAUCACGAUUUAACGGUUAUUUUAACUCCGAUUUUGAUGAUUUUUUACAGCUACACUCCUUGACCCUAUAUGAAUACAAUGAAUAAAUUUGAUCUUCAAUUUAAAAUAUUUACACUAGUGGAUACCACAAAAUCUUAUGUUAUAUUUGAUGAAAGUAUGAAUAAACUCUUAAGUGUUAGUGAAUCAAUUGUUUUGAUGGGAUACGCAUUCUACGAAACUAGUUUCAACGAUCCAACCGUCAAACAUGUUUGUAUAUACUUCGAGAUCACAUACGCCAAAAAUUGCAAAAAAAAAAAACAUUCAGAGAUCAAGUAACGAGACAAAACUUUUCGACGGUUAUAAACGAAAAAUCACGAUUUAACGGUUAUUUUAACUCCAAUUUUGAUAAUUGUUUACAGCUACACUCCUUGACCCUAUAUGAAUACAAUGAAUGAAUUCGAUCUUCAAUUUAAAAUAUUUACACUAGUGGAUACCACAAAAUCUUAUGUUAUACUUAAUGAAAAUAUGAAUAAACUCUUAAGCGUUAGUGAAUCUAUUGUUUUGAUGAGAUACGCAUUUUGCGAAACUAGUUUCAACGAUCCAACUGUCAAACUUGUUUGUAUAUGCUUCGAGAUCGCAUACGCCAAAAAUUGCAAAAAACAAACAUUCAGAGAUCAAGUAACGGGACAAAACUUUUCAACGGUUAUAAACGAAAAAUCACGAUUUAACGGUUAUUUGAACUUCGAUUUUGAUGAUUUUUUACAUCUACACUCCUUGACCCUAUAUGAAUACAAUGAAUGAAUUCGAUCUUCAAUUUAAAAUAUUCACACUAGUGGAUACCACAAAAUCUUAUGUUAUACUUGUUAAAAGUAUGAAUAAACUCUUAAGUGUUAGUGAAUCUAUUGUUUUGAUGGGAUACACAUUCUACGAAACUAGUUUCAACGAUCUAACCGUCAAACAUGUUUGUAUAUACUUCGAGAUCGCAUACGCCAAAAAUUGCAAUAAAAACAAACAUUCAGAGAUCAAGUAAUAGGACAAAACUUUUUUACGGUUAUAAACAAAAAAUCACAAUUUAACGGUUAUUUUAACUCCGAUUUUGAAACUUUUUUACAGCUACACUCCUUGACCCUAUAUGAAUACAAUGAAUGAAUUCGAUCUUCAAUUUAAAAUAUUUACACUAGUGGAUACCAUAAAAUCUUAUGUUAUACUUAGCGAAAAUAUGAAUAAACUCUUUAGUGUUAGUGAAUCUAUUGUUUUGAUGAGAUACGCAUUUUGCGAAACUAGUUUCAACGAUCCAACCGUCAAACUUGUUUGUAUAUGCUUCGAAAUCGCAUAUGCCAAAAAUUGCAAAAAAUAAACAUUCAGAGAUCAAGUAACGGGACAAAACUUUUCGACGGUUAUAAACGAAAAAUCACGAUUUAACGGUUAUUUUGACUCCGAUUUUGAUGAUUUUUUACAGCUACACUCCCUGACCCUAUAUAAAUACAAUGAAUGAAUUCGAUCUUCAAUUUAAAAUAUUUACACUAGUGCAUACCACAAAAUCUUAUAUUAUACUUGAAAGUAUGAAUAAACUCUUAAGUGUUAGUGAAUCUAUUGUUUUGAUGGGAUACGCAUUCUACGAAACUAGUUUCAACGAUCCAACCGUCAAACAUGUUUGUAUAUACUUCAAGAUUGCAUAUGCCAAAAAUUGCAAAAAACAAACAUUCAGAGAUCAAGUAACGAGACAAAACUUUUCGACGAUUAUAAACGAAAAAUCACGAUUUAACGGUUAUUUUAACUCCGAUUUUGAUGAUUUUUUACAGCUACAUUCAUUGACUCUAUAUGAAUACAAUGAAUGAAUUCGAUCUUCAAUUUAAAAUAUUUACACUAGUGGAUACCACAAAAUCUUAUGUUAUACUUAAUGAAAGUAAGAAUAAACUUUUAAGUGUUAGUGAAUCUAUUGUUUUGAUGGGAUACACAUUCUACAAAACUAGUUUCAACGAUCUAACCGUCAUACUUGUUUGUAUAUGCUUCGAGAUCGCAUACGCCAAAAAUUGCAAAAAACAAACAUUUAAAGAUUAAGUAACGGGACAAAACUUUUAGACGGUUAUAAACGAAAAAUCACAAUUUAACUGUUAUUUUAACUCCAAUUUUGAUAAUUUUUUACAACUACACUCCUUGACCCUAUAUGAAUACAAUGAUUGAAUUCGAUCUUCAAUUUAAAAUAUUUACACUAGUGGAUACCACAAAAUCUUAUGUUAUACUUAAUGAAAGUACGAAUAAACACACUAGUGGGUCACUUUCAUUAAGCUUUGAGUUCCAUUGGCAAGGUUUAAAUUUUUGAGAAAGGCUUCACAACCUUGAAAACAAAAACGCUUUCAUUUUGCAUAUCCUUGCACAUUUAAUAUUUGUAAUAGAUUAGUAGUGUAUUUUUUAUGAGGCUCUUAUUUUCGAGUGUAGAUGUAGUACUGAAGCGAAAAAUGUGUUUUAAUGUUUUGAAGUAAUAUUUAUGUGACAAUGUGUGGUAUGUGCAAAUUUAAGAAGAAAAAAAAUAUUUUUCUUAAUGGGUCAUAACGGGUCGGGUCACUUUACCCAUUGGGUAAAGUGACCCGACCUGUUCAGGACCCGUUAAGAUAACAGGUGUGACACGACACGACCCGUUAAGAUAACAGGUGUUACAUAAAAACGACACGAACACGACUGACACGACCUGUUUGCCAGGCCUAAUUACACUCCACUUUUGGCUAUGGUCAAAUGGCACACAUCUUCUUAAAACUUUCAACUAAAAAAUCAUAUGUAUUUUUGCCAACUUCGUACCUCGAACUCAAAGGCCACAAAGUAUACAUGGUUUGGAAUUUUACUGCAUUUCUACUAGACCAUUUACCGUGAUUGUUGUCUAUAAUAUUAUUUAGAGAACACACUCUCUCUGACUUUUCUUCAAAUACCAUUUAUGUCCCCACAGGUCCCCUUUUUUAUCCUUAGUUGCAAUAAAUAACCUUAAUAUAAUAAGAUUAAAAUAGACUUUUAUUUAAAAUUCUUCCACAUUUUUCUCCAGCUUCUCUUUCGAUAUGUUUCUCCUACAUGCAUAGCAUGUGUGAGAUUGCUAUUAUAACAAAAGAGUUGAUUAAUAAUACAUAUCAGGUGAUGAUAUUACAACUUACACUUAAAGAGUUUCUCAAUAAUUUCGGGUAAUAUAUUGUGACAACUUUUUUUUAAAUGAAAAUAAUAAUAUACUACUCUAAGUUUACGUACACUUAGAAAAGGAAAAGAGUUUAAUCCGUAACACAAUAAAUUGAAGAGAAAGACUCUAUUCACCAAAGCAAAUCCAUCACUUGCAUUGUGACAUCUUUCUGACAUGCAACUUUUCUUUAGGGGUGUGAUAUCCACACACCCCAUUUUACUUCUCACACACCUUUUUAAUUUUCGGCUGUCAGAUCGGAUGAAUUGAAGAAGAUCAACAGACAGAAAUUAUCAAGGGGUGUGUGAGAAGUAAAAUGAGGUGUGUGGAUAGCACACCCCUUUCUUUAUUUCAUUACAUAUCAUAUCUUUUGCAUGUAAAUUUUCUUGAUGAUUUCCAAAUUUUAAAACGAUGCAAAACAACAUUAAUUAGUUUAAACUCAAACUAGCUCAAUGGGGAGGAGUAUAUGAAUUGAAUUCAAUUAGUGCACGCCAAGUGUUUGAUAUAUAUUUUGAUGCUCCAGAGUCCACAGGCAUAUCGUUCAUGAUAUUGCAUGCCAUUGUAAAAAGAAAACGUUCAUUAUUACAUGACUCACGUCAAUGCAUAUUAAUUUAGAUAUCACGUAUAAUUAAAAAGGUUUUACUAUACCGAUUGAGUCAUUUUUUCGAUGUGACAGUUACAUUGUCAUGUGAUGUUUGUGGAUGCAAAUUCUUUUGCUCCUUGUUCUUGGACAAAAUUACAUCUACAAAACAAAUAACACCUUAGGUCAAGGCCAAAAGCCUCACGCGCCCACAAUGAAUGGGGGGGGCUUUGGCCGAAGAACCUCUGAUGUCAAAGUUAGAAUUUAGAGAGAAAAGUGUUUGGAGAGUUUUUGGAAGUUUUGCAAGAGUGUCGAACCUAGGUUUUUAGAGAAAAUGGGGUGAUAUAUAUAGGGCAUGGCCGGUCCCCUUUGGAGAAAAGGUGGCCGGCCCUUUGGGGUAUUUUUGUGUGAGAUGGGUGAUUUAAUUGGCAAUUAAUAGAUUAAUUAGGUAAUAAAUCCAUUAAUUAGCCAAUUAACUCAAUUUAUAUGGAAUUUGAAGAUUAUGGAACAAAUACCUCAUGGAGAAUAUAGGAUGAAGAUAGAUGAAAUAAUUUUGAAUUUGUUACCUAUUUUGGGCACUUUUGGCUUGAUUGAAGAAUGGUUGUCCACUGCUCGAUCGUAGGAAAUCCGGUGUGCCUCAAGGGUAAGUUUGUCCUUUUCAUCAAAAAUUCACGUGUCACCUUAUGAUUAGUUUUGGCUCCACAAUAUUAUUUAUCCAUCAAAUUAUAACGUGCGAAGUACUAACACCAAGUGACAGUGGAGCCGUCUCAAUCCAAGGUUGGCAUCAAAGGUGCCUUUUAAACCAGAUGUAGAGUCCUCACUAUGCACACACACAUAUAUAUGGUAUAAUAGGCAUCUCUGCAAACAUUGUCAGAGGUUUUGUGGAGCAGGUAAUAAAUUUUCGCAAUUCUGCAGUUUAACUUCUUGUCAAUAAAUGGCAGUUGCUCUUAAACUCACUGUUAAAUUAAGGAUGGUGCUAUAUACACAUCAUUUUUUUUACCUCUCACACAUUUUUCUUAAUUUUAGCCAUCAGAUUGAAUGAAUUAAAAAAAUUAAUAGACAAAAUUACCAAUGAUGUGUUAGAGGUAAAAAGAGGUGUGUGAAUAGCACUACCUUAAAUUAGAAGAAAACUAAUGAAAAGAGCUUGAAAACUUUGAGUUUUAACGAUAAGGACAAAAUAAAGGGUAAAGUAAAUAGUACCAGGUUUGACUUUUUAGUGUAAAAAUGUGGUUUUUCGUUAAGGUAAACAGUACCGUGGGCUUUUUGUUAAAACUUCAUAAAUUAAAAGGUAAAUAAACUCAUGCUAGAGCUAAAGAUGCAUACAUGCCCAAAAAGAAAUAGUAAAUAAAGAAUUUAUUCUAUACUUCGUCAUAUUCAGUCAACUUCUUCAUAUACAUUGUAAAGCUAAUACACUUUAAUUUUACAUGUAAGGAAAAAAAAAACCUAGACUGCAGGCAUUUUCCUGUGCUUAUUCACUGCUAGGAAAAUAUAUAAAAUGUUUAAUUUGAUUUAAAAUUAAUUCUGCUAAUGCUUUUCGUUGAUGGUUGCACUUCGAUGUAGAAUCUUUGGAAUUGGUACUACUUCAAGGUGUGGUCGGAUUUGGACCUCCGGAAGGGGUAGUGCUCCUAAGUAUUUGCCUGAUCAAAGGGAAGAAGGGACGAUCCAUCUGAUGCAUAAACUUUUCUUCCCCAUGCAACACUCUGCAGGCCUCGGACGAUUGCAUGUUCAUAAGAAAAACCAUUAAAAACACUGCCACCAAAAAUAUUUUUAGAAACUUCAUUUUGUUGGGCAAACAAAGACUAUUUUGCAUCUAAUUUUCUGCGGAAGAAGAAAUGAAGGAAUGAAUGAAGAUAAAGUUAAAGGUUUGUUGCGAAAACAAAGAUUUUGCUUCUUUUAUCUGUCUGUGAAAAACAGAAAGGAUUGAAGGAAUUAAGGAAUGAAUGAAUAGAUGGGGAACAUGGGGCUUUUUACAUGCAUCAAUUAAGACCAACUUUCAUAUGACUUUGAUUUUUUAAUAUAAAUCUAUUUGUUUCGUUGUUUUGACUAUUAAAUGAUGAUUAUAUGCUAAGGACUUAGAAUUGAAUGGGUAGUCAUAUCCGCAAGGGUUUUGGUUUUAGGGUUUCACUGUAUUGUGGACCUGUAAAAAAUCAAAGCUAAUUAAUUAUAGGCUUAGAUGUCAAAAUUGUCCUUGUGUUAUAACUAUAUAUGGUCAAUUUAGUCCACAUGUUUUCGAUUUGGCUAAUUUAGUCCUUAUGUUAGUCUCCUUUAGUCAAUUAAGGACAUUUUAUUCAGUCUUGUUAAAAAAAAUCAUAAGAAAAAUUAUAAGAUAUAUGAUUACCCUUUCUCUUUACAGAAAAAUGCAAAUCAAUGAGAAAUAACACAUAUAAGAGAUAAAACUUCCAAUCUGAAAAAUGAUUAAGGUUGUGACAUAGAAAAUAGAGCGGGUAACGUUAGGAAGGAGACUUCGGGGAGUUGGGAGGACAUUAAUUUUUCUUUUAAUUUUUAAUUUUUAUUUCAUUUUAAAAUCAAAUAAAUAAUUUUAUAAUAAUUAUAAUUUUUUGUAAUAAUUUAAUAAUUAAGUUAUAAUAGUUUAUACAGAAAUUAGAUGGAAAUAUCCUUAAUUGGCUAAAGGAGAUAAACACAAGGACCAAAUUGGUCAAAUUAAAAACAUAUGGACUAAAUUGACUUAAUGACUAAAACACAUGGAUCUUUUUAACAUUUAAGCCUUAAUUAUAUAAUAACACAAUCCUUUCUUGAUGCCCAAAAAUAGCACAUUUUUUCUACUCUUAAGUUCCUGCAAGAAACAUUUUACGCCUAAUUUAAGUUGAGCUGCCACUCAGUACUAUGGUCUAGUGGUAUUCCUCUUCACUUGAAUGUGGCUGGACGAUCGUCCGACGCCCCAAAAAAUUGGGGGCACCAAAAUUAUUAAAGUGUUAUGUUAUAUUGAUAUAUAUUUUUUAUAAGAGUAUAGAUUUUAAUUUGGUUAAUUGACAAAGAAAUUUAACUAUAAUUGGUGGUUUUUUUUUUUUGUUAAAAUUAAUGAGGAGGUCUUGGGUUCAAAGCACCAUGUGUGUUUAUUUUAUUUUCAAUUUUUACAAAUUUCUUUUCAUAUGAGUAUAAAUGUAUAAAAUUUGGUAAGUAGUUGUUUAUUUUAUUUAAAAUAAACAAGGAGGUCCCGGGUUCAAAACAAUAUAUGUCUCUUUUACUUUUCAACUUUUACGAAUUUCUUUUCAUGGGUUUAAAGUUAUGAAAAUUGGCUAAAUGAUCUAGAGGUUAAUCAAAAGUAAUGGUUUUUGUUGCUAAAAUUAAUGAGAGAUCUUGAGUUCGAAAUGUUGUGUGCAUGUUUGUUCUUUUCAAUUUUUACGAGUUUCUAUUUGGUUGUUAAUUUCUUUUUAAUUAUUAGCUAUUAGAUAUGUGGGUUGCAAUUUUAAAACAUUUGUGUCAAUUCAAGUCUAAAUUUAAACAAAGAGUAAUGCAUAGACCAAAUUUGCAAAUCAUAUGAUGUGUCACCAAUAAGUUUAAUUUAGUAUCAUUUAUUCCUUAUACAUAUCAAUUAAAGACUCGAAAGCAUCAUUAUUUUUAUAGACCCAUAUUGACAAGAUUAGUAAAUAAGAAAAAACACAUCACGAUUUAUAUAAAAACUUUCAGGUAGAAAAACAAGACUCAUCAUCCAUCUACUUGUAAGCCCGAGGUUUUUUCGUUCCUGUACAAAAGAAAUUAAUUUUUCCGUGCUUCUAAAUUAUUGAGCUUGAAGUGCUUUUGUAAGUAAUAACUUUAUUGAAGUUUUACGUGCGAAAACAAUAAUUUUCUUAUAUAAAGUUAGGUCACAUUUUUUUGGGUCGCCCAGGGCCUUAAAAAUCUCAAGACCGACCCUGCUUUAAGCAGGUUAUUACUUAAUAAAGGUGCAGCUAAAAAAAUAGUAUUAUUGUUUACUUAGUUAUCCUCAAUAAAAAUUGUAUAGAUACAAAGAACUAUUGACCAAAAAAAAAAAAAAGAUAAGAAGAACUAUUAGUGGAGUACGUUGGUUUCCAAGAUGUAAAAUCUGAAAAAAAAAAAAAAUACACUCAACCUUUAAAAUCUAUUGCAUAUAUGUACGUAUGUAGUACUUUCUUUAAGUUAAAUGCCUAUCUAUAAACAUGCUUGUGAAGCUAAAAACAGUAUGGCUUCAACAAUAAAUUGUUCAUAUUGACGAGGUAUUACGUACUCGUAAGUUCAAAGGCGUGAUAUUAACUCUAAAAAAUAAAAUAUUGUCUCAAAUAAUUAUAGAGAAAUAUUUUAGUUCAUCUUAAAUGUUUACUUGUGACAUUGCAUAUUUUUGUACUUAUGGACAAUUAUUAUUAUAUGGAGGUGAUUUUCCUUAAUACGGGACAUAUGACAAUUAUAACUUAUUACAAUGUAGAGUUUAUUUAUAUACAUAACUAGCUCCAAUUUUUGACCAUAAAUUUUUAUGACUAUAAAGAAGGUUAUUCUUAAAUAGAGCAUUCUUAUAAAGAUGUUUUACUAUAUAUUUUUAGGCCUAUUUUUUAUUAAGUUGUCCUGAUUCAAUUAUGUUUUCUUUUAGUUUUAUUAACAAUUACUAAUACUAUAGAGGUAAUUUGACCAACUCUUGUAGAGUUUUUGUUACUACUAGCAAUUGAGGCCCGCGCGAUGCUGUGGGUUUCAAAAUGAUCUUAAACGUGUACAAAGUAGGGCUUAUAUACAUGAGAAAAUAUGUGCCAAAGUAAGGGAUAUACAUAUAUUACAUUCUUAUAUUACACGACAAAAAUUGGGAUGGUCGUACGCCAUAGCCAGAGAGUUCUAUUUACAUUUAUAUAUUACAUGCAAAAAGUUGAGGAUGUUAGUAUAUCAUCCUCAGAGAUUGUUUUUCAAAAGCUAUGGUCCUAUCCCAGGGAGACUUUUACAUCUAAAACUGUACACAACUCAAAAAGUAAGAUUUGUUUCACUAAAGACACCCAUAUACGUAACUCCUCACGUUAAUGGUGCCUCCUCCAUCUUGCAUGACAACGAUGAACUGAAGAAAAAAAAACAUUGACAUAAGAAUUGAAUGACUCUAAAUUGCAUAUAUUUUGCAGCCAUAAUAAAUAAACUCUCUAGAUUUUCCAGUUGGUCUCAUCGACAACCCAAAUAAAAUAUUUAUAUCUAUAUUAUGCAAUAUUUAUAAGAUAUAGUUCUGUGUUAGAGAAACUACUCAUUGAAGAUGGGAAAAAAAAUUGUUAAGAAAAUUGAUUUAUGAGUGUUGGGAUCCAUACUCUAUUCACUGGGAGUUAUAUCUGUGUUUGCUACAUUCUCGUCAUCGGUCUCUUCAAAUGCAUAGGUCUCUUCACUGUAUCCACUUGUGGUAUCACUUGGAUCAUGUAAAAUGAAGAGAGAUUAAAGCAUCAGUGCACAUCUAGUAAUGGAAAAAAGGUUUAUGUCAAUUAUUUAUUUUUUUAUAAAGACUAACCUUUUAGAUUUUUUUUGUUGGUGUAGAGGUGAAAAGACUCUUUUUGACUGGCUCCCUUUGUCGUUUCUUUGAACUUGAACUGCUCUCAGUUGGAGAUGAAGGUAGAGAUUUCUUGAGUGAGAGUGGUGGUGUGCAUGGUAACAUUUCAUGAACCAUAUGUUUCUUCCCAAGGUUACUUAUUGCUUCAUCAUCUUUGUUGUUGUUUGAAGGGUGAAUUUGUGCUUGAUCCUUGAAAACAGUUUGGAUGAGCAAGUCAUUUCUGCUUGUGUCACUUUUAACUUUCCCAAGUUUGAGUUGGAAAAGUUUGAUUUGACCUUUUACUCGGAGUAUUUGUUGUGGUAAUUCAUUUUGGUCACAGAAACUUUUGUUGAUUACUAAUUCUUCACAUGUGAUUCCAAAUAGUUCUUCGGCUGAUUUACCUAUAAUGAUGGCAUUGGUUUCGUCAUUGGCAUCUUCAAGAAUUAAACUAACUUUGAACCUGCGUUGAAAUUGAUGUGAUUAUUUAUAAAGAAGUAUAAUUAAGUUUAUGUUUUAUAUAGUAAUAGAUUCAGAGUAAUUUUGUAUUACCAAGCAAUAGGGUUUUGAAUAUCAUCAGUUGGACAAACCAGCAUGUCACUUUGAGGCUUUGGUUUUAGUUGUUUGAAGCAGAUUAGACAUGCCUUGUACCACCAGCCGUUACUCAAAUCAAACCGUGCAACUGCUGCUCUGCACAGAAAUGGAGUGUUCUGCAAUAUUUGUUAAAGAAUGAUGAGUAUAAUUUGAACAGACACGAACCUACAUUCUUAUACUCUUCAUCCAGUUUUCAGGAAAUGUUUUAGACAUCAAUGAAAACUGUAUGUGCAAUCAAAACAGAAUUUCUAUUAUACUAAUUGCAUGGAUACAAAAGCUGACAACCCAGAAAAACGAAUUUUGAGACCAAUAUAACACUGUUAAAUAUACAACAUUGUUAAAUUUGGAAUGCAUUCCAUUUUACCUGAUAAAGAUUUAGAUCCAAGAUAUUCAAUUGCCCUACUGAUAGUUUUUCAGCGGCAUCCAAUUGAUCUGGUGUCAUUAGUUGUGCUGAGGUUGGAAUCAUUUUCAAAGCAUGACUGGAACUGGCAAAGUUUUUGCACAUUUUGUGUUAAGUGGUAACACAAUGAGAUUGAAUUUUAAUAUUAUUUGAGUGAUAUAUAUAUAUAUAUAUAUAUUGUUCAGAAAAUGGUAAAAAAAACUUACAUUGAUUUGUAAUUUGCUGCUUCUGGUAUUUUUGGGUUUAUGAAAAACAAAGUGCAUCCGGUACUGCUAAGCAUUGUGUUUCCUGUGGGUUUGCAGAUAUGGAAGCAUGUUAUUUUUUGUAAUACAAUGUAAACAUUGGAAAGAAGUAAAGUUAAGUUGUAUACCUAGGAACCGUUUUACUUUGAGACUUGUGAACACAGCCACAAUUGGUGAUGGUUGUUGUGUUACAACUUCAAUAUCAAAGGUCCUGGCGCAGUCUCCCCAAAGUGUAACUCUCACUUCUUCGUUUCUGACCAAAGAAGUUAGAGCAAAAUAUUACGAAACAUUUCCAACUCGUUUACUUUUGGAGUCCAUAUAUGUGUGUGUGAAAACCAUUUUGCAGAACACUCCAUUUCUGUGCACAGCAUUUCCAACUUGUUUACUUUCAGAUUUUCACCAACCUAGCAACCUUCAGUUCUUCGACAAUCAACAUUCACAUAUCAAAAGAAGAAAAAAUUAAAAACAGAACUUGAUUACUCAUUAAUGAAAUCACCUUAAAUUGCAUAUGGAUCACCAUAGGUUCAGGUUCCUGCAUCAAUAGUUUUUGUAUUCCACCCAUCUAAAUACAAUUGCCUAUUCUUUCCCAUAAUGUCAGUCAUGUUAUAGUUGAAUAUACGCUUGACACGUAUUCAAUGUCUAAUGAACGAUUACCACAUGAUAAAAUGAUUACCUGGUGUUUUGAAGGUGAACGUCACAUUUUGUUUCCAGUCUUUCUUUGUUAACCAUUCUGUCUUCCAAUGGUUGCACUGAUGUGAUAUGUCCCAUAACAUCUUGCAAUUUGGCAAUCCAAUAUCCUAAGAUUAUAGCAUGAAAAAAUGUUGACAAACAAAAAUGGCAUAUAGAUGUAGGUUUAUAAAUGUAUUUAAUUACCUGUGAGAAUUUCAACUUUAUCUACACGGGAUAACAAUUCACUGCAAUCCACUAAAUAAAAGCGGUGCUCAGGAAUGUGUGGAGGUCUUUCUGGUAUUUGUUUGAAAGUUGUUUUCCCAUUGAAGUAUAGUUGUACAGUGUGUGGUACGACCUUGUACGUUUGUUUACUGGAACGGCUAUGCAACCGUGUGAUCUCAUAUAUACAACCAAAUUUAAUUUUUGGAGCUACUAUCUCAUAGUCUGCUUCUAAGACCGAGGCUUCAAUGGCAUCAUUCUGCAUUACAAAAAUUAUAAAGAGUUAUUUAUAGCUUUCUCUUCUUUUGAAAUUAUAGUUUUAACUAUAUUACAUUUAAACAAAAUGGUUUUCUCACCAGUUCAUCAACCAGUACACAUUGUAAGCCAUUGAAUUGGUUUUGGCGUCCAAACAUUUUGGGUCUCCACAACCGGCAUAUUCUAACUUUGAUCUUCAUAUCGUUUCUAAAAGGCUUUAAUUCACAGAUUGGUACGAUGCUCAUUGUUUUGUAAGUCUGCAGACAAAGUAUAUAUAUUGUUAGAAAGAAAGUGUGUUUAUAUAUCAAAAUCUAUGUUGGCAAUAUGUAAAUGUUUACAAACUUGCAGUGAAAAAAAAUUACACAAAAGCUAUCAAAAGCUAUCAAAAUGAUACAUCGAAGCACACCAUCUGCCCAACCUUGGAUACAGUGGAAAAAGAGAAUUCAUAAGAUUUGCUAUGGUAUAAGAUUCACAAAUUUGCAAUAAUAAAGUAAGUAUUAAAAGAAUAUGCAACAUGCUAUCUAAUAAUGCUUUAAAAUAGUAACAAACAUAACAUGUGUAAUGCAUAUAUCCUAUCAGUACACAAAUUAUUACAUACAUUUACAUAUCAAUAUGCUUGUGAGCAAGAUAAAGAACAAAAGGACCUCCAGCAAUUUACAAUGGUAAGGCAAACACAUUCGAAAUAAGAACUCAUCAAACAUUGUUCCAAAAGGAUGGUCAUCAAGUUAGAGGAGGGAAGCGGUGGAAUUAUUUUCCUUAUGUUAACAUCUAUCUGACUUCCUAAUUUUCUUUGUAUCCAAGCACUAAGUUUUGUUUUUCAUUCUUUUUAAGGUAUCAUAAACGAUCAUGCCCCCCAGCUGUUGAUUACAAUCUUCAUUGUCUCUAUUUCUCUUGUUUCUUCAUUAAAAAGGUUUUUGUAAUAGUUGAUGCCUAUUGUAGGCAACAUCUCACCUCCUCAACAAUAAAAUGUAUCUAAAGACCCAAUUAAUGAAAUUACAAACGAAGAACAACCCAAUUGAUAAAUUGAUGAAUUCGUACUUACACAGACAACAAACAGAGGAACGGGGAAAAUAUAUAUAUACAACAGACUGGUUCGAACAAUUCAACAAUUAGCAUGAAGAGAACAGUGCUUCCACCGAAAAUUAAAGGGGAAAAUGGUGAUAAUUCUGAGCACCAUUUAAAAAAAAAUUAACCAUUAUGCACUUGAUAAUCACAAAUGAGAUCAUAAGGUCCAAAAAAUUACCGCUCAACUCCAAACUAUGAAAUACCAAAUUAAACACAGAAAUAUCACAACCCCAAACCCAAACAGAACCCCAAAUCAAUUAAAAAAAAAGCCUCAACCCGUAUUAAAAAAAAAAUGCUCCAAUCCAUGUCUCUCUCAUUUUUCCCUUCCCUUGCUCUAUACUCUUUGCCAGGAAAAUCCUAACAGAGGACCUGUUAACCAUUUUUUUCCCCAAAAUAAAAAAUAAAAAUAAAAACCUUCAAAACACCCCAUACGAUCCCAAAUUCUCAAAUCCGUUCAAAGAUACUUAGCAUGAAAUCACAGCAACUUCACAAAUCCUCUUCAUAUCUGCAUCAAAAAUAACGAAAAAGAAGUGCAAUCAACCCAAGAAACAAAAGAUCAGUAGAAGUCGAGAUGUUUCGUAGAAAAAUUAUCCAUCAGCAUUUCUCCUUUUUACCUGAGGACUCGAGCUGGGCUCUGAGAGAGAAGUCGAGAUGUUUCGUAGUUUCUCCAAAAUAGAGCUUGUGGUUGCUGCGCGAGAGAGCUCGUUGUUUCUGGAAGCAAAUGGAUAAAGGUCGGCUUUUCCGCCUUCUUCUUUCAAGAUUACGAACACGUGUACAUUACCAACAACACGUGUAAAUCAGGAGUGGCGCCAAAGACGGGCACCAACUGCGAUUUUGGCAGAAAGGAAAUAAAAGAACCAAAGCAAGGGCAAAAUCGUCAGUGCACUGUGCUAUGAACAGUGUUUUAGGCUUUUUUCUCUUUUAGUAUAUACUAGCAACGGUGCCCGCGCGAUGCUGCGGGUUCAAAACUGUAUAAAACAUGUAGAAAGUUAUAAAUACACACGAUAUGCAAUAAUAUGUAAUAUUUACAUAUAUGUUCAAAUCUAUUUACAACUAUAUGGCUUGAUGGUUCUAUCACCAUUGUUAAUAUUCAUAUCUUUUACAAAUUGAUGUCCUAACUGUCUUUAACUAAAAGAAAAGAUAAAAGUUUAUUUCUUACCGAAAUCUACCAAUUUGAAUCAAAUCUACCAAAGAAUAGAUUGUAGCAUACCUUGUCAUUUCUGCAAACUGGACACCUGUAAUAACAAUAGCGAUAUAAUUUCUUCCAAAGCCAUUGGAAAAACCAAAUUUGAACAGAACUUCCUCCCCCCUCCUCUGACCAAAUAAAUAAAAAAGUUAUGUUUCUCUUUUAGAACCUCGAAUCACAUGAAACUCCAAUCACAUGACACAAAACCAUAUAGAACAGAAAUUAGAAAAAAUGAAACUAAACACAUUAACUCUUGACAAAAACUUAUUACCCAUUCUUAAAAUCACUGAAAAUACGAAUCACCAAUGAAGAAAUGAGGAAACAGAUCAGUAACCUAACUUAUAUACCAUUAGGAUGAACAAAUCAGUAACCUAACUUAUAUAGCAUUAGGAUGAACCAUGCUAAUUUGUUCAUAUAACAGACCUGUCUCCCUACAUUUCCUUUUUUCUCAGCGAACAAAAAGACCUAUCCUCCUUUUUUAAAACUUGCAACUACUUAGAAUAUUAUAACAGAAUGAUCAAACAAAACAAAUUAUCUCUUUGAGCACACAUUAACUCUCGAGCAUGGAAAGACUUUGGUUUAUUGCAAAAGAAAAAAUGGAUAAUAAAAUAAGAAACCCAUUGGAAAACUUGGCGAUAGAUUGGUUAAAGAACAAUUUAAAAUACUUUUUGUACCACUUGGUGAUGAUAAAUACUAUUUGUUUCCGGAUGACAUUAAGCAUCGUGAAGAAACAAAACAAAUAAACUUUAGAUAAAAGUUCAUAUCACCUGCCCCAAAUCAGCUGAAGAAUUCAUAAUAGAAUUUAUACCUUGCAACACUACACAGUAACACAAUAAAUAUAAUCAGUCUCAUAAUUAUUAAUCUGCGAAACAAUAAGAAAUUAAUAUAAAUCAAAAAAUGACAAACCUAUUACUUUGCAUUCUCAUUAUUGCAGAUAUCUGAUAAUUCCCAUCACCAGAAACUCUUACUUUGUAUAAACCAUAUGUAUGUAACCAGCAAGAAAGUAGUAAGAAAAUAACUAAACUAUCACUCGAAAAGAAGUUAGACAAAAGUGUGGAGAAUAAAAAACAGAUAUCUACUUCCAAUCUAUCAAGAUGUUAAAGUUUAGAGUUGCAUCAUCUUCAAUGCCUAAACGAAGAGUAGAAAUAAAUUCAUCCACGAAAUAAGAUGUUAUUUAUAAGAAUCAUAACACAAAUGUAAUGUGCACAACUGUCAACCCAAUCUACCCAUCCUGGUAUAACUCCAAUACCGCCAGAAGCAUGUUAAUAAAAUAUUAGUCCCAAUACAUCAUAUUUUCUCCUAUCAUUUUCAGAAGUCAUGUGGUUUUCCACAAAUUGUAAAGCAUGUAUAUACAAUGUGAGGUUUGCCUAACUCCAGCUAUUUCCGAGUGUGCACUGGUGUGUUUUUUCCUCUGAAAGAUGAACCGCUAUUAUUCCCACCAUAACCAAAAAGGAAGGAAAAUUUGACAAAAGAAGCUAUCUUAAUACCUUUCAGGAAAAUUGUGAACCACAAAAUAAGCAUUGCAUUUCAAGUACCAUUUGCACUUCGAGCUUAUGAAAAGAAGAAUAACCCAAAAUAUAUUCACCCAAAAUAUAUUCACGAUUAUUAUCUGAAGCUUUCUAGCUUUCUCUAAUAGCUUUCUCUAAAGCUUUCUGCUUUGUCAAUUCCUUUUCUGUUGCUAGCCUAAAUACAAAAAAAAAAAUUAAAUCAAUUUCUUUCGAAAAUUCAAAAAUUCAUUUAAUUAUGUAAAAGAGCAUCUGAUUAUUUUGAAAGCAGUUAAGGUGGGUUCCAUACCAAGGUAUAACUUGAUAAAUUAUUACCUGAAGCUUUCUAGCUUUCACUGAAGCUUUCUAGCUUUCACUAAAGCUUUCUGCUUUGUCAAUUUCUUUUCUCUCGCCUGCCUAAAUAUAAAAAAAAUAUAAAAAUUAAAAAUUAAAUCAAUUUCUUUUGAAAUUUCAAUAAUUCAAAGGAAUAUCUGAUUAUUUUGAAAGCAGUUGAGGUGGAUUCUAUACCAAGGAAUAACUUGAAGCAUAUCAAAGUUAAUAAGCUUUAAGAGGGGUGAAAAAACUUUGCAAAGAGAGAAGGUAUUGAAUGAUCAAUGAUAAGAAUUUGGUCACCUUAUUUGAUCAAUGCCAAUGAUUCUGAAGUAAGUAUCAAGUGCAUUAAAAUUUGAAUAUAACAAAGCUUGAAAAGCACACAUCUGUAAAUGAUAAAAAUAAUGCUAAGUAUUGAUACGUAACUGAAACAACUCAAACUACGGGAUCAAAAUGAUUGUUUCCACAUAAAAUAAAUUCAAUUGUUAGAAGGUCUUACAAUUAGACAAAAGAAGAACAAAAUGACAGACCACCACCCUCCAAUGCCAACACAACACACAUACAAACAGUAAAUGAUGAACAUGAAAAUGAAGUUGAAAUGAAAGAAAAGUAGAGCCUAAGCUAAAAUGAAUUCAAAGGAAGAUUUUUGCACCAGAAGAACAACAUCAUUACCAUUCAAAUACAAACAUAUAACACAAUAACAUAUGUUUUAACUCUUCUUCCAGCCUUGAAAUAGAUUUAGCAAGCAAACCAUUUGCAUGACUAAGAACUCCUACUCUCAAGCCUUUGGUGCUACUAAAGAACCAUAUAUUUCUUCCUAGAUGAUCAAUUGAAACACCCCAGACAUCAAUUAAUUCUAAUCAUAAUUAAAUUCUAAUAGUGGUUUAAAAGAGUAAGGGCGUGUUAUAUGUAUAGAUGAACAAACAGAUUCAACCUAUCAUAUAUACGGGAUGUCAACUUGUUUAGUCAUAGAUUCAGAACAGAUAGAAAAAAUAUUCAUAGAUCAGAUACCUUAAUGGUGUUCACGUUAAUAUGUCAUAUUUUGCCUUUUUCUGGAUAACUCUUCUCAUGUAUUGGAUUGCAAACUUCACCUAAAUAAGCUAAAAAAUAAAAAUAAAUAAAAAAUAAAUAAAAAGGUGAAGGUUAGAGGUUAUAGCAGUCAUGACUUAGUAUGCCACUACAACUGAUAAACAAAAAAUAAUAAUUGCCCAAUAUAGGCGAGUAUUGGUAGCAACCAUCAGAAAAGCUCUAAUUAAAAGCAAUCUAUUCGCCAAUAUGCACCAAAAAACAGUUACAAUAUCCCAGACAAUCAGACAUAUAGGAUAUGCUUACACUGAACUUCAACUAAUUUUGUAGGUGUCCACCAAUUCUGUCAUUAAAUCAACCAAAUGAGAGAAUAUAGGAACUAACAUUGGGUGUCAAGAAUUCGUACCGUGGGUGUAAAGAAUUUGUACCCGUAUUGCGCCGAUUCAUAACGAUGAACUGGAACCGCGGUUGAGUAUUCCUUAACAAUACAACAAUAAUAAGAUUAGGUAUAUUAAGCAAGCUUGAGAGGUAAGUAAGAGAACAACAAUGUCGCACUGGAGUAAUCUGAAGCAAUAACGUAUAACUAUUCAAGAUGACACAUAAAAGCCUAACUUUGUGGAUGAAAAAAGUUCAAAUGGUGGUUUGAUUAUGAAAUACUGAGAGUGUUACCUUAACUAUAGCUACAUUGAAGAAUGCCAAGUAAAAUUGCAUACGACAGAGAGACUAAAACAUGAGCAAGCCCACGUUCUCACCCAGACGUUAACAAUUCUCUGUCUAAGCAGAGAUACAAUCAAAACAUACUGAUGUGCCAACAAAAUGACACAUUAUUAAGAAUACUCCACUUAAGACAAAAUUUAGAGCUGUAAUUGGCAUUUAGAAAACUAAUUAGUAAUAUUGUUAUUCGAAAACUACCUGAGUGUUAUUCAAAAACUGAGCCGUAUACUAUUGACACUAAGUUGUAUACUGUUGAAACAAAUUAUUUCCUCCUUGCCUGAUGCAAAACAACAAUUAAAUCGGAAAAUUAUGUAAGUUUUAGUUAUAUUAUGACACUGUUUACGUAAAAAUGCUUCAGACCUAACUUUCCCUAUCUAAAACUAAACAAAAAUCGAGAUGGAUUCCAUUUCAAGGGACAUUCAGUCAUCCCAUAUUUCCGACUGUACACUAAAAACAUUUUCGAUAAAAUUUUCUCUGCCUUUGAAACUACUUUACCUCAUCCUCACUAAAUCUGCCAGCACUGAUUAUUCUCUCGAAGAGUUCUCCCCCAGUUACUCCAUCACAAUGGCUAGAUGAGUUGGUGUCAGCAGGACCUGCAAGAAAGAGACCCCACUACUCUCAAGUCUUAAACACAAACCUCCUAACAGAGGACAACAACUAAUCCAAAACAAAAUUAUUAGAACUUCAUCCAAAUUAACAAAAACACAGAACCAAAAGUGAAACACAACAGUUAUGAAAUAUACCUCAGUUGUAAUAAAUUUAUUCUCCAACGAUCUAAAGACAGUCGUCGCUUAACAACCGAAAGGCAGCCGUCGUUCAAACAGAGAAAAAAAACAGGGAACAGAUCCGGCCAAAAUUCGUCAAUCGCAGAUGAAAACAAACGCAAAAACACCAAAAUCUUCAACCCCCAAUCACAACUCCACAAAUCUGGCAAACCUCGAAACCGAUUUCCUUCCAAGUCUAUUACCAAAAUUGCAUGCUUGGAUAAGCAAGCUAGAAAAUUCUCAAACUCAAAACAUAAUCUAAUUAAAAUUUCACCCAAGAAAACUCCCCACCUCUCGCAUUAAAUCAAAACUCCCAAACCAAGUCAAUGGUUGAUCACAACCCAUAACACAAUCUAAUUAAAAAUUUUACCCAAAAACUAUUCAAUUUUUAACACUUCAAAUUGAACAAAACAAAAUCGAUAGAUUUGGUUAAAAAAGCUCCCAGAUGCAAGAUUCGAAUAACUCACCGAAAAACUAUCCAGUCUGAGAGCGAGUGAGACCGAGAAAGAAGAUAGCGACACAGAGCCACGGACAGCAAAACCGAAAACAAUGAAAGAGCAGUUCGAGACAAAACAAUGAAAAGCAAUAGAAGCAUGAAGAGGAUGCAGCAAUGGCUAACACCUGGAAAGCAAGGGUAUAAGCGUCAUUUCAGUGUAGAAAAGCUGAAACAAAGCGCAAAGAGGAAAAAAUUUGGAGGGGCAAAAUCGUCCCACCACUGGUCAUCCACAGUACCACCCUGAUUGGGUUUUAGUAUAUAAAGAUAUAAUUUUCUUGCAUCGCAAUUUUUAACUGAGAUUGGAGUUUGGCAUGCAAGUAAAAGCGUGUAUAAGACCUUUGAAGUUUGAACGUUGACUAUUUUAAUUGAAGUUUUAGUACGCUGAGGUAUAGUAUCGGUGUGUGCUAACCUUUUACACGACAUGAAUACUUUAACACACAUACACACACAAAAAUUGAAUCAUAUUGUGAUGACUCAAGUCUUAUUUGACUUGAAAUGUGUCCAAGCGUGUUUAUUAAAUUAACUAAGACAACUCAAAACUAAUUAAGACCUCUCUAAUCCACUAGCCAGACCUUAGUAUUGUUUUUUCUUAUUUUUAUAGGAUAAAUUGAAUAAGAAUAAGUCAUGAUGUCUAGAAAGGUUGUCUAAAAUGAUUCCCUGUGAAAUUUGAACUUAUAAUCUUCUUCGAAAAAAUGAAAAUCAGGUGUCGCUAAUCCAAAACGAUAAUAAGCGAACAAAGUGUAUUAAAAUAUUAUUGGAGGAAAAUGAAGAGAAUGUGUUGUACUUAAUUAAACGUGCAAGAAAAUUUUGGUAGAAAUUAGUUAAUUUGACCUCAAAAGAAACGUUGAAAGAGGAAUUGAGGAAUAGUUUGGAUCAAAUGAUAUCAUUGCUGACAACUUUGGAUCAUAUUCUCUAUUUUGUCUUUCUCUUUCUAUAUAAAAUCAAUCUAAUAUAUGUUGACGUGGCUUAACCGUAACUGUUCAAAUAGGAGGGAAGGGAAGGAGAGGGAAAAAAAGAGGGGAGAUACACACACACACACACACUUAAAUUUAACCCUUAAGCUCACAAGACAUAUGCUCAAAUUGUCAUUCAAAGUGUUUGGGGUUAAAGUGUAUACGCUCAAAAGAUCAUUAUAUGAAUGCUCUACCAUAAGCAUGCAGAUUGAUCUCAUCUCCACACAUAAAAAAUUACCUUCUUUGGAUCAAGUAGGUCUUUGUGAAGGGUUGUAAAGGCGCUUCAAUGACUUGGUUAAUCAAAUGAAGCAUAUGGGAAACACAAAGUCUAAGAAACUAAUAGAGUAGUUGGAAAUGAAACCGAGAGAGACGUGCGACAAUUAACCAAGGCAAUAAAUUGAGCAGUUUGAUGAACGACACAUAACUGCACAAUGAAUAUCUGAUGAUGGCAGCUCACUUGUGACUCAUAAUGAUUUAUUUUCCUCUUUUCUUCUUUUGUUCUUCAUUAGUAGUUGGGCUUUCUUUAUAAAAUUUUCAUCUUCAACUUUUAAUAACCUUGAACUCUCUCUCCUUUUAAAAAACGUACUCUACUAGCUUCUUAGUAGGGUAGGGAAUUUUUAAUAUAAGAGGCUAGGUAAGGAAAAUGUAGGUUUAAGAACAAAAGGCUUACAUAUAGGCUCAUAAGAACUGAAUAGGGGAAAAACAUAUAUAAGGCCUUGGCAUAUAUGGCAAUGGUGGUAAAGUUCUAAUACCUACUAUCGUCUCCAAAAUAAAGUAAUAUAUGAUACAAAGUUUUGAGAGAUCUCAAGGCAAAUUCUAGAGAUGCAAAACACUUUAGAUCGCACACAUGAAUUAAAAAGAGUAUAAAAAAUGCAUACACUAUAUUUAGGCACAAAAGCUCACAUGGGUGCGGGUUUUACUCAAGCUAAACAUGUUCAACUCAUUAACAUUCAUAUAUUAUCAAUAAGAGGCUAUUGUCCACAACAGGUCAAACAUAUCAUGCUAGGGUCAUGCUAUCAAGUGAACAAAGCUAGAACUCAUAUGAAAUCAUACUUUUCCAUUUUACCUCAUAUAUAUAUAUUUUUUUAACAAGAAGACAGAAAAAUGCAGUAUCAAUGCUAUAUGAACAUGCAAGCAUACAUAAAUGAAAGCAUUUGCAAAGAGAGAGCUCAGUCAAUAUAAACAAUUUGAAGGUGGAGAGGAAUUGACAAAUACACCACUUUGAUUCUCUUUUAUUCUCCAAACUUGUUGCACUUUUGGAACAACCGUACUCGGAACAUAUAUAAUUCUUGCAAUCCGAUUAAUCUCUUUCAAAUAAGUCACAAAUUGUUUCUUAAGAUUUGCUUUUUUAGAGUUCAUUGAAACAUUUUUCUUGAGAAAAAUUUUUCUUCCUAAGCUUAUUGCACUUAGGCCGGAUGUGACCAGGAAUCCCACAAAAAUGACAUAUAGGAAUGAACUUCCUAGAUUGUUUGGGUUUGUUAGGAUUAACUGAAGUCUUGGUAGGAUUUGACACAUUUGCAAAGAUUGUAGAAGUUUCAGAAGUAAGACCUAAAACUUGAUUGACAGCUACUUUCAAGCUAGGAAAUAUCAAACGCUUCGACAAAUCUUGUGAUGGAAGAAUAACUAAUAGUCUUUUCAAACUCAAAUCCUAAACCUUUUUUAUCUCCAAAAUUCUUUCCAUAGCUAAGCAUCUUGUCAAAUUUUCCCGAACAUGCUUAAUUCCUGAACUUUGUUUUUUAUCUCAACUAGUUCAUCCUAAAGAACUUUCUUAUCAAACGUGAGAGUGCUUUUUGUGGUUUGAAGAAUAUGUAUCUUCUCUAACAAUGACUCUCACAGUUUCUCUCUAUUGUCUAACUAAGAUUGAUGCUCAACUUUAGCUUCCUUCUUUUCACUUUCAGCUAAUGCAAGUUUCUUUUUCGAGUUAGAGUUAUCCUUCUUUUCUUUACUUGCACACUGAUGUCUUAAAGAUUAGAAUAUUUCUCAAGACUUCUUUCAAGUCAGGUUCUUCAACAAAUGAACCUUCUGUGUCAUAUCCAUCAAUAGUUCCUAUAAAGGCAGUUGUAUCCUUCUCAUUUUCAGAGGAAGAUGCAUCUCCUGAAUCAUUAUCUCUCCAAGUAACAUUCAUUGCCUUAUUCUUCUUCUCCUUCUUCUUGAUAGUAAUUGCACACUCAUAAGCAAUAUGUCCAUACCCUUGGCAUUCAUGACAUUGCGCUCUAUUGUUAGAACUCUUACACUUACUAGUUCUAGAAGAUUUAGAUGCUUUGUCAUGUGAGACAUCUAGAGAACGAAAGUUUCUAGAGUUUGAACCUAAGUUAGUUCGUUGCUCAUGACCCUUGGAAUUCUGAGAGUUGAGAAACCUUCUAAUUUGCAUGGUUAAUGCAACCAAUUCAUCUUCGAACAAGUCAUCCAUUGAGCCAUCGCUUUCUUCUUCUUUGAUAGCUUUGAGAGCAAUGUUUUUCAUCUUAUUGGAAUUAGGAAACUCUAAUUCAUGUUUGCAGAGGGCCAAUCAGUUGUUCGAGCUUGUAGGUGUUUAGAUCUUUCGAUUCCUCAAUUGUAGUCCUUUUAAUAUGAAACCUCUAGGAAGUGAUCUUAAGAUCUUUUUCACAAUUCUAUAUUCUGGAAUACUGUCACCAAGAUUGUGGCAGCCAUUGACAAUUACGCUAAGCUUAGCAUAUAAGUCAAAGAAACUCUCAUCAUCAAACAUUGUGAUAUUUUCAAAUUUUGUGAUGAGAUGUUGAAACUUGGAUUCUUUAAUAGUUUAGUAACUUCAAGAAUGUCCCAAACUUCUUUCGCCAUUGUACACUUGCUUAUGUAAUCGAAUUGUUCAGGCGAAACGGCUGUGAAUAAAGUAUUCAAAGCCUUUUGGCUAAAAGUGCUAGAGCUACGCUCAUCAUUGCUCCAUUCUUUCCUAGGCUUGAGCUUAGAUAUAGAAUCAAAGGACUUUCCUUCACCUUUUGUUUCUUUGAUCGUCAGAGGUUCCCAACCUUCUUCAACAGCAAGCCACACCUUGUCAUCUUGCGCCCACAAAUAUGAUUUCAUUUUUGCCUUCCAUGCAGCAUAGUUGUCACCAUCAAAGUGUGGUGGAUGAGAAAUUGAACCCAUAGCAUGAUUCAUCCUAGACUACCCAUGAAUCUCACUAAGUAUUUUUAGUGACCUGCUCUGGUACCAAAUGAAAGUUUCUAGGAUGGUACUAGUUUAACCUAGAGGGGGGGUGAUUAGGUUCCAAUUUAAAAAAUUCAAUUUAAUUUUCAAUUCUCAAAUUAAUUCCACAUUCACAUUACAUAUAAAUUAUCCUACACAUGUGCAAUUAUAAAGAUAAAUAAAAUGUGCACACAUGAUGGAUUUAACGAGGCAAAACCCACCAUUGGGAAAAUCCUCGGGCUCCCAAGCCAGGACAAGCACUUAGAGAAAUGAGUACAAAAAGACUUACAAAACUCAUCAACUAGACACGCAUGCUAGUAUGAAGUUUUGUCUCCGCGCUUUGCUACUCGAUCUCUCUUCUACCUUCUAGUGGAAGUGGCACGAUGCUAACGCGGUCGUCAAUCACCUUAUCCUCGAACUUUGCAGGAUACUAUAACGCGAUCAUGCAGAAUGAAUAUAUGAUAAAAUAAUUUUUGAAAAACAAUAAAUUACGAAAAUCACAAUGUACAUUUUCAUAAUUGAUCUCAAUUUAAAGCACAAUGAAACAUCAGUGAUUAAAACUAAAUAAACUUUCUCCUUAAAAACACUUGGCAAUAAAGCUACUGAUUUUUCUGGAAUGAAAAUAGCUCUCUGUGCACUUGGGGCUGCUAACAUACUUUUGAUCUCCGAUGAUAUUUCAUGCAGCGAUACAGAGUAUACUACAAAUAUCAAUGCUUACGGUAGCAAAAACCAAAACCAAAAGCAUGUUCUAAUACAUGCAGCAGCAAAAAUUAUGAUAGAUGAUGACUUGUAAAAAACCUAACGCAUGGAGCAAUACUCUAAAAAAACAAUGAAGAAAAUAUGGUUUUCUUUUCUUCCUAAUGCAUGGCUGCAGACCAACAUAUAAAGGAUGCUGCAAAAAUCUCUUUUACCAAUGCAUGUAUAUGACCGCAAUUGAAAAGCAGAAUCUGUAUAUUAAACGCAUGCGGCAGCAGCAGCCAAAGCCCUAAUCUAAUGCAUCUAUAAAUAGGCUGCAGUAAGAGAAGUCAACAUGACUUAAAACUCCACGAGAUUAAGAUGAAAAAGGAAGAAAUAUGACUAUCAAACUAAUUCCAGAUUAUCAACACGUUUUUCUCAGCAAGUGAUAAACAUCAAAUAAGGUCCGAGUUUUCAUCAGAUAAAACCUAUUCAGCUAACAAUAUCUCCCAAUUAGCCACAACAACUAAAUGGGCUGUUAGUUAAGUCCAAACUAAAAUAACCAAAUUAAUCAGUUCGUAUGCAGCCAAAAACUAAAUGAAAUUGAACCAAAACAAACCUAACUAUAUGUAAUGUAUCUGCAUGACAAACUUACUUGAGUGGAUAUCUCUAAAACGCUUAUUAUUUUUGUGAUCAAAAGCAUGAGAGACAUACUUAGACUAAAGCAAUUACAAUUGAGACAUGCGCUAGUCCAAGACAUUACAGACUUAGGCGUUUUGUUUAGGAAUAGCAAAUUUUACCCUAACACAGUCUCUGGAACCGGCAAACUGCUUUCCCUUGUUUACCAUCUGCUUUUCAGUUUCCAUGACUCUGAUCUUCAUCUGGAGAUCGGUGAUAUAGGUAAUGGCAUCACCAAGAAGAGAGGCUUUAUCCAUCUUCGAUAUGUUAGGAACAACAGCUCUUAGUGGAUAGAAUCUCUGGUUAAGCUUCUUGCGCCUUUGCCGCUCUGCUUCCACAUUAUUUAAUGGUUCUUCUCUCCCAUUGUCAGGUUUUCUCCCUCUCUUUCUGGGUUUCCGCUCAUCAAUUUGUGUGGAGGACUCAUCUUUGAGCAGCUCCGAACUUGAAACUCUUGUCUGGACAUUGAAACCAUCAACCAUUAUUUGGUUCAUUUGAGGAAACAGUUUUACUUCACUAUCCUCACUUCGACAUCCAUUUGAAGUGCCUAUCAGGGCCGGUCUAGAGAUUUUUGAAGCCUGAGGCGACGCCAACAAAUGUGUCCUCACUUUAUAUAAUAAAAUUAUUUGUUUUCAUACGUAAAACAUCGAUAAAAUUAUACUUAGAAAAACACUUUAAACUUAAUAAUUUAUAAACACGGAAAAACUAAUUUAUUUUGUAUCGUGAGAAGGCAACAAAAAAACUCCGGGUUAGAAGUAGAUAGAUUUGAGUUUUGUUUUGUAUUUGAACUUUUAAAGUGUUUUUGUAUAAAUCGUGAGGUGUUUUUUUCUUAUUUACUAACCUUGUCAAUAUGGGACUAAAAAAUAAUGAUGUUAUUGAGUCUUUAAUUGAUAUGUAUAGUAAUAAAUGGGUACUAAAAUUUGGUCAACGCAUAACUCUUUGUUGAAGAUUGGACUUGAAUUGGAACAAAUGUUUAAAAAUAAUAACCCACAUAGCUACUAGCUACUAAUUAAAAAUAAAUGAACAACCAAACAAAAUUCGUAAAAAUUGAAAAUAAUAAACUAGCACUUAGCAUUUUGAACUUAUGACCUCUCGUUAAUUUUAAACAACAAAAACCAUUGAUUCUAAUUAAACUUCUUGAUUAUUUAGUCAAAUCUUAUAUAUUUAUACUCUUACGAUGAAAAGAAAAUUGUAAAAAUUGAAAAAUAAAUAAGCACACAUGGUGUUUUGAAUCCAAGACAUCCUCAUUAAUUUCAAACAACAAAACCACCAGUUAUAGUUCAAUUUCUUUGUCAUUGAACCAAAUUUUAUAAAUUUAUACUCUUAUGAAAACAUAUAUAAAUAUAUUACCCUAAUAAUUUUAGUGCCCCCAAUUAUUUUGGGUCCUGGACGGUCGCCCUGCCAGCACUGGGCCUGAGCCGGCCCUGGUGCCUAUUGAUUGUAAUUCAAACGAUUCCAGCGACUGGAUUUGAUCAGCCACCUCUGUGUCUAUGUGGAGACAUGAUGUGCCGAGAAAAUUCCCUGACCUGAAGAUUUCGACCUUCCCCGUAAAGAUCAUUUUUUGGCACCUUCGUCUUUACGUGAAGACAUGUUUUGCUGAGAAAAUUCCUUGACCAGAAGAUUUUGACCUUCCUCGUAAAAACCAUUUUCUGGCACCUCCGUCUCUACAUGAAGACAUGUUGUGCCGAGAAAAUUCCUUGAUGAGUAGAUUUCGACUUUUCCCGUAAAGAUCACUUUUCAGCACCUUCGUGUCUAUGUAGAAACUUGUUGCGCCAAGAAGAUUCUUGACGAGUAAAUCCGAGCCACUGAAGAUGAACAACUUGGAGGAGUUCUUCUUGGAUUGAUAUACUUUGCAGAACGGCACAAUCAUCUUUUCCAAAGUUAACAACGAUCCUCUUCUCAGGAAAAUAGCGGCACCAUUUUGGUGCACUUUGUGCAUAAGUGCAGAAGUCUUAUCCAACGCCGGCAACAUUUUUUAUGGUUAACUUGAUUAUAAGCAGUAAUCAUCUCUUUAUCCUUUGCGUAAGCAGCAAAAUGAAGCUCAUAAAUGGCCCGCUCAAGAUCUUGAAUAUGAGGUAUAUAACUUCCAAUCUCAUUCUCUGCACUUUCAUACUUAAAUUGGAUCGCAUCAAGCCUAGUCUUCAAGUCAACGACUCUUGGCUAGUGGUCUCAAGUUACAGAGAAGUAAGGGCAGAGAUAUUAGACCCUUUCAAAGCGACAAGCUCAGACUCCAACUUUCUGAUCUUCUUGGCAGAAGAAUAAGCUUCAACUGCCAUAGUCUUUGCUAUCUCCUUGGUAGCCUUGGCAUUCUCUUGGACAAGGAGCAUAAACUCAGCUGCCAGAAUCACCAUUUACUGCAUCAUAGCAAGCAGAACAGUUCUUCUAUAUUGGGUCGUAUGCUUCGCAAAGAAACUUAGGCAAAUAACCUCUCUAACACCAUCAAUAAGCUUGGCACACAUGUCUAUUUGGCUUUAAAAGCGCACAGAUCUCAGCAACCUCUCCAAAAAUAGGUUUGGUGGAUUUCUCACAACUGCCCACGCUAGCAAUCUAUUCUUUCUCAGCAGGCGAACCAGUAUCAGUAGCAAGAGGAAUAGGCCUUAACGCCACCUUAUCGUUCUUUAUAGUAGCAAACAUCUCCAAAGGUGAAAUAGACUUAGCUCUCAACGGACCUCUUGGUAUAGACUUCGGCACUAGGGGCAUGACAGAACCUCUAUGUUGAGCAAUCCUAUCAGCAAUCAUACUAGCCAUUUUCAGCAUGGCAGACAUCACAAGUUCAGAUCUAGCAGCCUCAUUUUUCUUCCCAUUAGAAGAAGUCAAGUCAAUCAUAGGCCUCUCGACAGCAGGCAAACCCUUACAAGCAGCAAAUGAAGUCUUCAGUUUUUCCUCAACCGGCAUCUCUUGAGCAGGUGGGGAAUAUAUCUUCUUUCCACCUUCAUUCAUAGUAAGCUCCACGACAACGAUCAGACGAGCCAAUGCAUCUGCCUUGAUCCUCUUUAUCUCAUUUGUCGGGAGCAGCCUACAUUUUUCCUGGCGAAGAGGACUAAGCAGCCAACGUUAUUCACGGUACUCAGCAGGGGAGCUCAACCCAUACUGGCUUUUCCCUCAUUUUUUUCUCGAACCAGUAGGCAGGAAGCCUACAUGCUCAGCAUUCCAGCAACCCAUGAGGCCCGCGACCUCUUCAAUUCUCUCAAUAACCGACCUGGCCCGUGACCUCCUCAAUUCUCUCAAAGGACAUGAGCCAUACAGCUCACCUAGCACUGCGCCCCAACACCUCAAGCCGAGGCCCCAGCCUCACAAUUGACUUUGGCUUUAGCCAAUUUGAGCAACCUAAGUAAUGGUCCCUACCAUAACACCUCAUCGGCCCAUGCCGAGCCAACUCCUGGCCCCUGCUAGCCGACGUGCCGCACCACCCCGACGGCUGCCCAACAACAGCACUAUCCAAGAAGAAGACAAGGAAAAUUAAUUGUUUCUUAGCUCGGUGUGGCGCAGAGAAUACGAAGAAAGUAUCGAAAAACGGUCUUUUGCAAGAGCAAGUAUAGAAGAUUGAUAGGGGACGGGGAACAAAUAUCCUUUAACUUUCUCUCUACUUAAGGUACAUUUAAAUAGACUUUGGGAUAAAUUUAUUUCCCUUUCCUAGACGGACCUAAUUUCCAAUUAAAUAGGGAAUCUACAUCAAAAUAGGAAGCAAUCCUAUGUUUCCUAAAGCAAGAAGAUUUCUACACCUGUUGCGAUUUCCUACGAGCAGCCCAAUAGGUGUGGAGGCAUUUGUGGAGCAAAAAAUAAUCAAGAAAAAUAUGGAGGCGACACAUGGAUCUUUGGGUGAAAAAGACAAAAUUACCCUCAAGGCACAUCGGAACUCCCACGAGCAAGCAGUGGGUAAUAACAGCUCAAUCAAGAUCCAAGGUGAUCAAAAUAGGUAUUUAUUCAAAACCUAUUUCAUCAAUCCUCAUCAAAUCCUCCCCACAAGGUAACCCCUAAUUAUCCUUUUAAGUUUGGAUUGAUUACCAAAAUUAAUUGAUUAAUUUUCUAAUUAAUUUCCUAAUUGAUUGCAACAUAUUUUUUUGGCAUAAUAUCUUGCAAUUAGAGCCAAAAACCACCAUAAGUGGCCAGAUCCCUUUUCUCCAAAAAGGGCCGGCCACACCCCUAUAAAUAACCCUCAUUUCUCCAAAAAACCUAAGUCCAAUUCUCUUCUAAAAUUCUCCAAAAUUCUCAAACAUUUUCCCCUCAAAUUCUAACUUUGGCAUCAGAGGUUCUUCAGACAAAACCCCUUCCAUUCAUCGUAGGCGUGUGAGACUCUUGGUCUUGACCUAAGGUGUUAAUUGUUUUGCAAGUGCAUUUUUGUCCAAGAAGAAGAUAGAAAUUUGCAUCCACAGUUAGCAUCCAUCACCUUUUUUUCUUCUUCUUUUUGAUCGGAGAGAGAAUAUUUCCAGCGACUAGAUUUGAUCAGCCACCUCCUUUUGACGGAAAACAUAAUUAAAUUGGACAUUUUUUGGAUCUCACGAAAUUAUAUAUGAUCAUAGUAAACCGGGUGAGAAAAAUGAGAAUUGAUCAAUUCAUUUGCUUGCUCCGCAAACUGAUCGAUCAGAACUGAGAAGUAAAGCAUGGUGGGGAAGCGUUUAUAAGGAUCUUGAAAGUUUGAAUGUUUGUGGUAUUUGGGUAUGCAAACACGACAUGAUCUAUACUCGGACAAAAAGUUGAAUUUUAUCUUUGUUCACUAAAGUCCCAUUUGACCUUGAAAUAAUGUAUCAUGCAUUAUUAGGAGAAUAACUUAGUGCCGUAAAGAACAUAAAUUAUGGUGUAAAAAGUCCUCGUUAUAAAUUUUGAAAAUUUGUUAAUAUGAUCUUAAGUAGUUACUAAUUUUAGUGUUGUCUAAUUUUUUUUUUGGCCAAAGCUUGAGAUAUCUCACAUUCCAAAAGGUAGGACUAAUUUUUACUGGAGCCCGAAAAGGCUAAAGGCAGUCCAACCUAUCCCCCGUCACAGUUAAAUACCAUAGUUCCUCCCAAAGCUUUCAAUUAAUCAGAAAAUCAUUCGUGUUUUUUCCAACUUUGUGUCUUGAACCAGAGACCACAGAGCAUACCUGACUUGGAAUUCUACCGUGUUUCUACUAGACCACUUGCCGUGGUUGUUGUUUAUACUAUUAUCAAGAGAACAAGCUUGGUCAUAAUUUUUUUUUUAAAUACCAUUUAUGUCCCCACAUUUUAUUCUAUUUUUCCUUAUUGCGAUAAAUAACCUUUAUAUAACAAGACUAAAAUAGGAAUUUUGUGGAUUUAAAUUAUUAAAUUAAAUUAGAAUUCUUCCAUGUUUUUCUCCAUCUUUUUUCAAUAUGUAUGUUUCUCCCAUAUGCAUAGAACGUUUGAAUGUUUGUAGUAUGCAAACCUUUUUAAACGACAUGACAUAUACUCAGACAAAAAAAUUGAAUCUUAUCGUUGCUCACUAAAGUCCCAUGUGACCUUAAAAUAAUUUAUCAUGCUUUAUUAGGAGAGAGAAUAAGGUGUCUUAAUGAAUAUAAAUUAUGAUUUAAUAAAUCCUCGUUGUAAAAUUUGGAAAAUCAUAAGGUGUUACUAAUUUAAGUGUUGUCUAUACUUUUUUUUGUUUUUUUUGUCAAAUUCAAAGGUAUCUCACAUCCUAAAGGAUAAGAUUAAUCCUUAAUGAGGCCCGUAAAGACUAAGGCAUUUCACUUAACCUCUUACUUCAGUCAAAUAGCACACAUCGUCUUAAAGCUUUCAACCAAAAAAUCAUUUGUGUUUUUGCCAACUUCGUGCCUCAAACUCAAGACCGCGAAGUGUACAUGGUUUUGAAUUUUACGACGUUUCUACUAGACCAUUGAUCGUGAUAGUUGUCUAUACUAUUAUUUAGAGCACACGUUCUAUAAGACUUUUUUUAAAAUACCAUUUAUGUCCCCACAGUCCCAUUUUUUAUCCUUAGUUGCAAUAAAUAACCUUAAUAUAAUAAGAUUAAAAUAGGAUUUUAUUUAAAAUUCUUCCAUAUUUUUCUCCCACUUCUCUUUCGAUAUGUUUCUCCUACAUGCAUAGCAUGUGUGAGAUUGCUAUUAUAACAAAGAGUUGAUUAGUAAUUCAUAACAGGUGGUGAUAUAACAGUUACACUAAAGAGUCUCAAUAAUUUCAAGUAAUGUAUUGUGACAACUUUUUUUUAAAUGAAAAUGAUAAUAUACCACUUUAAGCUAUGUACGCUUAGAAAAGGAAAAGAGUUUGACCUGAAACACAAUGAAUUGAAGAGAAAGAUUAUUCACCAAAGCAAAUCCAUCACUUGCAUUGUUAUAACUUUUCUGACACGCAAACUUUUCUUUAUUUCAUUACAUAUCAUCUCUUUUCCAUGUAAAUUUUCUUAAUGAUUUCCAAAUUUUAAAACGAUGCAAAACAACAUUAACUAGUUUAAACUCAAGCUAGCUCGAUGGGGAGCAAGGGCAAAGCUACAUAGGAGCAAGGAGGGGUGGCUGACCCCUCCCCUGGUCGGAAAUCAUGCCUAGAAACGGUGGUUCUACCCCUCUGGUCCCUUCAGAAGUUCUGGGUUCUUGUAGUUCUUCUGGUUCUGGGUUUUCCUUCCCUGAUGCUGCGCAAUUGGGGCGCAGCAUAUGAAUUGUAUUCGAUUAGUGCAUGCCAAAUGUUUAAUAUAUAUUUUGAUUGUCCACAGUCUACAUGCUUAUCGUUCAUGAUAUUGCAUGCCAUUGUAAAAAGAAAACGUUCGCAUGACUCACGUCGAUGCAUAUUAAUUUAGAUAUCAUGCAUAAUUAAAGGGGUUUUACUAUACCGAAUGAGUCAUUUUUUCGAUGUGAUGAAAGUUACAUUGUCACGUGUGUUACUUAUCCAUCAAGUUAUAACGUGCGACGUACUAACACCAAGCGACGGUGGAGCCAUCUCACUCCAAGAUUGGCCUCAAAGGUGCCUUUUAAACCAGAUGCAGAAUCUUCACUAUGCGCACACACACACAUAUGGUAUAAUACGUAUCUCUCUGCAAACAUUGUUAGAGGUUUUUGCAGAGCAGGUAAUAUAUUUUCGCAAUUCUGCAGUUUAAUUUUUUGUCAUUAAAAUAGCAAAUUUUAAACUCACUGUUAAAUUAAGGACAAUGAUAUUCACACAUUUUUUUACCUCUCUCACAAAUCUUUUUUAAUUCUGGCCGUCGGAUUAAAAUGAAUUGAAGAAGAUUAAUGGACAAACAAUAACAAUGAUGUGUUAGAGGUAAAAACGGUGUGUGAAUAGCACUACCCUAAAUUAAAAGGUAAAUAAACUCAUGCUAGAGCUACAGAUGCAUACAUGCCCAAAAAAAAAUUAGUAAAUAAAGAAUUUAUUCAAUACUUCGUAUUAUUCUGUCAACUUCAUAUGCAUUGUGAAGCAUACGCUUUAUUUUUACAUGUAAGGAAAAAAAAAAACCUAUAGCUAGACUGCAGGCAUUCUCCUACUUAUUCACUGCUAAGAAAAUAUAUAAAGUGUUUAAUUUGAUUUAAAGUUAAUUCUGCUAGUGCUUUUCGUUGAUGAUUGCACUUCGAUGUAGAAUCUUUGGAAUUGGUACUACGUACUUCAAGGUGUGAACGGAUUAGGACCUCCGGACGGGGUACUGCCCUUAAGUAUUUGCCUGAUCAAAGGGAAGAAGGGACGAUCGAUCUGAUGCAAAACAUCAUUCUUCAUCUGAUGCAUAAACUUUUCUUCCCCAUGCAACAUUCUGCAGGCUUCGGAAGAUUGCAUGUUCAUAAGAAAAACCACUAAAAACACUGCCACCAAAAAUAUUUUUAGAAACUUCAUUUUGUUGGGCAAACAAAGAUUAUUUUGCUUCUUUUUAAUUUCGGUAGAAGAAGGAAGGAAUGAAUGAAUGAAGAUACAGAAAAGGUUUUGUAAGGAAAGCAAAGAUUUUGCUUCUUUUUUCUGUCUGUCAAAAACCGAAGGGAUUGAAGGAAUGAAUGAAUGAAUAGAUGGGGAAUAUGGGGCUUUUUAUAUGCAUCAAUUAAGAUCAGCUUUCAUAUGACUGAUUUUUCAAUAUAAAUCUUUUUGUUUCGUUGUUUUGACUGUUAAUUGAUGAUUAUAUGCUAAAGACUUGGAAUUGAAUGGGUCGUCAUAUCCGCAAGGGUUUUGGUUUUAGGGUUUCACUAUAUUGUGGACCAAAUGUCAUACAAUGGUUCAACUCUUUUUCAUCACUGUGUAAAAAGCCACUUGCCAUCUAUAGCUUUUUAUUUUUAUUUUUUAUUUUUUAAGAAAAUCUCAACGGUACGAGAGAAAUUUAUUGAUAUGAAAAAAAAAAGUUACACCUAGUCAGGGAGACAAAAACCUUACAUCUCAUAAAGCAAGAAAAACAAAAUACAAGAAAACUAACCACUUGUUAGAGGUUAUUCUAGUACAGUAAAACCCUUAUAUUGUCAUAAUGUUGGAACCAAAUUGAUUUUAAAACUUUAGGGAGGUUAUUACUUACUAGAGGUGUAGCUAUAAAUAUUAUUAUUUUUUACUUCGUUAUCCUUAAUAAAAAAUGUGAGAUAAAAAGAACUAUUAGUGGAGUAUGUCAAUUUCCAAGGUGUAGCAAUGGAAAAAAAAAAACACCCAAUCUUUAAAAUAUAGUGCAUGUAUGUAUGUAGUCUCUUUAAGUUUAAUGUGUGGGGGCGUGAAGCUAUAGAAACAAAAAGGCUACUUACAAGCUUUGCCUGCUUGGUUGUACACAGCUACUAAAGCAAAGCUAUUUUGCUGUUCUACAGAAGGUAGAAAAAUUAGGGCUUCAAGAAAUUGUUCAUGUUGACGAGUUAUUACGUACUCGUAACCUCAAAAACGUGAUAUCAACUGUAAAAAUCAAACAUUGACUCAAACAAUUAUUGAGAAAUAUUUUAGUUCAUCUUAAACUUUUAUUUGUGGCGUUGCAUAUUUUUAUACUUAUUGAAAAUUAUUAUGAUAAGGAGGCAAGUUUCCUUAAUACGAGACUUAUAAAAAUUAUAAUUUAUUACAAUCCGGAGUUUAUUAAUAUACAUAAUUGGUCUCAAGUUGAGACUAAAUUUUUUUUGAGUAUAAGAAGGUUAUUUCUAUAUAGAGUAUUAUUAUAAGGAGGUUUUACUAUAUAUUUUUAAUUAAGUUGCCCUGAUUCAAUUUUUUGUUUUUCUUUUCUAUUAACAUUACAAAUACUAUAAAGGUAUUUUGACCAAUUCUUAUCGAGUUUUUGUUACUAUUUUUUUCAUCGCAAUUUUGAACUGAGAUUUGGAGUUAGGCAUGCAAGUAAAAGCGUGUACAAGGCCUUUGAUGUUUGAACGUUGACUAUUUUAAUUGAAGUUUUAGUCGUAGCUAUAGUAUUUGUAUCGGUGUGUGCUAACGUUUUACACGACAUGAAUACUUUGUCAUACACACACACAAUUGAACCAUAUUGUGAUGACUCAAGUCUUAUUUGACCUGAAAUGUGUCCAACCGUGUUUGUUUAAUUAACCAAAACAUCUCAAAACUAAUUAAGUCCUCUCUAAUGCACUAGCCAUGACCUAAGUAUUGUUUUUCCUCUUAGUUUUACUGGACAAAAUUGAAUAAGAAUAAGUCUUGAUGUCUAGAAAUAACUGUCUCUUUUAUAAAAAAUGAUCGACUAUAAAAUUUGAACUUGUAUCUUCUCCGAAAAAAUGAAAAUCAGGUUCCGCUAAUCCAAAACGAUAAUGAGCAAACCAAGUGUAUUAAAAUGUUAUUGGAGGAAAAUGAAGAAGAGGUGUUGUACUCAGUACCACAUGCUAGAAAAUUUUGGUAGAAAUUAGUUAAUUCGGCCUCAAAAGAAACAUUGAAAUAGGAAUUGAGGAAUCACUGCUAACAACUUUUUAUCAUGCAGUAGUUUCAAAAUCUUCAAUAGUUUGAAUCACCGUCCAGAGAGAGAGAGAGAGAGAGAGAUAUUAAGAUGUUUUAUCUUGCAUUUUGUGUAGAGAAUUAACUUCCCUGCUUACACCCAAUCACGGGUGGACACGUGUCCAAGUUUUGAUUAAAAUUUGGACACGUGUCUAUUGAACUAAACAUGGUAAAUACCAAAAAUAUAUAUGACAAUAUUUGAGAAUUUCUUAUAUAUUCAUUAAUCUCCAAAGUGGAGUAUAUAUAGGAGUUACAAUUGGUAUUACAUAUGUACUUCACCAAUGUGAGACAAUAAACUACUAUUUACACUCUAACUAAUAUAUAACUCGCAACACUCUCUCUCAAGUUGGUGCAAAGAUGUCACGCAUGCCCAACUUGUCAAGCGAGUUGGAAAACACACUAUGAGACAUAGCCUUAGUAAGAGCAUCAACAAGUUGAUCUUCAGAUCUCACAAACGGAAACAUAAUAAUUUCAGCAUCCAAUUUUUCCUUAAUGAAAUGUCGAUCAAUCUUCACAUGUUUUGUUCGAUCAUGUUGCACUGGAAUAUGAGCAAUCUCAAUAGCAGCCUUGUUAUCACAAUGAAGUUUCAUAGCACCUUUAGGGUUAAACCCAAGAUCUCUCAACAAUUUUUUUCAACAACAACAACUCACAUACACCAUGCGACAUACCACGACACUCAGCUUCUGCACUUGACCUAGCCACCACUUUUUGUUUCUUGCUUCUCCAAGUAACUAAAUUACCACCCAUAAACGUAAAGUAUCCAGAUGUAGAUCGCCGAUUAGUGAUAGAACCUGCCCAAUCUGCAUCUGUAUACCCUUCAACAUUUAAAUGACCAUUCUUGGAGAAAAACAGGCAUCUGCCAGGAGCCAUCUUCAAGUACCUCAAAAUACGGGUUACUGCAUCCAUAUGAGCUUCACUAGGUAAGUACAUAAACUGACUUACCACACUAACUGCAUAAGCAAUGUCAGGGCGAGUGUGAGACAAAUAAAUUAAUCUCCCCGCAAGCCUCUGAUACCGUUCCUUAUGAGUAGGAACUUGAUCUGGAAAUAAGCCCAGACGAUGAUUCUGCUCAAUCGGAGUAUCAACAGGUUUGCAAUCUAACAUACUUGUUUCAGCUAACAAAUCAAGAACAUAUUUCCGUUGAGACACAAAAAUACUAUGCUUGGAUCGUGCAACCUCGAUUCCAAGAAAAUACUUAAAUUCACCCAAUUCUUUCAUCUCAACCUCAGUAGCUAGGUAUUUUUGAAGACGUUGUAUCUCCUUCUGAUCAUCACCAGUCACUAUCAUGUCAUCAACAUAAAUAAUCAAUGCAGUUAGCUUACCAUUUUGUCGCUUUAGAAACAAAGUAUGAUUUGAAUGACUCUGGAUAUACCCAAACUUCUUCAUUGAACUUGUAAACCUCCCAAACCACGCUCUAGGAUUGUUUCAAACCAUACAAGGCCUUUCGUAACCUGCAUACAACACCUUUUCCAGGAGAUGUUCCAAUACCAGGUGGGAGAUCCAUAUACACUUCCUCCUUAAGAUCACCAUGAAGGAAAACAUUCUUAACAUCAAACUGCAACAGAGGCCAAUCCUGGUUUGCUGCUAAGGACAGAAGAACACGCACAGUAUUAAGUUUGGCAACAUGAGCAAAUGUCUCCUAAUAGUCCACCCCAUAGGUUUGAGUAUAACUCUUAGCAACUAAUCUAGCUUUAUACCAGUCAAUAGAACCAUCCGCUUUGUGCUUAAUAGUAAACACCCAUCUACAUCCAACGACUUUUUUUCCGUUUGGUAAAGGAACCAAAUCCCAAGUAGAAUUCUUUUCCAAAGCUUCCAUCUCAACUUGCAUGGCAUUAACCCACUUAGGGUCAGACAAAGCAUCUUGCAAUUUUGUUGGAAUUAAUACACUAGAUAGCUGACAUAUGUAAGAUGCAUAUGGUUUGGAUAAACGAUGAGUAGACACAUAAUUGUUGAUAGGAUAUUUGGCUUUGGCAUGCAUAUCAGGCUCAUAUUGUACUUUAGGUUUUCCACGAUUAGCUCGUGGAGGCAACUGAUAAGUAGAAGAAUCGUUAAAAUUUACCUUAUGUAUGCCACCAUCUUGUACCAAACUGUUAGAAGAAUCAUCACUGGACGAACCAUCAUCAGGCAACUCGUUAGAUAUAUCAGCAGCAGGCAACCGAUCAUUAGAAGGUAAUUCGUCAGACAUACUAACAGGCAACUCGCUGGGCAUAUCUGAUCUAUCGUCAGUAGAAAUAGUUUUGGGAAUAACAGUUGACCGAUCACUAUCUGUAGUCGACUGAUCAGUAUCACGCAACAUAAUAGGUUCUGUUCCCAACUCUACCUGUAACACAUCAUCCAUACCAUCUCUUCGAAUCUGCACUUCACUCCCCCUCUCCCCCUGAAGUGGAGAGUCGGAAGAGGGCUUCACAAAAUACGAAACUUCCUCAUAGAAGGUGACAUCCAUGGUAAUAUAAGUUUUUUGAGUCGGAGGAUGAUAACACUUAUAGCCUUUCUGAUUGUUAGCAUACCCAAUAAAGACACACCAGAGAGCACAUGCAUCAAGUUUACUCCGCUGAUGAGAGUAGACAUGCACAUACGCAAUACACCCAAAUACUUUCGGAGGAAGCUUUGAUACAUAAACAAGAGAAACAUGGUUUUGUAGCACAUUGAACGGUGUUUGAAAAUCAAGAACCCUACUUGGAACACGAUUGAUCAAAUACACAGCAGCCAAAACAGCAUGACCCCAUAAAUGAUUAGGAACACAUUUAUCCAACAUCAAGGAGCGAGCAACUUCCAUUAUUUGACGAUUCUUCCGUUUGGACACACCAUUUUGUUGGGGUGUAAAUGGAGUAGUCGUCUGGUGAAUAAUACCAUGAUCACGAAAAAAACAUGCCAAAGUGUGAUUCACAUAUUCUCCCCCGUUAUCAGACCUGAAGACCAUAACUUUGGUCUGAAACUGAGUAAACACCAUUGUACAAAAUUCUUGAAGAAGUAACGGAACAUCACUCUUAUUCUUCAUCAAGAAGACCCAAGUUAACCGAGUACAACCAUCAAUAAAAGUAACAAACCAACAGAAUCCAUUAGAAGUAACUUUCGCUGGACCCCACACAUCAGAAUGUAUCAAAUCAAAUGGCAAAGCAGCUUUAGAAUCACUUACAGGAAAUGAAGCACGAUGACUCUUAGCCAUGACACAUGUUUCACACUUGAACUCUGAAUCACUACAAGUGCGAAACAAAGAAGGAAAUAGAUGUUUCAUAUAACUGAAUGAUGGAUGUCCCAAUCGUCGAUGCCACAACCAAAUUUGAUGUCUGUCAUCCACUUUAGCACUUAAAACUUGAUGAUUAUUUGAACCAGAAACAACAGUAUCCUCCAUAGUCAAGAUGUACAAACCCUUUAUUCUUUUACCAUAACCAAUUAUCUUCUGAGUUUGAAUAUUUUGAAAAUAACAAUACGUAUGGUAGAAGUGAGCAGAACAAUAUAAGGUAUCAAGAAGUUUUCCUACCGACAAAAGAUUGCACUUAAGAUCAGUAACAAGUAAAGCACGGACCAAUGAUAAGGUUGGGGUCAGAGAGAUAGUGUCUUCACCCUUCAUAGGGGAAUGUGCUCCAUUUACACUAGUAACAUACGGAUCACGAACAUAGUCACAUAACUCAUCAAACACUCUAGAGUCACUAGUCACAUGAUCAAUGGCCCCAGUAUCUAUUAUCCAUUUAUUUGUUCCACCAAGAUGCAUAACAACACUAUGAUUAUAUUGAGCCAUUGAACAAAAAUCACGAACAAUAAAGGCACAAAAGAUACGCAAACAAUUUACCAGAUACUGUAGUAACGCACUGUUCAUGGCACUGUAGCAGAGCACUAUUCACGGCAAUGUAGCAAGCAUUGUUUACGGCACUGUAGAGGACCACUAUUCACAAAGCAGAUCACUGUUCAGGCACUGUACUGUAGAGCGCCACUAUUCACUUCUUUUUUUUUUUUUUUUUUUUUACGAAGGAAAUCACAAAAAAUGUGAGCACAAAAUUAAAGCACAUAGGUCAUCAAGAGCGAACUGCUCUGAUGCCAUAUUGAACUAAACAUGGUAAAUACCAAAAAUAUAUAUGACAAUAUUUGAGAAUUUUUUAUACAUUCAUUAAUCUCCAAAGUGGAGUAUAUAUAGGAGUUACAAUUGGUAUUACAUAUAUACUUCACCAAUGUGGGACAAUAAACUACUAUUUACACUCUAACUAAUAUAUAACUCGCAACAGUGUCCACCUGGGAUUUGGUGUAAGCAGGGAUUCCUGCUGAAAUGUUCAGCAGGGAAGUCUUGUUAUUUGUGUAGCAGAUACAACAUCACCAAUCUGUGGGAUUUUACUGUUUUAGCAGUUGAUUUAUAACAUGACAUUUAAAAACUGAGAUUUGUUCAUCCAUCUCCUCAAAAUAAAUAAAUAACAAAUAAAAUGAGUUCAAUUAAUAUAUAAAAAAAAGAACUUUAACGAAAAACUCUCGGUACUGUUUACGUUAACAAAAAACCACAUUUUUAUACCAAAAAGUCAAUCAUGGUACUAUUCACUUUACCCUUUAUUUUGUCCUUAUCGUUAAAACUCAAAAUUUUCAAGUCAUUUUCAUUAGUUUUUUCUAAUAGUCUCCUGGGUUACAAUUACAACCAAAACUUUUUAGCCAAUUGACCAACAAAAAUAAUGAAAAAAAAUAGGUUAUUAUACAUGACUUGUACCGCAGGGAUACUAAACUAGCUAAACAAUAUACACAUUUUGAACUUUUUAACAUCUGUUGCUCCCGUUUCUGAGUCUCAAUAGCACCGGCCGGAACGUUAAUUCUCGACAUUAGUAGAGUGAGGAAUGCAUGGCUAAGAAGGCUUCAUGCAGAGUGGUAAGCUACAUUCAUCUCAUUCAGGUGCAAAUACCCGAGCUGCGGCCGGGGAUGUGGGUGCAGGGAUUAGGGCCGGUUUGGGGGUGGGGGGGGGGGGCGGCGGCGACCCCUCUGGAGGUACUGAAACGCAAGUCAACACCAUGGUUCUUAGCCCAUUGCUCUGCCUUCAAUUGCCUCAUUUCUCCAACUUGAAGACAAGAAAACAGAACAACAACAACAAAAAGAGUUGAGAAUAAAGUCCUCCUGUAACAGAACCUCAUCUUAAUUUGACACUCAAAUGGAACUUUAGGUUCGAGCACGGAGCUAGAAAUUUCUUCUAGUCGGGGCAACCCGAAAAUCAACUAAGGAAACCUUAUUAUAGUAUGGCUUAUACCCAAUAUGAUAAUAGGGAUGAUUUCAAAUGAUGAUGGAUCACAAUUCCAAUAUUACAAAAAAUUCAUUUAGUAGUGGAAAGUGGCAAAGUGAUAAGAAAAAUAUUAAUACAUGAUUAUGCAGAAGAGAGGUUUUUCGGUCUAAAUGACAGAACAAGAGCACUUUUCCUCAUAUAAUAUUUGAUAUGAAGUAUAUGCAGUAUGAAGGUAUGUUAGAUAUUAGUUACAUAUAUUUUCUUCAAAGAUAACGCGUGUAUAUUAUAUAAUUGUAGUUUGCAACUUAACAAACGAAUAACUUGAGUAUGGGCAUAUGCUCCCUGUGAGCCUUCAUUGGCUCCUUCCAUGUUCAUGUGGUAACGUUUUACAGACCCAUUUUCGGGAAAAUUGCUUUGGAAAGUGAAAAUGAGUUUUCACAGUAGUUUGUAAUAAGGAAAUGAAAUCUGAGAUGAAGUGUGGUGGAGGUGAGACCUGUUAUAUACGGCCCUAUAAAUUUCAAAUUGCUCAUGCCCUUGACUAGUACAUAAGCUAUAAUGUUAAUUCGGAGCUUGAAAUUGACUUGGGCCAAUGGAACUUGAAGGUUCAACCAUGGCAUGCUGGUCCAUAUGUAAUUAAUCAAUACACGCUAACUUGAAUGCCAAACAGUGACACACUAUAGUUUGGGUGCAAAGCAAUAGUUUAAAUUUUAAUAGUCUUCUAUGAGAAAGACGUGAUGAGCUUUAUACUCAGGUGGGGAAAUACACCUGACAAGGACACGAUGAGUGUUAUACUCAGACAGGAAUAUAUCAUAUAGCCGCCGUGACAUAUGCAAGAAUCCGCCUUGAAUUACAAGGCAUAUAGAAGAAGGAUUAAAAAGUAAACUUUUUGGUGGUUGAUGCAAGCCCUGAGGAAAGCAUAACGCAGAGAGUCAAAUUCAAACAAUAUUUUUAACACAGUAGGGGAAUAGGUGUCACUCCUCAGCUGGUUUUAACACGACUGAACAAAUUUCCUUUUCUUGAUUUUGAUUGAGUCGUUUACGAGUCUUGACUGGCAGAGAAGCCAUGACCAAAGGUUCCCAGCAUCCCCCAAAAAAGGGGUACAUAUUUAUCAGUCAAACUCAAUACCCUUUAAAUUAUGGAGUUGGAAUAAGCAAAUCGUAUGACCAGAAAAACUUGGGUGUAACUAGGAUAUAUCCACAUCACCGUGUAGCACUCAUCACGUGGCCAAGUCACGUGUAGGAAUCUCCCCUUACUUGAGGGCUGGCUCUGGCCAAUUCAUCUAAACAUGCAUGCAUAAACUGUAAAACAGUAACUCAUAGCAUCCAUUUUGGUUCCGAACAUGUUCAAAAUUACAAAGAGCUCUUUUUCAUACAUAAACUAAACAACUCGUACAAUAAUAUCAAUCUGAAGUUAUAUAACAAAUCAUCACGAGGUGAAGACACUCAUCAGUUAUGGAAACGUUAGACUCUUGAGCUACAAUUUAAUGUUCCCUAAGUGUUCUGAAGACUUCAGAAACCGGGUGAGAAUCCAAUGGGCAGUUCAUCCUCACAACUGCAUCCUCGAGGCGUUCCUGAAAAUCAAUCUCUGGAACCGGCAACUGCUUUCCCUUGUUGUUUACCAUCUGCUUUUCAGUUUCCAUGACUCUCAUCUUCUUCUGGAGAUCGGUGAUAUAGGUAAUGGCAUCACCAAGAAGAGAGGCUUUAUCCAUCUUCGAUAUGUUAGGAACAACAGCUCUUAGUGCAUAGAACCUCUGGUUAAGCUUCUCGCGCCUCUGCCGUUCUGCUUCCACGUGAUUCAAUGGUUCUUCUCUCCCAUUGGCAGGCUUUCUCCCUCUCUUUCUGGGUUUCCCCUCAUCAAUUUGUGCCGAGGACUCAUCCUUGAGCAGCUCCGAACUUGAGACUCUUGUCUGAACAUUGAAACCGUCAACCAUCAUUCGGUUCAUUUGCGGAAACAGUUUUACUUCACUAUCCUCACUUCGACAUCUACUGAUUGUAAUUCAAACGAUUCUGGAGGAGAUGUAAAAUUAUAUUAUAUAUUUAUAUAUACUAAAAGAGAAAAUGAACCGAAACACUGUUAAUAAGCACAGUGGAUUUCCGAUUUUACCCCCAAUUAUUUUAUGGUAUUCCGAGUUUGGCCUUUUGUCUUGUUGUCAAAUUGGGAUGAAUUAUGUGAUACGUGGGACUCCCAGCUUCCUCCACCUUUUCCGUCGCUCACCGCUUUUUCCACCUUUCAAGUUUCAACCACCGCUACCCUCCCACGCCUCAGCUCUCUUUCCUAUUCAUACAUCAACCCAACUUUGGUUCUUCUUCUUCUUCUUCUUCUUCUUCUUCUUCUUCUUCUUCUCUAAAAGUUUCCAAUUUCCCCAAAACCCUCCCCUCCAAAUCCCCCACUACCUUAUUCUCCCUCGCAAAAUCAGAUUCCCCCAAAUCCUUCCAACCCAACAGUCCAAUUUUUCAAUCUUUACUCCAAGAACUAGCCGUGAGCAUCCAUUUCCCAUUUCGAAUUUCGAUCCUUUAGGUCAAGUUUUGAACCUUUACUUAUUGUCAUUGCUUAAUGUAGUUGUAAUUUAAAGUUUGAUUUUUUUUCGGUUUUGUUAUUUCCUGUGCAGGACAGCUUUGAUCUUUCGGAUGACUACUUGGCGCAGCUUCCGAAUGAUUUCCGUCUCGAUGUGAGUUCAUUUUUUCAAUCUAUGUUUACCCAAUUGUUGAAUUUGAUAAAGAAUGUGAUUUUUAGAUGGCAGAGUUAUCUCAAUAAGAAACAAAAGAUAGGUUCAUGUAGAAUAUAUUACAUAGCAAAAGUUGGGGAUUAAGCUAUUUGCGUUAUUUGGUUAGGAAAUUGCUCAAUGUUGUGUUGUUUGUGUGAUUGUGUUUAUCCAUUAGGUUUGCAAAUAUCAUAGUUUCAAUAUUUCAUAUGAUUUUGUUGUUGGGCAGUUCUUUCAAAUAAGUUUUAGCUCUGUUAUUCUGUAAUUAUUUUGGAAUUUGAUGGUGUUUAGUAAUGUUGCAGGUGAUUAACAAAAAAUCUCUUUCAAGUGCACAGGUAGGUAAUAGUACUUACUUCUUUGCUUUAAAUCCUUACUAAUUUAUCAUACGUAAUGAUUCAAUUGAGUUGUGUAUUCUGCAAGAGGAUUUGUGCAGACUGAUGGACUUGGUGUUGCUUAGGGAGCAACAUGCUAGGACUUUACUUAUUUGUAGGUGUGAUCCAGUUUAUAACAUGGUGGAAUAAAUAUUGGAUGCCUGAUGAUCAAAAUAAACAGAGGUAUGUAAUUGGUCUUUGUCCUCUUAUCUUUUUACUAUUUUGUUGAUUUUUCAUUGUGUGAAUUUAGAUAUGAAUAUGCGUUUUUAAGUUAUUCAAACAUUACAAAUUAUAAAUGUAGGAUUAAAGCAGGUUUGGUUCUUCAAGACUCCAGCAAAGUGGGGAAAUAACACGCCAUUCUUAGGAAAAUGGUUGGCUGGAAAUUAAAAUAAAUGGAUCUCCCAUAACUCUUUAGAUAUGAUAAGCCUAUUGUAGGAGUAUAAGUCCAGAAAAUUAAUGUAGACAUGAAAAAUUCACUUAUUCAGAUGAUUGUUCGAUGGAAGAAACAUAAACACACACACAAAUGAAGCGAGCAAGAUAUGGGAACUAUAAAUUUAUAACUGCACAAAGAUAAAGAAGUUCCCUUAGAGCAAAUUAAACGAAACAGAAAGAAAGAAAGAAACACUAUGUGAACAUUUGAGAUAACAGUGAUAAUGGUGGCUGGGGUGUUAGAAAUUGCAUAUAACUUUCUGUUUUGAUUGAAAUGGUUCUUCAACCAUUUCAAGAAAAUAUUCUAUACAUGCAUACGUACUCAUUUCUCUACAAUUUUCGAAGAUCUUAUAAAUCUUUUCCUAUAUUUAUGCUUAAUGUUUCUCUCAGUUUACAAUUCGGCAGAAGGUGUAUAUUUCCGUCACCCUUUAUUCAUACUUGCAUGCUGAGAAUUGUGGUACAAGAGUUACUGGGGAGAUGAGCAAUUCAAUAAGUCUACUUCUCAUAUGUUGCUCUUAACGUGUGUCGGUUUUAAUUAUUCAUGAGCAAUUGAAAAUUUAUUUUCACUGAUGGUACACUUAUAUUCAUAGAUCAAUAUAUGUUUGUUUUUAACGUAUCUUAUUAAAUGCAUUUGGAGAAAGUAUUCAAUUUUUUUAGCAAUUAAGAACAUUGCUCCCUCCUCAAUAACUACACUUUCCUUCAUUCAUCUUUACUAAAUGUCAAGAUUUACAAUAACAAUCUUUUUUUUUUUUUCAAUUUUGUUGAGGGGGCUUAAUGUUACCAUUGAUGAAGUCUGUGAAGCACUUUUGGAAGGUAAGUGGUGAUAUUCAAUUAUUGCUUAUUGCAUUUUGUCCAAUUUUAUUGGAAAAUUUCUGAAUUAGGUGUGUGCUUUACCCGAAGAAGUCUCAGAAUAUUGCAAUUCUUGCUUAUUGCAUUUUAUCCAAUUUGGAAGGUAAGUUGUGAUUAUGGAACAAUGUAUUGAAGAGCCAUUUGUUUAGUUCGUUAGUGGAAUUUCGUUGGUUAUGUAUUUCCGAAAUACUUGAUAUAAUUGAUAAUUAAGGUUUAAAUAUCAUAAGGUUCCUUUUGUUUAGGAUAAACAAAUAAGAAGGAAUUGAAGAAGUGGGUUUGGGUUAGUGUAGAGAACUGACACAGAAUUGUACUUGCUAUUGCAGGGAAAUGAAACAGAAUUGUAUCUUCAACAAAAUUAUCGAGUGGUAGCAAUUGGCGGAUUGUCUAAUCUUUUGAAGUAAUUUCAUUUCCAAUUUUAUUUGUCUUCCUGUAAUUUCAAGUCAGAUUACCGGGGAAUGCCUAACUUUUUUGGCUGUCAAUUUUUGUUUUUAGUCCAUUUUCUUUGCUACUGCUGUGUUAGGAUUUUAAACUCAACCGUGAAAUUGAGUAUAGGCCUUUUUGGUUGUACAUAGGUUCUUAUUGUGGAGUAGAUACAAAUAUGCCAUGUACAUAUUCUACUAUUUAAGUAAUGAACAAAACUAUUCUCAAUGUUUCUAGCUAAUCAUUUAUCAACUUUAACGUUAUUUUAAACCCGCUGCGAAGUGCGGGUAUUCUUACUUGUCUUCUUCUAUUUUUGGAGUAAAGGAAAUGUUGACUGAUUGUGAUUUUGGACCCCCAAGACUUAGUUCCCGUCCAAAUAUCAUUGGAAAUGCCUUUGCCUGAAUAGGACUAGAUUCCCCAAAUGCACUUCUGACCGUAUCCACAUAACUUUGUUCUUCCGGAGUUGAUUUGACCGAACCGAGUUCCACAACUCCUGAUUUCAUUGGUACAAACACCACUGUCUGAAACCCAGCCAAUCUUGCUAAAAAUGACCUUGACUGGUAAUGAUGUAAACAACUACCGGCAUCCGAAACCCAUAUCGAUUUUCCAGACUUGUAUGACUCCCCUGGACCACAGUGUGAGAUCGAAUCAAGUUGAAAUGCAUAACACAUUGAAGUGAGAUGAAACAUCUCCACAUCUAACACCCCAUCCAACCUCCUUGCAUAAUUAUCCCCAUUCAAACCGCCAAAACACGCGUGGAGCUUCUCAAGCACCCACUUCUUCACCUCUUUUUUCUUCUGCAUUGCCUCCAAACUACUAUCCCGACUAGAAUUCACGUCCCCAGCUCCACCGCCCUUGGUGUCUCUGCAAUGCCCAUCACCCCAAAUCAAGGCAGGUCCACCAGAUUUCGAGCUAACAGCCCGCCAGAAAAUGGCAUACUUCCAAGACCCACCUAGACAACCGCCUAAAUUGUGACUCACUUAGACAGAAAAUAGAUAACUUUCAUUUUGCAUUUUAUUUUUCUUAAUAAAUUACAAGAGACUUGUUAAAUACUUAUAUGAACACACGUUAUACGCUUGUUCCUCAUUUUUUCAUUAUGUUUCAAUACUUCAUAAUAUAUAUGUCAUUAUAUUUUGUAAUUUAUGAUGAAAUUAUGUAUAUUUCAAGUAUAAAUAGACACUUAUUUACACGAAAUAUAAUGCAUUUACUUAAAUCCGCCUAGUUCGUCUUGUCACGCCCUGAUCCCGACCUACAUCCAGGAUCGACGCGCGACAGUAGACUGUAGGGGGAUGCCAGGAAAUACAAACUGAAAUACUGAACUGAAAACAACCAUAAUCACAUCUGUUUAAGGAAAAGUAUAGGGGUAACCUAACACUCCAAGCCCUUUGAACUCAGGUUGCUACCCCAAAGCUCCUCAUAUCUACUACCACCUGCACAAUCGCCCCUACACCGUGGGAAAUGGUGCAUCGGGCAAACAACAACCCGGAUAAGCCGCAAAGCUAAUGUGAGUGACAAUAAUGCGACGUAUGUGAUGACGUUAAAAACCAACCAUCGAUUCAGUUUAGAAACGUUAAAUAUAAUUUUUUUUUCCUCCUCUUGCGGCUAAAGUUUGUCUAAGCCACUACCCCCGAUGUCAGCAUUUGGCUUUGGAGUCGGCAGCAAUCCUUCUUCAUCUCGUCAUUGUCUUUCUUUUCCUAUUUUAGGUAGUGGUCGAUCUCUCACUUUGUCGAGGAGAGUCUUGUGGUAAUUGUGGUCACUUUGUCUUUCUGAGGAGGAGAGAUUACGGUUCUAUAGCAGUUAUGAUUUAUUACACACCGGAUCUUAAGGGAACAAUUAUUGUUCAAAGUUCUAAGGUGGUGACUUUGUUGUUUGUGUGCUUGGCAAGAAUUAUGCGGAGGAAACUCGGCAUUUGUUGGAGUUGACUUGUAGCGUUUUUACUAACGAUUACAAGAUCAUCAAAGGGUGACACUGUCUUGCCUUCGUGUGGUCAUUUUAGUGGUUCAAAGGAUUCACAAUCAGGUUUUCUUGUCGUUACAAAGUCUUCAGGUGAUGGUACAAUGUUUAACUUAUGUUUCUUGAUAGUGUUAUUACGUCCGGCUCAUAAGGCUUAGACCUUGUGAGCUUAUCUUUCCUGUUCGCUAGGAGCAGGUCUCUCAUGAUUGAGGAAUCGUACUUCUGAAGAGUUUAUUUUAUGUUUUGACGGUUUUUUUUUUUGUUUGUUUUGGUUGUGGUCUCGUUGUUUGUACGCCUAACAAAGGACUAUGACGACAUUUUCGUGAUGUCUCAUAGCAAGGCAUCUUUGCUGAAGGAGUGUCGUCUUUGUAAGUUCAUAAAAAAAGAUGCAAGGUUUUGUCGACGAGUGUUUCUUUCUAUUUGGCUAGAUGUGGUUAUGUAGGGUAAGUUUUGUAUAGUCUUUUUGUUGUGUUUGAAAUUGUAUUCCUAAUGGAUGAUGUUCUUCGUUAUAUUUGAUUAAUGACCUUACCUUAAAAAAAACUUUAUAUUCCUUAUUUAAUUUACAAAUAUUACUGGCUAAUUAGUACAACAACAACAACAACAACAACAAAGCCUUUUCCCACUAAGUGGGGUCGGCUAUAUGAAUCCUAGAACGCCAUUGCGCUCGGUUUUGUGUCAUGUCCUCCGUUAGAUCCAAGUACUCAAGUCUUUUCUUAGGGUCUCUUCCAAAGUUUUCCUAGGUCUUCCUCUACCCCUUUGGCCCUGAACCUCUGUCCCGUAGUCACAUUUUCGAACCGGAGCGUCAGUAGGCCUUCUUUGCACAUGUCCAAACCACCGAAACCGAUUUUCUCUCAUAUUUCCUUCAAUUUCGACUACUCCUACUUUACCUCGGAUAUCCUCAUUCCCAAUCUUAUCCUUUCUCGUGUGCCCACACAUCCCACGAAGCAUCCUCAUCUCCGCUACACCCAUUUUGUGUACGUGUUGAUGCUUCACCGCCCAACAUUCUGUGCCAUACAACAUCGCUGGCCUUAUUGCCGUCCUAUAAAAUUUUCCCUUGAGCUUAAGUGGCCUACGACGGUCACACAACACGCCGGAUGCACUCUUACACUUCAUCCAUCCAGCUUGUAUUCUAUGGUUGAGAUCUCCAUCUAAUUCUCCGUUCUCUUGCAAGAUAGAUCCUAGGUAGCGAAAACGGUCACUUUUUGUGAUCUUCGCUAGAUUGCUCCGGUCAUUAGUGUGGAUAAGUAUAUAAAUGGAUAGAGAUAGGAAAGCAAACACAAGAUGUACGUGGUUCACCCAGAUUGGCUACGUCCACGGAAUAGAGGAGUUCUCAUUAAUUGUGAAGGGUUUACACAAGUACAUAGGUUCAAGCUCUCCUUUAGUGAGUACAAGUGAAUGAUUUAGUACAAAUGACAUUAGAAAAUAUUGUGGGAGAAUGAUCUCGUAAUCACGAAACUUCUAAGUACCGGGGUGUGGUAUCGUCUUGACUUGCCUUAUUUGUCUCAUAUGUAGAUGUGGCAUCUUUUCUGGAAGUACUCUUCCUCCAUCCAGGGGUGGUAUCUUUAACUGGUGGAGAUGCACAAGGUAAUGUAUCAAUUUCACUUGAAGCUUACUUGUAGUUUCAGGCUUGGUCAAGCGCGAUACAAACCAUGUAGUAGGAGUCCCCCAAGUCGCCGAGCUAGGGGAUCUGCUGAAAGAGGUGACAGACAAGGUAAGCAAUCAGAGCUCCGGCUGAUUGUUCACAUUCUCCCUAUCUUGCAGGCAGCAUGAAGGACAAAGAGAAGAAAAAUGAGAAGAGAUGAUAUGGGAUACUUUUGCUUUUGAAGAAGUAACUUUCCACAGGCUUAUUCUUGAACUGGGCUGGAGGGUUUUCUGGUUUCCUCCAGAGUAUAAGGCCGACUGAAGAAUUUGAGGGUCAAAACAAGUCCAUCAAAUCUAGAGUACGUUUGACCCUGCUGAUAUGGGAUACUUUUGCUUUUGACAGAGUAGUGGAUGUAUCGGCACGUGUGCUAUUACGCUUGUCUCCACAUGCUUCUUUGUAUCCUUCUCACUUGCUCUAUCUGUUCAUCAGGCAGAUGCGGUAUCUUCCCUGGAAGCAUAAGAUGUUGAAGAUGAGUACUUGAGAGCAAUGCCAGGUAAGUACUCAGGUAAGGGGUUCCAGGCAGUCAGUUCCUGGCUGGAAGCUUGAUUCCAAGUGCUGACUGAUUGCUCUCUUUCUCCUUGUCUUGCAGGUAAGAACAAGGCCAAAGGAAAAGACAGGGAAAAAGCAUGAUAUGGGAUACUCUUGCUUUUAACCCUGAUGAUAUGAGAUAUUCUUGCUCUAGUAUAGCUUGUUUGCAGAGGUAUUAUCGGGGGGAAAGAAAGCUGAAUAUUUCGAAAGGCUUCGUUGGGAGUGCCCUCUCAGAUAAGAGGAAGGGUUGAGCAUUUUUGCAGGUCUGCCUGUCCGUUGGGGAUGGAGGUCGACAUAUAUAGGAGUCUCCCUAACAUCAAGUAAUAAUGCUAUUCCUUUACCCUGCUUGGUCAUAGCACGGUAGUGGGAGCUGUCAGCUUCACAUGUUUUAACUCUGUCAGAGCACUUUGAAAAAGUGGUCUGUGGUAUCUGGAAAGCUGAUGUUGUGUGUGAAGAUUACAGACAAGCUUUAUCCAAGGAGAUCCAGCUUUUGAAGUUGGAAAAGUGGUGCCUCUUCGGUUUUCGAACAAGCAAUCCUGUCGGGGAUCUGGCUCUCGAGAUUCAGAGAACGAUGCCUCUUCGAUUUUUGAGAAAACAAUCCUGCUGGGGGUCUGGCUCUCGAGAUUCGGAGAGCGGUGUCUCUUCGAUUUUUUAGAAAGUAAUCAUGUUGGGAGUCUGGCUCUCGAGAUUCGGAGGGCGGUGCCUCUUCGAUUUUGGAGCAAGUAAUCUUGUUGGGAGUGUUUUCUCGAAUGUGAGUAAAGGUUGGGCAUGUUUGCUAGUCUACAUUGCCACGAAGCACAGAGGUUGACACACAUGGACUUUCCAAUUAUCCAGCAGUGGUACUGUUCCUUUACCCUCUCUUCGAUUUUUGAGAAAGUAAUCAUGUUGGGAGUCUGGCUCUCAAGAUUCGGAGGGCGGUGCCUCUUCGAUUUUGGAGCAAGCAAUCUUGUUGGGAGUGUUUUCUCGAAUGUGAGUAAAGGUUGGGCAUGUUUGCUAGUCUACCUUGCCACGAAGCACAGAGGUUGACACACAGGGACUUUCCAAUUAUCCAGCAGUGGUACUGUUCCUUUACCCUCUCUUCGAUUUUUGAGAAAGUAAUCAUGUUGGAAGUCUGGCUCUCGAGAUUCGGAAGGCGGUGCCUCUUCGAUUUUGGAGCAAGCAAUCUUGUUGGGAGUGUUUUCUCGAAUGUGAGUAAAGGUUGGGCAUGUUUGCUAGUCUACUGUGCCACGAAGUACAGAGGUUGACACACCGGGACCUUCCAAUUAUCCAGCAGUGGUACUGUUCCUUUACCCUUGUGGGUAAUAAUAUGGUAGCUAGACCUUCAAAAUUUAUGUGUCUAAACUUUGUUAGUGUUGUUUCUUUGCUAUUCUUUUACCCUUCUUGGUCAGAGCGAUGUAGUGGGAGCUGCAAGCUUCACGUGUCUCAACUUUGUCAGAUAACUUUGGCAAAGUUAUCUGUGGUACCCAUGAGCUACUGUUGCGUGUGGGAAGUGGGUGAUUGAACAGUACGAUUCAUGUGCUUUCUACUUUACCAGAAAUCUUCGACAGAAUGCCCAUAAUUUCCGCAGAGCUGAGUGUGCGUGUGACAGGUGCUGACAAGGCUGGAAAAGUAUGUGCCUCUUCGAUUUCUGAGAUCGGCCCUCGUAGUCUCUGAGCAGCCCAGCUUUUGAGAAAGCAAGCCUCUUCGAUUUCUGAGAUAGGCCUUCGUGGUCUUUGAGCAGCCCAGCUUUUGAGAAAGCAAACGCCUCUUCGAUUUCUGAGCAGGCGCCUCUUCGAUUUCUGAAGCUUCGUCAAGUGCAGAUUUUUAUAGGGGCUGGCAUUAAGUUCCAAAGGACACUUGAAUCUCCACCAGUAGAAGCUCCAUUCUUGCACUUCUAAGAUCUUGAUUUGUCUGACCUCUUCUCUCUUCAACACCUUUGAAAAUGUCUGGCCCCUCCGACCGUCGUUUUGACUUGAACCUUGUUGAAGAGGCAGCCCCGCCUUCUCCAGACAACAUAUGGCGCCCAUCCUUCGUCUCCCCUACUGGUUCUCUUACCGUUGAGGAUUCCGUGAUGAAGAAUGAUAUGACCGCUGCGGUAGUGGCCAGGAACCUUCUCACUCCCAUAGAUAACAGACUACUUUCCAAACGGUCUGAUGAGUUGGCUGUUAAGGAUUCUCUGGCUCUCAGUGUUCAGUGUGCAGGUUCUGUGUCUAAUAUGGCCCAACGCCUAUUUGCUCGAACCCGCCAAGUUGAAUCAUUGGCGGCUGAAGUGAUGAGUCUCAAACAGGAGAUUAGAGGACUCAAGCAUGAGAAUAAACAGUUGCACCGGCUCGCACAUGACUAUGCUACAAACAUGAAGAGGAAGCUUGACCAGAUGAAGGAAUCUGAUGGUCAGGUUUUACUUGAUCAUCAGAGAUUUGUGGGUUUGUUCCAAAGGCAUUUAUUGCCUUCGUCUUCUGGGGCUGUACCGCGUAAUGAAGCUCCAAAUGAUCAACCUCUGAUGCCUCCUCCUUCUAGGGUUCUGUCCAGUACUGAGGCUCCGAAUGAUCCCCCUCCGAUGCCUUCUCUUUCUGGGGCUCUACCGACUGCUGAGACUUCUCCUAAACAACCUUUGUGAAGGCUCCCUCUUGUUUGUUUAUUUUGACUCAUGUAUAUGUACAUAUUUGUAACUUAUCAGGGCUAUCAAUAAAUAAGUUUUCCUUCAUUUCAACGUAUUAUGUUAAAUACACCAAAGCCUUCUUCGCUAAGUUCUUUGAAUUUUCUUUUGUUGAAGCUUGUAUGUUGAAGCUUUGUGAGUGGAGCAUGUAGGUUGAGGUAGUGUUCCCUUAAUUUCCCGAGUGAGGAAAACUUCUCGGUUGGAGACUUGGAAAAUCCAAGUCACUAAGUGGGAUCGGCUAUAUGAAUCUUAGAACGCCAUUGUGUUCUGUCCUGUGUCAUGUCCUCCGUUAGAUCCAAGUACUCUAAGUCUUUUCUUAGGGUCUCUUCCAAAGUUUUCCUAGGUCUUCCUCUACCCCUUCGGCCCUGAACCUCUGUCCCAUAGUCGCAUCUUCUAAUCGGAGCGUCAGUAGGCCUUCUUUGCACAUGUCCAAACCAUCGUAACCGAUUUUAUCUCAUCUUUCCUUCAAUUUCGGCUACUCCUACUUUACCUCGGAUAUCCUCAUUCCUAAUCUUAUCCUUUCUCGUGUGCCCACACAUCCAAUGAAGCAUCCUCAUCUCUGCUACACCCAUUUUGUGUACGUGUUGAUGCUUCACCGCCCAACAUUCUGUGCCAUACAGCAUCGCCGGCCUUAUUGCCGUCCUAUAAAAUUUUCCCUUGAGCUUCAGUGGCAUACGGCGGUCACACAAUACGCCGGAUGUACUCUUCCACUUCAUCCAUCCAGCUUGUAUUCUAUGGUUGAGAUCUCCAUCUAAUUCUCCGUUCUUUUGCAAGAUAGAUCCUAGGUAACGAAAACGGUCGCUCUUUGGUAUUUCUUGAUCUCCGAUCCUCACCCCUAACUCGUUUUGGCCUCCAUUUGCACUGAACUUGCACUCCAUAUAUUCUGUCUUUGAUCGGCUUAGGCGAAGACCUUUAGAUUCCAACACUUCUCUCCAAAGGUUAAGCUUUGCAUUUACCCCUUCCUGAGUUUCAUCUAUCAACACUAUAUCGUCUGCGAAAAGCAUACACCAAGGAAUAUCAUCUUGAAUAUGUCCUGUUAACUCAUCCAUUACCAACGCAAAAAGGUAAGGACUUAAGGAUGAGCCUUGAUGUAAUCCUACAGUUAUGGGAAAGCUUUCGGUUUGUUCUUCAUGAGUUCUUACGGCAGUCUUUGCUCCUUCAUACAUAUCCUUUAUAGCUUGGAUAUAUGCUACUCGUACUCCUUUCUUCUCUAAAAUCCUCCAAAGAAUGUCUCUUGGGACCCUAUCAUACGCUUUUUCCAAAUCUAUAAAGACCAUGUGUAAAUCCUUUUUCCCAUCUCUAUAUCUUUCCAUCAAUCUUCGUAAGAGAUAGAUUGCCUCCAUGGUUGAGCGCCCUGGCAUGAACCCGAAUUGGUUGUCCGAAAAAAAUAUAUAUGCAAUAAAAUACAUGUAUACAUCCAAAAUACACAUACACGGCCAAGCAUACACCUAUUUUUACUUGCCACACACCCCUUGUUAAUUUCAGUUUUUACAUCUUCUCCAGUUUAUUGCAUCCGAUGGCUUAAAAUUGAGAGGAGGGUAUGAAAAGCAAAAGGAAUAAUGUGUGUGUGUGUGUGUGUGUGUAUUAUGCACAUUUCAUCGCUUGCUUGUGACUUUUUUAGAGUAGGUGCUUCAGAUGAUCUCUGAAGAGCUUCCACUCGUUGAUUAUAAUCAGUUGCAAUGGCCGUUGCCGCGUUCAGGGGAUGCACGGAUUGGGACCAGAAGGUGGCACUGAACCUCUAGCCUGUGGCAGAAGCGCCGUCUUUGGAACAAAAGUCUUCGGCUUCAUCGUGCAGCCCAGAGGUCGAGCAGCAGCUGUUACAUGAUCAGAGGGUAAUUUGGCGGUCAAAAUGAUCAAGAGAAUAAGCAUCAAUAACUUCAUAGCGUGCAUGGUUUUAUAUGGUGACCGAAAAAUGAUGUCGAAUGUGCUUUCUCUCUAUGGAAAGAUGGAAGAUAAGGUGUGUGGAAUAAGCUUUCUUGUGCUGAAUUUAUAUAGAGAUUGAGUUAAGAACUACAAGUGGGACAUGAAUUCAACUUCGAAACUGCUAAGAAAAGGGGGGCUGACCGCAUGAAAGAUACACAAUUUGAGACAUUCUUAACGAACAAGUUAAGGAAAAAGGAAAAAUAAAAGGAAGCCAAAUUACACAAUUUAUGAGGAAAUUGUUGGAAUAGGAUCCUCUCCUGAUCCUCUUUGUGGGGAUCCGGAUGAUCAAUCAAUCGAGUUCGUUCAUCGUACAUCGUGCGUUUAGAAAUUAUUUUGAAUUUUUAAUUUUGAAUUUAAAAUUGAAUAUAAAUAGUACUUAAUGAAAUUAACCGUACGAUGUACGAUGAACGGACAUGAUUGAUUGAUCCCUAGAUCACCACAAACUGGAUCUGAAGAGGAUCCUCAUCCGAAAUUGUUUACAUUUUUUUAGCCCGCCACUUUGGUCAAAAGAAACCAAUUAUAUAUAUUAUAUUUGAGGAUUUUAAGGUAAAAGAGUCUCACAUUAUGAAAUGAAACAGAUUGAACUACUUCUAAUAUUGCCAAUUGAUUUUAUGGUGGAACCCUAACUUUCUUCAUAGAAUCAGAGCACGUGCUCCAUGUCACCCAAUUCUUGUUGUCCAAGUGUUUGACUUGAAAAUUCGCUAUACGUGAGGGGUCGUGUGAAGAUGUGAAGGUAAAAGAGUCUCAUAUCAGUGAAAGGAGAAACAUUAUGAGGGUUUAUAAGAAGUUAAAUUACUCUCCAUAUUGCCAAUUAGCUUUAAACUCCAACUUUCUUCAAUAUACAUAAGUGUUACCACACACUAGGAUUGUGUAUCUAAGUAUAGUGAUAGAUAUGUGUUUAUGUUGGAUUUAUCCAAUAUAAAUCAACCUUUAAGUGGUCUACUACAUGUAAUAGGAAUGUAAUAUUGGAGAAUAAUGUUAAUUGUGAUUUGAUCUCUUAAAAAUAUCAAUUCUAUAUAAGGUGUCUUAUAUUGGAAAUAUGAUUGAUGGAAUCCUUAAUAAUAUAUGAUUAUGAUAUUUUACUUGAGAGCCAAGAAAGGAGAGUUUUAGCUUUCCCUUAUGGAUGGAAUCUAAGACUUUUUGGCUAAUAUAUAAACACUGGUCCCUGCUAACCCUAGACACGACAACUAAGGCUUCCCAUAGAGCAUUGUCAUAAAGCUAGGAGUUUACAGAAGAGUUGGUGUUUUCUGUUUGUCACGGCAAACAUAAAGAUUGAAAUUUUAUCGAUCACGUCUUGAUUGCAUGGCUGCUACAUCUUCGACAACUGUCAUUGGAAUCAGGUCAGUCACUCAUUUGUUUGUGUUUUAAUUGUAUAACCUUGUAAGGCUAACAAUUGGUAUCAGAGCCACUGGUUAUAUGAUUAAAACCUAUUAAGUUUGAAGUUUGAUUAUAUAAUAUUUUCCUUUUUGGAUUGCGGUUUUGAUCUUAAAAUUCAAAUUGUGUUCCGGGUCGAUGAGGACUUCUUGAAUCAGACACAUCUGCGGUCAUGAACGAGAUCUACGCCCUGCAUUGGUUCAAGGACGUUCACGUGAGAACCGUCCGUGUAUUGGUCGGUAACCUUAUUCCAAACGUAGGCUUUUCUAAUUGAAGCACCUAAUGAUGAUAUCAAAUUAACUAUAAUAAAGGAAGAUUGAUAUAGUUGAUUCAUUAUUUUAUGGAAUUGUAUAAUUGGAAUACCAUGGUGCUUAACGUUUUCUAUUUCACAUAUGCAUCGCAUAUGAGAUCUUGAUGGAGGUGGGUUAAAGAGCGGAUAAAGCGCCGAGGCAUAAAAAAACACGGUCGUCAGUAUCAUGAACUCUGGCAUCGCAGUACACACGGUCACAUCUCCACUCUAAUUGGUUCCAAACCCCAAAGGCUGGAGUAGGACCCCCACCAAAUAUCAACCUAGCUAUUUGUGCAUUGAUGGUCUUAAACUUUAACUAACGGACGUUAAGUUACUUCCAAGACAUGUGUAGCCUUGCAGGGAAUCACAUAUUUUGCUAUCGGAUAUAUGAAACAUAAAUUGGUAAACUAAUCAUUGUUGAAUGGUAGGUUUUCAAGCACUUCAAGCUUUCUUUCUUGUAUUUAGUUCUCAUAAAGAAAGAUUGGAAUCGUUUGCUCAUCUUUACUGAAUUAAUUAUGACUGGAAGAAUAUGGCAUGUUUUAAACUUUCUAUUUCGAUAUUCAUGCCAAUGUUUUUGGUUGAAUUGAUUUAGUGGUAGAUACAACUAUUUUGGCUAACGUUGUUGUCAAUUUUGUAAGGAUAUACAAAUAUGUACUUCUGUAAUAAUGUUGUCAAGAAAGAAUAUGAAACAUCUCAAGUUAGCAAGCUCGGUAAAGUCUCCUAUCAAAGCAAACAAUUUUGAUCAUUAUAUGUGUCAAUUGCGAAUUAAUUAGUUGAUCAUGCAUAUGGUUAGUUUUGACUAUUAAGUUUUAAACUUGGUUAUCAAAACAAAGAGAAAAUAUAUGUUUUGAACAUGAUUAAUUCUUAUAUGCAUAUAAGUGGCAUAUAGAACGAGGGAAAAGUAGAAUUUUUAAGACAUGCCAAGAUGCAUGCAUAUAAAAGUGCAAAUCUAUCUUGUUUGUUUGCGGCUAAUUUUGUUAGUGCCACAUGAGAGCGAGCUUGCUGGAAUCAAAAUCUCCAACCGCAGGUUUAGGGCGGGUUAUUACUGCCACACGCGAGAACACCUGUGUGAGGUGGGUCCUGGGUGGACAGGCGACAAGGGGACACUAACCACCCUUCAAAUGCCUCACGGAUUAUUGCAGGUUCUGUUUUUGCAUUACAUGAUUAUGUGUAGUAAAUAUAUAGACUGAAUUGGAUAGCCAUGUCAUUGGUUGCUGUCGGAAAUAUCUAAUAUGGAUUCAAUUUUAAGUAUGCAAGCAUGGAGCAAAAUUGACAUAUGGCGUGUUUUAUUAAAAGGAUUGGGUUGUCCUAUAUUGCUUUAAGCUUGAGAUGAUCUUAUAUAAAGACACAAAUGUGUUGAUUAGUAAUGCAGUAUGCUAGCACUUAAGUAUGAUGGGGGAUUAAUUCAAGUACGGUUUAUAAUGAUAUUAACUCCAUACGGAAUUUGCAUGACUAAUCAAAUUAGUUUUGUCUACAAUUUUGCUUUCCUAUCUCAGUAUAGUCAUUUAAUUGUACAUGACUAAUGCAUAACUUAUGGAUUGACUGAGAAUGACAGAAAGCAUCCAAUGACAAGAAUGAGGGUAUAAUACAAGUGAAUAAGGUUUGUAGUAAUUAUGUGACAAUUCUCAUUUGUAUUUUUAUCUAUUCUUAUAUGAGAAUUUUGGUUGGUCAUGUGAUUAUAUAUAUGUUUACAAAGAAGUGAUGAACAUAUGAAGGCAUGAGGUAUGUAAUCCAUUCAAAGUAUGUGGCUUAAUUGAUAAGCAUGAAUUUCCAAACAUGUAUUAUUGUUUGUGGUUUUUCCUAUGCCUAAAGAAUUUAAACAGUGCUUUGAUUAGUAAAUUUUUAUGUGUCAUAAGGGGAGAAGAAAAUAAACUUUUCAAGGCUAAUGUAGGGCAUAUAUUGGAGAUGUUUUCUAUGGAAGAAAAGAAUUUUGGUUGUUCCUUUUAUUUAAUUUGGUAUUUACAAAGCUAAUGCAUGAUUUUAAUGCUAUGUUUAGUAGUUUUGUACUACGGAAAGAAAUAUAUAAAAGGAAAGGAACCCAUUUGAUAUAUAUUUGAGCGAUUUAGCUUUUAAAUUAAAGGAAUGUAUUGUUCUUUCCCAUUACAUAAAUAAUUUCUGUUUUAAGUAAUUGACUCCAUAAUGAUAAGUAUUGACAUUCGUGUGGUGGAAUAAAACUUGUUCUAUAUGUGAUUAAUCUCUUUCAAGUAUGCUGUCAGGUUUCUUGAGAUUAAUUUAAUGUCAAAGGGAGUCCUGAAGGAAUUAGUGCCAUUUGUUGGCAAGACUUGACGCUCGAAUCAGGUUAUCAUAAUUUUGUCACUUACAGUUGAUUAAUUCAUGUGACUUUUUGUAUUGUUUCAGGGCGAAGUUGAUAAAUGUCUUUUCAACUAAAGCAAGCCACAACGACUUAGUUGAUGAUGAGACUGUGUUUUUGAGUUACUUCAGUCAACUUUGCAUCUUAAUUAGAAUAAAAGGGAUAAUCUUCUUGCCUACAGGUGUGGAUUAUUUCUUUUAGUUUAAUUAAGAUGGCAUAGUAUGGGUUUUAUUUUACAAAAGUUGUGAAAAUCUUCAUCUUGCCUACAGGUGUUGAAGUUUUUCAUGAAGGUACUUUUGUGACAUAAAAUCUAGUACUAGAAACUAGUUAAUUUUCUUGCCUACAGGUGUAAAUUAAUUUAGUUUCAUGAAGUCUAUUGGGGACAAAGUUCCAUGCCAUCAGUUAAAAUAUUUCCACUAUGAGCCCAUAAUAGGUUGUGGUUUUAAGGCAUGGAAAUCGGUUGCAUCAUGACAUAUUUUAUCUCUUCAUGAGACUUGUUGAUGCAAAGUAUUGGACCCAUGAAAGUUAAUCAAGGAUUGCUAAGGUACACAUUUGUUUAAGUCUUAUGCUUGUAAAUCUUUUCAAUUGAAACUAUGAUGUCGGUUUAGAGGAUGAAUUUUGACUACUAAAGUUUCUUUUGGACAUCGAAAUUGAAAUGAUAUGAAAUUGAAUUUGUUAUGGAUGCAUAAAUUCAUGAUAGAUGCACAUAAUUGUUUCUGGCAGAUUGCGUGUCUUGAAUUAAAUCGGGUGAAUGACACGUCUAAUGGUCACCAAAUGACCUGAAUUUUGGAUAUGUUCAACAUAUAGAUGUCUACUAUUUGUCUGCAAAUUUUCGUAAUUUUCUGCCAUCUAUGUUAAUUAUGGUGAAUUUACUACUAACCCAUACUCGUAUAGACAGUUUUUACUGACAGAUUGUGUUGGUCUUUUUGAGACGUCACUUUAGACUACUAUUUUGACCCAAAAUAGCUCCAUAUUUUUAUUUUAUGAAUAUUAGUAUGUCUAUUUUGAUCAGUAUAAAUUUGGUAGCAAUCAAGCUUGUAAAUUAAUUAUGAUUAAUUCUAAAGUGAGUGUACCUUGCUACUGAAAUUCUGGUUGACAACUUUGUGUUGGUUGUAAUGUCUAUUUUAUUGUGUCUAAAAUAUAAAGCAAUUUUAUUUAGGUACAUUUUUGAAAGAGUGUUUGCCCAAGUGGGAGAAUUAGUGAACGAAAAUUGGGCUUCACACUCAUUAACUUAUUUGCAAGUAUAAACUCCGAGAACUUAGUGGGAGUUAUUCUAAAAUUGUGAGCAUUAAGUGGACUUGCAUGAAUCUAUUAAAGCAUUAUUCUAUCUUCAUGAAUUUGGGUUACUCGAAUAUCUAUAAUAUGUUUAAGUUACAUGCGUACAUUUUUCUGUUACUUGCAAUCAUUUGGAUUUCGGUUGAUCAUUUGUUUUGGGGCUCAUAAGGACUUAGCAUGAAUGUGAACUUAUUAAUACAUAUAAGAUGGUUGUUGGAUGCAUGUUUUGUGUAACAGCGGUGAAUGCUUUCAUUCUUUGUUGUACCUUUCAUUGAGGUAAUAUGCAUUCAUUGACUAAGUAAGGCUAUUCCCAAAGGCAUAUUUUCAAAAAUAUGAUUUAAGUAUUGAUUUGCAAAUUAAGUAAUGAUGUUGCAGAUCAGUGGGAGUUUGAGUUUAGUAAUGCCUUACAUUUGCAGAUGACCUAUAAGGUAUGUGUAGAAUCCAUGUAUUCAUUUUAAUCUCCAGUUGGAUUCAUUAAGUCACAUUUUUCGUGUGCUAGUCAAUUAUCUGAUGAAAUAUAUAUCGGAUAUCAAGUUGUUAUCAAAUUGCAUAUUAAAUGGCAUGGCAUGGUUUGUGCACUGCCUCAGUUGUGAGGAUUUCCAUCUUGCCCGCAGGUGUUGGAAAUCACUAUGAAAGUAACUGGUAUGGUGCAUAGAUCAAUGUCAAAAACAUAUUAAUUCAUCUUGCUCACAAGUGUUGAAUUAAUUUGUUUUAUGAAGUUUUGGGAUAUUUUACUUGGACAUGUGCCUAUUUGGUAUUUUCAGUUGUGUCCGUUGGCUACAAACAUUGUUUGUAUUGUUACUUAUCUAAUGAAAGUAACGCAUGACUGUUUUGGAGAUGUAUUCACACCUGCAGGUUAUGGUCGUUUCAUUAGAUGAAGGAUAUUUGCAUUGGCAAACUAAAGGCUUUGAAGAAGCAUAAAGUGUAACAUGUGUGUUACAAUAAGGUGGACCUGAGAUGAUAUAAAGUAAGACAUUUUGGUUAAUUUAAAGUUUCAUCUCUUGAUCAUAAUUUGUGUUUCAUGUAAAUGUGGAUCUUAGCAUGAGUGAUUAUGAAGGUUCUGGGUUGUGUCAACCCUACAACCUUGUUAAUUCCAUGUUAAGAAAUGCAUUUGACAGAAGCUACAUUAAGGACGAGAUGUAAUCACUGUUACAUGGCCACUAAAGUGACAUUAGUCUCCAAUCUCAAGUAUAAACGUGAAUAUUACAUUUUGUAGACCAAGUGGGAGAAUGUUGGAUUUAUCCAAUAUAAAUCAACCUUUAAGUGGUCUACUACAUGUAAUAGGAAUGUAAUAUUGGAGAAUAAUGUUAAUUGUGAUUUGAUCUCUUAAAAAUAUCAAUUCUAUAUAAGGUGUCUUAUAUUGGAAAUAUGAUUGAUGGAAUCCUUAAUAAUAUAUGAUUAUGAUAUUUUACUUGAGAGCCAAGAAAGGAGAGUUUUAGCUUUCCCUUAUGGAUGGAAUCUAAGACUUUUUGGCUAAUAUAUAAACACUGGUCCCUGCUAACCCUAGACACAACUAAGGCUUCCCAUAGAGCAUUGUCAUAAAGCUAGGAGUUUACAGAAGAGUUGGUGUUUUCUGUUUGUCACGGCAAACAUAAAGAUUGAAAUUUUAUCGAUCACGUCUUGAUUGCAUGGCUGCUACAUCUUCGACAACUGUCAUUGGAAUCAGGUCAGUCACUCAUUUGUUUGUGUUUUAAUUGUAUAACCUUGUAAGGCUAACAGUUUAACCUUAAUCUAGAGCGGUUGCUAGACAGAGUUUUCAUGCGCACUUUCGACCUAGGAGAGUUUUGCAAAGUAAUGUGAAGCAAUAAGACAAAAAGGAAAACAUAGGUCAUACGCAUAUACCAAAACUCAGUACACAUUGAUAUCUAUUUCGUUUUUAAAUUUGGGACUUUUGUAGAUAUGAAAAAAUAUAUAAGGAAAAAGAAUAAUAGAGAAGAAGUGGUGAGAGAAAAGAAUAAAUAAAAAUGGAUAAAUACGAAAUCUUAAAAGUGAAAAAGCUUAAAAUAGUUUUGAGUUUGAAUCAGUUUUCUUCUUGUGUAUGCUUCUAAAAAUUCAAAGAAAAAUGUAUUUCUUCCACAUUUUUGUACCCGUUGUUGUCUACUAUAUUCCUCUCUAUUUUUAACACAAAACUAAAAACUAAAAACUAAAAACGAAAAAACAGAAUGUAUUUCAUGCUCUCUAGUUACAACUUCAUACCAAUACACGUGAAAUUGAAAUUCACCUGCAAUGAGGUGUCGAUUUUUGUUGUUUUGUAUGAUUGCCAUUUUUCAUAGCACGCAAAAAUGUCAACCUACGUUUAUACGCGUUAUGAGCGCCGAAUCAGUUUAAUAGACGUGUGGCUUUUGUUUAAUUAUAAUGAGUGCUAAAAAGUAAAUUCGGACAAGUGGUCAUCUACCACAGUGGUGGAAAAGAGCGUUACCCUUACAUCACGAUGUGAGUUCGAACUUUGUCAGCUUCUUUAUCUAACAUCUAAUUUAACAAAUUUAUCGUCUGAAAAAAAAAAAUUGUAAACUCGGUUAUUUUUGUCGGGAAACCUUAUCCUGUUCAUGUUGACCUCACUGGCACAAUGUUUUUUGUUUGUUUUAAUUUGAUUUUGGCAUUUGGGCUUUUGAUUCCCUCACACAAAUGACACCCUUGCUAUGCGCUUUAUGAUAAUAGCGUGCGGGUUCGUUAAGAAGUUUUUUUAAAACGAUCUUAGUGAGUAUGUCUUGGAAAUUCAAAAGUAUUUGAAAUAUUUCUUUCAAGAAGCACCAAUUAUGUAUUUCUUGCAAGAAGCACUGCAAGUGUUUUUCUAAAAUUUAUUUGCAUUUUUACUUAAUUGAUUCCCUAUUUUUACUAAAAAUGUUUUCAGUUAAUUUAAAAGUACUCAGAAAAGAGUCUUUGUUUUCUAUGGUGACAUAGUGAUGAGCAAAGUGCUUACGCUGCAGAUUGUGUGAUGUUUUAUACAGAAACGGACGGAGGUUGAAACUCCUGGGAAAAAGGGCGCUGACUCAUUACACGAACCCAAUUGUCAAGUCAUAAUUUUAGAUAAUUAGAUGAAAUAAAAACUCAAUUUAUGCAACUUCCUUGCAAUUUGUUGGAAGUUUUUAACACUAGUUUGCAGGCCCCCGCUUUAAACGUUUUCCGUACAUCUAUAUUUGUUCACACACACACACACAUAUAUUAUAAAAGAAUGGAAAUAACUUCUUCUCUUCCAUUUUUUCUUCAAUAUACAUCGAUUUCUGUUUGGUUCUAGUUAUAUAUAAUUAGGUAAAUUAAGAAACAUAAAUAAACAAAGUGUAUAAAAAGAUAGGUAAAAAAAAUGUGCAAAAGUUAUACUUAGAUAAAUGAGUUAAUUAACUAGUGAGUGGUAGUUACGUAAGAUUUUUCUAUCCACAAUAUAAUUUAACGAAAUUGGGUUGAAAUCUACGUUUCUAUUAUAACAAAUAGUGAUGACAAAUCACUAAAAUAACAACAAUCAAUUAUAAAACAAACGAGGAAGAGGGAACGUAAUUUUGUUCGUGUUUGUUUCUUUAAACAUGGUUUUAGUAAAGCCAAUUUUAUGCCUGAUUCGCUUGCUAAUUUUGGUUAUUCGCAAAACUAUGAUUGUAUUGGGCUAGAUUUUGUUCCUCCUUUUGCUAGCCAAGCUUUAAUUUGGGACUCUCGUUGACGUAACAUUUGCCCGGAGACUUUGUGUUUUAAUUUAAUUUUCGCACUUGAGGAAAACAAAUGAGAAAAAGGGUACUCAAGUCAAAGCUCAGCGUGUUUAUAGAUAUAUAUAUUGUUGAAAAUGCUGGUGGGUGGUGAAUGCCCAGUGCAUUUGGUAAAGUUUUUAAUGCCCAUGAAAUUUGGAAUAGACUUUGGCAAUUAAGGAUGUCAUUUUUCAAAACAUGCGAUGUAAAUUUUUCAAACUAUAUGAACUUGUUUGUAUAGAGCUGCUCUAUAAAUAAAGCGCUCAUACUAUGGUUAAAGUAGAUAGAAAAACAUACAGCAGAAAACAGAAAGAAAGAAAUCUUUUCCUCCAUUUUUUAUUUGUUAUUCUCUUGUGCUAUCAUUUUCAGUGUGACAUUUUACACCUGCUUCAUUCCAUUUACUAAAAGGUUAUCUUUCUAACUUUGACAUAUUUAUAACACGUUAUCAGCACAAAUCUCUAAAAUAUAACUAUUUCUCAUUCCUCUUCGCCGAAUGCAAAUCAUUUCUCUUCGCCGAACAAAAGAAAAAAAAAAGUUUCCUCUAAGGUUUUUACUGUUCAUCUUCUUUCUCUGCCUCAACUGCUCAGUAUACCCUCGCAAUGAACUGUUUGCUCCAUGCCUGCUUCUAGUUCUCAACCUAACGGUUACAUACAUCUUUGAUUUCUUGUUUGAUAUAGAUAUUGAUUACUAACCCAGUAUUUAUUUAUGUUGAUUUUACUGCAAUCCAAGAUGGUGCGGUACAAUCGCCCAUCUUGAACUGCAAAUUUAAUCUUAUUGCCAUCCAAGAUGGUGUGGUAUCAUCGCCUAUCUUGGACUACAGAUUUAAUUUUACUGCAAAUUUUAGGUGGAGCGGUAUAAUCGCUCACCCUACCCUGCAUAUUUAAUUUGCCUGCAGUUUAAUUUCAUUGCAAUUUUAGGUGGUGCGGUAUAAUCACCCACACUGCUAUGCGUAUUUAAAUUUUUCUGCUACUUGAGUGGUGCGGUACAAUCGCCCUCCUCAUUCACCCUGAAAAUCUCAAUCCAGAAGUUUCAAGUGCUUAUCAUUUUGGCCUGAAGAUCAAAAUGAAAAAUUUGUAAGAACUAGAAGUUAUAACACUAUAUUCCUCCAGGAAUACAUAUUAUUGCAAGUUCUUACACAUCUCAUUUUCUUUCAGAAAAAAAGAAAAUGGCGAACUUGGCGAAGCUUGAUUAUGCUACCCUGGACAUUACCAGAAGAAUUACCUUACCUGGGUACUGGAUACCAAGAUCCAUGUGGAAGCAGGGAAUCUUGGAGAUACCAUCAAGGAAGAGAGCAACUCAUCCUCUUAAGAGCAGGCAAAGGCUAUGAUUUUUAUUCGUCGCCAUCUUGAUAAGGUACUAAAGAGUGAGUACUUAACAGUUGAAAAUCCGUUAACUCUUUGGAAUGCAUUGAGAAGCAGAUACAAUCACUAGACAACGGUGAUUCUUCCAAGAGCUCGCUAUGAAUGGACUCACCUAAAGAUCCAAGAUUUCAAGUCAGGGGCAGAAUACAAUUCUGCGUUGUUCAGAAUUACCUCUCAGCUGAAGCUCUGUGGGGAUACUAUUACUAAGGAAAAUUUGCUGGAAAAGACUUUCAGCACAUUUCAUGCCUCUAAAGUGCUCAUGUAGUAGCAGUAUAGAGCACGAGGCUUCACUGAAUACAACCAGCUCAUAUUUGUGCUCCUGGUAGCUGAACAGAAUAAUGAGCUCUAGAUGAAAAACCAUAAUUCCUGACCUACUGGAUUUGAACCAUUCCCAGAAGUGAAUGUUACUUCCCUCGAACUGAACGCCACAUCCUCUGGUGGCUAUAAUCAUAAACGAGGACGUGGCCACAAACAAGGUUGGUGGAACAGGAAAAGAAAGAACCAUGGUGGUCAGUUUCACAACUAGGUUCCGAGGCAUAAUUCAGGCCCGAGCUUUAAAAAUGUGAAUCGCCACAAAGGCAAAGCUCACAUGAACAAUGCUCCCAGGAACUCCAAAGGAGCCUGCCAUAGGUGUGGUGGCAAUGGGCAUUGGACGCAUACUUUUUAUACCCCAAACAUCUGGUGGAUCUGUAUCAAGCCUCCCUCAAGGAGAAGGGUGUCGAAACCAAUUUUCUCGACCAGGCUAAACCAAUGGAUAUACCUGAUCAAGUGUGUGACUUAUCAAGACAGUUGAACACAACCCACCUAGAUGUUUCAGACUUCAUUAUGGAAAGGGGGAAUGAAGUAUACCGGUCCGACUGAAUCGUUUAUGUUUGAUGUACUUUUGUUAUGCUGAACUUGUAGUUUAAAAUUGGCAUUUCAGAUUCAAUAAAAGUGGCAUGUAAAUUUCUUGUUAUAACUUGCUUUUAACUCUGAUUUCUUUACUCAGAAGGCAUGGAUAAAAACUAUGGUCAUUCUCAAAACAUGAGAAAUGGCGGAGACAUUUGUCUUGCAGACUGCGCAACUACGCAUACAAUACUUCGUGAUCGAAAGUAUUUCUUAAGCUUGAUACUUACAAGAAUAAGGGUAACAACAAUAUCAGGCAAAUAAGAUGUAAUUGAAGGCUCAGGGAAAGCCCAGAUUAUGUUACCAAAUGGAACAAUAUUGUCCAUACAGAAUGCGUUGUAUGCUACUCGAUCUACUCAAAAUUUGUUGAGUUUCAAAGACAUACGUUUAAAUGGAUACCACAUUGAAACGAAAAGUGUAGAAAAUGUGGAGUAUCUAUGUAUUACCUCCAAUGAUACCCAGAAGCGUAUAUUGGAGAAGUUGCGUGGUUUGUUGAGUGGAUUGUAUUAUACAUACAUAAAGACAAUUGAAUCACAUACUGUCAUGAACCAGAAGUUCAUUGAUUCAAAAGUUUACAUGCUUUGGCAUGACCGUCUGGGUCACCCAGGAUCUACCAUGAUGCGUAGAAUCAUUACCAACUCUAAUGGACAUCCAUUAUUGAGUAGGGACAUUGCUAUCACAAAUGAUAACCCUUGCAAAGCUUGUUCUCAAGGGAAGUUGGUAAUCAGACCAUCACAACUAAAGGUUGAUAUUGAAUCCCCAUCAUUUCUGCAAAGAGUACAAGGGGAUAUUUGUGAACCUAUUCAACCAUCUUGUGUUUGGUUGAUGCAUCUACCAUAUGGUCACAUGUUUGUCUAUUGUCUACUCGAAAUGUAGCUUUUGAGAGACUUCUUGCUCAGAUAACUAAGUUACGAGCACAGUUCCCAGAUUAUCCCAUUAAGUCAAUCCGACUUGAUAACGCUGGUGAAUUUACGUCUUAAACUUUUGAUGAUUAUUGCAUGACAUUGGGCAUUGAUGUUGAACACCCUAUUCCUCAUGUCCAUACUCAAAAUGGUUUGGUAGAAGCAUUGCUCAAGCGACUUCAGUAAUAGCUCGCACUCUACUUAUGAAAACCACAUUACCAGUUUCUGCAUUGGGACAUGCCAUCCUACAUGCUGCAUCAUUGGUUUGAUUGAGACCUAUAGCCAACCACCAAUACUCCUCAAUACAACUCGUGUUUGGACAUCAGCCAAACAUUUCACAUUUACGAGUUUUUGGUUGUGCUGUUUAUGUGCCUAUUGUACCCCCGCAACACACUAAAAUUGGACCUCAGCAUAGACUGGGAAUUUAUGUGGGUUUUGAUUCAUCAUCUAUCAUUAGAUAUUUGGAACCCUUGACAGGUGAUAUGUUUACAACUCAUUUUGCUGAUUGUCACUUUGAUGAGACGGUCUUCCCAUAAUCAGGGGGAGAAAAGACCGUUCCAGAAGAAUGGAAAGAGUUGACAUAGGUUGUUCCCACCUUGUCUCAUUUUGAUCCUCGAAGCAAAUAGAAUCGUUCAUCUUCAAAGCAUUUCCAAUCAAAUGCCAGAUGCAUUUAAUGAUGCUAUGAAAGUGACAAAAUCACAUAUACCAGCUGCAAAUGCACCUGCCAGAAUUGAUGUCCCUAUUGGACAAAAUAAAGUGGUAGCGAAUGAUUCAUCUGGUGCACGCUUGAAGCAUGGUAGACCUCAAGGUUCAAAAGAUUCAGCCUCUCGAAAGAGAAAGACAAGGGCACAGCUGAAUCCAAAUGAAAUCAUUCAGGAAGAGAGAAUGAAUGACAAAUCUACAAUUCAUGAUUUUGGACUUCCAGAAGAAGAAAAUAUCCUUGAUGAGACACAUGUCCCUGAAGAGACAGCAGUACAUGAGAGCAAAGAAAUCUCUAUAAAUUAUGCAUGUACUAAUGAAUUGUGGGAUCAGAAUGAAAUAAUCAUCGACGAUAUGUUCGCAUUCUCAGUAGCCACUGAAAUCAUAUUAAGUGAUGAUCUUGAGCCCCGCUCUGUUGAUGAGUGCAAACAGAGACAAGAUUGGCCUAAGUGGAAAGAUACAAUCCAGUCAGAAUUAAAUUCUUUGGAAAGGCAAAGUGUUUUUCAACCAGUAGUCCAAACCUCGCCUAGUGUAAACCCCGUGGGUUACAAAUGGGUAUUUACAAGGAAACGCAAUUAGAAAAAUGAGAUUGCAAGAUAUAAAGCACGACUCGUUGCACAAGGUUUUUCACAAAUACCUGGAAUUACUUAUGAGGAGACGUACUCUUCUGUAAUGGACGCAAUUACGUGGUAUAAUCGUCUCAGCGAGUAUUUGAUCAAAGAAUGAUACAUCAACAAUGUCAUUUGCCCUUGUGUGUUCAUUAAGAAAUCCAAUUCUAGAUUUGCUAUAGUGGCAGUUUACGUUGAUGAUAUGAACCUAGUUGGAAUUCCUGAAGAGCUCAAUAAAACUGCUGAAUAUCUGAAAAGCGAAUUUGAAAUGAAAGACCUUGGAAAAACAAAAUUUUGUCUCGGCCUGCAGAUCGAGCAUUGUGCUAGUGGAAUUUUGGUCCACCAAUCAGCUUACAUUGAAAAAAUUCUGAAGCGAUUUGGUAUGGACAAAGCUUAUCCACUAAGCACGCCAAUGGUCAUUCGUUCUUUGGACGUUAAGAAAGAUCCAUUCCAUCCAAAAAAAGAUGAUGAACUGGUCCUUGGUCCAGAAGUACCAUAUCUGAGUGCAAUAGGUGCUUUGUUGUAUUUAGCACUGCGAAAUCUCGUUUUUGGAUUUCACUGUUAUAAUCUACGUAUUUGCAUUAUUGAAAUUUUAUAUUAUUUUUCGAAAAUUUAUAUUAAUUUAUUGAAUUUAGAUUUCAAUUAAAUUAGUUACCAAGAGUGAAGUUUAGAAAAUAAUUAUUUAAAAUUUGUUGACCUUUCGAGGUCACAAGUAACGUUUUCGAAUAGAUCUUAACCACGAACGCAUAGGCGAAAGCCGUUUGCGAGUCCGGAUUAUAAUGGUAUAGUUAUGGCCAUUUGAAAUCAUUUACUAAACUAUAGUUUCAAUUAAUUAAAAUCCCACUUUGUGGGAAAGAGGCCCAAUCAUGUAAGAUUUAAGGUGGACCAAUUAGAAAAGAAAAAAAAAGGUGGACUUUGAGGGUAGCACAGGAGGAAGAAAAGAAAAAGGGGGCGGAAGAAAAAAAAAGAAAAGAAAAGGGGGACUUAGAGGACAGCACGGGAGGAAGAAAAGAAAAAGGAGGGAAGAAGAAAAAAAAAGGGAAGAGAGAAGGAAAAAGGGAGUUGCGAAAGAGAAGGGGAAAAGAACGUUCUUCCACGUUCUUCCGGGCUUUGCGAGGAAAGAAAAAGAAACAGGGAGGAGGUGGCUCUUCCAUAGCUGUUGAAAGAAAAUCCUUCUUUCUUCAGGCAAAAAUCAGAGAGAUAGGAGUUAGAGAACGUGAUUAUGAAGGAAGGAUUCAAAGAUUUAAAGGGUAAAUUCCUUGUUACUUCAUUAUCUUGAUUUUCGAAUUUAACUUUCUUAAGUUGAAUUGAAACUGCCAUGAUAUAUUGGAGUUCUUAAUUCUAUUUAGGGUUUCUAUCAUUCAAUGAACUAGUCUAAACAUGAAUUAAAGUUGGGUAUUUUGGAUUGGGCGUGUAGAUCAAAUUUCUUGAUUAAGGGUUUGGUUCAAAAGGUCAAUUUCUUGUUAAUUUUGAGUCAUGUUAGUUUUGGAUGUUGUAUACAUGACUUCUGGACUACCUGUAAAUUUCUUUGCAAAGAAAACUCAAGUUUCGAGUAGCCUUCUUUGGCUCUUAAUUUCUAGGCCUUUAUGUGCUCCUUUGGAGAAAAUUUUUAGUUUGUUGAAAGUACAUAUGUUCAUGGUCGUAACCCAAUUGUUUUCACUCAGAUAUGUUGAGUUUUGGUUGAUCAAAACCUUAUUUAAACUUGGGUCGCGAGCUGCCAAACAGCAGCAUAAAAUUGGGUGUCCAGUUUCAAGACUCUGUUUUACUUUUGGCAUAACUUCCAAUUUAGAGCUCCGUUUUCUACAAACUUUGUAUGCUUUUAAAGUACAGAACACAAGCUUCAAAACCCAUAUAAUAUUACAUGAUUUGGUUUAGUUUUGAAUGUUCCAAAGGGAGCCUAAACUUGGUCCAAUGGUGCUGUUUUCUGCAGAUUUUGUGGAGAAGCAGAGUACUGUUUUUGCCACACCUAGUUUCUUUCCAGAUUCCUAUCUAAUCUUAUUUACUACUAAUUUAGUGAUGGUAUUAAUAUCAUUUGUGGAUAUGACAUGGUUUUAUAAAUGUGUUUUCUAUUAAAUGUGAUUCUUUAUAAUUGGCCAUCGAUCUAUUUUUAUUAAAUGUGAUUCGAAUUGCAUAUUGAAAUGUGAAUUAUAUAUAUAUGCCAUAGACCCAUGUUAAUUAAAUGUGAAUUCUAUUGAAGUGUUAUUUUAUUUUUUGUCAUUGAUCUAUUUUCAUUAAGUAUGAUUUGACUUAUGCAUUGGAAAUAUGGUUUGUAUUGUAUGAUUGGAUUGAUGUGAUGAAAUGCAAGGGCUAGUAGUGGACCAUUAACCAUUGUUAUGGGGUUUGUUGCCUUCGAAACAUGUUUCAACCCUCGUGUCAUUAUUCAUCCUCGUUUCGUUGAGUCUUUGUACAUUGAGUAACUUGAUCCAUGUCUUGUUUUAUUGAUUGGUGUUACACAUUCUACUCCGCGAUUCUGUUGAAUGAUGAUCCAGAAUCGUAUUCUGGUUUGGAUUCCGUUAAGUGAUGGUCCGGAAUCCCUUCUACUCCACGAUUCCGUUGAGUGAUGAUCCGGAAUUGUAUCCUGGUUUGGAUUCCAUUGAGUGAUGGUCGGGAAUCCCUUCUACUCUGCAAUUCUGUUGAGUGAUAGUCUGGAAUCCCUUCUACUCCGUGAUUCCGUUGAGUGAUGUUUCGGAAUCGUAUCUAACUUGGGUUUCAUUUAGUGGUGGUUAUGCAUUGUCCUCCGCGAUUCCGUUGAGUGAUGGUCCGGAAUCAUAUCUACUUGGAUUCCGUUAAGGGCUAGUCCGGAAUCCCUCAGACUUCGUGAUUCUGUUAAGAGCUAGUUCGGAAUCCUUCAUACUUCGUGAUUCCACUGAGAGAUGGUUCGGGAUCGUGUUCACCUUGGAUUUUAUUGAGUUUGGAUCGAGAUAGCUUCAGAGAUGUAGGCUUCGGCCGAACUGUGUCGCUCUAGCCCUACUUUUCAUGGUGUUGUAUGAUAUUAUGAUUAUGAGCUGUUGUGAUUUGAUCCAGACGAACCGUUGGAUGUCUAGGUGACUCCUUCGGAGUUGUUAGAGUUCCUUGGUUAAAUUUGUGAAAUGAUAUGUUACUGCAUUCAUUGAUUAAACAAUUAAAUGCUAAGAUCAUGUAUCUUUGAUUCAUGAUUAAUUAAUUGAUGUGAUUGUGGAAUGACAUUGGGUAUGAUUGAGAUUAUUAUGAUUAGAGUAAUUGAUUAAUGUGACUUGAGAAUAACAUUGUGCUUCGUUGGUUCUUUGAUAUGUUACAUACUAUGAUUUGCGGUAGUAUGUGAAACAGAGUGAUUUAUAUGAUGGAUGAAUUGGAAAGUAUCUGUGUGAGAAUGGGUUACAUGCGUGUAUGAAAUAUGAUAAUUGUUGUUAACGUAUGGUUGAUGUGUAAUAUGGUAUGGUGCCUUAUGAUUUUCUGUUAGAAGUAUUUUAUGGAAAGAUUAGAGUUAACGAUUGUGGAACUACGAAUGGCUUGAUCCCUAUUGAGUGUACGUAGGCAGUCUAACGAGGAGGUUAGAUGCAGCCAUAAAGUAAACGAAAAAUUACUUUGCAAUUUGAUUCUCGAGUUGUGAUUUGCCAUAUUCCGAAGAUGGGGUAUGUAAGUUAUAUGAGUAAUUGGAGACGUUACGUGUCGAUCCUGGACGUAUGUCGAGAUCGGGGCUUGACAAGCACAAUGUACUAGACCAGAUAUAGCCUUUUCAGUCAACUUGUUAGCCAGGUAUAGCUCUGCUCCAACAAUCCGUCAUUGGAAUGGUGUCAAAGAUGUAUUGCGAUACCUUCGUGGGACAACAGACAUGGGUCUCUUCUACUUAAAGAACUCCACAAAUGACCAAGUCCUUAUUGGAUAUGCAGAUGCUGGUUUCCUCUCUGAUCUGCAUAAAGCCCGCUCACAAACUGGAUAUGUGUUCAAGAAUGGAGAUACAUCAAUCUCAUGGCGCUCGACAAAGCAAACAUUAGUUGCUACAUCUUCAAAUCAUUCAGAAAUAUUUGCUUUACAUGAAGCAAGUCGUGAAUGUUCUUGGUUAAGAACAAUGAUCCAUCAUAUUCGGAAUUCAUGUGGUCUACCUUCAAAGACAGACACUCCAACUGUCAUUCAUGAAGAUAAUGCAGCCUGUGUUGCCUAAAUGAAGGAAGGAUUCAUCAAGGGCGAUAAAACUAAACAUAUAUCUCCAAAGUUUUUCAGUGCACAUAAGCUUCAGAAGGCUAAAGUUAUUGAAGUCAGACAAAUCCUAUCUAAUGAAAAUCUAGCAGACUUGUUCACCAAGUCCCUACCAAAAUGCACGUUUAAGAAGUUAGUGCAAAGUAUCGGAUUACGUCGACUUACCAAAUAGCUAAAUUUGGAGAAUACGAAAUCAGGGGGAGCAUCCAUAAUACAUGCAUGUUGUACUCUUUUUCCUUCGAUUAGGAUUUUUUCCCACUGGGUUUUUCCUAUCAAGGUUUUAACGAGGCAACAUAAGCAUACUUAACACUAUAUCAACAAUCCAGGUAAAGUUGUACUCUUUUCCCUUCGCUAUGGUUUUUUCUCAUUGGGGUUUUCCAAGCAAGGUUCUAAUGAGGCAACUGAUGUUGAUAUGUGGGCAUCCAAGGGGGAGUGUUGAAAAUGCUGGUGGGUAGUGAAUGCCCACAAUGCAUUUGGUAAAGUUUUCAAUGCCCAUGAAAUUUGGAAUAGACUUUGGCAAUGAAGGAUGUCAUUUUUCAAAACAUGCGAUGUAAAUUUUUCAAACUGUAUGAACUUGUUUGUAUGGAGCCGCUCUAUAAAUAGAGCGCUCCUACUACGGUUAAAGUAGAUAGAAAAACAUACAGCAGAAAACAGAAAGAAAGAAAUCUCUUCCUCCAUCUUUUAUUUGUUAUUCUCUUGUGCUAUCAUUUUCAGUGUGACAUUUUACACCUGCUUCAUUCCAUUCACUAAAAGGUUAUCUUUCUAACUUUGACAUAUUUAUAACAUAUAUAUAUAUAUAUGUAAUGGAGUAUAAUUCUCUCUCCUCUUUUUUUCCCUUCCCUUCCUUUUUAUUUGAACAGUUAUAUAUAUAUAUAUAUGUAAUGGAGUAUAAUUCUCUCUCCUCUUUUUUUCCCUUCCCUUCCUUUUUAUUUGAACAGUUACGGUUAAGCCAUGUCAACAUCUUAUAUUAAUUUUUUAUAGCAAGAGAUAGAUACUUCUGAUUCUGAUCCUGAACAACGACUCAAACCUAAGCGGGCAGCCCCAACCAGGAAAAGUACAAGUGCCCAAACCUCCAAGUCUUCCAAAGCUACUUCUGCUUCAAAGACCUCUAUUGCUGCCGUGGGUAAGAAAAAACAAAAAGCCCUCAGUAAGUAUCUUUUCCCUCAAUCUUUCAUCCAUACCUUACGCUUGGGAACCAACGGUUUGGUCCUUUUUGUAAUCAAGACCUUCGGUAUCCAAAUAACCCUCUUUGGUUUUAAAGGACGCUCCAUUGGAUGUAGAAAAGCAGCGAAGGGCCAAAGAUUACCAGGAUGUGGUUCUUGGAGAAUUAGAGGUAUAGACUGCCCCUAUUUUCUUAGAAUUCUUCCCUCUUUUUCUUUUUCUGAUAUCUCUUUCACCCGAUUAUCUGUAUCAGGAGAUUCGGGCAGAAAAGAUCUCUCCGCCCGAAACCUUUUCUCCUUCCGCCCGAUCAAGGCAUGCCCCUUUUUUCCAAGCAAAACCCACUUCGUUAGAGUUGACUCCGAUCUUUCAAUUUGAUCAUUCAACCGGGCAGAUGAUGCACUAUGUGGAAGAUGACAGUGAUUCAGUGAGUUUUUGUUCCUAUCAUCCCAUGUUUAAAACUCUUUUUCUGUACUUACUAUCCUUCAUUUCUUUCAGCCUACCCUGGUACAAGAAUUUCAGCACGUACCAACUUCUACUUUUAGAGAGCCAAUAGUUCCUGAGAUCCAUGUAGUGUCUGAGGUGACUAAUCCACAGGUUUCUCAGGCACUCUUUACUAAUCCGCCCAAGGUUCCUGAGUUACAUGUUUCUCAACCUCAAUUUCCUCCACAAGUAUAUUUGUGAACUUCCCGUUUUUUCUCUUCUUUAGCUACUGGCCUUCACUUCUUCUUUUACUUUUGCAGGCUUCUGUUGAAGUCUUGGGUACUUCAUCUCCUACCCCAGUAGGUGAAGAUAACCCCCUCUAACAAUCACAAGAAAUUACUCCAUCUCCACCUCUUUCUAGAGCUCCGGGUUUAUUUCAGGUAUAUUGACUUUUUGUAUUUUAUCUUUUCCUGGCUUGGACAACCUCUCUCUUAUCAUUUAUGUCUUGUUUGCAAUAGGAUUCCGGAGAGGGCUCGGGCAAGUCUCAUCCACGCUUGGUGCGUAAAUGAGAUCUUCCACACCCUCAUUCGAUCUUCGAAGUUACAGAUGCUUCUAUCUCUAGGCCUGAACAGCGAGCCAAGACUAUUGUAGCAACUUCUUCCACUUCUGCUCCUGCUUCUUAGGACCAUCCCACUCCACCUCCUAAAGUUGUCCCUACUGUUAUGACUGAAAGUGUUAGAGAUUUGCCCCCGACUUCAUCAACAACAUCGUUGCCCGAUCUAAUGAAGAAGUUCGGUCAGACCAAAAACAAACUACAAUCUUCUCCAACAUCUUCUGAGCUUCCUUCAUUUCAGCGUGCUCGCAAUCUUUUCAAGGACUAGACAAAAAGAGGGUUCACAGCUUCUUUUAAUCUUAAGGUCCUUUAUGAUGCAGAAAAAGCCAUUUCUGAACUUCACCAAGCUGAGUUACUGCCCCCAGCUCAAUACAAGUCUUUUAUGAGUUUCUUCGAGAAUUUACGAGCAUUAAUGGAUUAGCAUCUUAAGGCAGAGCGAGCAUCUAAUAGAGUAAACUGCUUUCAAGAAAAGCAUGUGAAGAGUACAAUCGUGCUCCGACAAUUGGUAGAGAAUGAAUCAACAAUGGAAACAAGGAUUUUAGUGGUUGAUUCUGAAAUUCAGAGUUUGGAGGAACAACUUUCAUUAUUCAAGCUGAAAAGAUGACAUUCACCAACCAAUUCUCCCAGAAAGUAGAGGAGAUGGAGAAAGCCUCUUAAGAGGUUGAGGACUCUGAGAAUCAACUAGUAAAUAGCAAUAUGUACUUAGGAGAGCCAGAUAUAAUUUUUGCUGUUAUGCCAACUUACUUCUCUAGAAUAGUUGCUCUAGCCGAAGAUGUAAAUUUGUUGGGUUAAGAUUUCUGUAAUCCCCUUAUGAAAUGGAAUCUUCUUUAAUCCGCAUCCCUAUUUUUGAUUUUCAAUAGCAGAAGUUUCUUUCCUCCUUUCUAAUUUUUGAUCAACUUCUAGAUCAAUUAUGGUUUCUGUUGGGGAUACCUCUAUCUCAUGUCUCUGUUGGUAUUGAUUUGUACAAACAUCCACCCCUUUAUUACAGCUGUUUUGGACUUGUCGGGUAGUUAGAGAGCUCCCUCCAUAGGAUUAUUCAUCCUACUUUUGUCUCCCAAGUGGCUUUUUGCUUCUCCCUUCUGGCCCAUGUUAAGCUGAUCACGUUGAAUAGGGCUUUUGGGAAAAGAUCUGUGUCAAUCAUCAUGUUGGUAUGAGGUUUCUCUAAUAGCAACUUCCCUUUAACCAUGAGAUCUUGUAUCCAAUCUCUGAACUGGACACAAUUGGUGAUAGAGUGGUUGAAGGUGUGGUGCAACUUACAAUACUUUUUCCCCUUUAACUCCUCGUGUUUAGGUAGAUUCUUAGUACUGUCGGGCACAAUCACUCUUGCUCUUACUAGCUCCUCAUAUAUUUCUGCAGCUUUGGUUAAGUCAAAGGAAUAACUCUGGUAUUUUGGAGGUUUCAUGGGGAUAAAUCCUCCAUCAUUCAUCACUACCUUCUGAUCUUUAACCGGUUGGACCAAUCCUUUUACCAUCAAGGGUUUAAAGGGAGUGGUCAUCUCUGCCGCAUACAUGUCUAUUGCUUCUCUAAGUUCUCUCCCAUGACCAUCGUUUUCUUCUGGUCGUUCCUCAAACUCUACUUGGUGAAUGGCAGCUUUAUUUCGAUAGAAAGGUGGUGCUUUAGAGGAGUGUUUCAGUUGUUGGUCUUCAAGCAACAAUUUCUCAUAUUUGGUAGCAGCGAUCACCAACUCUUGCAGUUCAUUAAACUAUACAUCAUAAAACUUCUUUCUCAAGGGUAGACUUAAGGCUUUCUGAGCAAUAGCUAUAAGUUGGAUAUGGUUAAUGGGAAACUAGCAUCUCAUCCUUAUCCUUAUAAACCUCAUAAUGAAAUCUUCUAUAGAUUCAUGCUCAUAUUGUUUCACUUCGACUAGAUCGUUAAUGGUCAUUUCUGGCUCCAUCCUGUAAAACUGCUCAUGGAAAGUCAUCUCUAUUUGCCCCCACUUAGCGAUGGAAUUUGGGGGUAACAAAGAGUCCUAUUGAGAUGCUAAGCCUACGAACGAAUUCCCAAAUAACCUCAUCUUAUAAUUGGGAUUGUCUUCGAACGCCACACAAUGGUUGGAGAAUUUAAAGAUGUGAUCCCUGGAUGACACAUUAUUGUCCUUUCCACUGAACGUUGGGAAUGCGGGCAUUUUGAAGUUAAGAGGAAAGGGAUUUUGUUCAUCAAUGACCUCUGGGUAGGGCUUUUGAUAAGCAAUUCUAAAUAGUGGGCGAGCUUGUGGUUCGGCAUUCCUUACUACCAUUCUUCUUAAUUCAUCUAACUCAUCUCUAAGUUGUUGAUUGGUUGUAUUAUUAGGCGGAGUAUGAGGACGUGGUUCCCACUUCGGGCUACAAUCAUUGCCCGAGGUAUUCUCUUUCCUUGUGUCAGGCCUCCUCCAUUUAGGUUCUCCUCCCUUAUCAGUCAUUGGCGGCGGUCUAUAAGGAAGUGGUUUGUCUACCUUGGCGGGUUCUCCCUUCCUACUAGAUUCCCCAAUCAACUGAGGCAUCCCAUAUUUUGCUCUCUCUUGCCCGACCUGCCCCCUAUUAUUUAGUGAAAACAGGGGGUCGGGUAAUUCUGUUACCAGAAUUUCUUCCAAAACCAGAUGACUCGCUCUGGAUUCUUCCUUGUUCUUCCCUUUAUCCUUCUUUUCCUCAAAUAUAGGAAAUAGAGGAAUAAUUGGCUCCUUCACGAGACUGGCUUCAUUUGUCAUUGUCCUAGCAUGAUCAUUUUCUAAAGUAGGGUAUUCCAGAUCUAGCCUUUUUUGAAAAUUUCCUGUUAAGGAAUAGAGUCUGCUUAUGUCUUCCCUUGUCUUUCGGGAGUUUCCCUCCAUGCUCUGAGAGCUUCUUUCCAUGCUUUGGGAGUUUCUCUCCAUGCUUUUUAUAACAGCCAUCAUGGUGGCUUAUAGGUCUUUCUUUGUAACUUUUCUUUCUGACUUCUCAGAAUAAGUCGGGCUUUCUAUUAAGACGAGUCCUUGCAAGUCUUCGGGGAGAUUUUCCAUGCUGGAUCUUGGUGUGUAGUGGGGUGAUUUCUGUUUUGCUCCCCACCUGAAGGUUUGAUCCUUCCUUCGCCUUAUUGGCAUAUAAGAUGAGAUCCCACCGGGCAUGCCAAAACUAUGUUCGGGCAGGAAUAUCACUGGUGGGCGUUCCUGGUUCGAGCACACAGCUCCCUGAGGAGUUGGCACUUUGGUUGAUUGUCGGUCUCCUGCUCGUUACAAUGCUGCAAAAGGAGAACAAAGUUAGUUUCAAAAAUGUGCCUAUGCAAAGCCUUAGGUAUAGGCUUUGGAGGUUCACAAUCAAAACUAACAUUAAGUUCUUACGCGUGCCACUACCAUCUUUGUAUGGCAGAUGUAAAACAAGUGUAUUUAAGCUGAUUACUUGCGCCCCAAGUUACUCUGACUUCUUGUUAUCAAAUGAUUAUCGUAGAUGGGUUAAGUCUACAUUAAGUUCUGUUUUAUGCCUUGAGGUCAAGGACUUUUGUUCAUCUUGUAUGCUUUAAAGAGUGAAUAUCCAGAUAUGGCUGAAUUGUUUUAUUUCAAUAGUAAUGCCUAAAUGAUACGCUUUGAACCACUAAAAGACUGGAAAUAACUUGGAUAUAUAUCGAAUGAUGCAUGAUAAUACUAGAUCUAUUAGGUAAGGAACAAAACAAAGGGAAUCGAGCUAGAUUUAACCUUGUCGGGCAAGGUUGAAUCUUGUACACCGUCACUUCUUUGUAAGUACAAAGGUUUGGGGAGAAAAGGGAGUGAAUGAUGAGCAGGGUGAACAUAAGAGAAUCAAUACUACUAUGGUUGAAAAAGUAGCAGAGCUAUUAAAUUAGACAAAAGAUGGCUUUUGUGAGGGCUGAUCCUGAAAAUGAUUGAGGUUGGGGGCUGACUACAACUUCGUAGGCAAAUCUGGCUUAAGCAGAGUUUGUGUAGUUGUUUGUUUGAUUGGUUGAGUGUCCUUGUCUCUGGGCCUUCUUCCUCCUUUUAUAGCCGAAUUAUCCUGACUGCUUGCAACUUGGCUCCUGCCCGAAAGCAACUGAGGGGUAGUGACUCAUCAGUAAUUUACGUACUCUGCCAUUCAGAAAAUGCUUUUGGGCUGAGAGUAGGCUAAUUUCCAUCAAAUGUCAUUUCUUUCAAGCUACUAGCCUUUGCAUUUAAUGUGGAAUCAUCAUUUUGCCUUAGGCUGGGCGAAUGGAUAUGAUGCUUGUCCUUCGGGCAGAGUCAUGUCUUCUGGGCUUCCUUUUGGGCUUCUCUUCCUCCAACCCAAAAUUCAAAUAUUAACCCAAACAAUAAGCACUUGAAGUGCUUUUGAAACCACUAAACAUUUUCUUUAAAAACGUUUACAAUUAAAAAAACCCUAUAUUACAACUUCAUCCGAUACAAACUCUUAAUAUAUUGUAUAUAUUCUACUUUCGUUGAUAGUGAGAGUAAUCAAAUGCCUCUCUUUUUUUUCUUUUUUUCUUUUUUUUGCUACAAACAUAUGGUUUGCUACUCCCCUAUUAGUGAUGAUACACAUCUCUCUCAAAGAGAUACGGUUAACUAAAAGCUUACGUCGUACUAGAAUUAGAUCAAGUGACUGCACAAACGAAACUUGAAUAUUGCAAGGUGUACCUCUAGUUAAUGUUCUUAACAAUUUAUAAACUUCUUGUAAACCAAGAUCAAAUUUUACGGUGGUAAAGUUGUAGCAAUUCAUUCAUGAACAUUAAAGUACAUGGAACACCAUCGCAUAGUAUCGUGGCAGAUAUUAUUGAAUAUUAUAACACUUGUUAACCCUAAUAGCUCUCCUAACCAACACGAGGAACCUUAGUGACGACUCCGCGUUCAUUAAUCCAGACCCAGACCUUAUCGCACCCUCUGUCCCUGGUGGUCGCAGACCCUUCCAGUUACACGAUUGCCCGAACACCGUGAUUCUCUUGCUCUAUCUUUGCCGCCGCAUCUUUCCCAUUUUUUCCCACCAGCUCUGGCCAUGACUUACCUGCACCCACACAGACACACACAUAUAUAACAAAACAAAUAAAUAAACUCAUGAUGAAGUACCAGUAAUCCCACAAUUAUAGUAGUUUUACCUGGACACUCUGCCAUUCUAGCUUUUUUCUCACACACUGAUAUAUUUUGUGUUAUCAAACUUUUAUGGGUUGGUAUUUAUAGAUAGAUUGGAGGGCUUCAAGUUUGGUUCUAAAAGUUUCAAGCAUGCACGCAGUCGUGUCAAUGUAUAUAUGCCGAUGUGUUCGAAUGAUGACAAUAGCUAGAUCUAGAUGUCAAUCAAUUGUGCGAGGUAUGUUCAUAUGCCUUUCGUUCGUGCAUGUAAUGUUGUUGUGAUUUGUGCAUGUUUGUGUUAAAUAGCUCCAUAUCCACAUGCAAGCUCAUCCAAAAUCAAAUCAAAAGGUAUCAAAUUGAUAUUUACAUCUAAUUUGAGCGGCUCCGUUUGGAUUCUUCCCCAUCAUUUCUUUGGACUUUAUAUAGUUCAAGAAUUUUCGGGGGUUUAUUGCCACGCGCUGUUAGUGAUCUACAUCAAUGUUAUGAAUUUACUUAAAUUUAACAUUAAUAAUAUAACUUGGAUUCAUAAAAUAUUAAUUUUGUUGUUCAUUAUAUUAUAACAUUUUAUUAUUACUAUUUUUUUAAGGAAAUGACAUAUAUAUUUGAUCCAAUGUAAAGGGGAUGAUAUAAAAUUCACAUAUAUGAAUAACAUGACUCUUAUAUGGGUACUAUCUAAAAAUUAAAAAUGAUAAUCUCUAAUGUUGUAAGACUUACCAUGUAACACAUUCUGUGAAAAAUAUGAAAUUAAAAACAACCUUAAAUCACAUUAACAACAUUAGAACUCUGAAAAAUCUCAUAAAUUUAAGAAUCGCAUUAACAACACUAGAACUCGACAAAUCUGAGAAAUAAUUUAGACUUACCCAUGUAGCAUAUCCUGAGCAAGCUUCCAUAGUUCAUCACUGUUCUAAAAAUCUCCGCCUAACAUCGCCUAGACUUUGCCUAGGCGUUAAGUAGUUGGCCACUGUCCCGAUUAAUCCUUAGGUGUUUGAAAAUUAAGAAAGUGCACAUAGACCUACUUAGGCACCCACCUAGACCACGUAGGCGCUCGCCUAGCCUGUCCAGAAUCGCCUAGGUUGCGACUCUCACAUAGACAGAAAAUAGAUAACUUUCAUUUUGCUUUUAUUGUUUUAAGUAAAUGUUUUUAAUGAACACACAUUAUUGUUGCCGUGAGUAGUAUUAAAAAGGGCAUGUAAUUAUAUUGUAAAUAUUAGAAUCCUUUAUUAGGAAGGUUAGUUGUGUGUCUUUUUGUGUUUUCCUUAUAAAACAAGGAUUGUAUCUUGUAUAUAUAGUCUAUUUUGCAAUACAAUGAAAAUUAAGCCGUAAAAUUCAAUUUGGCAUCAGAGCCAAGCGUAACCCUAAAGUUCCCACCGUGCCGCUGCUACCGUAAAACCAGAAGAAAAAAAAUCUCUGCAAAUCUGUGAUCUCUGCUGCAACUUUGUAGCGAGUCAAGAUUGCCCGUGUGUGUAUUGUUGCUAUCGUGGGAAACAAGAAUCACAGCAGGUUUAGUUUUUUUGUCGCUGCCUACCUGCAUCAAGACCAGUUAUCGUGUAGUGUGUGUGCGCGCGUCGUGCAGUGUGCUUGUCGUGCAGUGUGUGUUUGUUCUGCAAUUGCUGGGAUAUAUGUCGUGUAAGAGCUACAGACAUGGAAGCUUUCUACUGCUGUCGUGAGUAAGUCAAACUGUGCAGCCGUGUGGUUUUUUGCUGCGAUUUCCUCUGCAGAAAAAAAAGGCUGAUGUGGUGUGGUGUUAUGAUUGUCGUGUAUUACUGUCUCGUGAGUUAUUAUAAUGACGAAUGCAGGUUGGAUUCUAGACUCGGGUGCAACCGAUCAUAUGACUUUUGAUAAGAAUUUAUUUACUAGUAUGACAACCAGUUCAUGAAAGUGUAUUGCAACUGCUACCGGAACAAUAACACCAGUUUUGGGGGCCGGCACUGUGAACCUCACGCUAGCCCUUCCCCUCCAUCACUGCCUACUUGUUCCCUCAUUGUCUCAUAAUUUGUUAUCUAUUCCUCAAGUUACUGAGCAAUUAGACUGUGUUGUACAUAUGUAUCCACUGUUUUGUUUGCUUUAGGAUAUUCAGACCAAGGAGAUAAUUGGGCAUGACACUAAGAGAGAGGGGUUAUAUUAUGUGGAGGACGUCGUUCCUGGCAGAGCUAAUGCAGUUUGAGCAUCCCGUACCAGUAAUUUACAUGAAGUUUGGUUAUUGCAUCGUCGGUUAGGACAUGCUUCGUUUGGGUAUUUAAGGCGUAUGUUGCCUAGUUUAUUUCAUGAAAUAAAAGAAUCAGACUUACAUUGUGAGGUAUGUAUUCUCGCGAAAAGUCAUCGCAUUUCGUUUCCUCCUAGUAUGAAUAAAAGAUUGUUUCCUUUUGAACUUGUGCACUCUGAUGUCUGGGGUCCCUCUCGUGUUAGUACUUUGUCUGGAAUUAAAUGGUUUGUUACCUUCGUUGAUGAUUGCACUCGUGUGACUUGGAUUUAUGUGAUGAAGAAUAAAAGUGAUGUGGGUAUGGUGUUUCGAUCAUUCUCUCAAAUGGUUGCAACACAAUAUUCCUCUGUUAUUAAGGUUUUCCGCUCUGAUAAUGGAGGUGAGUAUAUUGGUUCCGAGUUGUCCGGCUUUCUUCGGGAUCAAGGAAUUCUACAUGAGACUACUUGCCCUCAUACCCUACAACAAAAUGGGGUUGCUGAAAGAAAGAACCGUCAUAUCUUGGAAAUUGCUCGUGCCUUGCUCAUUGGUGCAUCUGUACCUAAACAGUUCUGGCCUGAAGUUGUCACCUAUGCCGUGUUUGUGAUUAACCGUAUGCCAUCCCGGGUUGUGGAUUUUCGUACACCUCUCCAAGUAUUGACAGAAUUUGUUCCAGUAGUGUCAACUAAUACUCUUUCUCCUCAUGUAUUUGGGUGUGUAGCCUAUGUUCAUAUUCAUAAGAUUCAUCGUAGUAAGCUCGAUGUUUUUCUGGGAUUUGCUCCUCAACAGAAAGGGUAUAAGUGCUACCACCCUGAAACUCGUCAUAUAUAUGUAACUAUGGAUGUUACCUUUUCCGAAUUUGAGUUCUUUUAUGCUUCGACUCCAUCACCUUCCGAUCACCCGGGGGAGAAUAUGAGUGGUGAUCUUGGGUGGUUGGAAAUAUGUAGCUCAGGGGGAGUAUUUAUUGACAAAAAAAACUAUGAAAGCUCUCGGCAAGACACUAUCGAGAAUGAAGACAGUGAAUUUCGACAAGACACUGCCGAGAAUGUGAGUAUCAUUCAGCCAAGUAGCACCGAACCAGUUGAGUCUUCUCGGCAAUGUGCUACAGAGUGUGAUGGAGAGUGUCAGUAGGAAGCUGCCGAACCAGUUUCACUGCUCCAGCAACCAUUAGCUACCGAACCCCCAACCCCCUCUCUCUCAAGCUCAAUAGUGCCACCCAAUAUGUCUUCUUUAAAUAUUCCUGAGGUAAGUACUACUAAUACUUAUGUAACUAAUCCAGAUAAUGUUAUGAGUACAUAUAAGUUGCCUCCAAGGAAAAAUUGUGGUGUUCCUCCUGACAGGUUUUCUCCUGAAGGAAAAGUGAAGUAUCCAAUAGCUAAUUAUGUGUCAUGCUCAAACCUUGCACCAGAACGUCAAGCCUGGGUAUAUAAGGUGGAAGCAAUCAAAGCACCAACCCGAGUUGAGGAAGCCUUGAAGGAUCCUAAAUGGGCUGCUGCGAUGGAUGAGGAAAUGAUGGCACUAUAUAAGAAUGAUACAUGGGAGGUAACGGAGCUACCUAAAGGAAAGAAACCAGUUGGGUGUAGAUGGGUCUUUACGAUCAAAUACAAGGCAGACGGAUCGGUAGACAGGUAUAAAGCAAGGUUAGUAGCAAAAGGUUAUACUCAAACUUAUGGUGUUGAUUAUCAGGGGAUUUUUUCUCCAGUAGCGAAGAUGAAUACAGUACGAGUUCUGUCUUUAGCUGCAAAUUUGAAUUGGCCACUAAAACAGUUUGAUGUAAAAAAUGCUUUUCUUCAUGGGCACUUGGAAGAAUAGGUAUAUAUGGAUUUUCCUCCAGGGUACUAUGCCGAAGGGAAAACCGGAGUAUGUAGGUUGCGAAAAUUACUCUGUAGACUUAAGCAAUCGCCUUGUGCGUGGUUUGGUAGAUUUACCCAAGUUAUGAGGCAGAUUGGGUAUUAUCAAAGUCACUCGGAUCAUACACUAUUUGUGAAACGGAGAAGUGGUAAAGUGACAGCCUUAAUUAUUUAUGUAGAUGAUAUGAUAAUAACAGGUGAUGAUUCAGAUGAAAUGGUCAAACUGGAGAAGGAUCUUUCUGCCGAGUUUGAGAUGAAGAGUUUAGGUGACUUGAAAUAUUUCCUUAGUUGCUCGUUCGUCCAGAGGUAUUUUCUUGUCUCAACGGAAAUAUGUUCUGGAUUUAUUGAAGGAAAUAGGGAUGCUUGGGUGUAAACCCGUGGAUACUCCCUUUGUGGAGAAACAUUACUUGGGAAUUUAUCCGGAUCAAGAACCAGUGGAUAAAGGCAGAUAUCAGAGACUGGUAGGAAGACUAAUUUACUUAGCACAUACCUGUCCGGAUAUAGCCUAUGCAGUAAGUGUGGUGAGUCAAUUUAUGCAUUCACCAAGUGUGGAUCAUAUGGCAGUUGUUAUGCGGAUUUUAGCUUAUUUGAAGUCGGCUCCAGGAAAAGGAAUUCUGUAUAAAAAUUCUGGUCAUCUGAGGAUUGAAGGAUUUACUGAUGUUGAUUGGGCAGGUGAUGUAACUGAUAGACAAUCUACUUCUUGAUAUUUUACGUUUGUUGGUGGAAAUCUGGUUACUUGGAGGAGCAAAAAGCAAAACGUGGUGUCAAGAUCGUCAGCUGAGUCCGAAUUCAGAGGAAUGGCACAUGGAAUAUGUGAAGUCCUUUGGUUACGUAAGUUACUUGAUGGUCUAGGUUUCAAAGUAAAGGAGGCGACAAGUUUGUAUUGUGAUAAUAAAUCUGCACGGGAGAUUGCAGAGAACCCGGUACAACAUGACAAAACAAAGCAUGUGGAGGUUAAUCGUCAUUUCAUUAAGGAGAAGCUGGAGAAAACAUUGUUUCAAUACCAUUUGUGAACUCGGAAGAGCAACUUGCGGAUAUCCUCACUCAUGCUGUUUGUAGUAGAUCUUUUGGUGACUCACUUGUUAAGUUGGGCAUGUAUGAUAUCUAUGCUCCAACUUGAGGAGGAGUGUUGCCGUGAGUAGUAUUAAAAAAGGACAUGUAAUUAUAUUGUAAAUAUUAGAAUCCUUUAUUAGGAAGGUUAGUUGUGUGUCUUUUUGUGUUUUCCUUAUAGAACAAUGAUUGUAUCUUGUAUAUAUAGUCUAUUUUGCAAUACAAUGAAAAUGAAGCCAUAAAAUUCAAUUAUUAUAUGGUUGUUCCCCAUAUUUUCAUGAAAUUAUGUAUUUUUAAGUAUAAGCAAACAUUUCAUUUAUACGAUAUAUAAUAAAUUUAUUUACAUCCACUUAGGUCUUGCCGCCACCUAAGCGCCAAGCCCCCAUCUGUCGUCAAACUAGUGCCUAGCGUACUUAAUAAACUUUCACUUUAUUGCUACAUUAAAGCUAAAGAAAUUUUUGGAACCACAAAUUUGGCUCAGUAAAACUUUAAAAUCCAGGCAGAGACCAAUAUCAGAGAUCCAAUUAUUUGAAAAGAGAUAUAGGCUUGUAGCUGAAAAAAAGGUUCUAAAUACUUGGGUUGAGAUCCUUUUCGAAUUCGUCUGUACCCUUUAAUCUUAGCCAUUCACAUAGAUAAUGUGGCCAGGAAUUUGUUUUAAUAUUUUUUUAGGGUGUGGCCUUUACACACUUAUUUUAAUUCACUCACACACUAAACUAUUAUUAAACAAUCAAAAAAUACAUGAGAGGUAAAAGUGGGUGGUAAAAAUCACCAAUUUUUUUAAGUUUUCCAUGCAAAACGAGGGACCCCUUAGUCUAUUUUCUGACAUCAGAAUGAACUAGCGCCUUCUUUUGGCCCAUGCAUUUCUCUUCAUCUUUCACUCUUUGGGGCAAGAAUUUUUCUAUGUACCCAAAGAAUGAGCUGAUAUACAAUGUGUUAUAAACAUAGUGGAGGGACACUAAAAAGUAUAUUCAUCCCUGUAUCAUGACAUAUAGUAUACCAACUCAUGUUCCGGACACACUAAAAAAUCUCUCUUUUUGUGCAAUGUGCAAAGACAACUUUGCUUCCAUUAAAUUAAAGGGUUAAUUGCAUUUUACACCACAAGGUUUGUAGUCAUUUGCAAAAUGAGUCACGAGAUUUCAAUCAUCGCAUAUUACACCAUGUGGUUACUGAAUUAGAUCAAUUUAACCUCUUCGUCAAUUUCAUCAUCUAAUUGGAUAUUUAAUGUUGAUGUGUGAUAGUAUGGGCUCGCCUUUGAAGCACAUGUUGACCAUCAAUUUCAUCGUUUAGUACUUUACUCUUUUAAUCUUGUAUGAAAAUGAAGGUCAACAUGUGGAGCGUCAGCAUUUGGAUUUGUUGUAUUGAAUGGAGAGUCGCAUGUAAUAACCCUUUUGAAGGCAGCUAAAACAGCAGAAAUCCGAAGGUCGCAACUGCAUAAGAGAGCGGGAACACCCUACAUCCAAAUCUACCAUCCUAAGAAGAAGACAUGGAGAUCUCUCAUAACAAAGUCACCUUUCCAUUACAGCUUGGAUUUCAAUACUGCAGCAAUGAGCACCAUUCGCUUGUGAAUCUUGAUUCUUAUUGCUUGUACUUGUGUUGUAUUGAUAAUUGUACCGAUUGAUGUGCAGCGCUGUCUAUAUUGGUUCAUCGGGGUCAUUGCUGCUAGCAUAUUUGUAUAGUCUUGAAUGUACAGCUAGCAGACCGAUACAAAUACCUCACCUGUUAGUAAAGCGGUAAUUAGAUAAGGUUGAAUACAUUUGAGUUUCAUAUAUUGUAUCAGUUCUUUUUCCAGAGAACAGAUAAGUAUGUGUGUGUGUGUGUGUGUGUGUGUGUGUGUGUGUGUGUGUGUGUAAUUAAGUCCUGUUGAAUACCUUUGUUGCUUGUGCACCAAUCAAUCUUUCCCCUUUUCGUGUUACAUCUAUAGUUGAUCUGUUUAUUAUGAUUUCCAAGUCCGGUUUCUGGGUUUGUAGCUUCAUCGAGUAUUUACUCCUCCGUACUUGAUACUUUACAACCAAGGACAGAAUCAGACUCUCAUUUUCCCCUCCCUUUUGAUAAGAGUAAGUAAAACGGUUUGUGUUAGAAACUCUAGCCGUUUUCCCAUCAAAUGAAGUCUUUUUGGAAAUUUCAACCAAAAAAAAAAAAAAAAAAAAAGAAUGUCGUGUAAUAAGUGAAGUCUUUUCAGAAGUUCCGACCAACUAAAAGAAAGGUGUAAAAGAGAUGCGCGGGCAAAACUUGAGACUAAAAUGCAGAAAAUCCAAGUAAAGAAACGUUUCCACCAAUUUUGAUGAGUUCCCCAAUUUUGUAAUACAUGACGAAGCGACUAGUGCGGCUAAAGAAGAACCGACUGGCCGUGAAGAAUGGGGCAUAAGUCCAAACUCAAACCAGAUACAGCGUUAAACCUCAACAUGUAUCGCAAGUUUCACUUUUAUACAUCUAUGGCUUCAAACUUGAGAUAUAGUAAAUUCAAGUCCUAACAUACAAUCACCAAGUCAACCCAAAAUAUUUUAUUAACAUUUCGGUCAAACGUUCGGGAGAAAAAGGAGAGAAUCUGCUUUCUUGCCGGAGAUACAUUCCUUUGUAUUAGUCGCACUCAUCAUGUAACAUGUAGACAUAAAAAGAUAUAUCUCUACAACACUCAUCACGUGACCUGUAAACAUAAGGAGAUAUCUAUGUUGUAGGUCUCGAAGUGAAGGCAUUGCAAGGUCCAUAGUAAGUGCAAAGAAGCAUACAUUGUGGGUCUGAUUUUGAUUUCUUUGUGCCCCAAAGUGCAUGCCAAUAAUAUAAUGAAAAAUUAUUUGCAAGACUUGUGCUAAUACAUGUAAGGAGAGAUUCCUACUUAAGAAAUUUGAAAAUUUUGCUUUGAAUACUACUAUCAUAGAUCAAACUCAUUUCUUCUGUUCUGACUCCUGAUCCAUUUAAAUUUUAAUGCUUUCCACAAUAGAAAAAGAGCACAUUCGUGCAUAUAAAUACCCAUAUAUCUAACCCUCCACAUAACACAUCCUUCAUAUUUUUAAGCUAGCUAUCUUUGUUUAAUAUCUAUAAGUAUAAGAUCAAUAGAUCACUAUGAGGUUUCUUAAUGUUAUAUUCACAGUUACAACAGUUGUAUUUCUCAUGAGCAUGAACUUGCAUGAGGCUAGUGCGGGCAGCGUGCUGCCUGAUGUGAACGGAAACUCAGUAAGGAUGAUGACGACGAUGAGCAAAGACAUCAUGCUGAUGGAGUCGAAGCAGAGGGCCGACCAUCCUCCUCCCGGUGGAUCUAAUCCGAAGGUCCCUGCUAUGUCGAAUGAUCUUGAUGGUGCAACGAUCAACCAGAGGAACUUUGCAGGCCACACAACUACUCCGCCUUCUCCACAUGAUGCAUACCCUCAUAAUGCCGUGGCUAGAUCACCACUCGGCGUGGCUACAGAUCAUAAAUCAUUUAGUUGAUUCACAAUAUCUACAGAAAUCCCAUCCUAAUAAGAUACAUCAAAUGUGAUAGAAAAUAAACGAAUAAGUAGAGGGGAAAAACCUAGUUUAAUUUUCACAUUUGUUUUCAUUAUACCUUUCCUUUAUCUGUGUUUCUUCUUGAAUAAAAAAAAUAGACGAAUUCUCAUACAACUAUCUUAUUUCUUCUUUAUGCAGUAUGAGUGUCGAGACUAUAUGAUAAAAAAAAAUUUGGUGGGAAUAAGACAUUUUAUUCAAACACCAUGAGAUGGUCCAAUUAACAGUUUAAAAUACUCCAUUUGAAAGUUAACAUAAGCGUUCGGAACAAAAGCAUUUUCAAAAGAUUCACUGCCCGAGCACUAUCAUGGGGCAAAACAAAGAAAUAAACAAAAACACAUACAAGUGUUUACAAUCAUAUCGUGGAAAUGUCAAGUUACACUUGAUACACUGCUGCAGUGAGCCUCGGUAAAAAACCACCACAUGAGACAAAUACACCUAUCCAUCUUUAGACUCAUCCAGUUAGGAAAAUACAGGUAUCUAUCUUUACACAUGAGACGAGAAACAAGUAUAGCGCAAGCUUUAGACUCAUCCAGACUAGGAAAAGGAACCUGAGACCUCUUCAAUCCUAUCUAUCUACCAGUGUAGCUUCUUGAACGAUCAUAAAACAUGUAAUGCUUUGCCGACCUCUCAUCUGCAUCCCACUGAAAUCCGAUGGAGUCCACCAUCACAACCAUUUUAACUUUCCCGCGUCCGCCUUAGGCAACUAACGAGAUUCAUAACACUCAUUUAAUGUUUACUGUGAAAAGGCAAAUGUUCGUCCAAGUAUAGAAUUGUUCGUGACAACCCAAAAUAACCUUGGUGCAACAACAUUCCGGUUAUAUACAUGAUCUGGGUGGAGCAGAAGGCAGUGAUCAAACCUAUACAAUUCAGAAGAUACUUAAGGCUAGCUAGGAAUUUGGGUUUUAAAUUUUUUCAGGUAAAUUAUUAAGAAGUCAAAUUAAAUACUCUUCCUUGAUCAAGUAACCUUUGCUUCAAAUUUUCAAUUACCAUGUUAUGUGUCGUCCGAUUAAUGUUUUUUUGAGAGACUUUAGGCAACGAAAUAUUUUUUUACGGGCAAAGUAACCUUAGUUGGGCAAAGGUUGCGCACCAAGGGGGAAAAUUGGCACAUAUUAUGCCACAUUUUGCGCGACGAAAAUUUGUUUGUUGGCAAACAUAUUCUCAUCUUCAAUUCCUUCGAUGAAUUUCGCAGUUUGCAAAAUUGACUUCAACAAUUCAACCAUCAAUGUAGUUGGUAGGUCUAUACUCAUGAGAUAUCAUAUGCCAACAUCAGCCAAAUGCAAGUUUCCGGGAUUAGGUUAGGAAACGAAAAACGUAUUGUAACACCCCACCCCCAUUUUAUUUAAAAAUGGUUUUUAAUUCUUAAUUGGUGUGCCCAAGGGGCCCACCUUCUGUUUUUGUGUCCCCCAUUCCCGUCACUCUUCCAUCUCUCUCAGCCCUCUUCGUUCUCUCACUCUCCCUCUCUCUCUCGACCUCACUCUUCCAUCCUCAUCGUCAAACCCACACACACACCCACCACCACAACCACCUAGCUACGACACCACCAUCACCUCUGGAACUUUCUUCUCUCUCUCCCCCGUCUCGGCGAAGCUCCAGGACACCCAGAGAACACCCAAGUCUCCCCCGACGACUCUGGCUACUUUCGAGGCAAUUUCCGCCAAACCACGGUGAGUUGGCCAGUGUACAAGGUAUCAAUCUUUUCGUCUCGUUGAGUACUACAACUUUCCUUUUUGUUUCACCCAAUUUCGUUGAGUAUUGAAGAAGUUAUACUCAUUUGAAUCUUACCUAGUUUCUGGCAACCUCCGCGGCGUUCGAGGCGUUUUCCAGCCAAACCACUGCGAGUUAGAUGUCUUGCGAGGUACCAUUAUCUUCGUCUCUUCGAUAACUACAACUUUUGUUUUUGUCUCACUUGAUUUCGUUGAGUUUUGACAAAGUUAUGGCCAUUUAAAGUUUGUGUAAAUUCUGGCCGAAUCCGGCCUUCUAUUUCGAAUGGGUCCGGCGACCCACAUUCUAGAAAACCCAAGCCUUUUAGGCCAUUUAGAACUGGGGCUUUAGGCCCGUUAGAUCUGAGCCCAACCUAAACCCAUUUUCCUUUUAUUUUGUUUUAAUUUUAAUUGUUUAAUUAUAAAGGCCUUUGGGCCAUGUUUAAAUUAGGGCCUUCGGCCCGUUCCCUUGUUGAACCCAGAAACCCUUAGGCUAAAAGCCUUUGGGCCUUUUGAACCAGGGCUUUAAGCCAUUUCCUCUUUAAGCCCUAAAACCUAGGGCCCUAACCCAAUAACCCUUUUAGUUAAAAAACUUAAGCCCAAACUACCUAAACCUAAACCUAACCCAAGUCCUAACCUUAAACCCUAGUCUGCCCAAAACCCUUUAUGGAGAAUAUUCCGUUAGGGAAUAUUCUAUUAGGGAAUAUUCUAUUGACGUUUAAGAAAUUUAUCCGGGACCCUUCUUAAGGUAAUUCAACGUCCUAAACCCGUUUCCGACGUCCGUUUUCCCAAAUUCAAUUGUUAUAAUAGGGUUUUAUUAAUUGGACCCCUUAUGUGCUUAGGGGCAAUUAUUGUGGCGUUUCCAUCUUCGCUAGUUUGCGUGGCUCUUCAGCGAUGAAGUAUCUGUGAGUGGACCCUUUCUAAAAAUGCAUGUUUUAAUAAUAGAAAUGCAUACAUGGAAAAGCAUGAUUUAACAAUUAUGUUCUAUGAGACGCUUCGAGAUAACAUGCUUAUUGAGGUUAGUUUGAAUUAUUACUAUUUUUCCUAUAACUUAUGUUCUUAUAGAGUAUUCGAUGGAUGAUGAUAUGAUAUUUAGAACAUGUUUCGAACACCUCUUUAUAGUAUAGAUGAUGGAUGACUUUAUACUAUGAAGUUGUUUUUUAAUAUAUAUAUGUUUAAUGGUUUUGUACUUACCUAGUGGUCAUUUCCGCUACGAGACAUAGGGAUAGAUUCCGGUCCGUCUCGGGCGAUGGUUUAGUGUUGGCAUAGGGCCUGGAGUGUGUUUCCUCUGGCUAUUAGCACAGAGACGGGGAGCCAGCAUGGGGCCUGAAUUGUAUUUUCCUUUGACUAUCUGCUUAGAGACGGGGAGCCAGCAUAGGGCAUGGGGGUUAUCGGAUAAUUCACUAGUGAUUAUUAUAUAUACAAGUUAUGAUUUGAAACAUUGCACGGCAUGCUAGGUUUCAGAAAACCAAUGUUUAUCAUGAUAUAUGUGUUUUCAUAAAACCUGGGGGUUAGUACGUUGAUAACUGUUUUACUAUUUAUAUAUCAAAUUGGUCCACUCAUGUUUGUUUUGCACCCCCUUCAGGACUUAGAAUUGAGGCAUACAAUCCCAGCAUCCAGGCACUUCCGCAUCGGUAUCUUCGAGUCCUUUCGAUGUAAGAUCCACUCUUGUGUUCAUUCAAUUUUUAUAUUAAUUCUUUUAGUGUUCUAGAUUAGAUGUGUGCUCUGAACACGUUCCUUAAAUGUAUAUUCCUUAUUAUUUUGCAUUUAUAAGUAUUAUCUAUCCCUUGUUUUUAGCAUUUGCACUCAAUAAAUGGCUUUCGUCACCCUCGGAUGUCGGCCAGCACGUGCAUAUCCUGGUAUUCGGGGAAUAUCGGGGUUGGUGUGUGUCACGUAUCAUUAUGAUUUAACGGUUAUUUUGGCUCUGAUUUUGAUGAUUGUUACAACUACCAGCCAGGAAGUAGGUUAAAGUGCAGAGAGUCUACAGAGGCUUGGCCUCGAAUCGGAUCAACCGCGUAAUGCAAAACAAGAUCGUGAUUGUUUACGACUCAUGACAUUGUCGAGCGGGCCUCAAAGUCAAUAACCAGUUGACUCACAACAUUAGAGUCAUCCUCCACUCCAAGCGCCCUAUAGUGGGCGCUUCAUGGAAUAAACUUCGCUCCUAGGUGUAGAAGGAGAUGAUGAGACAGAUCUCGGUAUGUGUGGAUUUUUUUUACUUUAUUAAUUUUACUUAUUCAAUGUAUUUUUUAAAUUAAUACACUUUUUUUUUCUAUUUCAUGUCAACUUCACCAUCAACAUGGAGUACCCGAUAUGUUUGAGUACUUAAACCGAGUGUGGACUGAACGAUACAAGGAGUGGAAAUACAAGUUACAUGUGUACUACAACACUUGUGCAUCUCUUAUUGAACCUCCUACCUCCAUUCUCGAGGUUUGCGGAGAGGUUAGCUGAGUAAUUAAGAAUUUAUAUAAUUAAGAAUUUAAAAAAAAAAUUAUUUCUAAUUUUCUGUUUUUUCAAAUUUAAUUUAUUUUUUAUUUAAUUUAUUUUUUAAAUUCACAUUGGAAAUCGGCGACAAAUAAGUCUAACCGAGAAGUGAAGCAGUACUUUUAUCACUCUGGUGCUCGAGCCCUCACUUUCUGGGUUGAGGAACAGCAAGAGAAGGGUUCGUGUUUUCCAGAAGUUUAGGCUUGGGGAAAAUGCAUGCCAAUUAUGGAAACCAAGUGACUCACAACAUUUAUGCAAGUAUUCCAUUCAAAAUUUUAAUUUCAACAUUCAUUACACUUAAAAUUUUUAAAUUCAUGAUCAAUAGUCUUAGUUUAUGCUUUUUUUUUGUAGGCUUCUAUGUCGUAGAAGAAGGAUAAGUAUCUCACCAACCUCUCGUAACAACAACCAGAUGAGUUGACACCUGAUCAAAAGGUGUCUAUAUAGUUGCUGAUGAACAAAGUUAGGCAACAGAAAGGCAAAGAGAUACGUGGGCUAGGAGUGGGUUGAGUUCAAGACCUUCAGGGGUCGAUCUUCUACAUCUAGGUCUCGGACCCCAUACAAGACAUCUUCCAGACUACAACAUAUAAAGAUGGAGUUAGUGGCCCUGUGCCAGCUAGGAAAGAAGAAUGAUAGCAAAAAGAAGUUGUGCAUUUGCAGGAAGAAGCUCGGGAAGAAACGGCACGCCAUCGAGGGGAAGAGUUUCGGCGAUACAUUGUGAGGAUGUCCUAGGCAAUGACAGCCCUUUACAUUCGCCUCCCCAAUCCUCCGAGCGACCUUCAGGCGCCAUCCCCACCAGCCAAUAUAAUUAAACUAAUUAAUUAUACCAAGACAAGCCCUAUGCGACUCAGCAUUUGGAUUUGUUGUAUUGGAUGGAGAGUUGCAUAUAAUAACCCUUUUGAAGGUAGUUGAAUUAGCAAAAAACCACAAGUCUCGACUGCAUAAGAGAGCAGAAACACUUCACAUCCAAAUCUACUAUCCAGAAAAGAAGACAUGGAGAUCUCUCAUAACAAAGUCACAUUUCCAUUACAACUUGGAUUUUAAUACUACAGUUAUGAGCACCAUUCGCUUAUGAAUCUUGAUUCUUAUUGCUUGUACUUGUGUUGAUUGAUAAACUCCCACUGACACUAGUACAAAAAUAUGUUUGCGCGACAUCAACUUGCACAACGAAACAAAUUUCGUCAUGCAAAGUAUGUUUGCGCAACGUAAAACACAAAACGUCGCCCAAACAGCCUUUGCGCAACGACACUUUGCACGACGAAGGCUAGCGUCGCGCAAAACAGCUUUGCUCGACGCUAGCCUUCGUCCCACAAAGUGCCGUUAUGCAAAGGCUGUUUGCAUGACGUUUUGUACGUCGCGCAAGAUUUUAACUCCAAACCAAGAAUGCUUUACCCUUUUUUCCCAACUUUGCGUGACGAAGGUGUGCAUUCGUCAUGCAAAACAGCUUUGCGUGAUGAAGACUACCGUCGCGCAAAGUUGUUUUGCACGACGAAUGUACACCUUCGUCGCGCAAAGUCAAUGACUUUGUGGUAUAACAUAAGAUUUUGUGGUAUCCACUUGUGUAAAUAUUUUAAAUUGACGAUCGAAUUAGUUCAUUGUAUUCAUAUAAGAUCAAGGAGUGUAGCUGUAAAAAAAUCAUCAAAAUCGGAGUUAAAACUACCGUUAAAUCAUGAUUUUUUGUUUAUAACAGUUGAAAAGGUUUGUCCCGUUACUUGAUAUCUAAAUGUUUGUUUUUUGCGAUUUUUAGCGUAUGCGAUCUCGAAGCAUUUACAAACAAUUUUUGAUGGUUCGAUCGUUUGAACUAGUUUCGUAGAAAACGUAUCCCAUCAAAACAAUAGAUUCACUAACACUUGGAGUUUAUUUAUACUUUCAUUAAGUAUAACAUAAAGAUUUUUUGGUAUCCAUUAGUGUAAAUAUUUUAAAUUGAAGAUCGAAUUAAUUCAUUGUAUUCAUAUAGGGUCAAGGAGUGUAACUAUAAAAAAUCAUCAAAAUCAGAGUUAAAACUACCUUUAAAUCGUGAUUUUUUGUUUAUAACUGUGGAAAAGUUUUGCCUGUUACUUGAUCUCUGAAUUUUUAUUUUUUGUGAUUUUUGGCUUAUGCGAUCUCAACAGAUAUACAAACAAGUUUGACAGUUGUAUCGUUUAAACUAGCUUCGUAGAAUGCGUAUCUCAUCAAAAUGAUAAUUUCACUAAAACUUGAGUUUAUUUAUACUUUCAUUAAGUAUAACGGAAAGAUUUUGUGGUAUCUACAAGUGUAAAUAUUUUAAAUUGAAGAUCAAAUUCAUUUGUUGUAUUCAUAUAGGGUCAAGAAGUGUAUCUGUAAAAAAAUCAUCAAAAUCAGAGUUAAAAUAACCGUUAAAUCGUGAUUAUUCAUUUAUAACCAUCGAAAAGUUUUGUCCCAUUACUUGAUCUCUAAAUAUUUGUUUUUUGGGAUUUUUUGCGUAUGCAAUCUCGAAAUAUAUACAAACAAGUUUGACGGUUUGAUCGUUGAAACUAAUUUCGUACAAUGUGUUUCCCAUCAAGUUCAAUGGUAUAUAUAUUUACUAAGUAGAUUUUAAUUUAUUUAUUUUGUACUCAUAAGCAAAAGGGAAAAAAAAAGAAAUUUGCACAACGUAGGUGAACCUGUGUCAUGCAAAGUUGUUUUGCACGACGCAGGUGCACCUACGUCGCGCAAAGUUUUUUUUUUUGUUUUUUUUGUUUUUGGCCUUUUGCUUUUCUUUUGGGGUUCUUACAUUUCCUUUUUCUUUUGUGGUAUUCACAUGUGUAAAUGUUUUAAAUUGACAAUCGAAUUAGUUCAUUGUAUUCAAAUAGGGUUAAAAAGUAUAACUGUAUAAAAUCAUUAAUAUCGGAGUAAAAUAACCGUUAAAUCUUGAUUUUUGGUUUAUAACCGUCGAAAAGUUUUGUCCUAUUACUUGAUCUCUGAAUGUUUGUUUUUUGCAAUUUUUAGCGCAUGCGAUCUCGAAAUAUAUACAAACUAGGGGUGGGUUGGAAAAACCGAAAACUGAAAAAAACCGGACCGAAAACCGAACCGAGGCCGAAAAAACCGAACCGAAAAAAAAAUUGAACCGAAUCUGGUUGGUUCGAUUUCGGUUUCUGGGGUUCGAAAACUGAACCGAACCGAACAUCUUCAAAACGACGUCGUUUUAUAAUAUUUUAUUAAUUAAUAACCCUAAGUCUAAAACGGCACCGUUUUAUUCCUAAACUAAAACUGGUUCCCGAAAGUAAACCAACCCUAGCCCUCCUCCUCUCUCGUUCUCUCUCUUGUUUUUCCCAAUCCCCUACCCUCCCCAAAUCGCAGUCGCACUUCGCACUUCGCACUUCGCACGCAGCCUCGCAGCAACCUCCUUCAUAUGUCUCUCUCUCUUAGCAGCAGCCCUCUCUUUGUCUCUCUCAUUCCCCCUUGCAGCAGCCUCACCUCAUAUGUCUCUCUCGCAGCAGCAUCCUCUCUGUCUGUCUUAGAGAUUCGCAGCAGCAUCCUCUCAAUCACAGCAAAAGGUUAGUUUCACUUUUAAUUUUCAAUUCUACUUAUACAGUUUUAGAGAUUUGAUUUGUAUUUUAGUGAAUAUAUUGAUUGAGUUGUAAUAACAGAUUGGGUAUUUUUAUGCUUCAUAAAGUAAUUGAAUUGAGUUCCCACGAUUGAUUGUGCUUCAGAUUGGGUAUUUUUAUGCUUCGGAAUGUCACUGGGGCACAUAGGUCAGAAAUUAAGUGAGCAAACUGUACCGUGUAGGCUUUAUGGUUUUUUUUAACUCAUAAAGUUGCAACUGCUGCAGAGGUAUCAAUUGAGUUCUAAAGUGAGGUAAAUGUGAAUUAAACCAAGGAUUUGAAGGCAACCUAUGAACCCAAGAAAUUAAUUAUUAAUUACUCACAAGAAAAAUAAUAAAGAAAUUAAGAGAAAAGAAGAACAUAUUUGUAUUGCUGAAAAUUUGUAUUUUUUUUUUUUUUGGAGGUGAAUUAAUUUGAUCUAAGACAUGUUAACAUGCACACUAGCAUUCUUGCUUCUUGGAACCCCUGUAGGCUUUAGCUAAAGCUAUAGAUAUAUAACAGACAUAGGUCAGAAAUGAAGUCUAGAAUUCCCAAAACUAACAUUUAGUCAAGGUGUGAAUUUGAGAGCUGGUAUCAACCAGAUUGCGCUUCUAAGCAUUGCUGUUGGCCUCCCGGUUUGUUCUCCCUCUCUCUCUCUCUCUCACACACACACCCACACACACACGUGCGCACAUAGCUGAAGCAUUUUGACUGAGUUUUUAUUAUAUAUAUAUAUAUAUAUAUAUAUAAUGGCUGCAGGUUGUGUAUGUGUGAUUCAGUUUUUAUUAUAUAUAUAUAUAUAUAUAUAUAUAUAUAUCAUGGUUGUAGGUUGUAUAUAUAUAAUGGCUGCAAGUUGUUUAUGUGUGUGUUUGAAACAAUAUCCCUAAUGAAGGGAGUUUGGCUACAGGUUAUAUAUAUUGUGAAGGGAGUUUGAUUCUUGCCUUCCAUAUUUUGUCGUGAUUUUGUAUCAUUGGCCUUUCAUAUUUUAAUUAACAUUUACUUUUGUAUAAGUUUGUAGUACUUACUAUCCUCUUAUUAUUUUGUUUGAAUUAGAUGAAGUCAAAGGUGUCAAAGGUCUCAAGGGCCUCAAGCUCAAGUUCAAACUCAAUGAGAUCAAAAUCAACUAGCCCUCAUCAUCAAACGAACUCAUCUUCGAGUAUACCAUCGGAAGUAAGUACUAAGUAGUCAUAUCUUUCUAUUACCUUAGCCCUUAUGUUUAAUAAUUAAUUCAUUAAUUGUAAUGAUAAGAGUGAGUAACCAACCAUAGCAAAAACCUACCAUACCCAUCUUAUUUGAAUAAUUAAUUGUAUGAUUCUCUUAUUUUAGAUGGACAUUGUUGGUGAAUCAACUCCGCCUCAAAACGCCGUGAUGGCACCUCGACAAACCCCUACUUCUCUUGGUGGAUCCGGAAAUCCCUCCGAUGCAACUCCAAAAGAAGGUGACGCAAGUGACCAAGUAAGUAAAGAAGAAGCUCUUUUGGAAUCAUUAAAAAGUCAUGAAAGGUCUUUAGUUUGGGAGCACUUUGAUAGAAAAAUUGAGGGUGGUAGAGUUAAGGGGUUGUGCAAGUAUUGUGCCCAAUCAUAUAUGGCCGAUCCGGAUAAAAAUUGUACAACUAAUUUAAGAAACCAUUUAGCAAGAUGUAGAAGCUACGGUCCUAAUAAGGAAAUAUUUGCCACAAAUAGGCAAAAUAUCUUAACCUUUGCCAGCACGAAAGAUAAGUUAGAAGCUAUAGGUUUUUCUCAAGAGGAAGUAACUAAGGCUUGUGUUGAGAUGAUAAUUAUAGAUGAGUUGCCUUUUACUUUUGUUGAGGGAGAAGGUUUUCGCCAUUUUUGCAUGCAAGCAUGUCCUAUAUGGAGAGUGCCUAGUCGUAAGACAAUUGCUAAGAAUGUACUUAGCUUGUUUUAUUCCGAAAGGGAUAAAUUGAAGAGUCAAUUGAAGACAUUUAGGGUGUGUCUAACAACGGAUACAUGGACUUCUAUUCAACAAACCAAUUACAUGGUUCUCACCGCCCAUUUUAUUAAUGAUGAUUGGAUAUUACAUAAAAAGAUUUUGAACUUUUGUGUCAUUCCAAAUCAUAAAGGAGAGUCCAUUGCUCAACUUUUGGAGGAAUGUUCAGUGGAGUAGGGUAUAGAGAAAGUGUUAACUAUUACAGUUGACAAUGCUUCCGCAAAUGAUUCCAGUUUAAGGGACUUGGUGCACCGAAUAAGGGGGUGGGGGAUUCCUAAUGCACUCUUGCAUGAUGGAAAAUAUUUGCAUAUGAGGUGUGUUGCUCAUAUCCUCAAUUUGGUUGUGAAUGAUGGCAUAAAAUUGUUGAAUACGGCUAUACAAAGUAUUCGUAAUGCGGUUAGGUAUGUAAGAUCUUCCCCUCCAAGGUUAGAAAGCUUUAAAAGGUGUGUUCAGAAAGUGAGAAUAGAUAGCAAAGGGCUUGUAAUUUUGGAUAUCCCUACUAGAUGGAAUUCCACAUUUUUAAUGUUGGAAUCGGCUUUAAAGUUUAAGAUGGCUUUUGAUAGAUUAAAAGUAGAUGAUGGUCAUUACCUUCCAUACUUUGUUAAAGACAAUCAUGAUAGUACGAGGGAGGGGCCACCUUCGAUGGAUGAUUGGAGUGAGGCGGGGAUAUUUGCAAUCUUUUUUAGACCUUUUUAUGAAGUCACUUUAAAAGUAUGUUGUUCUAAUACUCCAACCGUUCAUACUACUUUUGGUGAUUUGUUUAAGAUCAAAAGUCUCUUGCAUGAAAGGAAAAAUGAUGAACUUUUAUAUGAUCUCCAUGUUGAUGCAAGAAAAAUAUGACAAGUAUUGGGGUUCAAUUGAGGACAUGAAUCAAUAUCUUUUUAUUGCACUUGUGCUUGAUCCUCGCCACAAAUUAGAGAAAGUUGUUGAUUAUUUUGAGAUACAAUUUGGUGAGGAUGAAGAAAAAAUUGAAAGUGCCACAAAUGCGGUGAAGGACUUAUUGAUUGAUCUUUACAAGAUUCAUGAAGAUAUGUCUUUUAGUACACAACAAAAUAUAAGUAGUAGUGGUAGUUCUCAAACAACAAGUGGAGACUCUUCAUCAAGCAUGACCGAAAUAGAAAGAAAGUUGAAAGAAAAAAGUGAAAUGAGAAAAGUAAAGAGAGCUCGGGUUGUGCAUAAUGAUGUCGACAAGUAUCUUUCUGAUCCUAAUGAAGGAGAAGAAGAGGAGAACUUUGAUAAAUUGAAUUGGUGGAGGGUGAAUGGGGUUUCUAAGUACCCUAUUUUGGCACGUGUUGCAAGAGAUAUCUUAGCUAUUUCCGUAUCAACCAUUGCUUCGGAAUCUUCCUUUAGCACAAGUGGACGGAUAAUUGAUCCAUAUCGUAGUUCUUUAAGUCCAAAAAUGGUGGAGGCUUUGAUAUGUACUCAAAAUUGGCUUAGGUCUAUUCACGUUGCAUUACAUCAUGAGCCAACCAUUGAGGAGAUGGAGUUUUGUGAAGAAAUUGAGAAAGGUAAUUUUAUUUAUUGCAUUUGAUUUUGUUAGAUUAUUUUAAAUAACAUUUUAAUUAGUAUCAUUUGUUUUAUUAUUUGUAUGUAGAAAUGGCAAGUGAAAGUUCAAAAAAAGGUGUUAUGUUACCCCCUAGGCCGCCCAACCGUUAGUAAGCAAAUUAGCAUUCAAACUCGAAAUGGUUAAGCGUUGAUCUUAAGAACUUGAAGAAGUAUGUGCAAGGAUGGAACUUUAGAUGUUUAUUGAAUUUAUAAUCUUAGUUGUAAUGUUUAUUUAGGUGUGGAAGACUUCUUGAACUUUGCAAUGUUUAUUUUAGGUGUGGAAAACUUGAACUUUGAUGUGUAUUUUAAGUUUGGACUUUGAUUUGAACUUUGAUGUUUAUUUAACUUGGACUUUGGAAGGCUUGAUUAUAAUUGAACUUUGAAUGGAAUGUUUAUUUUCAUUAUCUUUGUUAGUUUGUUUGAUGAUUCUAUUAGAAAUUUGGAAUGCUUAUGUUGAAAUGAGACUUUGAUUUUAUUUAUACUCCUUUAAAAGAUGUAUUACAAAAUGGCUGCAAGUUGUUUUCUUAGAAACUUUUUUUUUUUUGCUGCUGAAAAAAAAAAAAUCGAACCGGGCUGAAACCGAACCGAACAGUAAUUUCGGUUCGGUUUCCGGUUUUGGCAAAAUACCGAACCGAACGGAACCGAACCCACCCCUAAUACAAACCAGUUUGACGGUUGGAUCGUUGAAACUAAUUUUGUACAAUGCGUUUCCCAUCAAGUUCAAUGGUAUAUAUAUUUACUAAGUAGAUUUUUAUUUAUUUAUUUUGUACUCAUAAGCAAAAAAAAUAAAAAAUAAAAAUAAAAAAAAAAAACUUUGCUCGACGUAAGUCUUUGUCGCACAAAGAUGUUUUGCGCGGCACAUGUGUACCUACGGCGUGCAAAGUUUUUUUUUCCUUUUACUUUUCUUUUGGGGUUCUUGCAUUGCAUUUUUCUUUUGUGGUAUCCACUUGUGUGAAUGUUUGUUCUUGCAUCAAAAUCGGAGUUAAUAUAACCGUUAAAUCGUGAUUAUUCGUUUAUAACCAUCUAAAAGGUUUGUCCCGUUAUUUGAUAUCUGAAUGUUUGUUUUUUGCGAUUUUUGGCGUAUGCAAUCUUGAAGCAUAUACAAACAAGUUUGAUGGUUGGAUCGUUGAAACUAGUUUCGUAGAAUGCGUAUCCCAUCAAAACAAUAGAUUCACUAAUACUAAGAGUUUAUUUAUACUUUCACUCAGUAUAACAUAAGAUUUUGUGAUAUCCACUAGCGUAAAUAUUUUAAAUUGACGAUCGAAUUAGUUCAUUGUAUUCAUAUAGGAUGAAGGAGUGUAGUUGUAAAAAAUCAUUAAAAUCAAAGUUAAAACUACCGUUAAAUCAUAAUUUUUCAUUUAUAGCCGUUGAAAAUGUUUGUCCCGUUACUUGAUAUCUGAAUGUUUGUUUUUUGCUAUUUUUGGCGUAUGCGAUCUCGAAGCAUAUACAAACAAGUGUGACAGUUGGAUCGUUGAAAUUAGUUUCGUACAAUGCGUUUCCCAUCAAAACGAUAGAUUCACUAACACUAAGAGUUUAUUUAUACUUUCAUUAAGUAUAACAUAAGAUUUUGUGGUAUCCACUUGUGUAAAUAUUUUAAAUUGACGAUCGAAUUAGUUCAUUGAAUUCAUAUAGGGUUAAAGAGUGUAGCUGUAAAAAAUCAUCAAAAUCGGAGUUAAAAUAACUGUUAAAUCGUAAUUUUUCGUUUAUAACCGUCGAAAAGUUUUGUCCCGUUACUUGAUCUCUGCAUGUUUGUUUUUUGCAAUUUUUCGCGUAUGCGAUCUCGAAGUAUAUAUAAACAAGUUUGACGGUUGGAUAGUUGAAAUUAGUUAUAUAGAAUGCGUAUCCCAUCAAAAACAAUAGAUGCACUAACACUUGGUGUAUAUUUAUACUUUCAUUAAGUAUAACAUAAGAUUUUGUAGUAUCCACUUGUGUAAUUAUUUUAAAUCGACGAUUGAAUUAGUUCAUUGUAUUCAUAUAGGGUCAAGGAGUGUAGCUAUAAAAUAUCAUCAAAAUCAGAGUUAAAAUAACCGUUAAAUUUUGAUUUUUCGUUUAUAAUCGUCGAAAAGUUUUGUCCCGUUACUUAAUCUCUGAAUGUUUGUUUUUUGCGAUUUUUGCUGUAUGCGAUCUCAAAGUAUAUACAAGCAAGUUUGAUGGUUUGAUCGUUGAAACUAGUUUCGUAGAAUGCGUAUCCCAUCAAGUUGAAUGAUGUGUGUGUGUAUAUAUAUAUAUAUAUAUUUAUUUAUUUAUUAAGUAACUUUAAAUUUAUUUAUUUUGUAUUAUAAUAUUUAAGAAAUUGAAUGAAAUGAAUAUUUAUUAAAUAGCUUUAAAUUUAUUAUUGUAGUUCGGAUUGGAUUUUUUGUCAGAAAAAUAUAUUAUUGUGGGUUUUAUGUAAAAAAAUUGAAUUUGAAAGGAAUAAGGUCACAUUUUCAGUAAAUUUUAUAAUAAUAUAUUUUUUUUAAAUAUAACUUAGCGCAACGUCAAGAUGGAUCGUUUGGGCAAACCAACUUUGCGCGACGCCUGAAUGUACACAAAUGUGUUAAAAUUUUUGGCGGUUUAAUUGUAAAAAAUAGGCGCUUUCUUUAAAUUUCCCAAAUUUGGACAAAAUGGAGGUGCAAGCCGUGCAAUUGGAAAACAGUCGGUCUCUCUUCCCUCUCUCUCACUCGGUCUCUCCCUCUGUCGCAGAAUCGAAGAGGCCGAACGAAACCCUAAAAACCAGGUAAGUCGUCCUCUCCUUCCACCUCCCCAAGCUAUCUCGCACGGCCUCUCACCAGUCACCGCUCACCAAGUGGCCAAUCACCAUCUUUUUCCCCUUCCAUUCGCGUCCUCCACCACCAAACUCCCAUUCGCGUCGUCCUCCAUCGGUUUUCUUUCUCUCACCAUCGUCUUCCACCACUAGCUGCUAAGUGCUCACUUCGCCACCCCAAUCUUAAGGUAAGACAAUUUGUUGAAUUUUUUUUUGCAUUUUAUAAAUUAGGGUUUUGGAUUUUGAAUUUGCAGUUAGGGUUUUGCUUGAUACAUGAUGUGAUUCUGUAAUCAAUUAUUCAAAUUCUGUAAAUGGCCGCCAUAUAUAUAGGAUUUUUGUUUUAAAUAAAAUAAUAUUUUUAAAGAACAUUUGAUAGGCAGAACCAGGCUGGCAUCCAUGGAAAAGGGUUUUGCUUUGGUGAAACACUGUGUUUCCUUUAGGAUGAGUUUUGCUUGGUUGCUAAGGUGAAUUUGGCUCUUUUUAAUUUAUUUUUAAUUUUGAGAAAAUAAAAAUUUCACAUCUGAUAUUUGAAGCCUCGCAUCACAAUACACAAAAUCCUGGGUCUCUCUGCCCAUUUCUAUUUGGUUUUGCUUUAUGUCCUAACUUUAAUUUUCACUUUCCUAACUUCGUAUUAGUCAGAUGAAAAACUAAUUAAACUUAUUCCUAUUUUUGAAUUAGAGGAGCAGCUAGAUUUUCCUGUGCUGUAUGCUUCUGCUAAAGAAGGAUGGGCUUCCACCACUUUCACCAAAGAUCCUCCUGCUGAUGCAAGAAACAUGUCACGGCUGCUUGAUGCCAUUAUAAGUCAUGUUCCUCCACCAACAGCCAAUCUUGAUGCAACUUUUCAAAUGCUCCCCUGUAUGCUCUCCUCUUCCCCUUUAAACUGGAAAUAUGCAGGUUGAGUCAAUAUUAAUUAUGAAGUGCUUUCACUUGAGAUUUCCAUGUGCACAUUUCAAAUUCGAUAGAAGCCGUUGUUCUUGAUUCUUCGUAGAGAAUAAAAAAGUUCUAAACAAAGGCUGUGUUCUUACUUUCCUAUAUUUUGUUCACUAUGCACUGCAUCUUUUUGUCUUUUGUGUCAAAUGCAGUUAAGUUUGUGAACGUUUUGGCGUACUUUCAUUUGUAGUAGUCUAUAAUUCUGUGACUGUAAAACCUGUGUCAUCUGCACUGGCCUGGUAAAACAAACUGGCCAAACAAUUUUAUUAUUUUUUUUUUAAAACUCAACGGAUAAAUGACUAAUUUUUGUAUUUUCCUCUCGUUCAUUUUAUUGUUCAUAGUACUGGCAAAAUUAAAAUAGCAUUUAUUGAUGUUUUUGUAAGGUUUCUAUGAUGGAACGAGACUUCUACCUUGGACAAAUAUUGACUGGAUGAGUUUCUUCUGGCACCAUUCGCAUUGGUGACAGAGUUCAUGGGCUUCGUCACAAAGAUUCUGGAGUUGAGAAAAUUGAAGAAGGGAAGGUUUGUGGUUCUAUAUUUGCCUCAUGGUUGUUAAAAAUCAAGAAGUUUUCUUUUGCACUGGACAAUGUUUGAUUCUUUAUGAUAGUGAGAUUUUACCCAUGUUGGGUUAAAGCUCUUGUAGCGCUCACCAAGCUCUUGUAGCGCUCGCCAUCAGUUUAAAUUUGAUUAAUUAGAUUAUUGAGGCUUCUAGCUUUAUUUUCUCUGACUAAGAAUCUGAUAUGAAAAAACAACCUCUGAAGCAUCUUCGUCUCUCAGAGAACAAUGAAAAGUUUGAUAUAUGUGAUCAAGUGCUGCAGCUUUUUACGUUAUUGAAAGGCUCAACUUCAGAUUGAAAUGUUAAAAUAUUAAAAUAUUAAAAUACUAAUUUUUUUUUUUUUUACUUCCAUCUUCUACAGGUUGUGAAGCUGAUGAAAAAGAAGGGAACACAUAUGGUCGUAAUUGAAUGUGCUGGAGCUGGUGACAUAGUGUCAAUGGCGGGGUUAACAAGCCGCCCUUCUAUUGGCCAUACAGUUGCAAGCGUUGAGGUAUAUUAAUGCAAUCUUGGUUUUAGACUUUACUUUUAGUUUGUCCGCAAUUCCUUUUCAUUUUAUUUUUCUCCUAUUUAUUUUAGUAAAUAUGAAUUAUAGCUUCGUUGUAUAUUUUCCUGUAUCCAUUGUACUUCUGUUCCUACCUUGAGAAGGCUCGAUACUGGGGCUCUCACUAAGUUGUCAUCUCCCCUUGUUGUAGGUAGCCUAUAUCCAUUGUGUUUUGUCUGUCAAAUUAGUUGCUUUGAUAACUUUAGCUACUUUUGUCUCAAGAAGAUGGAAAACAUUAUGAUCUGUAUUUCUUAUUUUGCCAUAGUAUUUUAGCAUCAUUCCAGGGAUUUUAACUUUUUAUCCGUUGCUUUUGAGAAACUUUGUAUCUUUUUAUAACAUGUCAUGGUGGUACAUUCUAUGCAAAACGGACUUAUGGUUACAUCUAAUAGACUAUGACUGCAUUGCCCACAGUUGUGUUGGAUCCACCAACUAUUUCCAUGACUUUUGGUGUCAAUGACUCUCCCUUAGCUGGUCGUGACGGUACCCAUGUAAGUCAUAAUUUUUUCCUGUUUGCAAUCAGUUAUUAACUUAUUAUACUGCUCUACAUUUUAUCAUCAAUGUCCGUAUUUUUCACUGAGCUGUUUUCUUGUUAUAGUGGAAAACACAUGCACUUUAUUUCCUCACUUUGGUUUAAAAUCAUUGAUUUAUGAAUUAUCUGUACUUGAUGCACGCCUCGGAUAAAGUGACGGAAAUUAUAUGGACAAUGUAUAUGGGAAGAGUAGAGAUUUGACAGUUUGUAUCAUAAUUCAUUCUUAUCAUCUUUUUGUUUUCCUAAAUUUGACGUGAGUAGGGUUUGAUUUACAUGUCCUAAAUUUAAGUUUUUUUCAGUGUAUGGGGAAGGUGCGGGUUCGUGAGACGGGUGCUUCCUCUCUCAGAUCGACCACAAGACAGGCAAGCCCUGACGGAGGAAGUGGCAACCCUAAAAGGUCAGCUUGCGGCCCAAGAAGCAGCUCGGGAAGCCGAGAUUGCAGCCCAGUUAUUGGCCCAGGACGAUAAGAUGAGUAUGAUCUUACGAGCCUUACAGAUGUCCGGCCUUCAAAUCUCGAUGCUAGCACCUGAUUUUGCUCCACCUUUGACCUCCCAGCCAGUUUGCCCUGCGAUACCCAGUAGCCUGAUGCAUUAAACCGAGACGACUGAUUGUAGUUUUUUCUUUUAUGUUCGGACAUCUUUUAUGUACAUUUUCAUAUAUUUUAUAAAUAAAUGUUUUUUCUUGGUUUAUUAAUUAUUGUUUAUAAUUUAGGCUUAAAUGUCAACAUGGUCUCUGUGUUUUACUUUAUUGGUCAAUUUAGUUCCUAUGUUUUCAAUUUGGCCAAAUUAGUCCUUGUGUUUAUAUCCGUUAGUCAAUUCAAGACAAUCCGUUAAAUGAUUGUUAAAAUUGACACGUGCUAGGCACGUGAGAGGGCAAAAAUGUAAUUUUAUUGUACACCCACUAAACUAAUACAAUGCAUAUCUUUAAGAAUUGAUGCUUUGUUUCACCCAAUUGAAUACUAUGUGAUUUAGGGUUCAUCCAUUAGGUCAGAAUUUGUGGGGUUGUCGAUUGAGAUUUGGGUGACUACUCUAAAGAAGAUGCCAAGUAGACGAAUUGAACCAAACAACCAAGGUGAUGAUCGUCAUCGGCUUUCAUUAUUAUUGGGGUCUAGGGUUUGAUUUGUUGGAUUUGUUGUGUGCUUUUAUAAUCAAUUGAGAUGGCUUGGUAGAUUGGGUAGGAAAAUAAGGAUAUCACUUUACUUGGUUUUUAUUGGUUGCAACUUGUCUUAUGAAACCAUGACUACCAAAGUUAGCUCCUUUGAAUUUAGAUGCUUUUUUCUAAUAACCAUAGCAUUGUGUAAUCGGCAUAUGCCUUUCUUUAAUAAUAAUGCACUAGCCUCUCUGCACGCACUAACGUGCGUGCGAGAGGCAUUUUUGCAUACGCGCCUCUAAAUGUAUAUUGUGUUAGUUUUUUUUCCAUUGUAAUUGUUAAUGUAUAUGCUUUAGAAAGUACAGUACCAAGUAUGGAGGUGAAUGGUGAAAUCUAGAAGAUGGCUGCACAUAAUUGGAAGCAAUAAAUUUGAAGCUGUUUACGUAAAAUUUUUAUCACUUACCAAGUUUAACUGUUAUUUUAAUAUUUUAAUCUAGAAGAUGGCUGCACAUAAUUGUAAUUGUUUUUAUAUUUUUCCCUUGACUAUUAUAGUUGAACUGUUAUUCCAAGUUUACAUAAAAAAUUUAUCACUUACCGUUCCAGACAUAUUUCUUUCCUUUCUUUUUUUUGUUUUUUUUUGUUUUUUUUUUGUUGGGGUACUUGUUAAAAUGUUGGUCACUGUGGUAAAUAUAUACAAUCCGAAUGUUGAAAUUGUUAUAGACAUAACAGAAUUAUUAAGUGGAUGUUUCCAUUGGUAGUACGAAAGGCAAUGACAAUGUAAGAUAACUAUUCAUUCAAUCUUAAUAGAUGUGUCUUAAUAAUUUGUACAAAAAUAUUCAUACAACGUAUGAAUUUACAAAUAUAUAAUUAAUAGAGACAAAAAAAUAAGAAAUCAUAGUUACCCACCGAUGUUGGUCCUAUGUCAUCUUGGUUUACUUCCGUUUGAUUUUGUACUAUAUUUACUGAGUUCAAUCGUGUUUGAUAAUUGGCAUGUCGUCGCAUUAAAAUUUGAGCCCGCUGUGAUGAAUUCAUAGAUUGUCGUCUUUGCCUUUGUUGAUUGCUCCUAUGAUAACUUUGAUUUGACUGUUGAGAAUUUUGAACAUUUGUUUGUCCGAAGUGAAUUUCUUCAUUGUCGACCGACAUUGAGAAAUUGCCAAAAAGAAUGAAUUUUAUUUUAUUUUUGAAAAAGAAGAAAAAAUAGAUCAUCUCUACAGAAGAGGAAUAAUACAGAUAAGGUAAGAACCUCUGACAUAUUGCGUCUAUCAAUUCCCUCCAUAGUUGAUAUGUUGAAGUCCUCUGGAAAUCUUAAAACUGAAAUUUCAAUUUGGAUGAUUCUUAAUAAAGGUAAAAUUGAAGGAAAAUAUGGAAACAUAGCAUUGAAAUUCAACAAUGGAAAAUGAUGCUUACACAAAUUAGAUCAUAGUUAAAAGAUUCAUGAAAUGUACACUAUCGAAUUGACAGAACACAUGGGGAUUUCGAAAAGGAAAAAACAGAAUAACACAAACUAAUAGGACGGAGCCGAACAUAUACCACCAUAACCAAAAUUAAGACAGUAGGCAUUAACCCAUUUGCAGAUCCGAUUGAGCUAAUUUUCCUGAGCUUCAACCACGGACCCAUUCAUGAAUCCCUAAAUUUACCCAAUCUUAACAACUUGAAGAAUUUAGUACAAAAAUUUAACCGAGCAGUAAACUUCGAAAGCAAAAAGAGUUACGAAAACAAAUAGAAAACAGAAUGGUUAACAUACAACAAAAUUUGUUGCCUCUAGAUUUGCAAGGAAGCAAAAUCUUCAGCUGAUGCAAAACCUAUGUCGUUUGGUUAAUCACAAACGUUUCUUUUAUUAGCAAUCAUCACAAACGCCGACAGAAAAAGACAACUAAAGGACAUAUUUCUCACCGCAACAUAUAAAUUGAGAAACAAAAUGGAACAAAUAUAAGUUAGAAAGAGUACAAAGCAAGAAAUAAUGAAGAGAAAUACAUGGAAGGCACUGGAAGAGCAGAAGAAGUAGGAUUGCAGUGGCACCACCCACCCUCUCUCGCUCGCCGAUUCCUAUUCGGUUUAGUGUGCUCUAAUAAGCCCAGAAAUCUCAACACUCAGACAGAGACAAAUUGUAGAAACAUAUAAGAAAGCAAAUAUAGGAUCCCCAACAUCUUACAUGGAACUUGGUAGUAUCAAUGGGUGGACUUCUUCUUAUCUGCAUAAUUUUCGUAAAAAAAUAAUCAAAUUACUUAAACUGAAACGAUAAAGAACAACUUUGAAACCAAAACGUACGGAUGAUUUCUUGCCGCUAGAUUUCCAAGGAAGCAAAAUCUUCAAACUGUCCUGGAUAUAUAAAAAAAAUAAAAAGAAGAAGAAGUGGAGUGGUUGUGUGCAGAGAGACGAAGAGGGUUAAAACUGAUCCCAAUCAGAACAACCUGUAUGGGAAAAGAAGCAAACAGAGUUUCACCUUUCCCUCGCUAAAAUGCUUCCUCUCUUUUCUCCUUCUCCUUCUCUCCAACCCAAAACUGUAAAACACUUCCAGUAAAAUCAAAUUAAAGAAUCAAACCCAGGAACAAAAUCACAAAAAAAAUGAGAGAAAUUCGAAAGGGUAAUGGAACCCUAGUUUUUUAAAUUGGGAAGUUGGGUACCUGGAGAAGAUGGAAAUGAAGGCGACGGUUUAAGUCACAAAUAGCUUAAUCGAAGCAAGAUCCAGAUGAACAACAAAUGGGUAACUGAGAUAGAGCGAGAGGAAGAUCGGAGCUUACAUGAAAGUUGCUGGUGCGGUUGGAUGCUGCUCCCUUUUCAGAGCUUCGACUCUGGCAAUUGAAAUCAAAUACAAAUUAUCAUCUCUUUGGGUUAUUUCUCCUAUUAAUACAAUAAAUACAAAAGCCUGUACUGAUGAAACAAAUAAAAAUAAAUAAAAAAAUUGAAAAACCAAAAAGUGUAUACCUCGGGAUUAAAUCGGUGGUGGUUUGGAGAGGAUAGAUAGUUAGAUGGGAGGAGCUAGUGACAGGAGGUUCGGCUGGCGGUGGCCGCGGAGGAGGGAGAAAGAGAGGUGGCUGCGGAGGAGGGAGAGAGAGAGAGUUAGUGAGAGACGGAUCCAGAUUCCAGAAAACAGGAUCCCGUAGUGGGUUUUAAUUCUAUCGGCAUGGCAAGAUAAUGGGGUUUCAGUUCGCAAGAUAAUGGGUUUCAGUUUUUGCACGGAAGUUUUUUCCUUUUUUAUUUUUCGUGUUUUUUUCCCUUUUUUUUCGAAAACUGCCGAACGUGGUUGAAGUUGUGUCUUCCACGUUUGUUGUUUUAAAUUUUUUCUACUAAAAUUUUAUUUCUUAAAAAAUGAAAUAUAUUUUUUUUCUGACGAAAUUAGCCUUGGGGUUUUUAUAUAUAUUUUUUCUAUCAGUUUUGAUUUUUUUUGUUUGAGGGGUUUUAUAGUCCAAUUGUUUUUUGUGAAGCCUUAAGACACCAAACUCUCCUUCUGGCUUUCUAAUAUUAAAGAUAUUUCGUUUUAUGUGUGCAGAUUUUCCUCAAGUUAUUGAGGAUUUAACCCAACCACCAUUAUCACAAGCUCAAAUAAAUUAUGAAGAAUCAUUCAAUGAAUUCCCUACGGAAUUGUUUAGUCAGGUUGAUGAAAACAUGUAUUGCCGAAAUGGUUUUAGCAAUGAAUUCUUAUUUCAAGAAGAGAAUUGCUUUGUAUCAUGGUGAGCCUCAAUAUUAUUAUGAUGUACCGACACAAACUGAGGAGUGUGAAUAUGAUGGUGAUGGUGAGCAAAAAUCUGAUACAGAGAAAUCCCUUUCUGAGGAAAGCGAUAAUGAUGGUGACACUGGUGAUUUUGAUACAGACAGUUCCUUAUAUGAUGAAGAUAAUGAUGCAAUGCUUGAAGAUGACAAUUUUGAUUACAAUUUCAAUGACAAUGCAGAUACACCAAAGAGUUUCACUGGAUGCAAUAAGAAACAAAAAAAAAAAAAAAUUGGGAAGCGGAUAUACAAGUUGAGGAUUUGAACAUGGAUGAGAAGCAAUAUAACUCAGAUGAAUUACAUUCACCACUGAACUCUGAUGAAGAAGGACAUGGUCGUAGAUGCAAAGAGUUUAAUGUUGACAUUGAUAUGGAAAACUCACAAUUCGGAUGAAAUUUCCAAGUAAAAAGGUGUUAAAGCAGGCUAUACAAAAUUAUGGAGUCCCAGGGUCAUAUGAAUGUAAGAUAUGGAAUAAUAAUAGGAUUAGGUUGUCUGCUAAGUGCAAGCAAUGUUGCAGUUGGAGGUUGUUUGCUUUUGUGAUGCAGGGUGAAAAUACUUUUCAAAUCAAGAGCUACAUUCCUGGUCAUUCAUGUUCAAAGGUUUAUGUAACAAAAACAUAACUUCAACUUUUCUUUCUGAAAGACAUGGGUAGGAUUAAAGAUGAUCCUAAGAUUAAGAAGACAACGCUUCAGUUAGAGAUAUAUAGAGAAGUUAUGGGAGUAUUGCGAAGAGGUUAGAAAGACAAAUAUAGGCAGCACCAUGAUGAUGAAGGUGGAUCCUCCUUAUUUUCAAAGACUUCAUGUGUGCUUGGAUGCAUGUAAACAGGGGUUUGUAUCUGGUUGUAGACCUUUGAUAGGUGUAGAUGGCUGCCACCUUAAGGGAACAUUCCAAGGUAAAUAAUUACUUUUUAGUUUUAUUUGACAUCAACUCAUGUAGAUGUGGUAUUAAUUUAACAUAACACCUAUAUAUCUAUACGUGCAUAUUAAUUCAAUACCUUGGCAGGGCAAUUACGUGUGGCAGUGGGAAUUGAUGCAAAUGAUAAUAUGUAUCCCAUUGCUUAUGCGGUUGCUGAAUUGGAGACGAAAGAGUCAUGGUGUUGGUUUCUUCAACUUUUGAUUGAGGACCUUGGUCCAGUUAGUGAACAUGGGUGGACCUUUAUUUCAAAUAAAAAAAGGUAAUUAUUUGCUUUAAUUUCUUUGCUAUAUAUUGAAAUGUUAAGAAAAACUUUAUAUCAUUUAUUGGCGUUAAGAGUUGUAUAUAUAAAGUUAUAUGAAAAACUUUUAUGUUGCUUGAUUGAUUACCAAUGUACAAUGUAUACCUUCUUAUAUAUAUAUAUAGGGAUUUGAAAAGGCUUUUCAAUCAGUGGUACCUGAAGCAUCUCAUAGAUGAUGUGUGAGGCAUCUCUAUGGAAAUUUUAAGCAACUUUUUAAGGGUCAAGCACUGAAGGAUAAACAGUGGAGUGCAGCCAUGGCAUCAAAUGAAGUAGAUUUUAAUUGUGAGAUGGAAAAAUUGAAAGAGUUAGAUGAAGAAGCUUAUAAAUGGUUGAAAAAGAGGGAUCCAAAUAUGUGGGCUAGGCAUAGGUUCAGUUUGAAGAUCAAAUGUGAUAUGUUGCUGAACAACUUGUGUGAGUGUUUCAAUUCCUGGAUUUUGGCUGCUAGGGAUAAACCAAUACUUACCAUGCUUGAGAUGAUUAAGUGUAAAAUACUGAGAAGGUUGCAAGUUAAGAGGGACUUGAUUAGUAAAUUUGAGGGUCCAGUUUGUCCCAAGAUCCAAGGAAAGUUAGAGAAGAACAAAACUUUGUCUCGUAGAUUCAAACCAGUGUAUUGUGGCAGUGGAGUGUUCCAAGUGGGGGACUCAUUGGUUGAUCAACAAUCGGUAAAUUUGUGGAUUAAAACUUGUAGUUGCAAGAGAUGGGAGCUCAAUGGAAUACCAUGUAUGCACGCUAUUUCUGCCAUCUUCCACAAUCGGCAACAAGGUGAAGAGUUUGUGGAUGAAUAUUACACUCCAUAUGCUUAUUUGAGGGCUUAUUCCCCAGUCAUAUAUCCUGUCAAGGGUAUGAAGUAUUGGCCACAAGUUAAACAAACACCUGUCCGACCUUCAAUGGUUAAAAAGCAGCCUGGGAGACCUAAAAAAAGGAGAAUAACAAGGGAUCCUGAAAUAGAAAAGAACAAAGAUCCCACCAAAUUGGAUAAGAAGGGGAGUAGUAAAACAUGUACAAAGUGUUGGGAGAAGGGACACAAUAGAGUUGGAUGCAAAAAUCAACCUCGAGAAGCUCCACGUGGGGUUUAUAUAGACAAACGAUGGGCUUAUCAAUUUCAUCAAGAUGGUAGUCAUGGUAGGGGUGUGAACAACAAUGAAGGUAAUGAAGAAACUCAUCCUACUCCUCCAUAUCAGUGCUCCAAUGUCCAACAAAGUGGUGAAGUCUUUGUGCCUCAAGGGAAUGUAACUGGAGAGUCAUCUAGACAUACUCUUAAUAAGAAGUAUGCAAGACCAUCUAAUUUACAAGUAAGGAAUAAUAGGCUUGACUUGUUACUUUUCAAAUUAGAGGUAAUAUUUAAUAUUUUUGUUGUUAAUUUUACUUGUGACAGGUGAAGAAAGUUACAAAAAAAAAAAAAAUGGUACAACUCUACAGACUUCCCAACCAAGUACUUCAAUCCUGCCAAUGUAAGUUAUCCUAUUACAUUCCUUGCUUCAUUUUCUUAACACAACUACCAACCUACACAUAUAUUAUUAGAUACAAUUGUUUAAUACUUACAUUUGCAGUUUCAUCCACCUCAAAAUUUUGUUCAACCAACCAUCACUAGAGGCCCUAGAGGGGGCACUUUGACUACACCAAAUGUGUCAAGGACACCAAUUACAUGUCAAAUAUGGACAAGACCAAUUGGAACCAAAACUUCUUCACAAGCAAACUGGCAUCCAAUGCCACAAACAGUCCUAUGCUCAAUAUGUCUAGCCCUAGAGAAGGCACUUUCAUUAUACCAAAUGUGACAAGGCCAAGUGCAACCCCAACUUCUUUGCAAGCUAGGCUUCCAAUGUCGCAAACAGCCCCAGGCUCUAGCACGUACAUGCCUAGCAUAUCCAGGCUAAGCAUACAAACUACACCUUCAACUUCAAGUACGUCUGGAACUUCACAUUCAUGGAAACCACAUGGCAAAAAUGUUUAUACAACGAACGCAACUACAAGUUCAAAGAAAAAGAAUAUUUGAUUGUAGUUUGAGUUGUUUUAGUUUUUCUUUGGCAGUAAGGUAUCUAUGUGUGAGAAAGACCAUGUAGUACUUGUUUUUGGUGGAGUUCAAAGCAACUUCAUUUUAUACUGUUUGGAAUUAAAGCAUGGGUUUUAAUUUUUACGUUUACAAAAGCAUGGAAUUAGUUUUCUUUGUGAUCUUGCUAGAGUUCACUUUGAAGUUGCUUUUUGUUUUCAUUUGUACAUAUAGGAAUAUAUUUGUGAUCAAGUUCAUGUGCAGAUUUAAUUGGAACAAAUAUAGUCUCAUUUAUACUGAAAUCGAACAAGAAGUCAACAAUAAUCUCAUAAUUAAAAUUUAAAUCAAUGACUUUAUUUAUUUAUGUACUUGUGACCAAGUUUAGUGGGUGUACAAUAAAAUUAUAUUUUUGUCCUCUCAUGUGCCAAGCACAUGUCAAUUUUAACAGUCUUGAAUUGGCUAAUGGAUAUAAACACAGGGACCAAUUUGGCCAAAUUGAAAACAUAGCGACUAAAUUGGCCGAUAGAGUAAAACACAUGGACCAUGUUGACAUUUUAGCCUAUAAUUUAAUUACAAUAUUUAUAAAAAAUUAAAUAAAAAAUAUUUUUGCCAAAAAAAAACAAGGGUUUGCGUGACGCAUGAGUAACAUGCGUCGUGCAAAGUGGCUUUGCGCGACACAUGUUACUUUUGCAUCGUGCAAACCCUAUUGUCACUGCCUUUGCGCAACGGUUAGUGCACGAUGAAGGUACCUAUGUUGUGAAAAGUGUUUUUUCUACUAGUGUGACAAAAAGUAAAAUAAGUUCGUUGUAUUAUUUUUUGUAUCGCUCAAAAGAUAACAAAGUUACAAACAUAAGAUUUGUACUUAUACAAUACGUGCGAAAAUAAAAUAACUGUCAAAGAAAAAAAGAAUUUUUUUUCCUGUAAUGUAUUAUUCUUUAGAAAGAAUAUAUUCAAUUAAUUAAAUGUUUGAAAUGAAAAUCUUCAAUUCGUUAAGUUGGCUUUUUAUCCAAAAUGGUUUUUGAGAUUUGCAUUACUCAUCACUUUGGUUCUUGAUAUUUGAAAUCAAUAGAAGGAGUCCCUGAGUUGUCCACCAUCAAUCAUUUUGGUCAUUCCUUAUAAAAAUAUGUUAAAUAAGGACUAAAUGACAAAAAUACCCUCAAUUUAAUAAACAAAUGGCCAAAAUGAUUUGACAAAAUUGAGGGUAUUUUUGUCAUUUUAUCUUUAUUUAAUGGAGUUUUUUCAAGGAAUGGCCAAAAAGAUUGAUGGUGGACAAACUCAGGGACCACUUCUAUUGAUUUCAAAUCUCAGGGACCAAAGUGAUGAAUUAUGCAGUGAUGAAUUAUGCAAAUCUCAGGGACCAUUUUGGCUAAAAGGCCGGUUAAGUUUGAUAUGUAGAUGCCCAUGUUAGUAUUGCACAUCACUUGACCAUGGCAUGCAUGAAUACCUUGGUCAUCUGUUCUGCAUGCAUUGUUGGAAUCCCACAUCGGUGGGUGAAAAGAAAACAAUGGGGUUACAUGUGAUCCAAACCUCAUAAUCAUUUUAUUUUAAGAAGAACAUGUAAAUGGACUUCAAGUUUUCAAAGACGGGGAAUGGAUUGUUGUGAAGCCUCUUUCUGAUGCACUUGUGAUUAACAUAGGCUAUCAGCUACAGGUACAUAAGUAGAUUCAGUACCCUUCUUGACGCUAAAGAUUAUUUCGCUGGUUAUUAUUGAUUCUAGGCCUCGUUUGGCAGCUCGGACUAUACUGACUAUUUUAUCAGAUAGGAUAAAUAGCCACCAGAUAGUACUGACUAAAUUAGUCGGACAUUUGGUGCAGUAUUGCAUUAAUGACCGUAUUAUUUAUACUGUGUUUGGUAUUGAACCAGAUAGGACAAGAGAAAAAAAAAUUAACAAAUCUUUCUAUGUUUGUUGAACUUUUCUCAUAUUUAUACCUAUUGAAAACCACACAAAUUUUCAAAUAACAGAGAAAAAUAGUAAAUUCCAUACAUCAAAUGCCAAAAUAUAAUCCAACCACAUAUUCAAGUUCAUAAAAUAUACAAAUGCAAGUUGGUUUCAGUAAGAAACAGUUUGUCCAAAUAGCCAAAAUAUAUGCAUGUUGCUUUUAACAAAAUAUAUGCAUGCUGCAACUUUUAACAAAAGAUAUGCAUGCUGCUUUUAACAAAAUAUAUUGUUGUUGGUUUGAAAUGUCAAUUGCGGUUACUUUGUCCAAGUAACAUGAAUACAAAAGCUUUUUUCAUUGCACCAUCCAAAGACAAGAAUGUCCUCUCAUUAUGUGGCUUUUCGAAAAGAAUAUUUAGUGCCUUGAUUUGAUCCUCAAUAGAUAAAUCCAUCUUUGACAAUUCUGAAGCAAUCUCAGGUUUUGGAUCCACUCCUUUCCCAAAAGCAGCUUGUAAAACUUCACCCAACUUAUCCACUGAUUCAAAAAGCAUUUCUUUAAAUGGCACAACAAGAUCAUUAUCAUUAGCAGCUCUCUUCCUUUUCCGGGUACUUGAACUGCUAGACCGUCGAGCAACAGAAGGAGAACUAGUCUCCACCUCAUCUUCAUCUUCAUUAAUGUGCUCAGGGUCAUUCAUCAUCUCAAUAGGAGUUGCAGCUCAUACUCCAGUUGCUCGGUCUUUCCCAAAAAUAACAUUCAAUCUGUCAUACAAUGGAAACAAUUUUCUUAGCCAGCCCUCUGCUUCUUUGUUAACCUGCAAUGCGAAAACAAAUCACAUUAUCCAUAAAAUACAAAUAAUCUUAUUUUGUUCCGUUCAACCUGUCUUCAUAUAAUCAAGCAUCCAUUAAUUUAAUUAACCUAUCAUAAUGAAUGGGGCUAGAGGAUAUGGUUUGGUAGACAUAAUCAUACUAUUAAAUUGUAUGUAAAGGAACAUGUUAAGUAAUCAAAUAUGUAAAGCUAAAUUCUAGUAUUAGGUUAGAGAAUUACUUUCACAUAGGACUGCCAUAUUUCAAUGCUAUCAACCUCAAUACACUUUCGUACAUCAUUCCAUGCAAAACCAGUUUUAUUAACCAUGUCAUAAACUAUUGCAUAAUUUUUUUUUCCACCUCCUCAUUUUAGACUCAAUAUGUGGAACUGCCUUUAUAUUGGCAUUAGGACAUUUCAAAUUAAUAGCUGUUUCAAAUUGAGCCAUUGUUCUGGAUUUGAAACAACCGUUAUCACAUCGCAAAUUCUUAACAACUGCAUCCUCAAGUAUGGACCACAAUGCAUCUUUUCAUGUUGUUUCCAAACCCUUAUACUUCCUUUUGGUUGACUACUUUGUUCACUUUCCAUUCCUAUAAUUACAUACACAAUAAGAUAUCAUAUAAUCAACAAUGCAUAUAAUUAAUAGUAAGUGAUAAAAACCAUAAGCAAAUCAUCACACUUUUUAAGUAAAUACAUAGCCAGGUCACACUUUGUUCAAAUAAAGUAUCAUAACCAAAUACAUAAGAAAUGAAUAUUUGUUCAAAUAACAAACCAUAACCAAAUGACAACAUGCAUAUGUAAGAAAAUUUAAUCAAAUCACACUUGUGCAUUCCACUCAUUGUACAUAUUCAUGGCCAAAGUAUUUCUCCAUGCAGUCCAUUCUUGUGUAAGUUGAACAAUCUCAAUCAUAUCUUCAUCAUCAUCACUACUUUCAGAUUCGUCCAAGUUUAGGAUUUCAUUUUUUAUUGGAUCAGCUGACAUAUGCCUUCUAAUAAGAUUAUGUAAUAUGCAGCAGGUUGUCAUAAUUCUAAGUUGUGUUUUAAUUGGGAAAAAUGAUGGACCUCUUAAGAUGCUCAAACGCAUCUUAAGUAGUCCAAAACAUCUCUCAAUGACAUUUCUAGCUUGAGCAUGUUUCAUAUUGAAAUACUCCUCAUGAUUAAUUGGGAGUCUUCUAUUUCUCCACUGAGAGAUGGUAACGCACUCCCCUAUACGGUGCAAGGUAUCCUGGACCAUUUGUGUACCCACCAUCCACAAGGUAGUAACACCCUAACACAUCAAAAAAUGUAUAUUACUAUAUAUAAGAAAAUUGAGGAUUCAAAUUACUAAUAUAAACAAAAAAUCUAUUGUUACCUAUGGGAACUUUUAAUCCCGAUGGUCUACAUAUCGCAUCUCGGAGUACUCUAGAAUCAAAGGCCGACCCUUCCUAACCUAGGUACACAAAUAUAAAAUUCAUGUCCAGAUUACAAACUCCCAACAUAUUGGUCGCAAUCUCUCCCUUCCUUGAUCGGUAUCUUGGUUUAUCUCGCUCAGGGACAUGAAAGUUAAUGUAAGUCCCAUCCAAUGCCCCCAAGCAAUUCUAAAAAAAAUCAUUAACAUUAGUAAGCUCAAUAUAUUUAAUUACAUUAAUUUUAGAAGUAAUUUUUAUAAAAUAUGAAGAAUACCUCAAACCAACUCCAUUUAGGAUCUGGGUAGGCAUUAGGAAUGGGUUCUGGCACUUUCAAAAGUCUACCUUGUAGCCUUAACACUCCAUGUAGAAUGGAAUUGAAAUACCUACUUAUGAUCUCCACCGAUCGACAAAACCUACUCCCAAUUGUACGAUUCUUGACAUGAUGUGCAAGUAUAUGCAAAAACAUGCAAACUUGUUCUUCAUUGUCACUACACCAUCCAAUUUUACUCUACCGUGGUCACGAAGCAUUUGACAUAAAUAAUGGAAUGUUCUUCUAUCCAUUCUAAUUUGGUUCACACAAUGAACAUCAUCAUAUCCUAUUAUGCUUUCUAAAUAGGCUGACCCUACCAUUCUCCUAACAAAUGUGCGAUUUCUAGGUGCAAGUUGCCGAUUCCGCCUUCUAGCUGAAUUAUGAUUCAUCAUGAACCACAUCAUCAACCAAGUCACAAUAUUCAAGUACCACAACUUAACAAUGAAGCAUGCCACAAUCUUUCUUUCAUCCAUGUCUAGUCAAAAUAUAAAAUAACAUUAUUAGAUAGUGGCAAAAAAUUAAGUAACUGGAGCAUGAAUGCAUAAUAACACUGAAAACGGAAGGAAGCAUGUUAAUAAGUCCUACCAAAAAAUAUGGUUGGAGCAAAUAUGGUCAACUUGGACAUGGGCAUUUUGAGGAUCACCUUGUUCCUCACAAGCUAGAAGCCUUGAGUGACAAAUUUAUUUGUGAGGUGAUCUCUUAGCUGUUAGACUCUAAUAUAAUGCUUUAUUGAUUCAUAUAAAGAUACAAGAAACUUUGGUACUAGUUUUGAGUUAAGUUUCCUGCCUUGUGUUUUGUUAAUUUGAUAUUAUUUUUUUCCAUUCCUUUUUGGCAUCUGUGGUUGUCACGUAUGGUAUCAGAGCUCUUAUGACAUGUGAAAUCUAUCUUCUCUACACCAGUAUUAUUUGUUAAAUUGCAAACCACAUGGGAUUGAUCUGUCUUUAUUGGUCCAUUCCCUAAUUGCUUAAGCCUUUUAGGGUCCAAUGAUUGUCUGAUAAUCAAUUAAAUUCUAUAUUAUUUGAUCCUACUGCAUGGAGCUUACUGAACAAAUAUACAAUGGAGAGUAAUGAAAUGGUUUGGGUAGCAAAGAAGUCUAGUCUAUGAUGGCACUUUGUACGACCUCAAAGCAUUAUAUAUUCAUCACCUCAUGUUGCAUCAAAAUUGAGUGUCAUAUUGCAUCAAAAUUAAGCCGAAACAUCAGAAGAGCAGCAACUCUCCCUUUCUUCUCUAUUUCUCACUCACACUCUUUUUUUCUAGAAGGCAAUUACUUUACAAAGUGGAAUAAAUACCAAUUAACAAUUCAACAACCCUAGUCCGAAAUUAUUCACACACACACACACACACACAGAUAUAUAUAUCCAGAUAAAAAGUAAAAUUCACAUAAAAAUUAAAAAAUGGAUAAAAGCUGAGAGGGAGUGAUGCAAAAACUGAGAAGAACAACAACUGGGAUCUAAUUUUCGGGCCAUAGACGGUGAUGGGGAGUGAGAGACAGAGAACAAGAGCGAAGAGAAAUUGGCUUACCCAGUUGUCCGUAUGGUUGCAUUGCAGUUGCGAGACAGUAAGUGAAACGGGAGCUGCGCCAGAGACAAAGUUUUGUUUAGGUAAGUGAACCUGCACACUCCCACUCUACCCAAUCAUUAAUUCUAAUUAAAGUUCAACACCAACAACAAACCCUAAAAUUCAAAAAUUCUAAUUAGAACACAAAAUUACAUAAUCAAUUGCAUAAUUAGAGAGAAAAUAAUAACUAGAUUCAAUCAAUUGCAAGAAAAAUAGGAGGAGGGGGAAGAAUAGAGGGAGGGGCGGAAUCCCAGAAGAAGAAAACUGAAAAGACGAAUUGUGAUUCAAACGAAGAAGAAGACUGUGAGAAGAUGAACCUGGGAUGAGAACAAGAGGGCGUUUGGAAAGGAAGAGAGAGCGCCUGGAGCGGAAGAAUGUGUCUGGAGAGGAAGCGGAAGACUGCGUCUGGAGAGGAAGCGGAAGACUGCGUCUGGAGAGGAAGAGAGCCCGACUAAGUUAUACCGUGUAAAAAAGGUGGGCCUGGAUUAUUUAAUCCGGUGCCUAUUUAAUCCAAACAGCCACCAAACACCGUACACCGUAUUAUUAGUACUAUCCGGUGCCUUAUACAGUGUGCCAAACAGGGCCUAUAUUACUAUCUAUACUUGAUUACAUAGCGCUGUCAAUAUCAUGUCGAAAUAGGGGCCUGAUGGUAGUUCCAAACUAUGUUCCUCGAUCUUCUCUUAAUUACCAUAUGACAAACUAUUUUUUUGGAUGACAUGGGAUGUAGAUAAUCAGUAAUGGGAAGUUGAAAAGUGCUUAACAUCGGGCAGUGACGAGUUCAAGUAAUGCCCGGACAUCUGCUGCAUUUUUCAUCGCACCUUCAAACGAUUACAUUGUAGAACCUGCUGGAGAUCUUAUUAAUGCAAGCAAUCAACAACUCUUUAGACCCUUUCAAUACAAAGAAUUCAUUAUGAACUAUGUUACGAAGCAGGGCAAAACUGGAGUUGUACUAGAACCCUUUAAGCUCCAUGCUUAGUUAAUUAUGAAGCUGUGACUGGGGAAAACACAAAUUUAUUUGGGUGGCAAUGGUCUCAAAUUUAUUUGGGUGGGUUAAUAAAUAUUGUAAAAUUUGUAAAAUAGAGUACUUUUUAUUGGAAGUACUUGUUAGAAUUCAUCUGUCCCACAUCGACUAGAAGACUUGAGAACAAACCCUUUAUAUAGAAUUACCCCACUCUAACUAAUAUCGAGGCAUUUUGUAUUAAAACCCCACACCUGACAGAUUGAGCAGGUGGCCAAGUGGGGACAGUAUCGGUGUUGUUGGAGUGGGCCUAUGGCCCGUCUACCCGAAAUUUAACAUGGUAUCAGAGCCAGGGAACGUGCCCAUACAUCCACGUGAAUGAGUGAGUCCCCUUUGACCUCGCGCGAAUGAGUGAGCCCCGACUUGGCUCCACGUAGGCCAAGAGAUACCACGUGAAUGGGUGGGUCCCCAUUGGCCUCGCGCAAACGGGUGAGCCCCGGCUUGGCUCCACGUGGUAUGAUUGACAUUAAUUAAUCAUUAAGUUAUUUAGACUUUGAAUUCUUCCUUUGAUCAUCAAGUUACCAUUGUUCAAGGACUUCUUUGAGUUGUCUGUAUGCAGAAGAACGCUUACCAAAUUGGUCGCAACAGCCAAUUAGAUAUCGGUAAGAAGGAGCCGCCGGGCAGUACCAUGGCACAGUACCACGACAACUAAUUGAAUUCCAACAUAUAUUUGCAAAAAUAAUUUUAAUCAACUCAAGAGUUUCUCUUGGAUCUAUAGAUAUGUCAAACCCAUCACAUAAAACAGCAAGUAAAAUCUUUAUUCAAAACUGUUAUCAGUUUCUCUUACAUACGUACCCAUAACAAAAAAAAAAAAAAAAAAAAUUAAAAAUUAUUUCAUAAGUAGGAUAUAACGAAUCAAACUCCUAAGUUCUAAAUAAUCUCAACUUGAAACUCCAUCCUUCUCUUGGUAGUCCUAAUAUUACUUCUUUUACUCAAAUUGCUCCUUCAUUAUCUUUUAUUCAAAUCACGUUUUGGAGCUCUCUUAAGAUCAACUCCAUUAUUGCAAGGUCGGUACUUUUUUGGUGCUUGCAGGCAUGACACAUUUUGUAGUCGCAUUAAUCUGCUUCUUUUAGUUGUUGGGAUUGUUGAACUUACUUCAUACAAAUUGAUAAUUAAAAGAGAUGUGAUAUCCACACACCUUUUUUUACUUCUCACACACCCUUCUCAUUUUCAACCAUCGGAUCAAAUGAAUUGAAGAAGAUCAACGGACAGAAAUUAACAAAGAGUGUGUGAGAAGUAAAAAGGGAUGUGUGGAUAACACACCCCUAAUUAAAAUCGACUAAAGUGUACACUAUUUCGCAUCAAUCAAACACAAGGCAAAUUGAAGCCGGCUAAAGCCGAAAACUCAAGGAAAAUUAAAGGUGGGUGUUUUGAGAAAAAAUUAAAUUAAAUUGCUUUCCAAACCAUAAUAGCACAGCUUAAUCCUACAGAGAAGAGAACGGCUCGACCAAAAAGUCCUACAGAGAAAGGGAGAAAAAGGAAAAGGGUAAGAUGUAAAAUACCUAAAGGUAAAGCGAAGCGCGAAAAGGAAAACUGUGCACCGUUUAACGCUUACUCUUUUAGAUGUCACAUUCCUUUUCUGUUAAAGGUGAAGAUAAACUCCAAAACUUGAUCAAUCUCCCAGUGAGGACUGGCUUCUGAACAUGUUGGAGCCAAUCAGUGAAGGACUUCUUAAUUAAUUACUCUUCUUCAGGGCCGGUCCUGAGAUUUUGGAGGCCUUGUGCGAGACUCAAACAGAGGCCCUUACAAGAUUUAAAUUUUGGUUGCUAUAUUUUCUUUUAUAUAUAUAUAUAUAUAUAUAUUUCUUGUGUAUAAAUUGAUAUAAACGCAAAAGAAAAUAAAUAAAAAAGAAGCAUGGUUUGGUGGCUAUGUAUCUACAUUCUUUAUGUUUUUGGGUUUGAACUUACUUUUUAAAUACAAAAAGCAUGGUGUGGUGGAUAUGUACAUAUCAUAUCACCGUACAUAUAUCAUAAUCAGAACAACUCAUGUUCUUUAUUAUGAACUAGUUAAACAAAUCACUGGUUAUGAUAUUUGUAGCAUCUUAUAAUGAGCUGUAAGUUUUUUUAAUGCAUUUUUUCUCACUCCCUAAAGUGAGAAUGAUUCUAACCCUCACUCGGUUGAUUGUUGUUGGAUUAGUUAGAAUUUGAGAUUCGUGUCUUAAAUCAAUUAAACCAAAUUAAUUUAACGGUAUCAAUAGGGGGAUGAGCAUCACCUACUCACCUCCACUUUAGUGUUGUGAGCAAAGUUUUAUUAUAUAUGGAUGACUAAAUGGUUUUCAAAUAGGAUGAAAAUUAGAUGAUCCUUAAAAGCUGACCAAAAGAAUAAACGAACGAUAUGUAUUUGACUAAAUGAUGUCAUAUAUGAAAAGGGGGUUUUAAAGAUUAUAUCUUCAAACUUUUUAAGGAUUUUAAUUAAUUAUGAUAUUCCUAAUUAUAGAUUUAUCAUCAAAAGUUCUCUUUUAUAAUGAUAGAAAUUAAACUACAAAUAUUAAAGAGAAAAGAAAAAAAAUUAAUGUAGUUUAAAAAAAAGCCCAAAAUGGUUCUACUGGGAGUCGAACCCGUGCAAACACAAACGCAAGUAUCAGCGCUUGACGAUUCCCCUAAGGAAACAAUGUGAAUUGUGUUCACAUUGUUUUUAUAUGUAGUACAUUACAAAAGUUAUUAAAAUUCAGGGGCCCCUAAAAAUCGGGGGCCCUGUGCGGUCGCACGACUGGCACCCCCUCAGGGCCGGCCCUGCUCUUCUUAACUAAUUUUCAAUAUGAUCAACCAAAUACAGUUUGAAUAGGCCGGUUUUGGUGGUUCAGCUGGUUUGAUGCACACAAUAUUAUAUUCUCCCUAGGCUAACCAUUCAUGCUUGACCUGAAUGUUAUAUUCAGGUAGUUUUUCUCGUAUAUUUAGUUUUUGUGUUUUUUUUUUUUGUUUAAGCUCGGGCUUGAAGUAACAUUGUUGUUCUGUUCUGCUAGUGACAAUUGGUUCCAAUUAGAUUGAGAUUGUUCAUGAUAAUCUAAUGUUACUGUCCGCAUUAAAUAUCUAUACAAAGCUUCAAGUUGAAGUGUCGUUGUUCUGCAUUGUCGGUAUCAUUAUUGGAUCUGUUUGAAUUGGAUUUCAAUUAAGUUCAGUUUAGUUGGUACGAGUUGGGACUAAAUGUGUGAUCUAGAUAGGAAGUACUUGGUGCAGCCUCAUAUUCUGGGUGUAUAGAUGCUUAUUACAUUUUCUGAGACCUCACUGGUUGUGGAAUUUAUCUUUGUUGAUUAACAGAAUUUUGACCGAGAGGCGUGCUAAAAACUUGUCUUUUUGGAUUUCCGUAAUUGGGGAUAUAGGUUUAAUGCUUGUGUUACUAGACCAUGCGAAUGAGGAGUGUCUGCUUUUCCGUAACUCGGAGAGGGAGGGAAAUCAGCAUGCAGAGUUGCUACAAUGGUCUAGUCCAGAGCAAGUACCAACCGUGGGACCUUCCUGAAGAAGUUUGUUAUAAAUGUUGUGAAAUCAGGGUAUAAGAAUUUGGAUUGAGUAUGGCCAUUGUUUUCUUGCACCAUGGGAAAAAUAUGUGUUGUAUGUAAGUGUGUGUGAGAGAGAGUCGGAGAGAGAGAAAUCUGACUGAAAGUAUCAAGAUUUUAUUUGAUUAUGAAACCUAAUGUGCUAAUACAACUCUUAAUGAUUUUUUUGUAAGAAUAUCCGAGGCAUUGUGGCUUGCUGGAAAUCUUUAGGUGGCUUGGCCGUAUGUGAUAUAUGACACCACUUUAAUACUGUGGAUUUUUCCGGAAAGAAACAACUAAGAGAGGGUACGCACUUGAACUCAUUCUGAUUUGCUAUGACUUCGUUUGUGUUUAUACUUUUUCAGGAUGAAUGGUAUCUCUAUUUUUCACCACAAGGUGAAUGCAGAAGACAGAGCUUGAAAUCUUCAUGUGUUCAUUUAUAUUGAACUACGAAAAACUUAUUAUUUUGGUUACAGAAAAGUUCCAAAGUUUCACAAUUUGAGGGAUGCGUGAUGACUUCAUUUGGUUGGUUAUGGCAAUUUAAAUUUAUGACUUAAAUGGCACAGGUUCUACCGAGACAUAACGCAGUGAUGUUUUAGUUUACUUUUUCUAUUUGAUUGAUUGUGGUUCACACAAGCAAAAAUCUUGUUUAUCUUUCUUAAGUAAUAUAUUAAAAAUGUUGAGAAAUGCAUGGUUUUAUGGGACUAUCAGUAGUUUAGUAAAAGCAAUUCUCUUAUGGGAUCACAUUCUUUUAUGUUCACUUUUGUGUAUGCUUAUUGAUGUCUUUUUGGACGCAUGCAUCUGCCCCUAGUUUAUGUCCUUUGAAUUUCUUCCCCGUUGUUAUUUAUUUGAUCUUUGAAUGAUAAUUUUAGUUUUUGCUUAUGUUGCCUCCACAUAAUAGUUGAAGUGUUGCUGUCUACUGCAUUGCAGAUAUGACAUGGCUUCAAACCGUUGGCGUAAGGAGUCAGGUAUACCAAGACAGGUCCCAUGCGACUCAGCAUUUGGAUUUGUUUUAUUGAAUGGAGAGUCGUAUGAAUAACCCUUUUGAAGGCAGCUGAAUCAGCAGAAAUCCAAAGGUCGCAACUGCAUAAGAGAGUGGGAACACUUAACAUCCAAAUCUACCAUCCUAAGAAGAAGACGUGGAGAUCUCCCAUAACAAAGUCACCUUUCCAUUACAGCUGGGAUUUCAAUACUGCAGUUAUGGGCACCAUUCGCUUGUGAAUCUCGAUUCUUAUUGCUUGUACUUGUGUUGUGUUGAUAAUUGUACCGAUUGAUGUGCAGCACUGUCUAUAUUGGUUCAUUGGGGUCAUUGCUGCUAGCAUAUUUGUAUAGUCUUGAAUAUACAGCUAGCAGACCGAUACAAAUACCCCAUCUGUUAGUAAAGCGGUAAUUAGAUAAGGUGGAAUACAUUUGAGCUUCAUAUAUUGUAUCAGUUCUUUUUCCAGAGAACAGAUAAAUAUCUCUGUGUGUGUGUGUGUGUGUGUAAUUAAGUCCUGUUGAACAGCUUUGUUGCUUGUGCACCAAUCAAUCUUUCCCCUUUCCGUGUUACAUCUAUAGUUGAUCUGUUUAUUAUGAUUUCCAAGUCCGGUUUCUGGGUUUGUAGCUUCAUCGAGUAUUUACUCCGCCGUACUUAUGAUACUUUACAACCAAGGACAGAAUCGGACUCUCAUUUCCCCCUCCCCUUUGAGAACAGUAAAAUGGCUCGUGUUAGAAACUCUAGUCGUUUUCCCAUCAAAUGAAGUCUUUUCAGAAAUUUCAACCAAAAAGAAAAAGAAAAAGAAAAAGAAUGUCGUGUAACAAGUGAAGUCUUUUCGGAAGUUCUGACUAACUAAAAGAAAGGUGUAAAAGUGAAGCGUGGGCAAAAGUUGAGACUAAAAUGCAGAAAUUCCAAGUAAAGAAACGUUUCCACCAAGUUUGUUGAGUUCCCCAAUUUUGUAAUACAUGACGAGAAGCGACUAGUGCGGCUAAAGAACUGACUGGCCGUGAAGAUUGGGGUAUAAGUCCAAACUCAAACCAGAUACAGCGUUAAACCGCAACAUGUAUCGCAAGUUUCACAUUUAUACAUCUAUGACUUCAAACCUGAGAUAUAGUAAAUUCAAAGUCCUAACAUACAACCUCCAGUCAACCCAAAAUAUUUGAUUAACAUUUUGGUCAAACGUUCUGGAGAAAAAGGAGGGAAUCUGCUUUCUUGCUAGAGAUACAUCCCUUUGUAUUAGUCGCACUCAUCAUGUGACAUGUAGACAUAAAAAGAUAUAUCUCUACAACACUCAUCAUGUAACCUGUAAACGUAAAGAGAUAUCUCUGUUGUAGGUCUCGAAGUGAAGGUGUUGCAAGGUCCAUAGUAAGUGCGAAGAAGCAUAUAUUGUGGGUCUGAUUUUGAUAUCUUUGUGCCCCAAAAUGCAUGCCAAUAAUAUAAUGAAAACUUAUUUGUAAGACUCGUGCUAAUACAUGUAAGGAGAGAUUCAAACUUACGAAAUUUGAAAAUACUAAGUUUUUGAAAUUUGGACAAGCUGUGGAUUUCAGGUUUUGAUAUCUUUGUACACGAAAUAUGAUACUGCAUCCCAUUCUGGAAAAAACGUUCUCUUUAGUUGCAAAACUUCCAAUGUGUUAUCACAUUAUUGGAGCAGAGGGUCUCAUCUUUGUGACACGUAUGCGUACUAAUAGAGUAUUUGAGGAAAUCAUAAUAGAAUGACCAAAUUGAUGUGCAGUGAUAGAUUUCAGGGACAACAUUGAUUGAUUUGGAAAUUGAGAGACCAAAAGGAGGAGCUUGAUCAAUUUUUUUCAGGUUACAUAAAUAGACUUCAAAUUUUUCCCUUGAUCAUUAAGUUAUACCUCGCUUCAACUUCCAAUUAGUAUGUUUUGUGCCAUCUCUUAAAAACGAAUGUUACAUUAAGCAGGGAAAAAAACCCUGGAAUAUCAGAAAAAUCUGUUCAAGAAGUUCUUUGAGUUGUCUGCAUGCAGAAGAACGCUUACCAAAUUAGUCUCAACAGCCAAUUAGAUAUCGGUGUGUAGGAGCCGCCGGGCAGUACUACCUACUUCAGAAUAUUGCCGAACGAAAUUCUACAGAGAAAGGCUCGACAAAAAAAAUUCUACUGAAGAUAUUUUUAUUCAUGACUUCUUGUACCUACCAUAAAACAAUUAUUAAAUCCUAACAGUAACAUAUAUAAUAAUACUUAAACUCUUAAAUCCUAAUUAUUAACUUUAACUCGAAUUCCAUUCUUCUCUUGCGAGCUGUAAAAUACUUCUUAACUCAAUUAGCUCCUUCAUUGAAGCUUUUAUUCAAAUCACGUUUUGGGACUUCCUUAGGCUCAACUAUGUUAUUGGGAGGUCGAUAUUUUUUUCGGUGAUGGCAGGUUUGGCACAUUUUCCGAUCGCAUUAAUCAGCUUUUUUAAAGUUGGUGGAAUUGUUGAACCUACUUUAGGCAUUUUUAUCACCGAAACAAGCUAAAACAUACACUACUCCACAACAACAAACACAAGGCAAAUUAAAGACGUCUAAAAGCCAAGUACUCAAGAAAAUUAAAGGUAGAUGUUUUGAGAAUACUAAGACCUUUAUUUAUACUAUAGUGUGUUAUAGGCUAGUUUUCUUUCCCAAAAGCAAAGGAACACUUAGGAUAAGAAAAAUUAAAGCUUUCCAAACCAUAAUAGGAAUAUAGCUUAAUCCUAAAAAGGGGGGAGAGAACCUAAACACAAAGGAUAAGUCCGGUAACGGAGAGAUGGGCAAAAAUACAAAAAUACAAGACACAUGAUGUGUCACAACUUAUCAAUAAGAAAUAAGCACGUUAAUCAAGACUUAAAUAAAAACCUAAUCUUCAACAACCACGUUAUAUGGUUUACAACAGAUAAUUUAAAUAGAUGGUCUUGCUAACAAUAUUACCCAACCCAUAAUAAAACAAAGAAUACCUUUUCUUUUCCUCAAGAACUUCUAGUCAACAAAAAGUCAAUUGAUUUCAUUAACUCCCCACUGAUAGAAAGUGAAAUAAGUUCUUUGUAUUAUUUUAUCUGUCGCUCAAAAGAUAACAAAGUCACAAACAUAAGAUUCGUACUCACACAAUAUGUGCGAAAAUGACAUAAACUAUCAAAGAAAAAUGGAAUUUUAUUCCUGUAAUGUAUUAUUCAUUAGAAUAACAUAUUCAUUAAUUAAAUGUUUGAAGUGAAAAUCUUAGGUUGUUGAUUAAACUUUGAUAUGUAGAUGCCCGUAUUAGUAUUGCACAUCACUUGACCAUGGCAUGCAUGAAUCCCUCGGCCUUCUGUUCUUAAUAAUUUGGUUGGUACAACUUCAAGGGCCGGUCGGAUUUGGAGUACCGCUGGGCGGGGCAGGAGCCUUCUGCAGAACUUGCUUGAUAAUCUGAUUCAAGUGGAAGUAAUUGACGGUUGUGCCCCUACUCUGCAGAACAUCCUUCUUCAUCAUCGUGGAUUUCCCCUGCCCAGGCAAAAUUCUGCAGGCCUCGUACAAGUGCAUGUUCACAAGAAAAACCGCUACCAUGGCCACCAAAAGCAUAUUCAGAAACUUCAUGCUGUUACUCGUUUGGCAAAUAAUGAUUUUUCUUUUUUCUUUUUUCUUUUUUCUAUCUUCUUUUUUCUUUCUAUGUAUGCAAUGCAAACUAGAGAUGGAACGAAUGAAUGAAUAAAUAACAGAGGACUAUAGAGCUCUCUAUUUAUAUGGACCAACUUAUAGUCUGAGUUGAAUUUUCCCAUAUAUUUUAUGUAGCUAUUCUUUGUUUUGACUAUUGUGUCAAAAGAUCAAAUAUUGAAUGAGUCAUACAAUUACGAGAAGAAAAUGGGUUUCAAAAAUAUACAUAUAAUCACCUCAGAAAAUUCCAUUUCAUUUCGAUCGUUAUUAUAGAUUGUAUUUAUAUAUAGAGAGAUGGAAUGCCUCACAAUAUUAUACAGUAUAUGGAUUAGAGUAAUUAAAUUAACCGAGUGAUAAAGUUGAGACUUGAUCAAUUCACUUGCUUGCUUCGCAAACUGAGAACCGAGAAGUAAAGCUUGGUGGGGAAGCAUUAAUAAUGACCUUGAAAUUAAGUUUGAAUGUUUGGAGUAUGGGAAGUGUGCUAACCUUUUACACGACAUGGAAUACUCUGACAAAAAAAAAAAAAAAUUUGAAUCUCAUGGUAUGACUGAAAGUCCUAUUUGACUGGAAUAUAUCAUGCAUGAUAUGUAGAAUGACUGUGUCCUAAUUAGGUUAAGUAAUCUCUCUUUCUAUGAACACUAUUUUUUAGGAGAUUUUUAAUAAAAACAAGUUAAGCCCAGGAAUCAGGACGCAGUAGAAAUUUUUUUUUUUGGUGUAAUUAAGGGUCAUAUACGUGUUAUAAUAGAAAGUGAACAACAUAAUUAAUGUGUCAUAGAGCUAGCAUAAUACAAGUGGAUGGAUAACACAAUGACACAAUGACGGUUGGGCAGUCACAUCCUAAAAUCUCCCCGAACUCAACCAAGGAAGAAAAUAUCGGUAAUAUCGGAAAUAUCGGUAGUCCGAAAACACAGAAAUAUCGAUGGAAAUAUCGGGAUAAUAUCGAUAUCGAUAAAAAUUACAUGGAAACCACGGAAAUUGUAAGAAAAACUUGGAAAUUUUUAUUGAAACUUUGCAGGAUAUUUAUUUAGUCAAUUAUCUAUUAGUUUAUCACAAAAAAUUGGAAGGAAAUGCAUUGCAUGAUGGAUUUAACAUUAUCAAGUUGAUUAUAUAGCGAGCUGACAAACAUUGUGAGUGUAGAAAAUAUGUAGUAAUUAAUGAAAUAAGUUUAAACACACCAUAAUCAUUUAUAUAUAAUGAAUUAGUACAAUAUUUUACACUUUAUACAUUGCAUGGUAAGAUACAUGAGUAAUUUAGUACCACAUAGAGUUCCUAUGAGGUUCAAAAUUUUCACUAUCUUCAUCAUCUCUAUGUGUAGAGUAAGUGUAUUUUAGCAUAUUUUCACAAAAACAUAAGUGACAUGGUGGUCAAGGUGUUGAAGGAGUAAAAUGGGAGGGGUUCAAAUCCCUUUGGUGUUUUUUUAAAUAUAGAAAUUUAUCCUAGAUAAUAAAUAUUAGCUUGCAAGCCUUGCAGACAUCUUAACAACCAUAUAAAUAUUACAAGCUGAAUAUGUAAUCAUAAACACAUCUGUAGCGAGUUGGAUAAGAUCCAGGUGCGUUGUUGACAAAGGGAGGGGUUCGAAUCCCAACCUACAUGCAUAACAUCAUAAAAUAAAAUAUUAUUAAAAAUAUGGAUGGAAAACACCUUGAAUCAUCAAAAGCUCCAAAGUAGUGCCUCUCUCCAAAUUGAUCCCUCCCCCCCCCAAAAAAAAAUUAAAUCAUACAUUGUUCCCAAGGUGUGGAAAAAAAAAAGACAAUCGAAAAGGAAAUUAAAAAGCUAAACAAAACCUAAAGAAAGAUAACAACAAGUAAAAGACAAAAAAAAAAAUAAAUAAAUAAUGAGAGAAAAGAAAAGAAAAGACCCACUGAAGGGCACCAUGAUGAACCAUGCACUGGGUCAUGAAAACCCAAGUAGAGUUUGGAAGAAAUGCCCAUGGAAGGGCACCAUGAUGACGGGAGAAGCCAAGUCUUGGAAGGAAAGCCCACGUAAGUGCACCAUGAACCCUAGCAAAAAGGAGUAUUAAACAAACAAUUAUCAUGCACUCUCACCUCGAGCCCAGAGACAAACCACUGACAUGUUUUUAUUUCUCCAGACUCUUCCCAUUGCUCCCAAGACUAACCCAAACCAUUUCACCCAUUUCUCUCUUCUCUUUGUAGCUCCAUCGUGCAACUCCCUCUCUAUUGGUCAGCUCUACCUGCAACCCUAAACCAAAGCAACCCACACCUCCAUUCUGCAAAUCUUGCCCUCUCACUUCGAUUGGGCAAACAGCCCAUAAACAGAUCUAAGCCGAUAUAAGUGCACAAAGGUAAACAACCUCUUUUUUUGUUUAGUCAUCACCGUUUCCAGUUUUCUUUUUGAUAAGAAAAGGGAGGAAACUCUCAUACAUGUGUGCUUUCUGUGUAGAAAUCCUGAAAGCCACGGUGAUAGCACAGAUGAAGAGUACGAAUAUCGCGAUAUUAUCGGUAAUAUCGAUAAUAUCGCGAUAUUUUGACGAUAAUUAAAUGGAUAAGUAUGAAAAUAUCGUCUUCUCAUAAAAAUGAUAUUAUCGGCGAAAUAUCGCCGAUAAUAUCGAUAUUUUGUUCCUUGAACUCAACUAAUAGCCGAUACCAAGUUUUUGAUAUUUGGACAAGGCGUGGUUUUCAAGUUUUAAUAUCUUUGUACCCAAAAUACACUACAUCCCACUCUAGAAAAAAAGUUCUUUAGGAAAGGUUAAAUGUUGUCCCGUCCAGAAUUAUAUUAUCUCCAACUGAAGGGGCUAAACAUAGUCGUUCUAAUAAUUUACUAGUUUUAAGUUUAUACUAUAAAUUUAUUGGUUAUUUAAUUAAACUACCGUUGUAUGUUUUCAAAUAUAUCCGUUCAAUUCGAAUCAAUUCUUGUAACUGAGAAACUGGGCUCCAAAAAAGGGGCUAAGAGGGGGCUUACAUUUGGCUAGCCAGAUGCCCCUUUGCUAAAUAAUGGUCAGGUGGGUUCCAUAGAAUUAUAGCCUAGUCAUCAGUUAGAGACGAAUUUUUUGACAAAUCAGGCCAAGUUUUUGACUUUUAGACCUUUAGCCCUCUUUAUUGGAGAUGGCCUUAGUUGGUUUAAAUAUCAUGCAUUAAUAGACCAUGUUAUUUACCAUAUAUAAUUGAGCAAAUACUCAAGGCUUGUGAGGAAUUUGCUAUUUUUUUAAGGUUACAUAUAUAGAAUUCAAAUUAUUCCCUUGAUCGUUAAGUUCUACCUCGCUUUCAACUUAAAAAAAAAAAAAAAAAAAAAAAAAAAAAAAAAAAAAAAACCUGGAAUAUCAAAACAAUUUGUUCGAGGAGUUUUUUGAGUUGUCUGCAUGCAGAAGAACGCUUACCGAAUUAGUCUGAACAGCCAAUUAGAUAUUUCAAGUAGAAACCAUUCACAGAAAUUAAUUCCCUCCAACCAAAUCCUUUUCCACCAUAAAUCCAGAUCUAUUUAGCUAGUCCUCUCCUUUAAUUAGCUCAAUGCUUUUUGUCAUGUGUCCCUUUCCCCUGUCAGUUCAUUCCUUUUGUGGGUCAGAUCUAGGUCUGAUAUGCCGUCUGAGCUACCAUUUGUAGGGAUGGUAGGAAGUAGAGGGAGCGGGAAUACACUUACUAAACAUAAAGGCAUGAGGAAAGUUAAGGAGGAUGGUAGAUCCAAAGUGCAGAGAAGGGGGUACAACCACAAAGUCAAACAACCAAACCUAGGUUUUAAAAUGAGGCAAAAAUUCCCUCGGAUGCUAUCUACAUCAGCAGCGAAGGCCAACUACUCAGCAAACAUUAAAUUGGGCAUUAAUGACGAGGUAUGUCUCAAUAGAAGGAUACAAACCUAGUUAUUACGAUUGUGGUCCUGGUGUACCUACAAUUAGAAUAAAAAAGCAGUGAGAACCAAAGGUGGGAAGAGGAAGAACAGAGAGAGGAACUGGGUAGAGGCUCAACUGUCAUUCUUUUGUACAUUUCGAAUCAAACAGCCUGGGAAUCAAAUCAGAAUCGGAGUCAAAUGGUAGCAGCGGAAGUAGUGGAAUUAGUGAUUCAUCUGGAAAGAAACAUGGAUCUAUCCACUAUGGAACAGGAAUCAAACUAGUGGGUACUGCAUUGGUUAACAAAACCCUAAACAAAUGGGGCUUCCGUAAUAUCCUAAGAUCCUUUUGGAAGGAGUGGGGGGAGAUAGAAGUUAAGUGGGUUAAAGAUAAUACUUUCAUUAUCAUUGUCCAAGAUGAAAGCACUGCAACUUAGAUCUUAAACCAGGUACCGUGUGUGGUCAUGAAGCAGAACUUCUCAGUCGAAAGAUGGGCACAUAAGUUAGAUUUGGAGGAAAUCAACAUGGAAGUAGUUUCGUUUUGGAUACAAAUCAGGGGUGUCCUGCCUUAUCUCAACUCUGAAGAAAAUGUGAGGCGUCUGGCUGCAAAGAUAGGUGAGUUUUGGAACUUAAGGACCCAGCUAAAGCAAGAGGAUUCUUGAGAGUAAAGGUAGCUGUUAAUACCUCGAAUCCACUGACCACAGGGUGCUAGCUUCCGAGGGACAGAUGAGACAUGGAUUGAGUUUUGGUAUGAAAGACUACAUGACUUCUGUUACAAAUGCGGAAGAAUUAGACACCUAAACACUGAGUGUGCGUUUGAAGCUGUGAAGGGGGAGGUAUGGCUGGGUAUAGAGAAUGGACAAAAGCAGCUCCAAUUCGAGACUUAAUUGAAUCUCCAAGACCUCUGGCUCUAUUAUAAAAAAAAUUAUCAUCUGUGAAACUUGAACUUAUAAUCUUUCCAAAAAAAAAAUGGAAAUCUAGAGCCGCUAAUCCAAAGCUCUUAAAAGAAACCAAACUAGGGAAGAUUGUAUUGAGAAUUGGCUAGAGUUGUUGUUGUUGUUUUUUAUUUUUUUUAUUUUUAUUAUGGGUCGAGCGAUAGCGUUAAUAAUUAAAUGUUAGAUUAGCCACCAACGAGAUUUGACCUCAUACUGUCAUGUAAGGGCACAAUAUAUUUCCACCACUGUGAUAAAGGGCUAGAGUUUGAAUAAUAGAUAAUUGGGGGAAUGAUUUUCUGAUUACUCUCUGUCAACAAUAUACCAGAUAUAUAUACGAAUUCAACAUUCAAGCACGCCUAUUUCUAAGGCUAGGAAUCCGUGAUCCACCUUUGAUUUGGACUAAAACAGGAAAUUAAAGUAAAUCCUACAAAUAUAUUACAAAGAUAAUUCUUAACAAAAACGAUAAUGAGCAAACAAAGUGUUUUAAAUAUUGUUGUAGGAAAAUUAAGAGAGCUGUAUUUAGUAACACAUACACGAAAAUUUUGGUAGAAAUAAUUCGACCCCAAAAGAAACUUUUAAAUAGGAAUUGAGGACUAGUGCUACAAAUAGGACAUGAAAGUUUGAAUGUUUGUAGUAUUUGGGUAUGCAAACCUUUUACACGACCUUAUCUAUACUCUAAAAAGUUGAAUUUUAUCUUUGAUCACUAAAGUCCCAUUUGACGAAAUAAUGUAUUAUUAAAUGGAGAGUAACUUAGUGUCUUAAAGAAUAUAAAUUAUGGUUUAAAAAGUCCUCGUUGUAAAUUUUGAAAAUUUGUUGGAUAUGAUCACAUGUAGUUACAAAUUCAAGUGUUGUCUAUUUUUUAUUUUUUAUUUUUUAUUUUUUGGGUCAAACCCUGAGGUAUCUCCAACCUAUCCCUGGCCACAGUUAAAUACCACACUUCCUUCCAAAGCUUUUAAUUAGAGAAAUACUCAUAUUUUUGCCAACUUUGUCCUUGAAUUAGAGAUCACAGAGCAUACCUAACUUGGAAUUAUGUCGUGUUUAUACUGGACCAAUUGUUGUGGUUGUUGUUUAUACUACUAUCAAGAUGACAAACUUUGUCAUAAUUUUUUUUUAAAUACCAUUUAUGUCCCCACAUUGUUUUAUCCUUAGUUGCGAUAAAUAACCUUUAUAUAAUAAGAUUAAGAUAGGAAUUUUUUGGAUUUAAAUUAUUAAAUUAAAUUAGAGUUCUUCCACGUUUUUUUCCAUCUUUUUUCAAUAUUUUUCUCCCACAUACAUAGAACGACUGAAUGUUUGUAAUAUGCAAACCCCUUACACGACUUGACAUAAUACCCGGACAAAAAAAUUGAAUUUUAUCGUUGGCCGCUACAGUCCCAUUUGACCUUGAAAUAAUUUAUCAUGCAUUAUUUGGAGAGAGAAUAAAGCGUCUUAACGAAUAAAAAUUAUGAUUAAUAGAUCCUCGUUGCAAAAUUUUGGAAAAUCAUAAGGUGUUACUAAUUUAAGUGUUGUUUGUAUAUACUUUUUUUUUUGUCAAAUCCGGAGGCAUCUCACAUCCCGAAGAAUGAGACUAAUCCUUAGUGAGGUCUAUAAAAACUAAGGCAUUUCACCCCACCUUUGGCUACGGUCAAAUGUCACACAUCCUCCUAAAGUUUUCAACUAGAAAAUCAUCUAUGUUUUUACCAGCUUCGUGCCUCGAACUCAAAGACCACGAAGCAUACAUGGUUAGGAACUUUUCUACAAGACCAUUUACCAUGAUUGUUGUCUAUACUAUUAUUUAGAGAACACACUCUCUCGGACUUUUCUUCAAAUACCAUUUAUGUCCCCACAGUCCCAUUUUUCAUCCUUAGUUGUACUAAAUAACCUUAAUAUAAUAAGAUUAAAAUAGGAUUUUAUUUAAAAUUCUUCCUCAUUUUUCUCCAACUUCUCUUUCGCUAUGUUUCUCCUACAUGCAUAUCAUGUGUGAGAUUGCUAUUAUAACAAAGAGUUGACUAGUAAUACAUAUCAGGUGGUGCUAUUACAAGUUACACUUAAGAGUUUCUCAAUAAUUUCGAGUAAUAUACUGUGACAACUGUUCGUGGCGGGAAUUUCCGUGGGGAAUGAUUCUUGGCCGACGAGCACACAGCUCCCCGAGAGGUUGGCGCCGGUUGAUGCUUUCUGUCGGGCUUCUGCUUUACUGGCGGGCUUGUCAGGCAAAGCCUGUCGGGCAAGGCUUGUCGGGCAAGGCUGAAAGAGAAGGACAGAGUUAACUUUGAAAGGUGCCUUUGUGGGCUUUGAAUGUAGGCCUUGAGGUUCACGAUCAAGAUUAACUUUGAAUUGCUCAGGCGUGCCACUACCAUCUUCAGCAUGGUAGAUGUAGAACGAAUGUUUGAGUUUUAAUUAUAUAUAUUCAAGAGACUAUGUUAGUUAUUGACAGGUGCCUUUGUGGAGCCUUAGGUGUAGGCCUUGAGGCUUCCAUAAAUAACUAACUUAGUACUCAAGCACAUAAGGUUCCUUUUGUUGAUUAUAUGAGUCUUAUAACCAUCAUACUUCUGAUCACCUGAGCUCAAAGAGCAGAAUGAAUCCAAAUAGGUGCCUUUGUGGGGCCUUGAAUAGGUCUUGAGGCUUCCCAUCAGAACCCCUUCCGUACUCAAUGUUCUUGCCCGAGAAAUAGGAUGAAUCCAAAUAGGUGCCUUUGUGGGGCCUUGAAUAGGCCUUGAGGCUUCCCAUCAGAAUUCAUCCCGUACUCGAACGUUAUAUGGUCAUCAUAAUAUAACAGAAAUAAAACUAAGUGGCAGGUCGAUUACUUGCGCCCCAAGUAACUUCGGACUUCUUGUUUAUCAAAGCUUGUCGUGGAUGGGUUAAGUCCACAUCAGGUACUUUUUUAUGUCUUGAGGCCAAGGACUUUUUAGAGUGAUCAAAUCUUAUAUGCCCGAAGGCUUAGAACUUAGAUCUAGCUUGAACUGUGAAGACAUAUUCAAAUCGGAUUCAAGCGCUGAGAGAGUCUUUUAAUAGCCAUAUUACUAGAAAUAACUUGGAUAUAACUUGAAGUAUACAACAUAUUGCUAGGCUAAUGAAUGAAAAGACAAAAGCAAAGAAGGUCGGGCAAGGUUUAACCUUGUCGGGCAAGGCUGAUCGUCUUGCAAUUUCCUAUCUUUGUGGGUUAACAGAAGGUUUGAAGGCUUAGAAAAGGGGUUGGGAAAUGAGUUUGCAGAAAGAAAAUCGAUACUACAGCAGGUGUUGAACAGGGUAGCAGAGCUAUUACAAAGGGUUUAUCCCGAAAUGGAUGAAGGCUUGGGCUGACUACAGCUUCGUUUUGAAGGCAAAUCUGGCUUUGAGCAGAGUUUAUGCUUUUGUUUGUUUGUUUGAGUGUCCUUGAUUCUGUCUUCUCUUUCUCCUUUUAUAGACACCUUGGCUUGGCCUCCUGUAGCAAUAAUCUUGCCCGAAUGUAGUUUGAAGGAUAGUGACUCAUCAGCUAUUUACUUGUACUGCCAUUUAAAAGUACUUUUUGGGCUGAUUAGCUGGCUGGUCUAUACCACUUGGCCCUUGGGUAGGUGAGCAAGUGGUCUGCAUGGCCUGCACCUAGUCAGAAACGGGCUUCUCCUGUCUUCUGGACUUCGGCUGGGUUUUGACUGGCCUUGACUGGGUUUCUUCUUUUUAGGCUGCUCUUUGGGCCAACUUCCCCCGGGCCCAAAGUUUAAGUUUUGAUCCAAACAACAACUUUUUUUUCAAAUGAAAAUGAUAAUAUACUACUUCAAGCUACAUACACUUAGAAAGGGGAAAGAGUUUAAUCCGAAACACAAUAAAUUGAAGAGAAAUACUCUAUUCACCAAAGCAAAUUCAUCACUUGCAUUAUGACAUCUUUCUAACAUGCAACUUUUCUUUAUUUCAUUACAUAUCAUAUCUUUUGCAUGUAAAUUUUCUUGAUGAUUUCGAAAUUUUAAAACGAUGCAAAACAACAUUAAUUACUUUAAACUCAAACUAGCUCAAUGAGGAGGAGCAUAUGAAUUCUAUUCAAUUAGCGCACGCCAAGUGUUUGAUAUAUGUUUCGAUGCUCCAGAGUCCACAGGCAUAUCAUUCAUGAUAUUGCAUGCCAUUGUAAAAUGAAAACGUUCAUUAUUGCAUGACUCACGUCAAUGCAUAUUAAUUUUAGAUAUCAUGUAUAAUUAAAAGGGUUUUACUAUACCAAUUGAGUCAUUUUUUCGAUGCGACAAUUACAUUGACAUGUGAUAUUAGUUAUCCAUCAAGUUAUAACGUGCGAAGUACUAACACCAAGUGACGGUGGAGCCAUCUCACUCCAAGAUUAGCCUCAAAGGUGCAUUUUAAACCAGAUGCAGAGUCUUCACUAUGCGCACACACAUAUAUAUGGUAUAAUAGGUAUCUCUGCAAACAUUGUCAGAGGUUUUUGUAGAGCAGGUAAUAUAUUUUUGCAAUUCUGCAGUUUAAUUUCUUGUCAAUAAAAUGGCAAUUGCUUUUAAACUCACUGUUAAAUUAAGGACAGUGCUCAGUGCUAUCACACACCCUUUUUUUUUUUUUUUUUGCUAAUACACUUUAUUUUUACAUGUAAGGAAAAAAAAACAAGACUGCAGGCAUUUUCCUGUACUUAUUCACUGCUAAGAAUAUAUAUAAAAUGUUUAAUUUGAUUUAAAAUUAAUACUACUAGUGCUUUUCGAUGAUGGUUGCACUUCGAUGUAGAAUCUUUGGAAUUGGUACUACUUCAAGGUGUGGUCGGAUUAGGACCUCCGGACGGGGUAGUGCCCCUAAGUAUUUGCCUGAUCAAAGGGAAGAAGGGACGAUCCAUCUGAUGCAAAACAUCAUUCUUCAUCUGAUGCAUAAACUUUUCAUCCCCAUGCAACACUCUGCAGGCUUCGGACGAUUGCAUGUUCAUAAGAAAAACCAUUAAAAACACUGCCACCAAAAAUAUUUUUAAAAACGUCAUUUUGUUGGGCAAACAAAGACUAUUUUGCACCUUAUUUUCUGCGGAAGAAGGAAUGAAUGAAUGAAGAUAAAGCUAAAGGUUUUGUUGCGAAAACAAAGAUUUUGCUUCUAUUUUCUGUCUGUGAAAAACAGAAAGGAUCGAAAGAAAUAAGGAAGGAAUGAAUGAAU